UAAAGCCGAGUAAUAGGAGACAAUUAAAAUAAUUCAUCCCAACCCAUAUAAAUAAUUGGAUUUCAUCCAAUUACUCAACAUGGCUUAUGCAUUUUUCAAAAACUUGGCCCUUGCCAAAAAUUCAUUCUCGGGGAUACCCCACGAAGGCAUCUUAUCGAGACCGCCAAGGCUAUUUAUUGUCACACACACAAACACAUUUCACCUCUGACAACACAGUCGUUCCUCGGCAUUGGCUGAGUCCCAGUUUCACGUGGUGGCCAACGUGAAGUGUACUCAAAUCCUACCUCGGGAGUUAUCCUACGCGCCUCUCCAAUCGAGGUAAGCUCAACAAUUGGGAACCGUGCUCCUUUAAUUAGGCUGGCCCAUGGAGCCCCCCGUCACUACAGUGCCCACUUUAUAAUCCACCAAUCAAUAAAAUCACAAUAGUAUGACAUGACUCACUUAACACAUUCAAGGCAAAUCAAAGCAGUUCACAUAUUCUUGAAAUCAUAAAAAUAACCAGUCAUACCCACAUUUAUCAUAAGUCAUUUAAUGUAAAAUCAUAGAUAAACAAUACAAUCAUAGUAUAGGUCUCCAAUUACUCUAUUUUUGAAAUCAUUAUUAAAUUUGUAAAAAUUUUAUAAAUUUUUUUUAUAAAAUCUCAUUUUCCCAUAAAACACAAUAAUUUUCCAAUUAAACCAUUUUUCCAUAAAAUCACACAAUUAAAUAAAUCUACUCUAGAUAAUUAAGACGAUAGUAAGUUUACUCACUAUUUUAGGAGUCGAUAUACUCCUAUUUUCAAUCCGCGGGUACAGUCCUUUACUCGUAUCUAAUGGCUCACCACCUAGCCAUAAUCCAUGACACAUAUUUCAAUUAAAUUGUGUCUAACAGUCAUAAGCUAUUUCAGGCUCGAUAUAUAUACAUGAUAUGAAAUGAAAAAUGCACAGGUAGCCAUCUAGACCCGAUAUUGACUUAAGUCGAUUUUUCAUCCAAUAAAUUGGCCAAUGCGUCCAAUUUCACUCCAACUUUCUCCAUUUCUUUUCCAAUCCCUCAAUUCACCAAGCACAACUAAUUAACACACAAUUAGGCAAAUUUAUCUUCACUUUUCUUCUUGGAACUUUCGGCCAUUGAAGGUUCAUGGGGAAAAUUUUGUUUCUAAACAUGUUUAACUAACUCUAAACACCAACAUAACUCAAAAUCAAACAAUUCCAACAUCUUUCUCUCUCCAUACCCAUUUUGACCAGCCAUAAUUUCAUCAUGAAAACAUGUAAUUUAACCAUGGAAAUUAAGGAAAAAUGCAUGGGUAAGGUAAAUCACUAGCAAAAUCAAAGAAAUUUUACCUUUGCUUGAUCAAAUCCUUGAAUUCCAACACUUUCUCUUUGAUUUUUCCCACCUAGGGUUUGUUCUUCCUUGGUUUCUCUUCUCUUCUGGUUUGGCUGAUCACUAUGGGAGAAAUGGGCUGAUUUUUUUGGCUUUUUAUAAAGAAAUAAUAAAAUAAUAAAAACAUGACACAUGGCAUUUCUUUAUUGGCUCAAAUUUUAAAUAUUUGACUUUUAAUUCUUUAAUUCUCCACCACACAUUUCUCAUGUUUAUCCAUUUCCAUGAUGAAUAAAAUCCCUUGGUCUUAACAAAUGUUGGGGGUAAAAAUUUACCGAUUUGCCCCCGGGGUGGCAAAAUUACCAUUUCACCCUUAUACUCCAAAUUAUACCGGAAUUAAAAUUUUUCACUUUUAAACUUCAAAUCAUACUCCAAUACUUAAAUCAUACUCCAAUAAGUCAAAUGGAACAAAAAAAAUCUUUUCUAAAAAUUUCCAUUUUGUCUCCAAGUGGCAAAUGACCAUUUUACCCCUAGAUAGUGAAAAUUCUGAUUUGACUCCAAAUUGAUCCUCGAACUCCGAAUUACCAUUUUGAGUCAUCCAUGAAUUGUGAAACUCUUAAUUUCACCUUAAAAUUCCUAUUUGAACUAGUUCGAAACUUAAUCGACUCAAUGGUACCAUUAUGGGUAAUAUCGUCUUUUAACGAUUCCUCGAACUUUCUAAAUUUGCAAACAUUCUAUUGAGCAUGUAAAUGACGUCGUAAUUAUUUUAUAGAAUAGGGUUUGACAAAAUUUCCUCCACCCACCAUUGAAAGGUGACAACAUCGAUGGUAGCUUAAGGCUAGGUCUGGAGCUCUCUAACUUAAUCCGAUCAAGGAAAUGAUGAAAUUGGCAUCCAAGGUGAGAUUUGGUCUCAAGAAGUGCAACAAAGAGGCAUCCACAUCUUUAGUGGCUAGCUAAUGGAGAAGAAAGGAAAAGGAAAAAAAGAAAAAAAAGAAUUUAAAAUAAAAAGUUUAAAAUUUUAAUUAUAUAUUAUAAAAAAUAAUAUUUUAAAUCUUAAAAAAUUAAAUGAAAUUUAUUAAAAUUUUAAUAUUUAAUCAUAAUAAUGUUUAAAUCAUAUAUAAAAUAUAUAAUAUAUUAAAAAUGUUAUUGUUUAAUUAUAAAUAAAAUAUUAAUAUUUAAAAAAAUUGUUAAGAUUUAAAUUAUAAAUAUUCCAAUCAUAAUACUAUUUGAAUUAUAGAUAAAAUAUUAUUUUUAAAAAUAGAUAAAAUAAUCAUAUUAAUGUUAAAAUUAUAAAUUAUUAAUGCUUUUAAAAAUAAAAUAACAUUAAAAUAAAUAAUCAUAUUAAUGUUUUAAAUACAAAGUUGUUAAUAUGUUUUUUAAAUUAUUAGAAGAUAUAUAUUUUAAAUUAAAAAUCAAAUAUUACAAUAAAGGGUAUUUUUAUCUUCUUAUCAACUAUUCCUUUGUUAUUCCAAAACUAUUUUUAUCAACCCAACAUUAUAAUGAGUUAUAAUAGCAAUUCUUAUCACAUUCCAUUUCAUGAAACAAACUAUAUAAUAAUUAUUUCAUUCUCUCUUUAUUCCAUUCCAUGAACCAAACAUGCAAUACUUAGGGACAACCCUUAAUUAAUUGAAAGCACCUCACCAAUUGAGGUGCCAAUUGAUUGCCAUGUGGUUUUUCUUUUCUUUGGAUAGAAAAAUUAAGGAAAGAAAAUGAAAAGAUAAGAAAUAGAGAAUGAAAGGAAAAGAGAAAGGAAAAAGAGAGGAAGAGAGAAAGUUAGAUGGUUUAAUGAACUUAUGGCUCGUUUGAUUCCCGUAAUGGAAUAGAGAGAGAAUGAAAUAGUUAUUAUAUGAGAUUAAGAUAGCUAUUAUGUAAUUUGGGUCAUCAAUGGAACCAUCAUUAUGACAUUAUUUAAUGUUUGGUUGGUAAAAGUGAAUUUGCAAUAAUAAAGGAAUAAUUGAUAAAAUGAUCAUAUAUAUUUAUUAUAAUUUAAUAAAAGUUUUUGAAGUUAUUGAAACACAUUACCUUUUGACAAUAUGUUAUUAUUGAGUAAUAAUUUUAUAAUAAUUUAAUAUGCUAUCAUUAAAACAUUAAUAAUUUUUUAUUAAAAUAAUUAACAUGAUUUUUUAUUUUAAUUUUAUUUUACAUUUUCUCUACUUUCAUUUUUCCUUUUUUUUUCUCUUUUGCUUCAUUUUCUUCAUUUUCUUCUCUAAUUCGUCUUUGGCCAUUGAAAAUGUCAUAAGCUAAAUGGAGCAUCGAUCUAGUGCUUCUCGUGGCCAAAUAUGGUUGUUGGAGAACCGAUCUAGCCACCGGAACACGGAUUUGCCACUUCCUGUGAUGAAGGCAGUGGCAUUGACCAAAGGACGACGACGACAAUAAUUGAGAGGUUUACAAAAAGAAAAAAGUGAGGCUAGUGAGAAAGAACAAGAGAGAAGAAGGGGACAAUAAAAAAGUUUUAUCUGUUAAGGUUAGGUUUUAUUAUAUAUAGGAUAGUAAUUUUUUUUUGACAAGUAUAGGAUAGUAAUUUUACAAAAUGAUUAAGGAUUAUUUUGUCUGUUUCUUUUAAAAGUAUUUCCAUCAAUGUGGAAUAGUUAUUUCUAAGGGGGCUAGUAAUAAUUAUAUCGAGUUUUUCAAGAACAAUGGUCAUUUCACCCUUUAAAAAUAAACCAAACAUAUUAUUAUGUGAAAAAAAAAUGAUUAGGCCUAACCAAACAUGUUACUAGAUGUUAUGGGUUCCAUAUUCGUAAGAAAUGGGAUGGAUCUUGGGUUUAUAAAUAUGAGUCUUUUAUACUUAUUAAGUAUGUUUUUUAGCUUGCAAAUAUGGACUUAUGAUUUAUAAGCUUACUUAAAUUUUAUUUUCAAAAUUUAAAAUCACACGGGAUUGGGCUUAAGUUCCGACCCGUGACACUAGAGUCAAUGACAACGAUGAAAGAACUAAUAGGGGAGUAAAAAGAGAAAAAGUGGUUGAGUUAAAGAAAAUUAUAAGUGACAAGUUUUUGAAAUUUUGUCAAAUAGUAUUGGGAAAAUUUUAAAACUUUUCAAUAUAAAUUUAUUUAUUUAUUAUUUAAUAAAAGUCAAAUUCUUAAGAUAAUAAAAACAAUAAAUAAUAAAUAUAAAAAGAUAUAUAAACCGAAAAAACUAAAAUGGAAAAUCAAAUCAAAACCAUUUCAAACUUUUCAUAUUUUUCUUUCUUUUAUUCUAAACGGUUUUAUAAAAAAUUUAUAAUUUACAAUAAAUUAAAAAUCAUAUAUUUGAUCAAAUAAUUUAUAACUCCUUUUAAAAAAAAUUACACCCUCACAAUGAAGUGUGACAAGUCAACAAAAAAAAUUUAAUCACAAAAUAUUAAAUAUUAAAUCUAAAUUUAAUUUUUUAUUUUCACAAUAUUUUACGUGUGGACUAAAAUUAUUUUUAUUAUGUUUAUGUUUAAAUAAUCAUAAAUAUAUUAAAAAAAUGAAAAACAUUAAUAGAAAACAGCUGGCCAAAUCUUUCAACAUCUUCAUGGAAAAAAUUAUUGCUGAAUUUUGUUUCCGGAAACUUUCCUUUUGUUUUUUAAUUUUUUGGAAAAUAAGAUUACAAUUAUUUAUUUAGAUUUUAAAUUUCUCAAAACUGCAUUAAUAUUAUUAAUGAUUUGUUUAAAAUGUAUAAAUUCCUUUAUUUUGAAUUGAAAAAAAGAAAAAAGGUGUUUAAAUUAUUUUCAGUGCUGCUAUAUAAUUAGUUUAAGAUUUUAUAUUUUCUGACGUUUUAUUUUUUAUUUCAUUGAUGAGAGCAUUUCACAGGAAUUUGUUAUGUUCUAUAUGGAGAACGAAAACCCUUGAAAACAUCAAACCCCUCCUUUCCCCUAUCCAUUGAAACUGAAAAUACGAGACCAAAUUUUGCCUUCGUUUGUUUGUUCCCCCUCAAUUACUACUAAAAUUUAAGGGAAAAAAGUUUGUGGCAGCUGAGAAUUUCGAAUUUACAGGGAAAAGUGUCCCAACUUGGAACGUCAGAGUUGGGCCAAAUCAUUUUCUAGGAACGUCUGCAGGACUUAAUACUACAAACAUGCAACACAUGUUCAUGUUCAAUAUGGUCUAUUGCAAUGCAUUAGGAACAUGAAGAAAAUCAAACUUGGUUGGUAAGGUUCACAUUUCGGUUGAAUUACGAAACUCUUCUUAGUCGUUCAAGAGACAAAUUACGGCUUCCGUUUCAAUCCUCUGUUUCCUACGUAGAGGCUACCGCUGCUCCUCGAUUCUUCCUUUUCCAGGGAGCCCCCCUUGCGAUUCCUGAGCUUUUGCUAUCAUUGUUGAUGUCUAGACCUUGAAAUCAGGUGUAAACGGUGAUUCGCCGUUCCUCUUUGGGGGCAAAUAGUGCCAAAUAUGUGUAUCCAGCUGGCUGGUGACCCUACAUAGAGAAGAGCCGCAAAGUUUUACUGUUGAACAAGCACUGAAUUCUGUCAAUGGUUUUAUUAGUGACCUUUAGUCAAGCCAGGUGCACUCCAAUUUGUAGGGACAGUACAGUCGCCCUCAAGCACGUAACCAGGAUAGUGAUUGUCCAAAUGUUUGGUGUCUGCAUAGAUUAAGAUUAACAUGAUUUUUAAACUAUAAAAUAUCCGGUGUACGCAUAAUUAAAUAUAAGAUUUGAUAUAUAUAUAUAUAUAUGUAUUUCAUUGGGCUAAAUUAUUUUUCUCUAUAUAAUUGUAUACUAAGUAGGAGUAUAAAUUUGUUUAAAGCCAUCAACUCAUUGAACAAUUUCAUUUUUUUGAUAACAAAUGCCUUUUUAAUUGAUAAGUGCCUCCAACGAUUUAUUUUAUUCAUGCACUAUUUAAUCAAAGAUUUGAGGCAACUGAGGUUAUUUUUUUUUUUUAAAAUCCCCAUAUGAACAAAGUAUAUAUAUUAAAUCAAUUAACUAAGUAACCUUAUUUUUGUUAUUCUUCAUGAUUUGACAAAAUUUAUUACGUAAAAGUCUUACAAAUAAGAAAAGAACAGUUUGCCCGCUGCAAGUGUGAGUAUUAUAAUGUUUGGAAACCUAUUAUUGCUUCUAAGGUACUAUUUAAUGAACUGAAAUAAAUAUUCAGCACUGAGAAAUUAAUUACUGAAUUUUAUUAUGAAAAAGUUAUAUAUUGAAUUUUUGCUAUAAAUAUUUUUGGUAUUCUAUUGAACUUUAAAUACUAAAUACAUGUUUUAAGUACUUUAUAUUAGUAAAAGUUAGUAAAAAGGAAAGAAAAAAUGAAGUUAAUACAAAUAAAAUGACAAAAAUUUCCUCAUUCAAUAAAAUAAAUUGAAUACAUUAAAAUAAGUGGCUUUUAAUUACUUAAGAUUUUCAGCAUUUUAAAAAUCUUCCGUUUAAGUGGUUUAUAAAAGAGUUAUCGGACACACUAAAAAAAAUAAAUUAUUGAAAAUUUUAAUUUCAAUCGUUUAUCAAACAUAGCCCAAGUGCGUCAGAAUUCUUCAAGUCAUUUACCUUUUUCUAUUUUUAUAUUUUUGUGUUCUUCUUUUUAGUUUAUUAGUUCUAGUCUAGAGCAAAGGUAUGAAUAGCAAAUAUGCACGAAAACUGUAAAAUUAUUAUUAUUAUUAUUAAAGCUGCGCCUAAAUUUCUAUUAAACAAAGUGCUAAAAUCAUUUUUCCUUGUCUCAAAACCCCUACUUUUCUUUAUCCUUUUCUAUUAAUUUAUUUAUUUUAAUUUUUAUAUAUGAAACAAGAAAAAAAGUAAAAAGCUAGAGAAUAUAUAAUUAAAAGGCAAUAGACCUACUAUAGCAUAUAUUUAUGAAAACCCAAACAAAAAAAUGAAAACCAAAAAAGAAUGAAAUUUGAAUUUUACCUAUAAAGAAAAAAUUAAAAUGAAAAAGAAAAAUUAGAAAAAAAGAAAAUAUUUUGCUAUCAUAUUUUGCUUGUUUCGCUUUGUUUUAAUCAGAACACACAAUUCAUUCACUUUUUCCUUCAAAAUCCUGAAAAUUAUUAAAUGGGUGCAAGUGAUUUACUCAUCUUUUAUGGUGAUGACUUGAUAUUGAUGUAGUCUCAUAAAUAUCUUUCUUAGAAGUCUCAUAAAACUAAUAUUUAGAUUAAAUGUUUCAAAUCUUGUCUUAUGUAUAAUUCAUGGAAAUAAUUAAUAUGAAAAUUAAACAGAAACCGUGUAUAUAUAUAUAUAUAUAUAUAUAUAUAUGUAUUUUUUUUGAAAAGAUAUAUAUAUAUUUGUAUACUUAAACAUACAUUCUUUUGUGUAUAUAUAUAAACACAAAUAAAAUAAUCUCCAAGGUCUGCAAGGAGAUGAUACUCCAACGAUCAAAACUUGAGAUUCCAACUCAAAUUUUUAGUUUGAAUCUUGAAAUAAGAAAGAUAAGAAAAGAUUACCUCUUAUAUAUAUAUAUAUAUUUCUAAAAAUAAUAAUAAAUACCGGUCUAUACUAUUAUUUCAUGAAAAACCCGCAUAUAGGCAAGUGCAGUAUAUAUUAACAACGUUAAGUAUGGAGAGAAAAUAUAAUAGUGUAUUAUUUUUAGUUUGUUUAUUUUUUCCGAUUAAUUAUUAUCUUGAUUAAUUUGAUUAAACCAUGGAACCAGUUCGAUGCAGGAUUUGGACCUUGAAACGCGGAAUAUUGCUAACCCGUUAAGGAUAUUGAAAAAAUAAAAAUGUAAUAAUAUAAUAAAUCCAAUAAAAUUCUUAUUAAUUACAAAAUUACAAUACAACCUCAAAGAUUAGAAAAAGAAAAUUGUAAUAAAAUACAUAAAAACCAAAAUUUACAGAAAAACUCCAAAAAAAAACUCAAGAAAUACAAUAAAAAUUAAAAAAAAUAAGAAAUAAAAAACAAAACAAAAACAAAAGAGGAUAAAAGAUAAAGAAGGAGUCAAGAUCAUAUUCGAUUCUAAAAUAUCUAAAAAAAUAAAUAAAUAAAAAAAGGAAACUAGAAUCCAAUCUGCUAAGAAAAGGCUCGACUUUCUCGUCCCUUGGUUAUCGGACUGAAGGGGAUAAAAUCCCUCUCCCCCAAUAGUCGCAUCACACAACCACACGUAGCAUAUCCUUGACAUAAGACUUUUUUAAAUUACAAAAUUAUGAAAUUUAAUUAAUUUUAAAUCAUCUUUAAUGACUAUUAAAUAAAAUUUUAAUUAUUUUAUACUCUAAUUCAAUUACAUAUUAAAUUUAUUAAACUUAUUUUCAAUUCAAUUGAAUAUUAACUUUGAGAUAAAUUAAUUAAAUUAUCUUUAUUUAAAAUAAAUUAAUUACCAUUAACUUGUGAAAAAGGUUUACUGAUAAGAAAUGGAUAAAAAUAAAAAAAAAGAAACGAAAAAGGAGAGAAAAAUGAAAAAGAAAAUAAGUGAGGAUAUGUUUAGUAUUUAAAGUAACCAUUGAAUAAAAAUUAGUGACAUAAUAUUUAAAAAAGGUUUCUAAACUAUUUAAAUUAAUUAUUUUAUUACAUUCAAUUAAAUUUGUAUAUUUUUAUUUUGAGUCAAAUGAAUACUUAUAUUUUUGUUUUGAGUCAUGUGACAUUUUGACAAGUGACAAGUGAGCUUAUUUUGACUAGUGACAUUUUGACUAGUGACAUUUUGACUAUUAACGAUUAGACAAUCAUUAGUGAUUAGGGCUUAUUCUUAUUUUUGAAAGAAUCAUUAGAGCUUAUUUGAUUAAAAAAAAAAACUUGACUAAAUAGAAUAGAAAAAGGGAAAGCAUUUGAUGGCUUUUAUUUCUUUCAAAAUAAGAAGGCAGUGUGACCUUUUAUCAACUUUUUAUUUCUUUUAAAAUAAUAAGGCAUUGUGACCUAAAAGCCUCCUUAAUGAGGAGUCAUGAUUUGGUGGUCUAAUAAUUACAGUGUCUUAUUAUUUUAAAAGAAAUAAAAGCCUCAUUAAUGAUGUCACGACUUGGUGACUUAAUAGUGUAUAGAAGCUAUAUAUUGUUAGUGCAUCAAAUAAUUAUUUUUUUAAUUGAAUUAUAUAUAGUUUUAAUAUAUUUAAUACCUAAUUGAAUAUAAUAUAAUUUAAUUUAAAUUUAAUUUUUGAUAAUAAUUAAAGAUAAUUGCAAAACUAGUUUAAUAUUUUAAUUAUAUUUGAAACUAAUUAAAUCUCAUAAUUUUGUAAUUAAAAAUUUCACACAAGAAGACUAAGAAUAGUGAUAAAAUGAGAAAGCAAAAACAAUAACAGAAAUAAAGUAUGAAAAUGGAGAAGCAAAUAAUAAAGGAAAGUACUUGUCUUUUAGUUUAAAAUUGACUUAAUAGUUAAGACUAGUACUUUUUCAAGAGAUAAAUGUACUUCCAACCAAAUCUUAGAGAAAUAAGAAGAUAUUUUGCAAAUUAAUAAAGAUAAAUAUAUUUUCAAUUAAAUUUAAAAAAUCUUUAUAUUUAAAGGUUGGGUAUGUAUGCUUUUGCCCUCCUUUAUAUGAUCGACACCUGGGUCGGUGCAAGAAAUAGCAUCAUUGAUGACCUAAAUAGUCCCUCUAACCGGCUUUUGUCAUUUGAAAGGCACUGGUUUAUGUCGGCGCAGCGAUGCAACAAAUUGUAUUACUACUUCCACGAGACUGAUCAUGAUGAUGUAAAUACGCACCACAUAAUCGCAUUACAAUCGUUAAUCAGAUAUAAAUUUAACUAUUAAUUAAUUUAUUCUAGAAAAAACUAUUAAUUGAACAAUUAUGUAAAUAUACAACUAUUAUAUUAUAAAAAAACAAUUAUGUAAUAAAUUUUAUUUAUUACUUAUUUGAAUAAGAGUAUAUUUUGUAUAACGUUUAAUAACAAUCAUGAAAUUUAAUUAAAAAUAACAUAAAAACAAGUAAAAUUCCGCCAACUGGACUAUGUAUAUAUUUUUCUUCAAAACAUCGAUGCCAGCUACUAUUUUUGACUGCUUAAGUUUUGGCUCUAUAUAUAUAAUCCAAUAUCAUUCGGGGUCAAGCCGCACGUCUUCCGUGUUUGGGCAGCUGGAAACAAAAAGACUAAAAAGACAGCAUCAUGCCAAGAGGUCCUGUACCCCAAACAAGAAUCAACCGAAAUUUGAUAGAAAGAGAACGAAGAUCACAAAUGAAAGUUCUCUGUUCGAAUCUCUUCGCUCUCCUUCCUCCUCACCCAACCAAGGUACAAUCAUCUCUCUCUAUUUAUUUCCAUUAUUUUUCCCCUUUUCGCUGUUACUCUUCAAGGUGAAAUAACGCCAUUGAAUAUUCUUGUAGAUGUCGAUUCAUGAGCUCGUGGAGCGUGCCACCAUUUAUGUGAACCAACUGCAACAACGAACGGAGGAACUCAAGCAAAUGAAAGCGCAGCUAGAAGAGGGGCAGUCGACUGCAACAAGAAUAUCCCCAGUUAUAAAUAUAACAGAUCUCGAUUCUACUAUCCAAGUAAAUUUAGUCGCUGGGACGGAUAUGAAUUUCGCGUUAUGUGACAUUAUCAGUAUCCUUGAGGAAGAAGGAGCGCAAGUUCUAAGUGCAACUUAUCAUAAUGUACGGAAUAAGGUCGUCCUUUCACUUCAUUCUCAGGUAUAUCGUUUUUGAGGGAUUUGGAUUCUCAAACCAGAUCAGAGUUUAGUUUACAGUUUCUUUCUUUUUUCUUCAUCUUCCUUUUUCUAUGCCUAACUUAUUCUUUGACAUCAAUCCUCAACUUGCCUGUUUAACCUACGCAAGUGCAGAUUAACUCGAAACGCAGACCAGUAAGAAAAAGCAAGACCUAAUUAAAAACCCCAGAAAUCAAGAAUAAAGAAACUAGAUAAUCAGCGCAAAACCGAUCGAGACACGUUCAGCCCCACCUAGCACGCCUAAACGCAAGAUAAGCAAACCUCACCUUGAAGAGAAGGAUACCAAUAAAAGGGAACAAACCAUUGUAUACAGCAGCCCUGACAGCAACCAAGAGAGCCUAACAAACCAAGUAACACAAACAAUCGGAGGUCAACCAAAAGGAGGAUACUGAACUUACUUAACUGCCAAAGAAUUAAAGCUUUAAUCCAAAUUGGAAAUUUGGAAUUAUUACAUCAAUUUUUGUCUUUUAAGUCAGAUCAUGAAUACUUUAUUUUAUUAUAGUAUUCAUCAAAUGCUUCAUCACAAACUAUAUAGCAUGCAAUAUGCAGGCCUUUGGAGCUGAUAUUUGCGUUGUUGGUGUUUUGCAGGCUGCAUAUUCAAGAAUUGGCAUUCAGAAUUCCAGAGUGCGUGACAGAUUGAAGAGAUUGCAGAUUUCUUGAAAGAGCUUGGACCUUCCUACUGCUUGUUGCUGUUGUACGUGCGUGUUGUUGUUGCAGUAUUUUCUGCCAAUAAUAUUAAACUCUACUGCAAAUUAAAGAUGUAUGUGUAAGCUAGGUGUUGUAGUAUUUUCAGCUACGAAAACAAUUCUCAUUUUCAAUGUGUUGGAAUUUCGAAAGUUCUUUUGGAGUAAUAUGUUACUAAUCAUUUGAUUUUCCUCAUCGUGGUUUGUUAACCUUUUUAUAUUUAUAUACUCGGAGUGAGUUGGUUAACUAGCUAUUUAUUAUGUAUCCGAUAAGAUUAAUUACAAAAUUGAAUAUUAAUUUUCCAAAGGUCUAUCUAUAUACACAAAUAAAUCAUCAACUUUAUUGAGUAUUAUCUUUUUAUGCAUAUUUGAUGAGGUUGUCCAAGAAGGGAAUCUUUUAGUUAACAAUUAUUAGGCCAAUAAUCUAAGUUCAAGUUCAACUAUAUAUUUGACAUUUGUUCUAGGAUUUUUUUCUCAAUAUAUUUGUUUUGUUUUAGGAUUAUUAUCCUAUAUAUUAUUAUCCUAUAUAUAUAUAUAUAUAUAUAAAUGUUGAAUUCUCACCAAAACUUGUUGUUGAAAAUCUCAAGUACUCAUGAUACCAAUUUGAUUGAAAGGAACUUGGAACAAUGUAAAUGUCAAUGAUAAACUUGUUGACUCCAUAUAUUUUUGAUGAUAACAAAGCGUUCCUCUUUCAUUAAUGUAUAAUUAUAUUAUUUAAGUGUAUAGGACAAAGUUUAAUUCCUUUAAUAAAAUUGUUGAUUGAAAGCAAGUCAAAAAGCUUGUUAUGUUACAAAAAUGGUUAAUUAGUUAAAAGAGCAAAGGACAAAAGGUUAAGUGAAAUUAGAAUAAUGUCAUCUGGUUAACAUAGAGCCUUAAUCAGUUAAGGUUAUUCAAGGUGCUACAUCAAAGGAAGGAAGAAAAACCUUAAUCAGUUAGCAUAAGGCAUAAUUGAUUAAGAAUAUACUAGGUGCAAACUAUAAGCUUUUUAAUCAAUUAACCAAAGAAGUUAAUUAGCUAAAGGUCAAGCUUGAAGUAUCAAGAAGCACCAAAUCCAAUUUAAAAUGUAGAUGAUUGUCCAAAGGUGCCAAACUAAGAAAUUCAAAGUUGAAGAAUUCUUAAUUCAUUGGAGCCUAUUUCAAUCAGUUAACGUUGAAGGGAGAUAAGCUUCAAUCAGUUAAAAAGAGCAUUAAUCAGUUCAAAGAAAGUUGGUGAAGAAUGCUGCUUGAAAAUAGAAAGUUUCUAAUAAGCUAAAGCAACCGUUAACGGGGUUAAUACAAAGAAGUGGACUGCAAGACAGAGAAGGCUUAAUCGGUUAAAGCCUAUCUUUGACUGACAAAUGAGCAUUGCUAGUAGAUUUGAAUUUAAAUAUUAAAAGACAAAAUAACAGAUAGUAACAGCUAGAAACUAACAAAAUAACAGAUAGUAACAGCUAGAAACUAUCUCUAAUGGCCAAAAUGUAUCUCUUAAGUAUUUGAAGGCUCUUCAAUGGUCAUAAAUGCAUAAGAGAAGAUACCAAAAGUUUGUGAAAGCUUGAAGAGCAAAAAGCCUUUUCUUCUACACUUGUAUUCCGUUCUUAUCCUUGUAAAAGUGUUUAAGCUUGAAUUUGUACUUCUUAGAUCAGCUAGGUGUUUAUUUGUACAUCAUUUUUCUCUUAUUUUCUUGUUUGAUUAGAGUGUGUGAGGGACUCUAAGGGUUGUUGUAAAGGUUUAAAGCUUGGGUUAUAAGCUCACUUUAAAAAAACUUGGUGGAAGUUGCUGAUUCCAUUAGUUUUAGUAAAGUUGGAUUAAAAAUCUUUGAUUAGGAAGAUCAAAGUAGUGGAUGUAGGUCAAGUGGAUCGAAUCACUAUAAAUAUUAUGUUUUUUCCACUUCUCUUAACCUCUCUGUGCUUAAUGUUCACUAACCUCAACAAGAUCUUAAAUCAUCAAUCUCAAAAUCUUCCAAACGGUUUUAACUUCCAAGAGUUACCUUCAAUAUUUUUAAAAGUGCUAUUCACUCCCCCUUUAACACUCUUUUGGGGACCAACAAAUGGUAUUAGAGCCAAACCCUUGAAUUUAAGGCUUAAUAUCUUUAGGGGAAGAUCCAAUGGCUAAACAAAAUUCUAAUGUGGCAGAAGGGCAAUCCAUAAAUAGGCCUCCUCUAUUUGAUGGAUCAAAUUACCCAUAUUGGAGCACUAAAAUAUCCAUCUUUAUUAAAGCCAUUGACUAUGAAAUGUGGGAUGUAAUCACAAAUGGUCCUUUGAUAUCCCCACCGACACAAACUUGAUCACGAGUGAAAAAAUGCUUAAAUCUAGAAAAGAGUGGACUGAAGCCGAAAUGAGAAAAGUCCAAGUCAACUUCAAAGCUAUCAACAUUCUUCAUUCUGCCUUAACCCCUAUAGAAUUCAAAAAAAUUUCUAAUUGUACCACGACUAAGGAAAUUUGGGAAAAACUUAGUGUUAGCUGUAUUCUUGUUGUGAAAUGACAAAAUUGAUUGACUUAAUGAGUUUUGAAAAUGAAUGAAAAAUAUUUGAAGGUUUUAUUUAAAUCGAUGCACUUUUGUUAGAAACAAUGCAAUUGAUAUAUCAAAAACCAAAUCCAAUGCUAUGUUGUCAUUCAAACUAUUUAAAAAUAUUUGGGAGUUUCCAACUUUCAACAUUCAACCCAAUCACAUUAUAGUUCUUAAACAUCCCUACUCUAUACUAUAUGUACACAUAUGUAUAAGUAUUUAUGUGUGUGUGUGUGUGUAUAUAUAUAUAUAUUCAGACAUGCAUCAAAAACAUUUAGCUCACUUUUAAGAAUAGUCAACAUGGUCCGGUACAUAUAGCCACCGACCUCGAACAAGUCAUGUGCACUCCCACACCACACACCACCAUUAUCGUCAUGUGCACUCCCAUACUGCACACACAAGGUUAUAGAUGUCAUUUGACCAUAUCUCAUAAUCCAUAGCAUACAUAACAAGAUGUACAUAAGAAUAUUUUCAUAUUACUAUGUUCCUCAUAGUUCAUUAUUUUAGGCCAUAUACACCGUUACACAAUCCAAUUUCUAAGGAACAUAAUAUCAACUAUCAUGCCACUAGUUACAACAUCUAAGAUUCUCAACAUAUCAGAUGCCAUAAUUUACAUAGCAAUUCAAUAUAAUAAUUGAUACAAAAUUUUAAUCACAUUACACAUUUUGCAACAUAUGGAUAUCAUUCAUUAAAGGCUUGUUCCCAUGUAUAAUUUUUAAAAUGCUCAAAUAAUUAAUUUCAAGUAUUUCAUUCAAACACAUGCAUUUUCUUUUUUCAAAACAUUUUUAUAUGCAAGUUCACUCACCUUUUUUAUGCCACUUUGCCAAACUAACACCACUAAGACCUAAAUCCAAGUUGAGUCUUGAAGUACCAAUAGAACCUAUAAUUACCAAUAAACAAUAAUAACCUCAAAUAUAUCAUAAAUUUGAACUUAGUAAUUCUAAUAAAUAUACACUAGAUAAACUACAUUUUGACUUAACAUUUAACCUAGAAUUCUAGUCUAAUUCACAAACCCGUUAAACUAACUAUUCAAAUUUAAGGUUUCUUACCUUAGUGAGCUUAGGGGUGUAAAAAUCAACAAAACCUAAUAUUUUCAAGAAAAAGAAAAAUUAAAAAAUAAAUUUUGAAAAUACAAACCCAUAAAUUUUAAAAUUUAAAAGUUGAAAAUUUAUACCUACUAGCUUUAAAAAUGAAGAUUUGAAGCUAAAAGCUUAGUGUUAAUAAGGUGGAGUAUAAAUGGAAAAUGAAGAAAAGAAAGAGAAAUUUCUUUCUCUCUCCUAAGGUUCUGUUGACAAGAACAAUGGGGUUGAGAGCUGCUAGUUUAGCGAACAAGAAAGAAGUAGAAGAAUGAAGAACCAAGAAAAGAAAUGAAAAGAAAAAGAAAAAAAAAUUGAUUUUCUUGUGAAAAGGAAGGUGGUCUUGGGUUAAAGAAGAAAACAAGGAAACCAUGUCUUUUUGGGGGAAUGAUGGUUGGCCACUAAGGAACAAAAGAAAGGAAAAAAAUGGUGAACAUAGUUGUUAUAUCGAGAUACGUAUCAUGUAUCGAAGUCUUAUUUUUUAGUAUCGAGUAUCGUAUCGUAUCGUAAGAAACGGUAAAAAAUUUUAAAAAUUAAUUAUAAAUAAUAUUUAUACAUAUAAAAUAAAAAAAUUAAAAAAAAUUAUAAUUUUUAACAUAAUAGAAGAUUAUAGGAUGCAAAUUGAAAAGAUGAAUUUUUUUUAAUUUAAAGUUUUAACAUAUUCCUUAAUAAUAUACAUUUUUAAAUAAAAUAUAUAUUUUUUUAUAUUAAUUUAUUAAUUAAAAAAUAAAAAACAUUUAUCAUGUUAAAAUUAAAAGGAAAUUCAAAUUUUUAGCAUUUUUAUUUAAAAUCUAAAUAUUGAAACUCAUAAAAUAUAAUUUUUUAUGUUUCAACUCCAACAAAUAAUAAAAAAAUAAAAUUUUUAAUAAUUAAUUAGAAUUAAGUUUAUAAAAAAUUGUAUCAACUGUAUCAUAUGAUACACCUCCAUAUCGUAGGGUACGUAUUGCAAAUCGUAUGAUAUGCUUUCGAUACUUGAUCAAAUGAGAUAUAACUAAGAUAGAUACGUAUCAUUUUUUACUAGUAUCGUGGCAUAUUGUACGAUAUGUAUCACAUAUCGCAUGAUAAUGAUAAUUAUAGUGCUGAAAGCAUUCAAAAGAAGCUUUGAUCAAGUCAACAAAGAAUAAAAGUGAAGGGUCAUAAUAAUCUCGUUUUGCACAUUACUUUAUUCAUUUUGUUUUAUUUUAUAUUUAUAUUUUUUUCUAUUAUGCUUCCUAAUUGAACUUAUUAAAUUUAAAAGGUAGAUUUCAAAGAAAAUAAUUAGAUUUGGUUGGGAAAAUGUUAUGUUAAAACUCAUAAAAGAAAAGGCAAUUUUACUCUUUUUGUCCAAACAACCUUUUUUUUAGUUUUCAAAUAACUUUAAAUAGUAACGGGGUGAAUUUCCAAAAACAUAAACUUUGAAUUUUUUUUUUGGUUUAAAAUGUUUGAUUUAUGCUCACUAAAGGAAAUGACGAAAUUACCCUCAAUCCACAUCAUUGUUCCUGCAUUGAGUUACGCGUCUAUAAAAGUCAGGGUUUCACAUUUGUUAGUUAAUUAAUUUUCUAGUUAAAACUUGCUUUUAGUUCUUAGUCUUGGUUUUGUUAAUUCUUCUAUUAACUAAUCACUUAGUUUCAAUUGUUGAGUAAGAUUGGAUUGUGUUAAUUUUAGUAUUUAGCAAAAAUUAGUAUGAUUCUUUGUGGGAUUCGACACUCUACUUACUGUUAUAUUACUUUUUACGAUACGUGCACUUGUAUGGUAAAAUCGGCAACAACAUCCACCCUAGCAUACAUAUAGUCAUCAUAUCAUCUGGUACAUGGCACUAUUUCAUAUACUAUUUAUGCUUGUACUAUACUUUUCAUGUGUUUACGACAUGCUUAUUUUUAAACACUAAAGUGGGAAAAUCAUAUAUCCACUAUAACAUUCAUUAUUUCAUACAUCAAACUCAUUCACUAGCAUAUCUUGUUGGAUCAUUUUGAAGCAAAAUAUUUGAAAGGGCUUGUCCCUCAUUGAUAAAAGCUACUGCAUAAUAGAGAUAUUUAUAUGAGUAUAUAGAUUCUAAAACUUCUUUGAAAUCUUUUAAACUUAAACAAUUUGAUUUAUUAUUGUAAAUAUAGCAUUCAAAUCAUGCAAGAUAAACAAUUCGAUAAAUCAUGGUUAGCUUUACAUACUAAAAUACUUUAAAAAAGUGUAUCAGCUCAUCUUGACAAGAAACGUAUUGUUCUAAGCCUCGAUUUGCCAAACGUUGCUCGAUCUACAAUCCUCAAGCUCUAAUGAGGCCUAAUAUAAUAAAGUCCAUUGUAAGUUUCCUAGUUUUCUCUUAAACAUAGUUAUUCGAAACAUAUCAAGUAACGAAUAUCCUUUUAUUUAAUUCUAAUAAGCUUAAAACUUCAAACUUAAGGCAUUUAUUGCUCACCUAUGAGAAUCCUUACUGUAGUAACUCCUUUAGAAGGUAAAACCCCUAAAAAUCCAUAGCUCAAAAGAGGGUAUGUUGUUGAAAUUUGAAAGAGAGAAAGUUAGCCUAAACCCAUGGGUUUUAAAGCUUAAAUAAGCGAAAUCUUACCUUAGAUUCACACUUGGAAGCUUAAUCCUAGCCAAAAAUGGAGUGGGGUUAGAGGGGAAGGGUUGGGAGAACGAGAGGAAAUGAAAGAAGGCUAAAAGAGAAUGAUAUGAACAAGUGAGGCUCAAAUCAGGUCUUUUAUUGUUUUCCCUGUUGGGCUUUAGGGAUCAACCUUUUAAUCCCAAGGGUCAACCCCUAGGUUUUAUUUUUUUUCCCUGUGAGGUUGCAGGGAUUGACCUUUUAAACCUUGGGGGUUGAGGCUUAAGUUCCUGAAUGCCUUAGUUCGUGUUUUGUGAUAUAGGGAUCGACCUUUCUUCCUACAAGAGUUGAUCCCCAAGUUCCAAAAGCCAAAAGCAAGCCUUGAACCUCUAGGGAUCAACCGUUCCUACCUUAACUCUCAAAAACAGAUCCUUUUGGUUUCCUUUCUCUUCCACUUUUCCAAUAUUAAUUCCUCAAUAAUCAACACAUUAUAUAAGGAGAAAAUUAAGAGCAUUGGGCUGUGAAAUUCAUCCAACCGCUCAUGUAUAAAAUGGCUCAUCAAAAUUCUUGGAAAACUAUCAAGUUGAGGUUUCACAGUUUAUGCUCCUUAAUUUAUCAUAUCAAAUUAUGGGAUUUAGUACUUCACUUGAUAUAGUACUUUUAAUUUAUAAAUAUAUUGAGCUUUCAAGCAUAUCAAACCAAUUGUAUAACUAGAAUCCUUUCAAAACCUCAAUCCUUUGUUUAUUACUUCUAUAUUGAGCAUAAUAAAGCAAUCACAUUUUUGUCUUUAAAAAAACCCCCAAAAUUUCAUUUUAAUAUUGAUUAACGACAUGUCAGUUUUUAUCAACCCACUUCAGUUUGAGAAUUCCAUAUCAGCCUAGUCAAUGCAAAACGAGCACUAGUUUAUGACAUAUUAACAGGAUCAACUUUACGUUAACCUUAUCAAUGUCACGUGAAUGCCACAUCAACAAUUUUAGGAAAGAAAACUUAACAGUAUUAACGAUUGAAGUGCAUUAAUAAAUUUUAAAAAUAUAAAGUCUCGAUUUAUAUGUAUAUAAUAAAAGAACUAAAUUCAACUUUUUGAUAAGAUACAGAAACUAAAUCCAGAAUUUGACCUUAAACUUUUAAAAACUAAAUGCUCUUCCGCAAGCUACAUACAUGCAAACAUCUUUAAUUUGCAGUACCUUCAAGAAAUCAGAUCCUGCAAUCUCUCCUGCACUCUUGAUGUCGCAAUGCCAAUUCUAGAAUUAAUAGCCUGAGAAAAGAUCGAUAGGCAAGAAGGGAGAAGUUAGAAACAAUAGAACGACUGACUUAAUUAUCUGAAAUAUAAAUCUUGUAUUCAUAGAGUUUAAUUUAUGAUAUGUAUUUCGCAAGUGGUGACCUUUACCCGCUCAAUCAAAUGCUCUGGGCAAAGUUACUCUUGUCAUGAUUAUUUGUUUCGUUUUGUCGUCGAUAUGAAGAUGUAUAAGGGAAGGGGAAAUUUGAACCUUAAACUUUAAUUAUUUUAAAGAAAGUAAUAACAGAUAGAUCAAGCCUAAGUUGUUAUUCAUUAUUUCUUUGGAGCUAGAUAAGUUUCUACUUUGAAGGUAUAGAGUGAAAGGAAAAAGUCGAGUAUGGUUUUAUUCUGACCAACUUGUUCAAAGUUUUGAACAAUCUUAAAAAACACCUGCACUACAAGAAUAAGUUGGUCAAAUUGAGUAGUGUUUUGACAUUAAUCAUUGCUAUGGCGUAUUGAAUCGGAAAAAUAAGAAUGCUUGAAAAAUAUACCCGGCAACAAAUUGAAUAGAUGGUCCUGUCUCCUGCAUUAUGGUUUGCAGCAACCGUUUUAACUUCUGCUCCUUCUUCCAUGAGAACUUUUAUAAUGUCGCUUAAUUUGAACUUCCCAUCCCACCCUGUAAUUAAAUUUACUUCCAGAGUAGAAUCCAAAUCUGAUAUAUUUAUAACUGGGGAUAUAGUUGGUCCGCUUGUCGUUUCAGUUGCUCCUUUGCACUCCUGUAGUUGCAACUUCAUUUGCUUGAGUUCUUCCACUCGUUUCCGCAGCUGGUUUAUGUACAGGGUGGCUUGCUCCAACACAUCGUGAGUCGACAUCUAGAAGAAUAUUAAUCCAAUCAAAUCAAAGUUAAAUCAGAUGUAAUACAAUCAGAGAGAGAUUUGGGAGACAACGGAUGCAGAAGAUGAAAAGCACCUUCCUUGGUUGAGGAGGAAGGAGAGAAGAGAGCUGCGAAUAGAGAUUUCUCAAACGCAUUCUUCGUUCUUUCUCAACUAAAGUUCAAUUGAUUUUUGAUGACGACGACCCACUGGCAGCUCCAGUAUCCAUGGCUUGUUAUUUCCUUCCAAAAUUUUCAAUUAUUAUCGAUGUGCUCAAGGAAAAAAAGGCGCAAGGCUGAAGGGUGAAGCACAUGAUACUGAGGACAUUUAAAUAGGCAAACUCAAACUUUCUCUUGCCAACCUUUAGGGUAACGAAAAGAAAGGACAAAACACUUCUGAUCAAUCAAACGACGAAAAACGUGAAGAGACUGAAAAGGAACAGUGGCUCAACAUCGUACAUCUCACCUUCUCUUUCCAGGUCAGACUCGUCAUUAAUUUCCAAAGUCUCCCCCUAAGCUGAGCCGCACAUUCAACAGCCUUUUUCUUCAAUGCCUACUUAGGAAUUAGGCCUAUUGUUUUGUAGGUUGAAUAUUCCGGAUUCCUUGUUCAGGUUUCCAUAAACAAUAAAAAGGGAAAAACGAAUUCUUCACCUAGAUUAGUUUCUUUUUCGGCCAUGCUUAACCCAGAUUAUAUUUUGCAAAAAAAAAAAAAAAAACCCUAAAUCAGAAAAAAUUAAGGUAAAAUUCAUACUAGAAAUUAAUUUUACAUGAAUUUAUUGCAAUAAAAAGAGCAAGUAGAAAAAUAGAGCAACAGGUGGCAAAGAACAAGAGAACAUCAGUGGAAGAGAAUUAAAUAGGGAGGUUGUUGACUCUCAGCAGCCUUUUUAGUAAGCGAAUUUGCAAGACCCUUAUGAGUUCCCACUCGCAACGUGAGUGAAGGACACAUGCCUCCUGUGCUCGUUCGACUGGAAUGAAAUUCUCUCAACAACUUACUUUAAUACUAGUACUAUCUUAUUAAUCUGUAAUUUCUAAUUUAUAGGCAACUCUCGUUACUAUGAGUAUUUCAAUUUUAAAACAGUUGAUUAAGCAUUAUUCAAAUAUAUAUUAAUAUAUAGGUAUACGAAUAUGAUUUUUUUUUCUCAGUCAAUAUAAUGACUUUUUAUUGAACUUGAAAGCAAGUCAUAUUUGCUGGGCAAGCCAGUACAUAGUCCAAAUGGACUUAUACAGAUCCCACUCCUUAGAAGAUUAAAAAGACUUUCAAUACAAAAUUCCAACAUACCAACAUCAACUGAGCAGUUGACACCUGAUCCAUAACAUAAUAAAUCAUCAGCUCUACCAAUCAAAAGGGCCAAGCUUAACAGAAAUCAGCACUGGCAGUAGCUCCCAUAAGCACACCUUCCAAACCGAAUAGUAAGGGCAAGAUGAAUAUUACAGCUAUAUCAAUACAUUUUCUACUACCAUGCAUGAAACAUAUCGCCACGGUCAACACGAAACCCUGUCAAAGAGUCAGCCAAUGUGUUGGCCUCUCUAAAUAUGUGGUCGAAAGAAAUAUUUCCAACCACCCUACAUAGGCUAUCCAACUCAUUAAAAGUUCAUCAUAGGCUCCAUGGGCGAAGUUUGGUGUCACUCACCCAUAAAAUAUAUAGCUACUUUCGAAUCAGAUUCAACAAUGAGCUUCUCAACUCCCAUCCACGGUGUAGCUGCAAAAAGUUUAACCGCAUAAAAGAUGGCCAUUACCUCAACAGAGUUGGAAUCAUGCACUCUCAAUGGACCAUAAAAAACACCUCUUACAUGAUCAUUAGAAUGUCUAAGCACCCAUGCACAUCCGGCUAGGUCGGGACGGUUUACCAUGAACCUAUCCAUUGACGUUGAAUUUAAACUCUAACGGAUCCAACGGAACCCAAGUGAUACCCAAUCUAGGCUCUCUAUGCACUACCUUCGGGUUAAGCUUCCAUGGCUCAGCCCACCAUCCAACACUCACCGCCCAUCACCCAUUCUCCUCAAUCUCCCUACCACCGUGACUGACCAUAAUCCACAACAUAGAGCUCAUUUUUAUGAGGAAGAUAAGUUCGUCCCCAUCCCAAUUUUUUCCCAUUGAAUAUAGUUUGGUUACAUGCCAACCAUAAUGACCAAAAAGUUGAGCCACACACUGCCAUCCACUGAGAUUUCAUUCCCCCAUCAACUCUAUGGCCAUCCCAAGACCGAAUGAUCCCCUCCACCGUAUGUGGCAUCACCCACACUAAAUCCCACCACCUUAAAACUAAGCACCACACCUGCCAACUAUAGUCACAUUAGCAUAAGAGAUGUCACAAGUUUCUCCCACUAGGCCACACUAACAAAACAUACAAGUAUCAUCUGUAAAGGGCACCCCACACAACCUAAGAAAACUCUUUGUGGAAUAGCUAAGCAUAGAAAACCUUGUACUUUGGGCGGAAUAGAUAACCUCCAAAUGUCUUUAAACCACACUUCUUGUUCACCUUGUGCAUGAAAAUUAUCAAGGGCUUGGGAAAUUGUUUCACUGAGAAAUUCUCUUUAUUGUCAUGUGUCCAUAUCAACCUAUCAUCAACAGCAUUUUGAGGAGCUCUUCAUACAGAGGAGUAUCCUGGUCAUACAGUGUCCUCCGAAGGGUUAAGUGCUAUCUACCGAUUGACCAAUACUCACAAACCCAGCCUUCCUUAUCUGCGGCUAAAGCAUAUAGUCUUGGGAAUGUUACAUUUAAUGGGUCCGCCAAAAGUGAUCUGUUAAGCCAGAAGAAAACCCCUUUACCACAACCAAUCACCAAUCUACAACUCCAAUUAGAUUAUCAAUCCCUUCUUUAUUUACAAGUUUGUCUAUUUGUCUCCACACUGUAGACGUCUUUGCCAUAUUAGCGAAAGGACCGAACUUACUUGACUUUAUCCUCACCAUAUAUAUCCACCAAUAACCGCCUCCACAACGCAUUGCCCUCUACUCCAUAUCUACAACACCAUUUCCCCACGCCAAGUUUGUAUAUGAUAAGUUGGCAAUACCCAACCCACCUUUGGCCUUUGGUUUACACACCACUUGCUAUUUAACUUUGGCCAUUUUUCUCCUUUCUGAGCAACCACCUCAUAAAAAAUUACUUUGUAACUAAUCAAGCUUAGUCAACACACCUUGUGGAGCUUGAAAAAUGAAGAGGUAAUAAACUGGGAAGGAAUUAAGUACUGAGUUGAUGACUGUUAUACGCCCCUUGAAAAAUAGAUACUUUCCUUACCAAAGUGCCAAACAAUUCUGAAAAUUGCCAAUAACUGGUUCCCAUGUACUCUUACUCCUCUAGUUUGCCCUUAGUGGAAUACCAAGAUAAAUAAAAAGGACAGAACCCAUAUUACAAUAUAGUGUAUUAGCCAUUGCUAAACACAAUUGAGACUCUUGUCUCAUCCGGUAAAGAAAUGAUUUCGUGAAAUUAAUGUGUAAUCCCGAGGCUAGUUGUAAGCAACGUAACUCCUCAAAUUCAAUGCUUCUUAUAAACCUUCCUUCACAAACAAAAUCGUAUCAUCAGUAAAUUACAAGUGGGAAAUCCUCAUACCAGAAUCUAUUAUUGGGAUGCCUUUAAACAAAUUAAUAAACUCUGCUUGCACAAUGAGAAGAUAUAUAAUGCCUCAACCACCAUCAAGAAAAGGAAAGGCAAUAUAAUUUCUCCUUGACGAAGUCCUCGCCUCAUAGGAAAUUCCUUUGUUACCGAUCCAUUAACUAGAACUCCCACCCGCACUAUAGAUAAACACUCAAACAUCAAACCCCUCCAUUUCACUCCAAAAUCUAUAUGUUCCAUUAUUCUUAUCAAGAAUCCCCAAUCCAUAGAAUCAUAGGCUUUCCCAAAAUGUAGUUUCAGUACAACUCUCCCAUUGCUACCAAUCCUCUUUCACAUAUUAUGAUAAUCUCAUUUGCUUAGAGGAUUCCAUCCAUUAUCUAGCACCUAUUAAUGAAUGCACAUUGGCUGUAACUAAUCACAUUCCCAAUCAUUUUUUGAUCCUAUUUGCUAGAAUCUUGGCAAUUAUCUUGUACAGUGAGUUCACCAAACUAAUAGGUCUAAAGUCUUUAGGAGAAAUGGGAUUAUCAAUAUGUGGAAUAAUAGCAAUAAACGAUGAGUUAAGACCCUUUUCCAAGCGCCCAUGGUCAUAAAUUCAGAAACAAACUCAAAUACCUCUCCACUUGUGAUAUUCUAGGGCCUCUUAAAGAAAGUGAAGUUAAAACUGUCUGAACUCGGAGCUUUAGACCCAUCACAAUCCCAUACCGUUUUCAACAGCUCAAUCAUAAUUAUCGACCUCUGCAAUUCUAAAACAUCCCUCUUAUCAAGGCAUUUAAAUUGUAGACACUGAAACAUCAGUUGGCUCAUUUGCUCGUUGUAGAACAUAUUUUGAAAACACUCCACCGUAGCCUCUCUAAUUGCCUUAGGCUCUAAUAUCCACCUUUAAUCCAUCAUCAAUCCACCAAAAAAAUUCCUUCUUAAUCUAUCUUUCACCUUAGAUUGGAAGAAUUUGGUAUUUCUAUCACCCUCCUUCAACCAACGCAAGCAAGAUUUUUGUUUCCAUAAUGACUCUCUGCGCCUCACUGCUUGCCAUAAAUUUUACACCACCACUUCCUUUUCAGCAACUUUUUCGUUUAUUAGGUCACGGUUGUCUCCAAUUUUAUCAAAAUAGUCAAGCUUGUCUUGGAAUUAUGCAUAGACAUUUCUGAAAAUGUCCCUAUUCCAUUGUUUUAUGCAGCCUUUAAGUCUAUUAAGUCUCACCUUUAUUCGGAAGCUUGGUCUCCCUUCCACCUUUGUAGAUUGCCAUUUUCUAUCAACAAUUUCCACAAAAUCUUUAGCAACUAGCCAACAAUCUAUAAAUUUAAAUGGUUGUGGUCCCUACUCAAUAUCUUUUGAAGCUAAAGGAAUAGGACAAUGGUUUGAUAAUUUGUAUUUCAAACCUUGUUACGGCAUAUUUUGAAAAAGUAACUGCCAAUCCACAAAUAGAAAGAGUCAAUUAAGCUUGCUUCUAUUUGAAUCUAGCCCAUACCAUGUGAUAACCUACCAUAUAGAGUUAUUUAAAUUUAAUUUUGAUAGUAAUUUAGCUUAGUUCUUAUAGUAAUACAUAUAAAUUAGUAGGUUUUAUCUAAUUAUUUUAAGUUAAUUAUUUAGGUGAGUCAAUCUAAUCUUACUUAAUUUUAGGCUUAAAUUGGUGUUAAUGUGCAUAAGAUACGUUGUUAUUGAUUUAGUGGUGCUUUUGUAGGUGUUUAUUGAAGGAAGACUUUUCAACGAAAGAAGGAAAGCAAUUUUGAGGUGUAGACUUUUCACUGCAUAUGUCUUGGUGUUUUGACCAUGACUUUCUCUAUAGAAAUUCAAAUGAGGUGAUUCUUAAAAUAUUGAAAAGCUAAGAGCUAAAGUUACAACUUUCAUGUUUAUCACUCUACCCCAUUCGACCUGGAAGGUGGUCAAAAAUCUUGUCAAAGGUGAAAUACUGUAGCAGUCCUAGCGUAAUCACGAUUUUUACUAAUUAAAUGGUUGAAGCUAUGGCCUUGGAGGAGGUAGGCCAUGGCUUAUGUAGUCUGAUGAGAAAAUUCUGAUUAAAUUGAUUUCUUUCUUCACCAAACUUGACCCAACUUCAAAGCCUUAUAAAAACAAUAUUUCGGAGAACCUUUAGAGAACGAAACACCAGAUUUAGAGUUGAGAAUUAGCCACAAAAUCAUUGAAAAAAGUAUCAUUGAAGCUGAGGAGAAAUCAAAGAGAUACAAGAAGAUUUGGAGAUAAAGAUUACAUUUAUUUGGUUCUUUUAUCUUUUUAUUGUUCUUUUAUUUUCUUGUUUUUGGUUUUGAUGAUUAAACUUUAUUUGAUAAUGAUGUGUGACUUGAUGGGGAACUAAAUUAUUUAUCUAAAAUUAUGAUUAAACUCAAUACAUAGUCUGAUUUAUUUACCUCUCUUUUACUUAUAUUUGAUGGUUUUAAGUUAUUUAUUUUAUUAUGUUCUUAAUACUUCUAAUUGCUUGAUCACUAAUUAGAUUGAUUUAGAAAUCUAAAUUAAAUCUUGAUAAAGGAGAUUUAGGUAGACCUAGAAUAGAAUAACGUAUGAUCAAAUGCACUUAGUUGAUUAAGUGGUUUAAUUUUCAUAUAGGGUAGACAUACACCUAUAAGUGAUAAUUCUAUUUUAUAGAAUUAUUUUAUUCUAAUUUUGUUAUUAAAUGUUAGCUAAGUCCUCAAUUUUCAAUUAUAAUUUACUUAUUUUUUAUUCUUUUAAUAAUUAGGUUACUUUUAAGUUAGUUAUUUUAAUUUUAUGAUAUUUCUUAUAAUUUGUUUAUUAUUUAUUAGUUUUUAUAUUUUUUGUAGAAUUAAAAGUGAUUGGGCUUAAUUUUGAAAAGUAAAGUGUUGAAAGACCUAGAAUUUACUUGCAUAUGCUUCAGUAUUUUGAUCAUAUCUCGAGCUACAGAAUUCCAAAUGAUGCGAUUCUUAGACCAUUGAAAAGCUAAGAGACAGAGAUACAACUUUCAUAAAGAUUACUUUGCUCAGUUCUGCAUCGAAGAUAGAGAAAAUUGUGUCGGAAAAUAGCUAGAUAUAUUGUGUCGGGAAUGGAAAUUUGUAAAGAUUGAUAAUUGAUUUUUGGGCCUCUCAUUACACUUUUAAGUCCAAUUAAACCCUAGGUCAGUAUAAAGAACUUUGGUUAAGCUUAUUAGUAUAAAUAGGAUAUGUUAACAACAAUAGAAAAAAAAAAAACCUUUGGAGAUUCAAGAAGCUAGAAGUUGAGGUUGAAACUUGGAGAUCAAGGCGGCAAAUAUUGUUUUGUUUUCUUCCUUGGCUUUUACUGUUCUUGUUCCUUUCAAUGGUUGAAUUUAUUAUAAUGUUAUUUGUUUUUGCAAUUAUGAGUAGUUAAUUUAUUUUUUCUAGGAUUGCAAUUGAACUCACAUGUAAUCUAAGUUUUUAAUCUCUUUCUUACUUAUUUUUAAUGGGAUUUGAAUUGUUUAUUCCAAUUUGUUCUUAAUGCUUUUAAUUGCUUGGCCACCAAUUAAAUUGAUCUAGGAACCUAAACAAACUUGGGAAAGGGAGUUUAGAGUAGACUAAAAUUGGGAUAGCAUAUGAUCAUUUGCGUAUACGAUAGGGAUAUACCUAUAGGCCAUAUGUAGCUAGAUUAGAGCCUAAACUUAAUGAAUCUGUUUUAAUUUCAAUUCACAUAGGGAUAUAGUGUUUUUGUUAAAAUAUAUAUGUUUAUAAGAUGAGUCGGGAAAUCCUUAUAAAUAAUUUAGGACUCUAGGUUAACAAUUCAACCCAUUGAAAUAAGUUAAAGAAGAGAGGUAAGAUUUAGAUGAAGUGUGAAGGAUAUUAUAAUCCUAGGCUUGUUUGAUUUGAUAUUUUCUUAAGUUAUUAUUAUUUUGAUUUUCUUGUUGGUUUAAAUUUUAGUUAAUUAGUUUAGUUGAUCAAUUAAUUUUGAGUGUUUGAAUAAGAUUAAAUUGUCCUAAUUUUAGUAUUUAGUAAAAUUUUGGAUCAAUUUCCUAUGAGAUCGAUACUUUGCUUCCUUAUAUACUAUCUAUUCGAUACGUAUACUUGCACAGUAGAAUUUUAACUUACAAGUUUUUAGCAUCGUUGACGGGGAAUUGUUUCUAAAAUUUUUACUAAUACUAAUACCAAGCAAAUUUAGUCUUAAUUCAAUUUUUUUAUUUUAUUUUCAGGUACUUUUGAUUGAGGAGAUGAAUUAUUGUAACAAUCAGUGGACAUCUGAACAAUUUAUGCCUUGGAGGGUUGCUAGUGAUUAUGAAUUGGCUAUUAAUGUUCUGGCAACCGAAGUAGAUGCUUUGUCUCAAAAAAUUGAUGCUUGAGGUGUUAAUGGUGUUCAAAGUCCUUUUGUGGUAUGCGGGCUUUGUGGAGAUAGACAUUCAAGUGAUUGUUGUCCAACCUAUUAUGAAUCAAUGCAAUUUGAUGGAAGCUUCAAUGGGCAAUAAAACUGUUAGCUUUAAAAUUAUUAUAUUUUUUAUUAUGACAAAAUGAUCAAAUUUGCUUGAACAUUAUUUGAGUAAUCUUUGACAAUUUCUUGAAAUGAUUUAAUUCCCAUACAUUUGUUCUUACAUAGACACAAGCUUGACUCUAGAAGUUAUUGAACUAUAACUAUAAGCUUGUAUGACUUAGGUGUAUGAGUGCUUGUGAUUCUCAUUCAUUAAAGUUUGAUUUAAAGAUUAAGGAAAAUCUUGAUGCACUCAUUAAGGGGGAGUUUUGAAUAUCUGGUUUAAUGACAAAAAGAAAGAGAAGGAAAACUAAGUUAAAUAGAUUUUAAUAGGUAUUCAUGUUUAAUUUUUGUGUGUAAUGUUUAGUUUUGGUUUUGUUGAAUAUUAUGUAAAGAAAACUAGAUGUAUUGACUAAGGGGGAAUAACUCAUUAUGCAUAAAGAUUUGAAGCAUUUAUAUUGAACAUAGACAUCGCACUAUUAAUCUAGAAGUGUUUUGUCAUCAUCAAAAAUAAGAGAUAGAGAAUGUUGACUCUAUAUAUUUUUGAUGAUAGCAAAAUAUUCCUAUUCAUUUGUGUCUAAUAUCUUUACUUGAGUGUGCAGGAAAAUUAAUAUAAGAAAUUAAUUAUUUAACUCUUCAAAGAGUAUAUCAAAAGAAAAAGAGGGACAAAAAUAACAAGAUGUAACUGUAUAACAAAGAGGAAGCUUAUUGGUGAAACAAGGAAGAAUGUUGGUUGACCAAGUUUCAAAUUGAAAGAAUGACAGGCUGAAGAGUUUGAGAAACAGAACCAACUUAGUCGACCAAGUCAGUCGACUAAGUGCUCUAUGCCAGAAUCUGCAACCUAAAACAGAACCAACUUAGUCGACCAAGUCAGUCGACUAAGAGCUCUUUGUCUGCAAAUUGAACUAGAGCACUACAAGAUAGAUUAAUGGCUAGAACUCAUCCUCAACUGUUUCCAAUGGAUAUAAAACUGUCAAACUGCCAUCAGAGUUGCAUCUCCAAGUAUAAAAGGGUCUUCCAAUAAUUAGAAACUAGUUUUUAGAAGCCUUGAAUGAGAUUUGAGCUAUAGAGAGUUGAAAAAGCAAAAAAUCUUCACUGCACUUGUCUGCACUUAAACGCCUACUCUUUACAUUUGUAUUUGCACUCAAUCUUGUACCAACAAGAUCAACCAGUGAUCAUAGGUACUUUCUUUUUACUACUCUUAUUGUAUUCUUAGAGUGAGGAAGUCACUUUAAGGGGUUGUUCAAGCUUGGGAUAGCUUGAUUGUUGUAGGUUGUGGUUGAGCCUUGGAAAAACCACUUUGGGUUUUAGUUUAGCCCAUGAAAAACUAGUGUAAAAGGUUUUGACUGAGCCUUGAAAAACCAUUGUAAAGUUUGGCGAAACCUUGUGAAUUUCACUAGUUUUUAGUGAAUUUGUUGGGAAAAUCCUUGGUUGGAUAAUCAAGGUAGUGGAUGUAGGUCUUGGACCGAAUCGCUCUAAAUUGCUGUGUAUCUUGUACUCUAUUUUUAUUUUCUUAAGUUCUGAAAAUUAGUUUCUAAUAUUGUUAAGAGCCAAAUUAUGCUAUUCACCCCCCUCUAGCAUAAAUUAUCGGGACCAACAAAAAUAAUUUGUACUCCAACAGUUACAACUCAUGGUGGAAUCACUCAAAUUUUUCAUGGAGUAAUGAUCAGGGUUCUUCAUAUUCAUCGCAACUUGUUUUUCAGCAUGAUUUCCAGUCACAAGUUAAAGCCCCUAUUCUUGAGAAGAAGCUAACUUUGGAGGAUAUGUUAAUGCAAUUCAUGACUUUGAAUGAUGGCAUCAUUCAAAGUCAAGUAGAAUCAAUCCGAAAUCUUGAGACUCAAGUGAGCCAACUUAUCAAUUAUAUCAACAAUAGGCCUCAAGAAAUUUUACCAAAAGAUAUUGAGCCUAAUCCUAAAAGCAAAGAAUAUGGUAAGCAUCUUAAUGAGGUAAAUGGCAAGACUGUGGUAGAUGAUGGAGAUAAAGUAGAUCAAAGUAAUACUUCCAAUGAUCAAGUUCAAGAUGAAAAAAAUUAAGCAAGAGGAGGAAGUUUCUACACCACCACAAGUCAACCAUAUGUGCCUCUCAGUCUUUUUCUAGAUACAGUUGAUGAGUUACGUAAGGAGGCUGUUGAUAUGGAAAAUCCAAAGCAACUCCUUAAAGCUUGAUUGGUUCAAGAUGCAACAACCAAGGACCAGAAUGAGGAACUCAUAAAUGUUACACAUGUUGUGAAAGCUAUACCAAAAGUGCAUUAUGCAAGAAGAACUCAAUUUGAGAAGUUGGGUAAAAGUCAACUUAUUCCACCAUCUUCAGUUGAGCAAGCACCAAAUCUUAAGUUAAAGCCACUACAACCUCAUCUUAGGAGAAGACUACUUUCACACCUCAAACUUUUUCCAUGCAAACUCAAACCUCCUUAAAGGGUGAAUGAAGACCUCAACCAAAGUCAAGCUAGUGACUAUAAAGAAGCGCUUCUUGGGAGCCAACCCAAGCUAUAUCCUUUUAGAUUUAGUUGUUAUUUUAGUUAUUUUUUGUUUUUCUAUGUAAAUAAGUAGUUACAACCUCUCUCUAGCUUAUUUUGUUGUGUAUGCAGAUUUGGAAAGCAUGAAGAUAAGGAGAAAAAAAAUUAGAGCUUUCAAAGCACUGCCACCAUUGAUAAGGGAGUUUAAUUUCCUUAUAUAUAUUUUUUAGCUUUUCACAUUGAGGACAAUGUGCAAUUUAAGUUUGGGGGAAGGUUUUAUUGUUAUUAGUUUUUGUGAUGUUUUUAGGUUAGUUUAUUUUCAUAAUUUUUUUUUUUGUUUUUAGGAUUUAUUUUAGGAAUGCUUGAAAUGGAAAUUGCCUAUGCGAUGACAUUACCAAUCUUAGGAUGAUAUUUUAAUUAUCUUUUGAUUCUUAGCUUUUGGGAGGCAAAUAGUUAUGAUUUAAUUUUAUGUGAUAUUCUUAUGUUAACUGUAUUUUAGAAUGUGACUUCCAAUAAUUUGAGCACUAUACUCUUUUACUUAGAAUUUUUGUGUGAUUUAGAGAAAUUUUAUGUUAAUGAAAAGGUAUAGUGAAGUCAAGAAUUCUAGAAUUUGUUUGAUUCUCUUUGAAGGCGAAAUCUUAGAUAACACUUAGGAUAGAAAGUGAUCUAGGACAUCUUUGGAUUGUUUGAGCCUUUUUGAGCCUACUUUGUUAUAUUUAUCCUUAAUCACCCUUUUUGAGCCUAAUUUACCUUUUCUUUGUAAUUACACAAUUAUGUUAGCCUUAGCCUUUCUAUUUAAAUCCAGCAAUUUGAACCUUUCACCCUCUAAGUAUUUUAAUCUUUUUAAGGAAUGGUUUGAGCUUAAAGAUAAAUUGAGAGAGAAAAGUGAAAGAAAACAAAACAAGAAAAAAAAAGUGAUGGUUAUUAGCAAAAUUACCCCUUGUUUAUAAUUGUCAAAAAUAAGUUUGGGGGUUGAAAAAAAAAAGAAAAGAAAAGAUAUAAAGUGUGUUGUACAAAGGAAAGUUUACUUCAAGUUUAGGGGUGCUAUAAAAAAAAAUUUUGAGCUCUUUAUAUGAUCUAGAUUGAUUAAGUGCUUAGGGUGAAUUUGAGCCUAAAUAUAUCCUUUAUCAUACCUUGACCCUAGCCUUACAUUAAAAGCUUGAUAAAAACCUAUUGAUCCUUGAAUAAGUGUUAAUCUACAUUAAUGGAGAGAGAGAUGAAAAGCAAACUUAUGGGAUCUUAGUACUAAUCUAUGCUUAGAUUUGGCAUAAAUUAAUCUAAAUUGCAUGAUAUUUUUUGUAAGAGAAUAUUCACACACACACACGGGAAGUCCAUUCGAAAAAUAAGUUUUCACUUAAAUUGAUGCAUGAAUUUAAGGAUUAGCUGUAUAUUACCUUAAGUUGGAAUUGGAGUUAAUUUCUAAGGAAAAAUUGAGAAAUUAUGAUUUGGUAUUUCUAUCUCUCAUUUAAGGAUUUUUUUAGGAUUCAGUUUUCUUUUGGUGAUUUUCUUUUACUCGAGGACUAGCAAAAUCUUAAGUUUGGGGGUGUGAUAAUUCUAUUUUAUAGAAUUAUUUUAUUCUAAUUUUGUUAUUAAAUGUUAGCUAAGUUCUCAAUUUUCAAUUAUAAUUUACUUAUUUUUAGUUAUUUUUAUAAUUAGGUUACUUUUAAGUUAGUUAUUUUAAUUUUAUGUUAUUGCUUUUAAUUUGUUUAUUAUUUAUUAGUUUUUAUAUUUUUUGUAGAAUUAAAAGUAAUUGGGCUUAAUUUUAGAAAGUAAGGUGUUGAAAGACCUAAAAUCUGCUUGUAUAUGCUUCAGUAUUUUGGCCAUAUCUCGACCUACAAAACUCCAAAUGAUGCGAUACUUAGACCAUUGGAAAGCUAAGAGAUAGAGAUAAAACUGUCAUGCAGAUCACUUUGCCCAGUUCUGCUUUGAAGAUAGAGAAAUUAUGUCGGAAAAAAGCUAGAUGUAUUGUGUCUGGAAUGGAAAUUUGUAAAGAUUGAUAAUUGAUUUUUGGGCCUCUCAUUACACUUUUAAGCCCAAUUAAACCCUAGGUCAGCUUAAAGAACUUUAGGUUAAGCUUAUUAGUAUAAAUAGAAUAUGUUAACAAUAUUAGAAAAAAAAAACCUUUGGAGAUUCAAGAAGCUGGAAGUUGAGGUUGAAACUUGGAGAUCAAGGCGGCAAAUAUUGUUUUGUUUUCUUCCUUGACUUUUAUUGUUCUUGUUCCUUUCAAUGGUUGAAUUUAUUAUAAUGUUAUUUGUUUUUGCAAUUAUGAGUAGUUAAUUUUCUUUUUCUAGGAUUGCAAUUGAACUCACAUGUAAUCUAAGUUUUUAAUCUCUUUCUUACUUAUUUUUAAUAGGAUUUGAAUUGUUUAUUCCAAUUUGUUCUUGAUGCUUUUAAUUGCUUGGCCACCAAUUAAAUUGAUCUAGGAACCUAAACAAACUUGGGAAAGGGAGUUUAGAGUAGACUAAAAUUAGGAUAAUAUAUGAUCAUAUUAAUUGAUUUGCAUAUAGGAUAGGGAUAUAUCUAUAGGUCAUAUGUAGCUAGAUUAGAGCCUGAACUUAAUGAGUCUAUUUUAAUUUCAAUUCACACAGGGAUAUAGUGUUUUGGUUAAAAUAUAUAUGUUUAUAAGAUGAGUCGGGAAACCCUUAUAAAUAAUUUAGGACUCUAGGUUAGCAAUUCAACCCGUUGAAAUAAGUUAAGGAAGAGAGGUAAGAUUUAGAUGAAGUGUGAAGGAUAUUGUAAUCCUAGGCUUGUUUGAUUUGAUAUUUUCUUAAGUUAUUAUUAUUUUGAUUUUCUUGUUGGUUUAAAUUUUAGUUAAUUAGUUUAGUUGAUCAAUUAAUUUUGAGUGUUUGGAUAAGAUUAAAUUGUUCUAAUUUUAGUAUUUAGUAAAAUUUUAUAUCAAUUCCCUUUGGGAUCGAUACUCUGCUUGCUUAUAUACUAUCUAUUCGAUACGUAUACUUACGUAGUAGAAUUUUAACUGACAAUAAGCCAUACAUAGCCAAGAUUAGAGCACGAACUUAAUAAAUCUUUCUUCAAUUUAAUUUGCAUAGACAUAUAGUAAAUUAGUUGGGAGAGAUAUUUUCAUAAAAAACUUGACAAAGACUUGUAAAUAAUUUAGAACUCUAGGUUAGCAACUUAAUCCAUUAAACUAAGUUAAGAGAAUGAGAGAAUAUUUAGAUGAAGCAUUUAGGGACAUCAUAAUCUUAGGUCUAAAGUCAAUCAAGUCUAAUAAAAUAACUUUGCUGAGUAAAUUUAGAUUAGUUGUAGUUUUAAGUUUGAUUUAAUUUUACUUUUUUAAUUCAAUUCUUAUUGUUUAGAUAAAAUUAGAGUGUGUAAUUUUAGUAAUUAAUAGUAAAAAUUAAUUCAAUUCCCUAUGGGAUCGACACUCUACUCAUCAUUAUAUUGUUUUUGUGAUACAUAUACUUGUGUGGAUAGAAAAUUGAACAACUAGUUUUUGACGCUGUUGCUAGAGAAUUGAUUUUUGUUCUUUCUUGUUAAUAAUAAUACCAAGUAUUCUUAAUCUUAAUUUAGACCUUUCUUUUCUUUAAUUUUUCAAGUGCGUUAGGUCGUUGUAUGAGAAGAGUCCAAAAUUUGAAAAUUUUUCCUUUUGAUACAAAAAUCGAAAAGACUUUUCAAAGAUUUCAAAGGAAAAAUGAACAAGUUUCUGCUCUGAGUAAAACAAUGGUUGAUCAAUAAAGGGAAAAGACCAAGUCUUUGAGAGAAUAUGCUGUCCCACUAGUACAAGGUCCCUACUCUAGUAUCCAAAGACCUCUUAUUCAAGCCAACAACUUUGAAAUUAAGCCAGCAAUCAUUCAGAUGAUUUAGACUUUUGUUCAUAUUGGGGGUUUGCUGAAUGAUGUUCCUAAUGCUUAUAUUGUGAAUUUCUUGAAAAUUUUUUACACAGUCAAGGCUAAUGGUGUUACUAAUGAUGCCAUAAGAUUGCGUUUUUUUCCCUUUUUCACUGAGAGAUAAAGCAAAGAGUUGGUUAAAUUUGCUUCCUAUUGGUUCUAUUAAUAUUUGGGAUGGUUUGGAUAAAAAAUUUUUAACAAAAUUCUUUCCACCUAUUAAGAUAGCAAAGAUGCAGAAUGACAUCACUUCUUUCAUGCAAUUUGAUUCUGAAUCACUAUAUGAGCUUGGGAGAGGUACAAGGAUUUGUUAAAGUGAUGUCCUCAACAUGGAUUACCUAAGUGGUUGCAAGUUCAUACUUUUUAUAAUGGUUUACUGGGACAUAUUAGAACCAUCAUUGAUGCUAUAGUUGGAGGUGCACUUAUGAGUAAAAUCCAUUGAUGAGGCUAAUAACUCUAUAAUAUAGAGUUAUUUGGGCUUAAUUUUGAUAAUAAUUUAGCAUAGUUCUUGUAGUAAUGCAUAGAAAUUACUAAGUUUUAUUUAAUUAUUUUAAAAUAGUUAUUUUAGGUGAGUCAAUCUAAUCUCAGUUAAUUUUAUACUUAAUUUGGUGUUAAUAUGGUUAAGAUAGGUUGUUUUUGAUUUAUUUGUGCUUUCGUAGGUGUUUGAUGAAAGAAGAAUUUUAAUGGAAAAGGAGAGCAAUUUCAAGAUGUAGACUUCUAAUGCACAUAUUUCGAAAUUUUAGCCAUAACUUUCCCUAAGAGCUCCAAAUGAAGUGAUUCUUGAACUAAUGGAAAGAUAAGAGAAAAAGAUACAACUUUCAUGUUUACUACUUUAUUUAGUUUGGCCUAGAAGGUGGUCAAAAAUCUUGUCGAAGUUGAUGCAUUGCAGCAGUCCUAAAGCAAUUACAAUUUCUAUUAAUUAAUUAGGCAAAGCUACGACUCACAUAGUUUGGUGAGGAAAUUCCAGCUGAAAUUGAUUUCUUUUUCCAUUCAACUUGGCCUAACUUUAAAGCCUAUAAAAACAAACUUUCAGAGAAAAAGAAAAAAGAAUGAAAAAACACCAGAUUAACAGCGGAGAGUCAAGCCGCAAGAGUCAUUGAAGCUAAGAAAAAUUUGAAGGAUUCACGGAGAUUUGGAGAUCAAGAAUACAACUCUUGAGUUUUUCUAUCUUUUCUUUUAUUCUCUUAUUUUCUUGAUUUUGUUCUUAAUGUUUAAACUUUAUUCAAUGAUGAUGUGUGACUUGAUGGGGAACUAAAUUGUUAAUAUAAGAUUAUGAUUGAACUUAAUAUGUAGUCUAAAUUAUUUAUCUCUUUUUCACUUAUGUUUGAUAGAUUUAAGUUGUUUAUUUUAUUCUGUUCUUAAUGCUUCUGGUUGACUAGCCAUCAAUUAGAUUGAAUUGGAAACCUAGGUUAAACCUUGAUGAAGGAGAUUUAGGUAGACUUUAAAUAGAAUAGCGUAUGAUCGAAUACACUUAGUUGACUAGGUGGUUUGAUUUGCAUAUAAUGUAGACAUACACCUAUAAGUCAUACGUAGCCAAGAUUAGAGCACAAACUUAAUGAGUUUUUCUUCAAUUUAAUUUGCAUAGACAUAUAGUAAGGAUUUUAAUCUGAUGCGAAAGACACUAAAAAAGAUGUAGAAAAAGAAAUUAUGGUUGAACAAUCUACUUAAAAUUCAAAAGAAGAAAAAUCAUAAUUAAAAUCUGCUCUUACAGCUCCCCCACCUUUUCCUUGAAGAUUUCAGAAAGAAAAACUUAACAAACAAUUCUAGAGACUUAUUGAUGUGUUUAAGAAGUUACAUAUUAAUAUUCCUUUUGUUGAAGCUCCGAAACAAAUGUCAAGAUAUGUUAAGUUCUUAGAAGACAUCUUGGUUAAAAGAAAUUUGGUGAGUUUGAAAUUGUUGCACUUACUGAAAAGUGCAGUGCUUUUAUUUAGAAUAAACUUCCGCUAGAGCUUAAAGAUCCAAGUAGUUUGACUAUUCCUUGCACUAUUGGUGCUUUUUGUUUUGCUAAAGCUUUAUGUGAUUUUUGUGCAAGUACAAAUUUGAUGCCAUUGUUCAUUUAUAAAAAAUUGGGUUUAUAAGAGAUAAAUCCAUCACUUAUCCUUAUGGUAUUGUGGAAGAUGUUUUGGUAAAAGUUGGAAAGUUUAUUUUUCAGUAGAUUUUAUUAUUCUUGAUAUGGAAAAAGAUCAUGAAAUACUGAUCAUUCUUGGGAGACCAUUCUUGAGAAUUGCUCGAGCUAUAAUUGAUGUGGAAAAAGGUGAGCUUACCUUAAGAAUUGAAGAUCAAAUGGUAACAUUUAACAUUUUUAGAGCUUUAAAAUUUUCUAAUGAACAUGAUGAGUGUUUCUUAGUUAAUGUGGUGUAUAGCAUUACUAAUAAUGUGUUGAUUUAGAAUCAUUAUGAUGGUCCACUGGAAGCAUAUUUUAUUUCUUCAUGUGAUAUUAUUGAUGACAAAAUUCUUGACUAUACUAAUUAUUUGGAUGAUUUUUCUGGUUAUAAUCAAAUUGCCAUUGCUUUUGAAGACUAAAAGAAAACCACCUUUACUUGUCCCUACAAAACUUUUGCUUUUUGUAGGAUGCCUUUUGGACUUUGCAAUGCUGUAACUACUUUUUAGAGAUGUAUGAUGGCAAUUUUUUCUGCUAUGGUUGAAAAGUUUUUGGAAGUAUUUAUGGAUGAUUUAUUAGUUUUUGAGGAUAACUUUGAUGAUUGUCUAUUUAACCUUGCUAGAGUACUAAAGAGAUGUGAAUAAACUAAUUUGGUUUUAAAUUGAGAAAAAUGUCACUUUAUGGUGCAAGAAGGCAUAGUCUUAGGCCAUUAAAUCUCUAGUACAGGUUUAAAAGAAAGCAAUAAUUGAAAUAAUUGAAAAACUGUCACCUCCCGCCUUUGUUAAAGGCAUUCAUAGUUUUUUAGGACAUGUUAAAUUUGAUAGGAGAUUCAUUGGAGAUUUUUUCAAAAUUUAUAAACCACUUUGUAAUUUGUUGGAAAAGGAUACUUAUUUUUAAUUUUGAUAAUGUUUGCAACGAUGCUUUUGUUGAAUUAUAAAAGAAAUUAAUUUUUGCUCCUAUUAUCACUAUUCCAGAUUGGAAUCUUCCUUUUGAACUUAUGUGUGAUGCUAGUGACUAUGUAGUUAGCGCAGUUUUGGGCCAACGAAAAGUAAAGAUUUUGCAUCCUAUUUAUCAUGCCAGUAGAACAUUGAAUGAAGCUCAAGCAAAUUACACCAUAACUAAAAAGGAGUUGCUUGUUAUUGUUUUUUCUUUUGAUAAAUUUCACUUUUACCUUGUUAGUACUAAAGUCAUUAUUUACACCAAACUUAUUCUCUUUGUCAAAAGGGUACUUUACACUUGUUUUGAAACAAAGACUUUGAAUUUUCAAAAGGUUUUAGUCAUAAGUUUGAUUCUCUAGAAGUGAUAUCUACUUGCAUGAGAAUUGAUCUUUAAAGAAACAAAAUGCUUUUCAUUAUUUUUUAAAUACCUAGAAUCGAUCUCUCAUCAUACGAGAAUUGAUGUUUCAAAAAUACAGAAAACCCUUAAAAUUUUUUCAAAGUCUAGGAAUCGAUCUUUUUUCUAUCACAAAUCAAUUCUAAGAAUUCUAGAAUGCCUUUUAGAUUUUUACAAGUCAAAGAAUCGAUGUCUUAUUCUCUAGAAGUUGAUUCUUAAGGAAUCAUUGGAACUUUAAAAAUGGGUUAAGGCAUAGGAAUCGACCUUAGAAACACUAGAGUUGAUUCCAAAUUAUUUUAAAAGCAAAUAUGCUUGAAUUGCAAACUUUGAAACAUGAUUAUUUUUUCCAAAAAUCCUACUUAUUACCUUUAAAAAUCACGAUUCUUCUAAAUCCUUUCUCCAAACACUUUGGUUCUUCAACAAGCAACCUUUGGGCAUAAAAAAGGUUGAAUCUUUUCAAUAAAAUCUUUUAGAUUAUGACAAUAAGUAAGAAUUUUUCACUAUCAUUUUCAAAACCUAAAACCCCAUUUUCUUGAGAACGGAUGAGUCGCUUCAAAGUACAAAGCAUUGAUUCUCAAACCUUAAGCUCUCAAUUCUCAAACUCCAAAUAACCUUUAAAGUUAAUUCUUGAUACACAAACCUUAGUCGAUGGCUCUCAAAAGAUGAAAAAAGGACAAAGGGAAAGCUCUAACAACCUCUUCAAAGGCUCGCAAAACUCAAACCCCUAAUCCAUUCAAAAUCAACUUCUUGACCGAGGCCGAUAAGUAGGUAUAUAAUCAUAUUUAUGCUAACAGAAUAGUAACUCAUGGUAAGGUUAUCGAUUUAGACUAGUUUUGGAAUGAUUUCAAAUACCAAUACAUUGAGAAUUUGAUAAGGUUAAAAUGGUAUGACUAUUUGGAGUAUGAGGAGACCCUUUUAUUAAAAAUUGGUGAAAGUUUUCUACUCAAAUGCAACCACAGUUUUAUGAAGUUGAUGAUGAUGAAGGCAUAGUAUAUCAUAAUGAGUUCUUCCUCACCUCUGUUUCUAUAAAAGAGUUGAUUAUUGCACUUACAUUGCCUAGAAAGAAUUGAAGUUAAAGCCCACUGACCAAAGUGCAAUCACUCACAUGACUAAAGAAAAUGCAAUUUCUGAAGAGGAACUGCAUGCUGAUUCAUGGUUGAUCUUGGUACAACACUUAAAUUCCCAAAUAAUGCUUCUAGGCUCAAUGUGCAUGAUAGAAUCCUGCACUUGAUAGUGACACACACAUAGUCCAUUUGGGUAUAGGCACUUCUUAGUAAUAGUUGAGGAUAUGUGGUUUAUGCACCACAUCAAGAAAGGUACUCUAAUUAAUCUAGCUCAUUUCAUAUACAAAGAUGAAGCAAGAAACAACUUAGUUUAUGGAAUGGUCUUUUUGAGAUGUUAGAAAAACGAAAAAUUGACACAUCAUUAGACAAGGCUGUGAUGUAAAAAAGGUCAAAUAUUUGAACAAAGCAUCAAUUAGCAGAAUGCAAAUUGAAUAUGAUGUUGUUAGUAAUGAAUGGAUAAAGAAGAAUGCCUACCAAAGAGCUCUAGCUUAAGAAGAAGCAACACUAGAGCAAAUGUCUAAUGCUCUAACCUCAUAAGCUACAACUCAACCUCCCUCUACAUCCAAUGUGUCUCCAUCACAUCAGUUGUUUCUUCGGCAACAUAUGCUUCAUGUCCAUUAAUGGCACAAGGACCCUUUGCACUGCCAAGCAUAGUGUAGUAUGAUGGACAAAAUUCAUAUCAAGACUUGUGUGCUCAAAUGGACAAUCAAGAGAGGUUGUCUCUAGAAAAGUUGGCUGCAGUUAACAAAAAGAUUGAGGAAGUGAUAAUUCUAUGAUAUAAAGUUAUUUUAAUACAUUUUGGGGAUUUAAAUACUAUUUUUUCGAGAUUUUAUAUUCAGAUUUUACUAUUUUUGUUAUUUUUCUUAGUUAAAUUUCAUUACAUGUUGAUUAGUUUAAUUUAUGUAUUUUUAGUUAAUUUUAUGUUAUUUGAUUUUAAACUAGUUUAAGUAUAGUUAUUGCUUAUUUCUCUUAUUGUUCUUAAAGGAAAUUCAGUGAGAAAGAUUUAUUUGAUGAAAAUUCAUGCAAUUAUGGUGAAGGCUUCAUUCGUAUAUGUUUCAAUAUUGAUAACACUAUGAUAUAGAGUUAUUUGGGCUUAAUUUUGAUAAUAAAUUGGCUUAGUUCUGGUAGUAAUGCAUAGAAAUUAGUGGAUUUUAUUUAAUUAUUUUAAAUUAGUUAAUUUAGGUGAGUCAAUCUAAUCUUAGUUAAUUUUAUGCUUAAUUUGGUGUUAAUGUGGUUAAGAUAGGUUGUUAUUGAUUUAUUUAUGCUUUUGUAGGUGUUUGAUGAAAGAAGAAUUUUAAUGAAAGAAGGAGAGCAAUUUUGAGGUGCAGACUUUCACUGCAUAUGUUUUGAUAUUUUGGCCAUAACUUUCUCUACAGAGCUCCAAAUAAAGCUAUUCUUAAACUAUUGGAAAGAUGAGAGAAAAAUCUACAACUUUCAUGUUUACUACUUUACCAGUUUAGCCUAGAAAAUGGUCAAAAAUCUUGUCAAAGUUAACGUAUUGUAGUAGUCCUAGAGCAAUUACGAUUUUUAUUAAUUAAUUAGGCAAAGCUGUGACUCAUAUAGUCUGAUGUAAAAAUCCUAGUUCAAAUUGAAUUCUUUCUCUACCCAACUUGGCCUAACUUCAAAGCCUAUAAAAAUAACCUUUUUGAGGACUUAAAAGGGAAAAAAAACACCAGAUUAAAAGCUAAGAGUCAAGCCGUAAAGUCAUUGAAGUUGAGAAGAUUUUAAAGGAUUCAAGAAGCCUUGAAAGAUCAAGAUUAUAAUUCUUGAGUUUUAUCUUUUUUAUUAUUCUUUAAUUUUCUUAGUUUGUUUUUAUUGUUUAAACUUUAUUCAAUGAUGAUGUAAGACUUGAUGGGGAACUAAAUUGUUAAUCUAAGAUUAUGAUUGAACUCUAUAUGUAGUCUAAAUUAUUUAUCUCUCUUUUACUUAUGUUUGAUAGAUUUAGGUUAUUGAUUUUAUUCUGUUCUUAAUGCUUCUAAUUGCUUGAUCACCAAUUAGAUUGAAUUGGAAAUCUAGAUUAAACCUUAACGAAGGAUAUUUAAGUAGACCUUGAAUAAAAUAGUGUAUGAUUGAAUGCACUUAGUUGAUUAGGUGGUUUGAUUUGCAUAUAGGGUAGACAUACACUUAUAAGCCAUACGUAGCCAGGAUUAGAGCACGAACUUAAUGAAUCUGUCUUCAACGUAAUUUACAUAGACAUAUAUAAAUUAAUUGGGAGAGAUAUUUUAUAAAAAACUCAACAGAGACUUGUAAAUAAUUUAGGCCUCUAGGUUAGCAACUUAAUCCAUUAAAUUAAGUUAAGAGAGAGAGACUAUAAUCAGAUCAAGUAUUGAGGGACAUCAUAAUCUUAGGUCUGGUAGUUGAUUGAAAUUUCAAUUUAAUUGUUUUAAUUUUUCUUUUUAAUAAUUUUAAAAUUUAGUUGUUUGAAUAAAAUUAGGGUGUGUUAAUUUUAGUAAUUAACAGUAGGAAUUAAACAAUUCUCCAUGGGAAUGAUACUCUAUUUCAUCAUUAUAUUACUUGUUAACGAUAUAUGCACUUGCGUGAGAAAUGAACAAUAAGUAUUCCAAAGAUAACUUGAGCUACAGAAGUUCAAGUGAAUUGAUUCUUGAGCGAAUGGAAAGCUAAGAGAUAGGGUUACAACUUUCGUGUUUACUAUUUCACCCAGUUCAGAAUAGAUUAGGUAAAUAUUGCAUUGGAAAAGGCUAGAUUGUUGUAAUUCUACAUAAGGCAAUACAAUCGAAUGAGGGUCAGGGCCUUGAGUUGCUUAAGGCUACAGCAUCAUAAUGCACCAGUGCAAUCUAAAUUCAGAAAGCACAUCACUACAGCUUUGAGGAGAGAAAGGUCACAAUGCUGAUGGAAGUAAGGCUCCUAUAGUAGAACUCAAGAGUAGAGCGCCACAAUGCUGGAAGAACGAGGCACACUAUAUAGAGGCUAGGGUGCCAUGAUGCCAAGGAGACCAAGGUCGUAGCACUAGAAAAAUUUUAAAGAGAAAUUGUUGAUGAGAAUUUGGAAAUUAGGGUUUUUGAGCUCGUUUAUAGGACCUUUUUCAAAGGUUUUAGAGAAAGGACAAUAAGCAAUUAUUCUGGAGAAAAAGAGCCAAGAACGAAGCAAGAAGACAAGAAAAAUUAGGAGAGAAUUGAGAUCGAAAAGCAUCAACUAUUAAUUUCUCUUUCUACUUUCGUGUUUCUCUUAAUUUCUUUGACUUGGAUUCAUCUCUAGUUUUCUUUGGAUGAUGUUUUUAUUAGUUGUUAUGAGCUAAACUAUUUUCCUAGGAUUGUGGUGGAUUUGUAAAUAUAAUUUAAAUAUUUGUUUCUCUUUUAUUUACCAUGAAUUGAUAUAGUUUUACUUAUUCAAAUCUAUUCAUAAUGCAUUUAAUUGUCUGGCCAACAAUUGAAUGAUUUGUUAACUUGAUUGAGACUCAACAAAGUGAUUUUAGAUUGGACUAAGGUUUGAAUAGUGUAUGUUCACAUCACUUAAGUGAUUUGAUUCGCAAUUAGGGUAGACAUACACCUAAAUGCCAUACAUAAUCAAAUUUGAACACUGGCUUAAUGAACCUUAUUUAAUUGAUUACUAUAGACAUAGAGUGAUCCAAUUAAGUUAGGUAUUUGUACAAGCAUCUCAAUGGAGACUUGUGCAUAGGUUUGGAUUCUAGGUUAGUAAAACAACCUAGGAAUGUAAAUAUUGAGAGAAACAAAUAUCAUAAGUGUUGAAUGAGCCUAUUAUCUUAAAUUUUAAUCUAUUACGUUUCUCUAGAAAAAUUUUAGUUCUCAUUAAUUAGUUUAGUUGCUGAUUAGAUUUAGUUUUAGUUAAUUAUCUACAAAGGAGAGUUACUUGAAUAAGAUUGCGCUGUCAUAAUUUUAUUACUUUGUAAACAACUAAGAGCAAAUCAUUGUGGGAUAUGAUUUUGGACUUAUUGUCUAUAGUACUUAUUCAAUACGUAUACUUGUGUGUACUAAAUCCAUAACAAGUUUUUGGCACUGUUGUAGGAGAUAUUUUUUUUCUUAUUUAGUUUACUAAUAUUAAAAUUAACAAAUUAGUCUUAAUUUAAAUUUUUCUUUUUUUUAAGGUUUAAUCUAUCAUUGUAUGAGAAAGGUAAAAACCUUGGAGAUUGUAUUUUGUAAUCCAGUGAUCAAGAGAACAUUUAGAAGACUUUGACGAGAAAAUCAACAAGCUUGUGUUCAUACUGAUAUAAUGGCUUAUCAACAGGGUGAACAACAAAUCCAAGAGUGAGUAGUGGAAGAGAAUCAUUGCUUAAGAGAUGAUAUUAUUCCUUUAGUACAAGGGAUUCCUUAAAGCAUUAGAAGGUCGGCUAUUGAAGCCAACAAUUUUGAGAUUAAGCCGACCAUCAUCACCAUGAUCUAAACCUUGGUCCAGUUUAAGGGUCUACCAAAUGAUGAUCCAAAUGCCCACAUUUCAAACUUCUUAGAGAUAUGUGUCACCUUUAAACACAAUGGAGUCAUAGAUGAUGCAAUCCGUUUGAGGCUUUUCCUUUUUUCAUUAAGGGACAAAGCUAAAGUGUGGUUGAAUGUGCUUCAUACUAAAUCCAUCACAACAUGGGAUGACCUUGCGUAGAAAUUUCAUGAUAAGUUCUUUCCUCUAGCUAAGACAACGAAAAUGAGAAAUAAUAUCACAUCAUUCAUGCAACUAGAUUAUGAAUUGUUGUACAAGGCCUAAGAAAGAUACAAGGACCUACAUAGGUGUUGUCCUCAUCAUGGUCUUCCAAAAUGGCUGCAAGUGCAAACGUUCUACAAUGGAUUUAGUGGUCAUGUUUAAACCACCAUUGAUGCUACUGUAAGAGGAGCUCUAAUGGAAAAAUCAAUUGAUAAGGCAUGCUACUUGUUGUAGGAGAUGGCAUUGAACAAUUAUUAGUGGCCAGCAAAGCAAUCAAUGCAAAAAAGAGUAGUUGGAGUUCAUGACGUGGAUGCCAUUACGACAUUAUCAACACAGGUAGUAGUUCUAACUAAGAGACUUGCUUCUUUUGGUGCUUACUCAAGUCAAAGUCUUUUUGUAGUUUGUGAGUAUUGUGGAGAUGGGCAUGCUAGUAAUCAAUGUCUAAAUGAUACAAAGACAGCUCAAUUUAUGGGAAACAGACAACAGAACAACCUUUACUCUAACACCUAUAACCCAAGGUGGAGUAACCAUUCAAACUUCUCUUAGGGGUAAUAAUCAAGGAUCAUCUUCAGCCUCAAGGCCAAACAUGGCUUCCAGAUUCCAACAAUAGUGAAGAGCUCCUAUUCUAGAAAAGAAACCAUAUAUGGAGGAAUUGCUAAUUCAAUACAAGGCUAUGACUGAUUCCCUCAUACAUAGUCAAAUGACUUCGAUAAGGAACCUUGAGACCCAAGUUGGUUAACUAGCUAUGUCAUUAAACAUCAGAGCUUAAGGGGCGCUACCUAGUGUACCGAGGCAAAUCUAAGGAGGAAAGGUAAGGAACAUGUCAAAGCCAUUACCUUGAGCAGUGAUAAGGCCAAAGCAAGCUGAACAGAAAAGCAAGACAAUUGAUAAUGACACACAGAUUACAAGUUUUAGUGAGCAAUGUCAAGAGAAGGAAGUUAAGGCAAUUUUACCUCCAUAACCUUUUCCUCAACAUUUCAAGAAAUAACAAGAAGAGAGCCAAUUUUAAAAAUUUAUGGAAGUGCUUAAAAAGCUUCGCAUCAACAUUCCUUUGUUGAGGCUUUAGAGCAAAUGCUUUCAUAUGUGAAAUUUUUAAAGGAUAUCUUGUUUAAGAAGAGGUAGUUGGGUGAAUUUGAGACAGUGGCACUCAUAAAAGAAUGUAAUGUAAUCAUACAGAACAAGUUUCCUCCAAAGCUUAAGGAUCGUGGCAGCUUUACUAUUCUUUCCAUAAUUGGUGCAUUAUUUUUCGCCUAGGCUUUUAGUGAUUUGGAGGCAAGUAUUAAUUUCAUGCCUUUGUCUAUCUACAACAAGUUGGGUUUGAGGGAGAUUAAACCACUACUAUGACUCUAUAAUUGGUAGAUAGAACCUUCACAUAUUUGAGAAGUAUAGUGAAAUAUAUGCUUGCAAAAGUGGAUAAAUUCAUCUUCCUCGAUAGAUUUCAUAAUACUCGAUAUAGAGCAAAAUAGAAAGGUUUCUAUUAUACUUGGGAGACCUUUCUUACGCACUGCUAGAGCACUCAUCGAUGUGGAGAAAGGAGAGUUGAUAACUCUCUUAUAUAGAGUUAUUUUAACAUAUUUUGAGGACUUAAGUAGCUAACUCUUUGAAAUUUUAGGUUCGAAUUUUAGUAUUUUAGGUGUUUUUCUUAUUUAAGUUUAAUUACAUGUUAAUUAGUUUUAUUUAAGUUAUUUUAGUUUAAUUUUAUAUUAUUUUGCUUUCAAUUUGUUCAAGAAUAGUUAUUGUUGAUUUCUCUUAUUAAUUUUGUAAGAAAUUUGAUGAGAAAGGUUCAUUUGAUAAAAAACUGCACAAGUAUGGUGAUGGCUUUAUUUGUACAUAUUGAAGUAAUUUAAGGAUAACUUCAGCUAAAGAAGUUCAAUUAAUACAAUUUUUAAUCCAUUAGAAAGCUACGAGAUAGGACUACAACUUUCAUGUUUACUAUUUUUUCCAAUUCAAAUCAAAUCAUAGUGAAAAUCACAUUGGAAGAUGCUAAUCUACUACAAUCUUGCACAAGGUAGCGAAUGGAAUGAAAGUCUCAACCUUGAGUUGCUCAAGGCUGUGGUGCCGAAGAGGCCAAGGAUGUGGCAUUGAGGAGAGGGUGGCUAUGGUGUUGGUUGAAUAUGCCUCCCUAUAGUGCAACCUCAUAGCACAAGGCCAUAACAUUUAGGAAGUAGCACCGUGGCAUUACAAGAAAGGCCACGACACCUCGAUGCCAAGGAGGGCAGUGUUGUAGUGUCACACUAUUUUCGAAGAUAAACUGUUUUGUGGGAUUUUGGAAAUUAAGGCUUUUAGAGGCUAUUUAAGGGAUCUUUUUCAAAUGUUUUCAAGAAAGGACGGCAAGGAACUAUUCUAGAGAAAACGAGCCAAAACAAAACAAGAGAAAUUGAGAGAGAAUAAAGAUCAAAAGCUUCACUCAUUAAUUUCUUUCUCUACUUUUGUGUUUCUCUUAUUUUUUUUGACUUGGAUUAAUGGUUAAUUUUCUUUGGAUGAUGUUUUAUUUAGGUGUUACGAACUAAUUUGCUUUUAUAGGAUUCUAGUGAAUUUUAACAUGUAAUAUAAAUAUUAGUAUCUUUUUUAUUUACUAUGAAUGGGUAUAAUUUUCCUUAUUCAAAUUUGCUCUUAAUGAUUUUGAUUGUCUAGCCAACAAUUAACUGAUUUGUGAAUCUAAUUGAGACUCGACAGAGAGAUUUUAGAUUGGAUUAAGGUUUGGAUAGUGUCGGUUCACAUUACUUAGCUGAUCUGAUUUGUGAUUAGGGUUCACAAACGCCAAUUAUCAUACAUAGCCAAAUUAGAACACUAGCUUAAUGAAGGUUAUUUAAUUGAUUACUAUAGGCAUAUAGUGACCCAAUUCAGUUAGGUAAUUAUACAAGCAUCUCCAUGCAGACUUGUACAUAGAUUUGGAUUCUAGGUUAGUAAAAACACCAACGGAUAUAAAUAAUAAAAGAAGCUGGUAUUAGAUGAAGUGUUGAAUGAACCCAUAAUCAUAGGUUUUAAUUUAUUGCUUUUCUCAAGUGCUUUUUUAGUUUUUGUCAAUUAAUUUAGUGUUUGAUUUAAUUUAAUUUUAAUUAAUUUUCUAAAAAAUUGAGUUACCUGAAUAAGAUUAGUUUGUUAUAAUUUUAGUACUUAGAGAAGAUUUAGGAGCAAAUCCUUUUCGGAUAUAAUUCUAAACUUAUUGUAUAUAUUACUUGUUUGAUACGUUUACUUGUGUGCAAAAUCAACAAGAAGAACUUACCUUAGGACCACAAAAUCAAGCGGUAACCUUUAACAUUUUUAUAGCUUUAAAGAUUACUAAUGAUCAUUAUAAGUGUUUUGUAGUUAUUGUGGUGGAUAGGGUCUUAAGUGAAGUUUUCAGGGAAAGUCAUCCUAUUGACCCACUUGAAGCAUCAUUGGUUGCUGAGUUUGAGAAAAGUAAUGAAACUAUCAUAGAAUGUGUUAACAUGUCAAAUGCUCUAUAAUACCUCGUACUUUGAUAUGGUGACUAAUAAAGCUUAUUGGAUGCCAAUUGAGGUUAAUUACUUAGAAAUGAUGAAAGAUGAACGGAAUAGUUUGGGAUAAAAUAUUCCGCACACGAGGAAAUAAUAAUAAAAUAAUAAUAUUUUUUUAUUGGAGAAGAAUUUGCAAGAUAAAAAGUGAUUCAGAAGUCAAUUGAGACAUAAUAAGGUAUUUUGGGUACCAAGGUGAGAAGAGAAAAUUUUUGAAAUAAAAUAAUAUUUUAUUCAGUGUCAAAAUUUUCCAUGAAGAAGGAGUAUAUGGUCAAUCUAAGUGGGGGAGAAGAAGAAUGAGAGGAUUUUUAGAGAAAAAUGACGUUAAUGGGGCCGCGUGUCUUUAUUAAGUAAAGAUAUUGUGAGCAAAUAAAUAUUUUAAAUAUUAUGGGGACACCGCGUUGGAGUACAAACUUCAUACUUUGUUUGUGCAUAUGUAGAAGAAGGUAAUAGAAGGAAAUUGGAGUUAAAUGAGUGUUGGGAGGACUAAAUUAAAAUGGAAGGAAACAAAAAACAGUAAAACAGUAAUUUUAUGUGAAGUUUGGUCAAAGCUUUCAAAUGAAGCUUUGACUCUGAUUUUUUUUAGGCCAAUACCGACCUUAUCCUUUCCCCCAGUAGAUUUUUCUUCUUCUUCAUCCAUGCUCCACACCAUUCUUGAACCUUCCAUGCCAUUUUCUCUUUAUCCACCAGGAAAUCAAGUUUUCUUCACUUUCCUUUCCAUGUUUCCUUUUCCUUUCUUCUCCAAACUUCUUGAGCAUUAAAUUUACAGCCUUUAACCCCAAUUUCCAACACACCAAAAACUUAGGAGGAGAAGAAAGAAAAAGACAGAAAGGAAGAAAAAGCUUGGUUUUGGUGAUUCAAGUAAGGAAAGGUAAGGAUUCUUGUUUUUAGCUUGAGUAGUCUUUGAAAAUAAGUUAGUGACUUAGAGAAAUGUCUUGUGGUGGCAAAGAUUGGCUUGAUUGGAGAAAAAUUGAUAACAUGUAAGCCAAUAAACCCAUGGGUACAUGAAGGACUCAAAGUGGAAAAGGAAAACGGUAAGCUUAACACUAUGUUUUAAGGCUUACGGUUAGUCGAAUAUUGUGAGGAAUUAUGGUUGUUGAAAGGAUUUAUUUGCCUAAGCUAGUUGAAAAUUAUUAAGAUUUUAUGGCAUAUUGUUUAAAAGAAAUGAAAAAGGAAUAUUGUGGAUGGAGGAUUGAGAAACAAAGUAUUGAAAGUUAGAUAGAUAACAAUGCAUGUAAACUAGGAAAUAAUCAAGUGAAAGUGAGAAUGAUUGUUGCUGCCACAUAUGUGGAUUAUGUGUGGAAAUAUAAAAUGAAUUUGGAUAGAAAUUAUUUAUAAAGGUUGAAGUAGGCACGUGGCAUCAUAAAUAAGUUUUCGGUGAUAUAAUCUAAGGAAUUACGUACGCAAUGGAUAUAAGUAAUUUUAGUAAAAAUGUAUUAAGAGGUAAGUUAAUUGAAGAUGGUUUCAUAAUAGGAUGAAAAAUAUAAAUUUAAGUAAGGAUUAAUUAAUUGAAGUGUAUCCCGUAUACGUAUGUAAUUAAAUAUAUUGAGUUCGUAUUAUUGUUAGAAAGUGCAAGGAUAAGGUUAGAGAUGUGGUGGCAUGCUGGAGUAAAUAACGAGCGAUCGACCAGUGAAAAUAGUUAGAGACACCUUUGAACAAAUAGCGACUUAAUAUCUCUUUGUUUUCAGGUGAGUGAACUUGCAUUAAAAUGUUUUGGGAUAUACACAUUUAUGUUUGAUUGAAUCCCUUAAAAUGUUUUAUUGGUUUUUCUUCAAAAACUUGCACGGGAACAAGCCUUUAGUGAAAUGUUUUUGUGAGGUGGAACAUGAUUGUGAUGAAUCUAUGUACUUCUAUAUGAUGCUGAUAUGUAUAUAAGGAUAUAUGAUACAUAUAUAUUGUUAAGUAAUUUUGUAUAAUUGAUGUAACCGUGCAUGUGCAGAGUGGGUAGUGCACAUGCCGGUUGAAUGACAAUGUCAUGAUAAUUACAACCGUGCAUGUGCAAGUGGGCACUGCACAUGCCGGUAAUGAUGCUGUCAUGAUAUUUACAGUCGUGCAUGUGCGGAGUGGGUAGUGCACAUGCCAGUGAUGAUGCACAUGAGCUGGGUGAGAUGGGGUGUCCGGUUAUGUGCACUAUGUGGGGGGAUGCACAUGAGCUUGAUGAAAUAUGGUGGUAUACUAAUUGAUAUAUGCUUAAGUACAUGUAUCUACAAUAGAAAGAUUAUGAUUAUAAUAUGUGAUUAUAUGACAUGAUGAAUCUUGAAAAUUUUCCAUUUUCUUGUGAAUUGAUUUUAUUGUAGCAAGAAACAUUCUGUUUAUACUGCUUUGCUUAGAUGAUUGUUGAAAAUUCUCUCUCUUUCCAAUUUCAUGCUAAAUAUGGUUCCUUCAUUAUGAAAUGAUUUAAUAACCAGAGGUUUGAUGGAGGGAUUUUAAUAAGAACGUGAACUAAGUUGCAUUGUUUUCAAAGAUGGGCAUCAUGAUUUCUAAACCUUCCUUAACGUUGCUUGUUCCCUUCCUAUGUUCACUCACUGAGUUUGUACUCACAUUUUUAAAAAUUCAUGUUUUAGGUUUUCCUGAGUUAAAGGUGAUUGGAUCCUAGGACAAGGUGCUCCUUUCUAUACAUUGCUCGGUAGGUUUAAUGUGACAUUAAGUGUUAUCAAUCGUGCCCAGAGUCACUCCGCUGAAGGUCAAGGUCUAAUUAUGUGUAUCUGAAUAUUUACUGUGAAACAUUAAAAAUCAUUUGUUAAUCUAUUUAUGAAUAUAUUGGUGGAUGAUGCCAUUAUGAAUGUAUUAUUGGAUUUUAUGAAUCGUUUUCAAGGAAACAGUAUUUGAACAUUUUGAGCUUUGGAUUCUAAAGGAAUAAGGAUUAAUGUAUAAGAUCAAUUAAGUAGGCUUGCUUGGGCUUAGUGGGCUGAGCCCAUUAGGUCCUUGUGCCGGUCAUGGCCCCAGAAUUGGGCUAUGACAAACUCCAUCUCGAGUCUUAGGAUACAAUUUGAGACACUAGACCUUUUAUUUGUCAUCCUCAUCAGUAAAGCCUUUUAUUGAAGAACCACCGAAGUUAGAGCUUAAACCAUUGCCAAAUCAUCUAAGGUAUGCAUAUCUUGGUGACUCGUCUAUUCUUCUUGUUAUUAUUUUCCCUGAUCUCACUAACAAGUAAGAAGAUAAGCUAUUGAGAGUUAUGAGAAAGUACAAGAAGACAUUGGGGUAGACAAUAGCAGACAUAAAAGGAAUAAGUCCUUCGAUAUGCAUGCCUAAAAUUUAAAGGAUGUAAUAACUCUAUUAUAUAGAGUUAUUUUAACCCAUUUUGAGACUUAAGUAUCUAGUUCUUUGAGAUUUUAGGUUUGGAUUUUAGUAUUUCAGGUGUUUUUCUUUGUUAAGUUUGGUUACAUGUUGAUUAGUUUAAUUUAAGUAUUUUUAGUUAAUUUUAUGUAAUUUGGUUUUAAACUACUUUAGUAUAGUGAUUGCUGAUAUUACUUAUUGUUCUUAAAGGAAAUUUAAUGAGAAAGGUUUAUUUGAUAAAAAUUCGUGCAAGUAUGGUGAUGGCUUCAUUCAUAUGUAUUGCAAUAUUGUGCAGAUAACUUGAACUACAAAAGUCUAAUUGAUGUGAUUCUUAAUCCAAUGGAAAGCUAAGAGGUAUGGAUGAAACUUUUAUGUUUACCAAUUUGCCCAGUUCGGAAUGGAUAGAGGUGAAAAUUAUGUUGAAAGAGGUUAGACUGCUACAGUUCUACACAAGGUAGUAUAAUGGAAUGAGGGCCGCGAUAUUGAUUUGCUCAAGGUUGUAGUGUCAUGAUGCAUUAGUGCAUGAUACAAAAUCCAAAAAGCAUAGCACCAUGGUGUUGAGGAGAGUAAAGCCAUGGCAUUAGUUGAAGUAAGGCUCCCAUAAUAGAGCUUGAGAGUAGAGCGUCGUGGUGCUAAGUAAGCAAGGCCAUGGGGUUGGAAGAAUAAAGCACAUUAUACAAAGGCUAGGGCGCCACAGUAGACCAAGGCCAUGAUGCUAGACAAAUUUCUAAAAUAAAUUGUUGACUAGAAUUUGGAAAUAAGAGUUUUUGGAGCUUAUUUAAAAGACUUUUUUCAUAGAUUUUAGAGGGUGGACGACAAGUAAUUAUUCUGGAGAAAAAGAGCCAAGAAUGUAGCAAGAAAGAACGAGACUUUAAGAGAGAAUUUAGAUUGAAAAGCAUCAACAAUUAAUUUCUAUUUCUAAUUUUGUGUUUCUUUUAAUUUCUUUGACUUGGAUUCAUGUCUAAUUUUCUUUAGAUGAUAUUUUUAUUUGUUAUUAUGAGCUAAACUAUUUUUCUAGGAUUGUGGUGGAUUUCAACAUGUAAUAUGAAUAUUUGUUUUUCUUUUAUUUAAUAUGAUUGAAUAUAGUUUUGUUUAUUCAAAUCUGUUCAUAAUGCAAUUAAUUGUCUAUCGAACAAUUGAAUGAUUUGUUAAUUUGAUUGAGACUCAACAAAGUGAUUUUAGAUUGGACUAAGGUUUGAAUAGUAUAUGUUUACAUUGCUUAAGUGAUUUGAUUCGCAAUUAGGGUAGUAAUACACCUAAAUACCAUAUGUAUCGAAAUUAGAACUCUACCUUAAUGAAUCUUAUUUAAUUGAUUACUAUUGACAUAUCGUGACCUAAUUAAUCUAGGUAUUUGUACAAGCAUCUCGAUGGAGACUUGUGCAUAAGUUUGGAUUCUAGGCUAGUAAAACGAACCAUGAAUGUAAAUAUUAAGAGAAACAGAUGUUAGAUGAAGUGUUGAAUGAACCCAUAAUCUACUGCCUUUCUCUAGUGAAUUUUUAGUUUUCAUUAAUUAGUUUGGUUAUUGAUUAUAUUUAGUUUUAAUUAAUUUUCUACAGAAGCAAGUUACUUGAAUAAGAUUGAGCUAUCAUAAUUUUAGUACUUAGUAAACAAUUAGGAGUAAAUUCUUAUGGGACACAAUUUUGGACAUACUAUCUAUAUUACUUGUUCAAUACAUAUACUUGCGUGUAUUAAAUCAAUAACAGAAGUAGUAACUGAAUAUGUUCUCAAGUUUCAAAAUCCAUUUGAUCACUAUAGCUACUCUCUAAACAAAAUGUCUGAAGUAAUACAUAAAACGUCAAAGAGUAAUGGUGACUCUUUAAGAAAAUCAACUACAACUCUUUAAAAACCAGAAGAUCUUAAAAGAUAAACUUCGAAGCAAGUCUCUACAGCACCUCUAUUACCAUAAACAUAGCAUUUGCAUUCAUACAUACUCAUCUUUUUUUUAUUUAUGCUUAUGCUGUUAUCAUAUCUUUUGUAGUUAUGCUUAUGAUGUUAUGUUUGAUACUUCUUGUCCAUACUUUAAUGUUUAAUGACAUUUCUCUUAUUUCUUACCACUUGUGCUAAAUCUUAAUUACUAGUGCUACUAAUCUUCUUGUGUUUUUCCUUAAGCUUUAAAAUUGUCUUCAUACUCUGUUUUCCAACUCUUUUUGAUAUAACAAAAAAGGAGAGAAUAUUUUGAGUAAAUUUGCUAGCUUUCUUGACUUCCAUGCCUGGACUUUCUUGAAAAUGUUUUUAAAUUUUUCUCAAAUGCCUUGAAAGGUAAAAUUAAAUUCAGGGGGAGUUCAUCAUGACCAAGUUUAGCUAUUAAUUUUUAUCAUAUAAAAAAAAGGAGAUUGUUAGCUUUAAAAUUGAGCCUAGUUUUGAAAUGACAAAAUUCAAUGAUCUAAAUAUGCUUUGAAACUAAGUGAAAAUGAUUUUGAACAUGAAAAACAAUCCUUAAAGAGUUUUAAAGUUGUUUGUGAAAAGAAAAACCUUUUGAACAAUUUAAAUCUCAAAUUCCAACUAUUAGAAUCAACUUCUGAUAGUGAACUAAUCGAUCUUUGUGAAAUAGAAAGCAAUAUUUCUUUUCUGGAAUAGAAAGAAUAGACUUCUUCGAAAAGGAAACAUCGAUUCGUGAAGCUACAAAAGCUACUGGAAGAAUGAGAAUCAAUAUCUAAAUAAGUAAAGGUCGAUUCCAGAGAAAGUAGAAACAAUGUGGAAAGUCAUUGAAAAGCAAGAACAGACUUCUCAAGCAUCAAGUAAUUGAUUCCUAAAGCUACAAAGAGACAAAUAAAAAAAUAUCAAGAACUUGGAGAAAAAGAAAAGAUGGGACAAAAAGACAAGAUGGAGCAGGAAAAUGCAAAUUUGAACUUUGAUUUUGGUGCCUAAAGUGGAAGAAGAAUUGAUAUCUAGAAAAGAGAAGAUCGAUUCUCAAGAAAUCAUAAAGUUACUAACUUUAAAGUGGGAUGAGAAGAAUCAAUAUCUCAAGAAUGCAAAGAUCGAUUCUUAAAAAAUAGAAAGCUCCAAAUUUGAACUGAAACAAGAAGAAUCGAUAUCUCAAGAAUGGAAUGGUCGAUUCUCAAAAGACAAAAAGCUUCAUACUUCAAGUGAGACAAGAAAAAGUGAUAUCUCAAGAAUGGAAAGGUUGAUUCUAAAAAAACAGAAAAUUUUGGGAUAUAAAAUAAUCGAUAUCUAACAUGUCUAUUGACAAAUUCUUUAAGUUCGAUUAGUGUGAUUCAAAGUGUCCCAACUUUCAGCAAUGAGACAAAAUCUAUUCUAACAAGAAAAAAUCAAAAAGGACUAUAAAUACCUUUGUGAAGAUUGCCAUUUGUAAGGUGACAAACUAGAAAAUGAAGAGAAAAAAAAAAUCAUUUUGAGAGUAGAAAAAAGCUGAGAUUUUUAAAAGAUCAUUCUUUUUCUAUCUCUAUAGUAGAUUCUCCUACAAAAGCCUUCAUAUUUUAGUUCUUACUUUCUGAAAUAUCUUCAUCCUCUUGUACUUAACUUGCUCAUCAGCCUUUUGAGGUCUUAAGUAUGGAAAACUUGUAAGAAUCCAUUAUUGUAAGGUUAUACAUCCAUUGCAAAAGGUAGUGUAAGGUUAUACCUCCACUAUAAAAGAUAAAGAAAGGUUAUACUUCUAGUGUAAAAGGUUGUGUGUGUCUAUACCUCCACUGUAAAAGGUAAUGAACAGUUAUACCUCUAUUACAAAAAGUAGUGUAAGGUUAUACCUCUUCAAGAAAGGGUAGUGUGCUAAAAGUUAUGCUUGAACUUGACUUAAAAGGAAGUGGUUAGUGGAUUCAAACUCCUUGUGCUAUCUAAGGAAAGGAUGUAAGGCUUUAAGGGCCAAAGUUCUAUAAAAUUGUGGCUGAGUACUCUUUCCUUUUUUAUCUUCUUUACUAGCUUCAUUCUUUAUCUUCUUAAGUUUUUCUACUUUGAUAUUUAAGGUCUAUCCUAAAAAGCUCUUAUUUUUAACUCAAUUCUAAAAGAUCCAAUUUUUAUUUAAGUAACCAAUUCACCCCUGUCACGACCCGAAACCUUCAUUGAGUCCGUGACAACUGCCGCGAUGUCCCGAUAGGCACUCAUCCCCCAAAUACCAUAUCGAGACCUCGCAAGGCUUUCGUAUCAGUUUUUUAUCUCUCCUGUGAUUAAUCGUUGCCAAAUGUCGUAUUUUAGAGGCUUUUAAGCCUUUUUUCGAUUUAAAACAGUGAAAAAAUAAAUUUCACUUCACAAGGACAUUUUGGUUAUUUUUCGUUAAAAAUUUCAAAUUCGACCAAAAUGUAAUACUUAAGUGAGAAAUGCAUAUUUCGAAAUUGAAAUUAAAUUUGAAUGUCUAAAACGUGAUUUAAAAUGGAAUUAUUACCAUUUAAAUAAAAUAAAAAUAUUUUACAAAAUAUUCUAUUUUCUUACAAAUUAAUAUUUAUAGAGUAUUCUGAAAAUGAUUUUUAGUAGCGUAAAAGUUUAAUAUAUUUAUACAAACUAUAAUACGGAAAACCAAAGUAUGAAAUUUAAUUUACAGUGCUACAUGAGCCCACAAAUGAACAAAAGUAGUAAAGACAGUAAACCUACAGUUUUUGAAGUAGUAUGGCCAACUAUAGUUCUCGAUCAUGUCUACUAUCUAUAGGCUAACCCGGCCUGAAAUGAUGGGAUAAAAAAAAAGGGUGAGAUUAUAAAAUCUCAGUGAGUAAACAAACACCAUCUAAAUAAUCUAAAGGCGAGUAAAGGGAGACAAUUAAAAAUAAUUCAUUUCAGCAAAUUUUUCACAUCACGAGUAUUCAUUUCAACCAAAUAAUCAAUAUGGCUCGUGAAUUACUCAAAACUUGGCUCAUGCCAAAUCUUGUACUCGGUGACACCUAGACCAAGGGCAUCCAACCGAGUCCGUCAAGGUUGUUAAAAAUUCAUAUUUCGCAUAAAUCAUAUUUUUAUUUUGAAAUAUAGCCGUUCCUUGGCAUUAGCUGAGUCUCACUCUCACGUAGUGGUCCACGUGAAGUGCACUCAAAAAGCCCACCUCAGGAGAUACCCUACGCGCCUCUACGACCGAGGUAAGAAUAUAAAGGAGUUUACCGUGCCCCUCUAAUAGGCUGGCCCACGGAACCCCCCACUACUGCAGUAGCUAAUCUUUUAUCUACCACCUGAUUUAUAAAAUCUUUUUCUGCAUGACAUGGUAAUUUAUCGCAACCUAGCCUCUCAAGGCUAAAUACACAGUAUAAAUAAUUCUAACACCAAAAUCAGUUUAGCCAUUCAUGCUCAUUUAUUGUCAUAAGCCAUUCAAUUUAAAACCAUAAAUUUACAAUACAAGCAGGCAGUCUCUAAUUACUCUAUUUUCAAAACCAGUAUUCGAUUUUCUAGAAAAUUUAUAAAAUCAUUUUANNNNNNNNNNNNNNNNNNNNNNNNNNNNNNNNNNNNNNNNNNNNNNNNNNNNNNNNNNNNNNNNNNNNNNNNNNNNNNNNNNNNNNNNNNNNNNNNNNNNNNNNNNNNNNNNNNNNNNNNNNNNNNNNNNNNNNNNNNNNNNNNNNNNNNNNNNNNNNNNNNNNNNNNNNNNNNNNNNNNNNNNNNNNNNNNNNNNNNNNNNNNNNNNNNNNNNNNNNNNNNNNNNNNNNNNNNNNNNNNNNNNNNNNNNNNNNNNNNNNNNNNNNNNNNNNNNNNNNNNNNNNNNNNNNNNNNNNNNNNNNNNNNNNNNNNNNNNNNNNNNNNNNNNNNNNNNNNNNNNNNNNNNNNNNNNNNNNNNNNNNNNNNNNNNNNNNNNNNNNNNNNNNNNNNNNNNNNNNNNNNNNNNNNNNNNNNNNNNNUUUUCCUACUUGAUUUUCUUUCCAUAAUUCAUUAAUUUCCAUAUCAAAAACCAUGAUUUCAUAAUCAAAUAACCUAAAAUAACAUCACAUUCUUCCUCACCAUUGACUUGAAAAUUCAGCUAAGGCUAGGUAAUGGGAAAAAUGAAUGUUUUUCUACAUAUUUUGUUUACUAACAUGUUAAACUAACACUAAACACUAACAUAUAUCAAAAUCAAAUCAAUCCAACAAUUUUCUCUUUCUAGACCCAUAUGACCAGCCAUGAAAUCACCAUGGAAACAUGCAAAUUAAUCAUGGAAAAUAAGGAAAAAUGCUUGGGAAUAAGAAAACUCAAGCUUAAUAGAAAAAAUCUUACCUUUUUCACUUAAUUUCCUUGAAAAUUCACACUUUUUCUUUGAUUUUCUCUUUCUAGAGUUUGGUUUUUAUUUUCUCUCUCUUCUUGCUGGUUUGGCUGACCAUGGGGUAGAAGAUAGGCUGGUUUUUGUGCCUUUUAAAAAGAAAAAAUAAUAAAUUAAUAAAGGCAUGACACGUGGCAUCAUGUCAUUGGCCUAUUUUUUUAAAAUUUUGACUUUUCAUUUUAAUUUUCCACCACACCUUUAUUCCAUCUUUAUCCAUUUCCACCAUAAUUAAAUUCCACAAAUUUGACAAGUGUUGGGGUUGCAAAAUUACCAUUUUACCCUCGGUAUGGUAAAAUUAUCGUUUUGCCCCUAUACUCCAAAAAUACCAAGAAUUGAAAAUUUCUCACUCCUCAAACUCCAAUUAUGUUCUAAAUAAUCUAAAUAAUUAAUCUUGAUCAAUUGUUACCAAAUUUUUUUUUAAAAUUCCCGUUUUGUCCUUAAAUGACAAAAUGACUGUUUUAUCCCUAAUCGGUCAAUUCUUCUGAUUGACUCCAAAUUGGACCUCGAACUCCGAAUCACUGUUUUGAGAAAUCCUUGGACUGUGAAAUUUGAAAUUUCAUCUUAAAAUUCCUAUUUUAAUUAGUUCGAGGUAUAAAUCAACUUAAUUGUACUUUUAAGUACAAUACCGGCUUUUACCUAUUUUACCGAGAUAUUCUAGUACACAGGCAUGAUGUCAACUAUAUGUAUGACCUAACAGAUAAUUUAGGGCUAGGCUUGACAACCCCUCUCUUGGUGACUUUACUUUAAGCUUCUUUACCUAACACACUUUACCUGUAACAUCUCCCUACUUCACUUCUUGUUCCAUCUUAUCACUGUUUGCCACCGAUUCAACACUUUCUAUGGAAUUAUUCUCCCAUUUGAUAGAAGAAGACAAGGUCGUGGGAAACUCUAAUACCAUCUCAAGAUAGAUUUCUUACACAAAAAUCUAGAAAAGUUGGACCCAACAUGCAAUUCAAUGGUCUCAUCUAUUUUUCUUUGAUCCUUAAUGAGAAUUAACAUAAGCAUACAUUCAAACCUAAUGCAUUUUGAAAACUUUUUACCAAGGCUCAUAAACUCCCUAUAUAGUAUCGUAAUCUCCUGGAUUGUAAGUUCAUUCCAUGCAUGAAUGGGGAUGCUUGAACCUAAAAGCCAAUACCCGCAUUUCUUUAUGGUCAAUUUAGUUGACCAAUCAUUUUCAUAACCUCUUUUUUGGGGUCAUGUGACUUGCGCUAUGACUUACAUGGGUAUGGCCCACUAGUGCUAAGCAAGCCUUGCAAUCAAUACAUGAGUGGGCUAGUCAUCCACAACAUUCAUUACAUGAUCAUUCAAUGAAAAUAAAUUCAUAUAAGCACAGGCUCUAUCACACAAUUAUGGAACUAGUCAACAAAAGGUAUGGAAACUCCAUCGAGAUUUAGAGUUUGAGGUCAGUGAUCAUGUAUUUCUUAAGUCUCACCAACUAAAGGCAUCAAGAGGUUUGGCAAGAAAGGCAAAUUGAGCCCAAGGUAUAUUGGUCCUUCUGAGAUUCUCAAAAAGGUUAACGUAGUAACAUAUUGAGUAGCACUUCCAUUGGAUCUUGCUAGCGUACACCCGAUAUUUCAUGUUUUGGUACUUUGAAAGUACCAUCUAGAUCCAUCUCAUGUGAUUCAACACGAGACCAUUCCCUUGGAAGAGUAAUUAAGUUAUGUAGAGGAGCCUAUAGCCAUAUUAGAUAGGCAAGUGAAGAAACUUUGUUCCAAAUAGGUAACCUUAGUCAAGGUGCAAUGACGUAAUCACUCUAGCGGAAGAAGUGACAUGGGAACUCGAGGACAAGACAAGAGUAAAGUGCCCACACCUUUUUUAGUAGUACGUUAUACACUUGUAUGUAAAUUUGAGGAUAAAUUCUCUUAAAGGGAUGAAUAUGAAACCCUAACCUUACGUUGAGUGACAUUAUUUAAAAUUAAGUGAAUGGAUUACACGUUAAUAUAAUUUAGAAGUUGGAUGAGUUUUCCCAACUAUAUUGUGAUAAAUUUUCUUUACUACUAUGUUGAUUUGAUGUGAACUUGAUGGGUGAAAGAAUGGUACGAAAAGGAAACCAAAGGAAUAAAUUUUUGCAAGGUAAGGCAUGAAGCGUCGACCCUCAUGGAGUACUAGUUGAUCCUUAGAGGAAUUUUGGCUUAAGUUGGCUAUUGAAAUUGCCAAAGAUCAACCCCUGAGGAAGGGAAGGUCGAUCCUAGCAUCACAAAACAUUUGAAUUAGCUUCUAGAUAUGUCUAGGAUCGACCCCUGAAGAAAAGAAGGUCGAUCCUUCCAAAAUGAAACACUUAGAAACUUUUUAAAAACUCAAGGAUCGACCCUCAAUGGCUAAAGGGUUGAUCCCUACAAGUUGGAACUAAGAAAUAGUUACUGGAAAUCAAACGAAUCGACCCCCUAAAGGCAAGGGGUUGAUCCCUACAAGUCUAUGAAGAAAACAUUUAACUUGGGGAUCAACCCCCAAGAUCUAAAAGUUCAAUCCCUAGGCUCCAGAACAGAAAAAAAUGAAAGCCUUAGUCAUAAUUUUUCCCUCAUUUCUCAUUUCUCUCAGCUUCGAAACAAUCUAUCUCAUUCUCCAAACCCUCUCUUAGCCUCUAUUGAUUCCAUAUAGUAAAGACUAAGCUUCCAACUUUUUUUUUAGGUAAGAUUUAACCAUUUUUUAGGUUAACAACCAUGUUCCUCUAUAAAUUUGAAUGUUUUACGAAUUUCAACACAUAACCUUUAUUUUGAGUUGAGGAUUUUUUAGGGUUUUACUCUUCAAGGAAGUAUUUGAGGUAUGGAUGUUUAACGUUUCAUUAUAAAAGCUUUGGAUUUGAAGUUUUAUGGAUUAUUGGUUUAAAAUGAAGAAAUUGGGUUUACUCAACUAGUUUCGAAUACAUAGAUUUAUGGUAAAUUAGGAAACUUAUGUUAGAAAUUGUUGUGAUAGGAUUUGUUAAGCUUGAGUAUUGUAAAACGGGUGAGGUUGAUGAAGUAAGGCUUAGAAGCACGUUUUUGUCAAGGUAAGUGGAUACACCACUUUAAGUAUUUUAUAUGGUAAAGCUAAGCAUGAUUUAUCGACUUGAUUGACUCACAUAAUUAAUGCUAUAUUGAUUUUGAUAAAUCUAAAAUGUUUAAAGGCAAAUCAUUUCAAAUUAGUUUUUCAAAUCUACUAUGUAUGUAAAUAUCUCUACUAUAUAUUAGUUUUCAACAAGAGGAACAAGCCCUUUCAAUGGUUUUCUUCAAAAAGAUCCUAAUGGUACGAUUAGUAUGAAUGGCAUGUAUGUUUGAUGAAUGUAUAGUAGAGGUGAUCACUCCCACCCUUAAGUUAUGAAAUGAUAGUAAAUGUAUGUUUAUGAUGAUGUCAUGCAUAGAUGGAUGUGGACAUUCCUAUUUAUAGCAAUGUUUAUGUAAUAUAUAUCAUGGCAUGAAAUGCAUGAUUAUGAAAUAGUAUGUGAUGUGACCUUCACAUACAUGAUGAAUUAUGCAAGAGAUGAUUUAAUGAGUGUGAAUAUGAGAUCACGAUAUGUAUUAUGGAUGUGACAAAUCCUAAAGUUAAAGGAAUCAUGGAUGAGGCUAAUAUGCCACUCAAGGAAGUUAAGGGAAUCUGAGAUAGUGGAGAUUAUUCUACUAUCUGUCUAGAGAUAGGACGAGGACCAUUCAAGUGUGGCUGAGGCUGAUGUGCCACUCACAUGAGCUUAAAAAGAAUCUAAGGUAGCGGAGAUUAUUCCACUAUUCGUCUUGAGUUGGGGUAGGGACCACUCAAUCGUGGGUGAGGCAGAUGUGCCACUCAUGAAAAGUAAAGGAAUUUAAGGUAGUGGGAAUUAUUCCACUAUCCAUUCUAAGUUGGGACGGAUACUACUCACUAUGGGUAAGAUGAUGUGAAUGAGAUGGAUAUUGUAUUCUUAUUGUGUAAUGUUGUUAUGAUUGAUGUUAAGUUAUGUGGAAUGUGUAAUGAUUAUAUAGAGGUUUAACAAGUACAAAAGUUAGAAUAAGGGUGUAUACUAAAAUGUAAUGAAUGGAACCCACCGUAUAGGGUGUGAAUGCAAGAUUAGUACCAUUACCAAAAGUAAGGUUUCGGUACCUAUGAAAAAGGAAAUCUCUUGUUUUCUCCUCUUAAAUGUUUUGUGUAUGGAACUAUAACCUUGUUUAUCCAAAACUUGGAUUUAACCUACAUUUAUAAGGAAUGAUUUGAAAUGAUAUUUAUUAAGCAUUAAAAGAAGCUAUAUGCAUGUUUAUGAAACUCAUGUUGUUUUUGCAAAGUAUGUUUUAUUGAAAAAACUCUUACCUUUGGCUUGUCCCUUUUUCGUAUUCACUCACGAAGUCUUUAUGACUCACAAAUUAGUUUCGUCUUUUUUUUCUUUUUUUUUUUUUUUUGGUAGAUCAAUGAGUAGAGUUAUAUAGCAAUCCAUGUCACAGAAACAAGAUCCAUCCUUUAUUGGUAGGUGAUCUAGCAGCCAUUUAAAGCCUAGAGAGUUAGGUCAUGUUUCCUUGACAAGUCGGUAUUUAUACUUUUGUUUAUAAAUACUUGACUAUGUUUGACUGUUAAGCCAUUGAAUGGCAUUAUACUUAUAUGAAAUUGUAUAAAUGUGAUAGAUGACAACUUAAGAGCCCAUAUGAGCACCAGGGGUGCGGUUCAAUGUUGAUACGAGAUAUAUGAUUAUAAAUGCUGUUAAUGAAAUGUGUUUACACAUUUUAUAUUGAGAAGUUUCAUAACUGUGUAAUUAUGCCUAUGCAUGGAUGUAUGCACUUAUAGUAUUAAAUGAUUUUAUGGAUGAUGAUGGUGGCUAACAAGCCCACAUAUGAAUGAAUAAUGAAUGAUUGAUUAUUAUCAAGUUUACUAGGGCUUAGAGGGCCAUACACACGUAAGACCUAGUGCCAAUCAUGAUCUUACAGAAAACAAGAUGUAACACUAAGCAAACUAAAGAAAAAAAACAAUAAAUCAAAUAUAUUUGAUUAAAAAAAUUUACUACUUUAACCUAUUAAAUAUAAUCUAGAGGAAAUUGUGAGAAAUAACCUUCCUCAUAAGCCCAAUUCAAAAAUAUCACUUUUUAUAAUUUUAACUAUUUUUAGUCAAUUUUUGACAUGACUUACAAUAAUACCCUUUAAACAAUUUCAGACAAAUUAAAAUGGUUUCAGUUUUCUCUAUCCUGCCAUCUAGAUAAAAAUUUCAAAAUAAAAUGUCGAUUUCUCUCUCUAAUCAAAUACUGUUUAUCUUGCUAUCCAAAGCGUAGAGAUGACAUCAAGCUCUUUCUUAUUUUGUUUUAUUUUUUUGGAUGAUGGAUCUUGGGGUUCUCAAGAGCUAUAAACAGCAAUUUUGCUCUUUGCAGGCAGCGAUUUUGCUCAUGGAAAAGGAACAGCUAAAGCAUGUUUGAUGGGUUUUAUGGUGGUUCACGAUUUUGUUGUGUUUGGGAUUGAGAUGAUUGUUAAGAAUGUUUACUGGGGAUUUUGAUUUUUUUUAUGAGAUUUUGAGUUGAAAUUGUUCAGGGAAUAUUUUGUAAAUGGGGUAUAUUUUAUUUUUGUAUAAGGGGGUGAGCAAGGCCCUCUCGAUAGGAAUAUAUUUUGUCUUGCUUUGGAGGGUUAUGGAGUUUUGUAACCUAUUUUUUAUGAAAUGCACAAUGUCAUGGCUUAGCAAAAAAAAAAAACGUAUGUGUUUUGGUUCUUGAGUUUAUUAGUUUAUUCAUAGAAUCCCAAAGUUGAGGAGUUGAAAUUGAUUAGACUAGUUUUUAAGUAUUGUGAGACUAAUUUUUAGGUAUUGCGUGACUUAAUCACUGUGUGACUAGUUUUUAGGCAUUAUGUGAUUGGUUUUAGGCAUUACGUGACUAGUUUUUAGAUAUUACGUUACUGAUUUUUAAACAAUGCCUUACUAGCAAGUCACGCAAUGUCUUACUAACAAGUCACGUAAUACCUUACUAAUAAGUCACGCAAUGCCUUACUAAUAAGUCACGCAAUGUCUUACUAACAAGUCACGUAAUACCUUACUAAUAAGUCACGCAAUGCCUUACUAAUAAGUCACGCAAUGCCUAUCAACUAGUCACGCAAUGCCAUAUCAACCAGUCACACAAUAUUUAAAAACUAGUCACGCAAUGCCCAAAGUCAGUCACGCAAUGCCUAAAAACUAGUCACGCAAUGCCCAAAAACCACAAAAACUACUGAAUUUCAUUUAACAAAAUCAACAACUUCAGACGAUACACCAUAUUCCAUUUAACAACAUAAUUAACGAAUAUGCCUACUUGACAAAGAAUAUUUAAAAUGUUCAAAAGUUUUUCUUCAUAUAUCAAAAAUCACUCAAAAAUACUUAAAAAUACUCAAAACGCUCAAAGGUUUUCUUCGUGUAUCAAAAACUACUCCAAAAUGCUCAAAAUGCUUAAACGCUUGCUUUCUGAUAAGGAAUACUCCAGAGAUGAAUAGUCAUACGAGGAAAGUUCAAAGAAUAUGAGUUAGUUUGAGGCGCAAACCUAAACAUACUUGACCCGUUAAUAGGUUUCGGGUUGAGACGCGGAGCGAAAUAAAUGGAUCAGUUUCAUUAAGGGCAAUUUUGUCUAAAUUUUAAUUCUCUUGGCUAAAAAUAGUUAGAAUUAUAAAGAGGUCUAUUGUAAAAAUGCCUUAUGCAUGAAGCCUAUUUAAAAAAAGAACUCUAUAAUCUAAACAUGACUUUUGUCCCUGUUCAAACAACGAAAUAAUUGUACUCAAACAUAAUUUAAUUAUUUUUGUUCUUGAUAAAAAGUUUCAAAUUAGUUUAAUACAGCCGUAUGUUCACUUUUCUUUUAGGUGAGAGGAGCAGCAAAAAUAUUUUACCAUGUUACUUUUUUUAUGAGUUUACCAUGCUACCUAAUUACCAGAAAAUUUGUUUUCUUUUUGGUAAAUAUUUACAACAUAAAGUUGUCACAAGCUACAUGGAUAUAAUAAAUAAUUAAAAAUUAAGACUUCAAUUAAACAAAUUAAUGUCAAGGUCCAAUUUUAGUACUAUAGCUUUGUAGCAUUGAAGGCGAUGGCAUUUUUAGGUGGGCAAUCCAGUACAGGAGAGGGUAUAGCUUGGUACUUUUCGAUAUGUCCUAAAGUUUAGUAUUUUCUGUGGUUAAUGGUUCUAGAAAGCAUUCCACUAGAAGCUUUUUAAAAGCUAGAGGCAUAUUCCUUUGAUAAUGAGAGUUUGUUGUGUGCUUGGUAUAGUCUUGUUGAGGAGGAAUGGCUUCACAUGUAUCAGUUUUCAUGGGGAGUAUAGUACUGCAUUUUUUAAUGGUGGGGUUUUAAUUGGGUAAUGUCGUCUUCGUCUUCGAUCUCGACUAAGGUAAAGCUUUGUGAAGAUCUUAUGGUGAACAAUUUACUACAAAGAAGAUGGAUGCCAGUGGUGGGCGCUAUGUUAUGGUCUCUUUGACUAGCUAGAAAUGAUUUGAUCUUCAACUCUAAGAAAUGGGAAAGGGAGGAGGUUGUUUUUAUACUUAAGAUGAGAGUGAAGUUUUGGUUUAACGCAAUUGAGAAGGAAGAGGCUUAGCUGAGAUUGGUUGGCGAAAUAUGCCUUAGUUGUCGAAUAGGGUGCAGUUAAUUGUAGGACCUAGGAGGGGGAUUCCUUGGACUCCCCCAAACGUUGGUUAGUUGAGAUUUAGUGUCAAUGGUUCUGCAAGAGGUAAACAUGACCGGGUAGGUUGUAAAGGUGUCUUUAGAGAUAGCAGUGGUAUUAUUAUUGGUAUUUUCUUUGGCCCCUUAAGUGAACUUGAGUCUAACUGUGCUAAAGUUAAGGCUAUUAAAACUGCUUUACAUUUUAAAAUCUCUGGUAUUAGAAUCAGAUUCUUGUGUUGCUCUAUCAUGGAUAUCAAAACCAGAUGACCAAUCAUGGACUUUAUGAAAUAUUUUUGCUGAAAUUGGCAAGUUGCAAAGGGCGAUUGGAGGGGUCACUUACAAGCAAAUCUGCAGAGAGACUAACUACUUCGCCGAGUCUCUUGCAAAAACGGGGAUUGGCUGAUCCAAUAUGUUCAGUGCCUACGGGUGAUGAGAGCAUGGAAUGUUGCGGUUCCUUUGAGAAUUUUGCUAUUUCCUUAUUUUUCUUUCUGUUUGUAUUGUAACGAGCUUAACUGUUGUCAUCAUUUUUCUGGUCAUUUCGGUGUUUCAUGUUUUUGUUUACUCCCGUUCAACAAUUUGGACUAUGAAAUUCGUAAGCCACUUCUCUAUUAAUAAAAAGGACUUAUUUGAAAAAAAAAAGAAUAGCGUUGGAGCAUUGCCAGACAUGUGGCGAGGUCAGGGUUCCUAGGAUCCCACGGAUCCAACAGUACUUAUCCGCAAAUUGCUUAAGACUUGGUCCAAAGGAAAAUAGUAUUUCAGUGGUGUUUGUGCCAGAAGACAGAGAAAUCGAGAAUGACAAAAGCUGCAUUCUAUGCACAUCUUGAUCAAAAACUCUCAUUGAUAAUUACUGAUGAUUAUCUAAGCCACAAAGAAAGAAUACAAAAGCUAGCAUAUUUUUACGUCAUAAUCCUUUAUAUGGAAUCAACCAAUAUCCGUAUGACAUUAUUAGAAAAAAGAAAGAGUGCUUUUAAUUAAUUAUUCGAUAGGGAAUAUACGUACUUAACAAAUUUAUGGUGCAAAUGCAUCUAUACAUGAUCGCUGGGCUAUUUUAUACUCAAAUUUAUGUCCAUGCGUUACAUCUUUGAGUAGAAGUUUGGAGGUACUGAUUAGCAUAACCAAGAUAAUGUCAAAUGACUGUAUGAGAAAGGGGUAUGGUUAUGUUGUGUAUUUUCAUUUGUUGGAUAAUUUGUAAUAUUUAAAAGUUUCAUAUUAAAAAAUAAUUAUUCAAAACAUAACUUUUUUAAUAAAUAAAAAUAUUUUGAACAAACACAAUUAUUGAAAAUUGUUCACUAAACACGUUUGUUGAAACACAAUACAUAUAUUUGUAAAAAUACUACAGAUACAUCUAUUGAAAUAUAACAAACAUAACUUUUUAGUUUUUAUAAAAAAACUUACUUCUAAGACAGACUUCAUUCUUCAAAAGCGUUCUGUAAUAAGUUUGCUAUAUCUUAUAGAGUCUUUAUCUGCAAAUCCACAUAAUAGAUAAUAACUCUUUAAACAAAGUAUGUUAUAGCACUCCUCAAGCAUUUCUCCUUACUAAUUUUCUAACAAUAGCAAAUCGGUCAAGUUUGAUGAAUUCUUAAUUCAUGAAUUGAAAUCUCGAAUUUGACUUAGGUUUUAUUAAAAACAACUUUUUACAAAAAAAUGUGUUACAACAUGCCUCAUUCCUUUCUAUUUUUUUCUUAUACUAAUUUUCUAACACCAUAGAAAGUUCAUAACCGGGAAAAUAGGAGGCAAUGCAGUAUCCACGAGGAUUACUACAUACACCGCAUGAAAGGAUCUGCCAAUGUCUGUCUGUUUCCUAGAUUCCAACUUCAUUGCUAAAUGAAUGUUCAUUCUAAAAAUUUGGCACCAACACUACUUAUUAAAACCACGUGGAAGGAUCCGCCAAUGUCAAUGCUCGUUUCCAGUUUACACAAGCAAAUUAAUUCACGGCACUAAGCCCGCCGAAGAAUUUGAAUACCUAACGUUCCUUCAGUUUUCAUCGUUUGACAAGUUAAUGAAGAAAAUAAUUUUGUUAAGAAGUGCUACAAGUAAGACCACUACCCUUUUGUCAGAAGGAAUUCAAAUAUGUUUAAGAUCUUAUGAUAAAAUCUAAAUAGUUAUUCAUCUUAAUCAUUCAUUAAUUUUUGUUCUUUUAUAAAAAAAUUGAGAGCACACUAGUUGUUCCAACUUCAUUUUAGGUCGCAAAUGUUGAGAAUUAUCUCUUCUAGUGAAUAACAUUAAAACAAGUUAUUAGUAAGACUCAAAUCCAAAUGAAUUAUGUUGGGGUACAUUACCUUACUGAUUAAACUGAUUUGUCAUUGUUAUUUAUUAAAGUUUGUUUGGUUUAUAUUUUUAGCUUUUAUUAAAUUUUUUCUUUUCCUUUUUCUAUUUAUUUUUUAUAAAAAAUAAAAAAAAAUACAUCGAUAAACAAACUUAAUGAUGCCUUCAGCUAUGGGUGUUGCUGAUUGUUUCAAUUCUUAAUUUUUUGUAUUGUAAGAAAUGGAUAUUUCUACCUUUAGUACCACAAACGAGGAAAUGGAUGCUUCUUUUUUCAUUUUCAACUUAAGAUUGUUUAUUAUUUUUAUUCAAUCUCAAAGUUUUAAUUCAUUUAGAUUGUGUGUUUUGAUAUCAUGCUAUGCUUUAUGGAAUGGUUCAGCUUAUUCUUCAGUGCUUCUGCCAUUUCUUUUCUUACCAUUUUGUUAAAAUUUAUCAUCACAAACUUCUGUUUAUAAUGUUUCUUUUUCUUUAUCAUAUGUUAUGUACUUUUGUUUAGCUUAUUGUUGUGAGGUGCAGUAUUCAUAAUUCCUGACAUGAAUUGCUGAUAAAAUUUUAUAAAAAAGACAUGGUCAAAAACUUAAGAAAAUCAUGACAUUGUCACGACAAAUUAAUUUCUUUGUAAAGAGGAAUAAAUUUUGGUUGACUGCAUGAUAGAGAGAAUUUGGCUUGAAAGUCCUGGAUCAUACCUAUGAUCGAGGAGAGGCUAACUAGAAGUAAGACUUGGAAACGUGUGAGUGAUGGGGAAUUAUUGUAUAGUAUGUAAUGGGAAUGGUAAUAUUUGGACUUGGAUGAAUGUAUAGUGUACUUACUAUUAUGCAGUAAUUCUAUGCCACUUGAAUUUCAUCAUGUUUUUCAUAUCUACAAAAUUUAAAGAAGAAAAAAAAGAGAACAAAUGGCGAAUGGUUAACUAAGAAUUUCAAAGUCAAAGAAAUACAAAUUCCCUAAUUUCAUUUAUAAAAUAAUAAAAACAUUUUGACAAUGAUUAUCUCAUGCAUUAAAGCCUACACUGUUUGUGGCGAAGGGAAUGACUGACUUAAAAAGUUUUGUUGACUUUGCAUGGCCGGCCUCGCAAAUUUCUUUUUUAUUAGUCGAUGUUUUGCACACGUAGGUUUAGGACACUCCGGUUUUUACCUUGACGUAAACAUUCCGGUUCUGUUCAUGGAUCAACUUUGGAUUCUUUUGGCGGCCUAAAUGGAUUGAUUGAUCUGAUGGGACUUUGAGGUCUUGGAGACAAUGAAAAUCUGAAGCACCCAUUGGAACAGAGUGGUCAAUUAAUGGGGGGAAAUGUUGCUGCCCUCCGAAGGCCUUGUAGAGGUAACCAAGGUAUUUAGAAACUGGAGAGGCCAGCGCACAUUCUAUAUUUAGACAUUUGUUGGUGUACAAUAUCGAUAGUCAAUAGUAUCCCAAAUCAGCCGAAAUGAAAUUUUUUAACACGUUGCGUUCGUGAAGUUCUUUUAGAAUUUUCAUUUCAUUCUGCAGGUAUUUUUUUAAUGCCCAUACUCAACCUCACCACAUCACUGAUAGCUGGUUUUGCUAAGGCUGUUUUCUAUGCGUUCUUACGAGGAGCUAAACCCACAAACUACCCAACGAGCAAGGCCAAAACCGAAGCCUGUCUGCCUCAUCUGGAAGCUGUGAAACAUCAACAAUCCAAUUUGAAAAAUGAAAAAAUCCUUGAAACCCACAUUAUCUUGAACUCAUUUGUUACUCAUUUAUCUUUUCUUUCUAAUGUCACGGAUCUCAUAUCAGUAAGAGAUGAAAUAAAUUUGAGUAUAUAAAUAUGGAUCUUCUAUCAUCUAUCAAGUAUAUUUUUUAGAUUAAGAACGUAAACUUAUAAAUUAUAGUACUUUUCAUAAAUUGGCUUGAGGCAUAAGGCGUUUUUAAGAAUGAUCCUCUUUAUAAUUUUUUCUAUUUUUAGCCAAGAGAAAAAAAAUUAGAUAAAAUUAUCCUCCAUGAAACCGACCCAUUCGCUAGGCUCCGUGCCUCAACCCGAAACCUAUUAACGGGUCAAGUAUGUUUUGAUUUGUGCUUCAAACUGACUCAUAUUUUUUGAGUUUUUCUCACCAAACUAUUCAUCUCUAGAGUAUUUCUUCUUAGAAAGAAAAACGUUUAAGCAUUUUGAGUAUUUUAGAGUAGUUUUUGAUACACGAAGAAAAUCUGUGAGCGGUUUGAGCAUUUUUAAACAUUUUAGAGUGAUUUUUGAUAUAUGAAGAAAAACUUUCGAACAUUUUGAGCAUUCAUAUUUGUUAAUUAUGUUGUUAAAUGGAAUAUGGUGUAUCGUUUGAAGUUGUUAAUCUUGUUAAAUGGAAUUCAAUAGUUUUGGUGAUUUUUAAGAAUUAUAUGACUAGUUUUUAGGUAUUGCGUAACUGAAUUUGGGCAUUACGUGACUAGGCAUUACGUAACUAAAUUUGGGCAUUGCGUGACUAAUUUCUGAUAAGGCAUUGCGUGACUAGUUUUUUAUAAGGCAUUGCAUGACUAGUUUUUGAUAAGGCAUUGCAUGACUAGUUGAUAGGCAUGACAUGACUUGUUAGUAAGGUAUUGCAUGACUAGUUAGUAAGGCAUUGUGUGACUUAAGCAUUGCUUAAAAAUCAGUCAGUCAAUGUGUAAAAACUAGUCACGUAAUGCCUAAAACCAAUUACGUAAUGACUAAAAAUUGUCACACGGUGAUUAAGUCACAUAAUACCUAAAAAUCAAUAAACUCAAUUUUGGAGUUCUAUGAAUAAACCAAUAAAUUCAAGAACCUAAAAUACAUUUUUUUUUUUUUGCUAAGCCAUGAAAUUGUGCAUUUCAUAAAAGAUAGGUUACAAAACUCCAUAACCCUCCGAAGCAAGAGAAAAUAUAUCCCUAUCGGGAAGUCUUGCUGACUCCCCUUAUACAAAAACAAAAUAUACCCUUUUUACAAAAUAUUCCCUGAACAAUUUCAACUCAAAAUCCUAUAAAAAAAAUCAAAAUCCCUAGCAAACAUGUUUAACAAUCAUCUCAAUUCCAGACACAAUAAAAUGUGAACCCUCAUAAAACCCAUCAAACAUGUUUUAGCUGUUCUUUCUCCCUGAGCAAAAUCACUGCUUGCAAAGAGCAAAAUUGCUGUUCAUCGCCCUUAAGAACCCUAAGAUCCUGAGCAAAAUCGCUGCCUGCAAAGAGCAAAAUUGUUGUUCAUCUCCCUUAAGAACCCUAAGAUCCACCAUUCAAAAAAAUAAAACAAAAUAUAAAAAAAAGCUUGAUGUCAUAUCUGCGAAUUGGAUGGCGAGAUAAACAUAUUUGAGAAUAGAGAAAUCGAGAUUUAUUUUUGAAAUUUUUAUCUGGAUGGUGGGAGAGAGAAAACUAAAAUCAUUUUAAUUUGUCUGAAAUUGUUUAAAGGGUAUUAUUGUCAAGUCAUACCAAAAUUUGACCAAAAAUAGUUAAAAUUAUAAAAAAUGAUAUUUUUAAAUUGGGUUUAUGAGGAAGGUUAUUUCUCACAAUUUUUUCUAUAAAUUAUAAGUUUACUUAAACUCUUUUUUCAGAGUUUGAGGCUGUACAAAGUUGAGCUUAAGUUUCAGUCCGUGACAUUUGAUUUGGGUAGAACACAAUAUCACAAAUCCUGCAUGAAUAAGAAAUGGGAUGGGUCUAAGGUAUAUAAAUAUGAAUUUUUCACCACUUAUCAGACAUGUUUUAUAAAUUGGGAAUGUAAGCCCAUAAUUUAUUUACUUAAGCUCUAUUUUCAAAAUUUAAAUUCACACAAAAUUAUAUUUAAGUUUCGACCCAUGACACUAACUUCUUUGAUUUUGUCAUUGGGCCUCUCACCCAACUUCUUGUAUUUUUUUAUUUUAAGAAAAUGUUGCAGAAAGUCUAGGAAUAAAAUACGCAUCUUAUUAUGGUUAAGACUUCUAUAUAUUUAAUUAAUGAGUAAAAUUUUGAGAAUAAGAGUUGGAAAAAUGAAAAAGAAAAAAAAAACACGAAACUACCUUUGGGAAAAAGUAGACAGACGGAUUUGAGAAGAAGAGUAAGACUCUGCAAAAAUUGAGAGAAAAUCACUGUGGAAAUUGUGCUGAAUUCAUGCGUUGAUCAAUCGAUUACAAAGGUGUUUAUAUACAAUCUGUUACAAUCUUUGGGAAAAAUAACCAACUACUAGUUAGUUAGAUAAAAAUGUUAGUUCCAUAGUCAGCAUUUCUUAACAAAAAAAAAAAAAAAAACUACGGUUACUUAAAGAUAAAUUUGUACAAUAAAAGUUUGUUUACCUUAAAACUAAAUUGGGAGUCACAUGUGCCAAUCACGUGCUAUCAUUUUAAAUGGACAUGUGCAAGCCACAUGAUUGUCUUCUUUUCAAAAUCAAUUCAGUCUUUAAAUUCUUCAAUUCAAUUACAACUAGGCUUCAAUACUCCACUGAUUAGCUUUUCAUUCUCCGUCAUCUUUGCUGAUACUCCAUCUCAAAACCUUUUCAUAAAUAGAAUGAUAAUCUAUUUCUAUAUGUUUUGUGCACUCAUAAAAAAAGAGACUUGUACCGGUGUAAAUAACAAAUUGAUUAUCACAAUAAAGCUUUACUACGCUGGUAUGAUGAAUCCCAAAAUCUACUAACAAAGAUUUUAACCAUAUAAUUUCAUAACAGAAAAAAGCGAUAAACAAUAUUUUUCCUUAGUUUAACUUUUCUCCACUAUCGGUUAUUUCUUGGACUUCCAACUAACCAAUGAAUUGCCAAUAAACAUGCUGAAACUAGUCACUAAUUAGUGUGAUCUGGGCAUCUUGCCCCGUCUCUAUCAGGGUAUACUCUAAGGCAUAAAUAUGAUUUUGUCUCCCUUUAAAUUCCCUAUGUUGAUCCCAAUGGAGUGUUAAAGGGGAGGUGAAUAAUACUUAAAAAUUUUCUUAAAGGAAACUCUUAAGUUUGAAAACAAUUUGAAUAAAUUUGAAGAGGAAAGUUUAAAGCUUGUUAAGGUUAAAAGGCACUGAGUAAAGAAAAUACAAAUAUUUACAAUGAUUUGCCUUCUUAACCUACAUCCACUAUCUUAAUCUCUCAAUUAAGGAUUUUCAACCCAAUUUCACUAAACUAGUAAAAUUAACAACUUCUACCAAGCUUUUAGAAAGUGAACUCCUCCUAACCAAACUCUAAACCCAAAAAAAAAAAAAAUCAACUAGAAAAAAAAAAAAAAAAAAAACCCAAACUCUAAACCCUUACAAGAACAUCCAAGCUUUCUAAGCUUGGUCUACCUCUUACUACAUGUUUGGUACGGGGAAUAACUAAGCUAUUUCCCCUUUAAUCCCAUCAAUUACUUUCUCCCUUACUUGGUUGCCAAUAAUGUCAAGAAAUAGCUUAUCUUAAAUUUUAGCUAUUCUUCAAAAUCAGUAAUAACUCAUGUUUACCAAAAUAUAAAAUCAUUUUUUCUCGCUCUUCCUCCUCUCCCUCCUCUUCCAACGGCGUUGUUCUCUUCCACCAAUUCCAGCUCAGCUAAUUGCUACCACUUUUCUCUCCUCCACCUUUCCAACUACGUUGCUCUCUUCUCGUCAACUUUUCCAGCUCCACAUAUCACAGUCUACUUUGGAUCAAAUACCUAUUUGAUGUAAAGCAAAAUGGGUUGAACUCCCCGUUUUUCUGUUAUUUUUUGAUGUUCUGGGUUUAAUUUGCUGUUGUCCUAAUUUUUGGUUCUUUGUUUUUGAUGUUUUGGGCUUGCAACUCUGCUCAUAGUCUUUGAGACUAGUGCUUUAUUGUUUUGUUGAAAUGCCUCUUGUCUUAACUGUAUACUCCCGCUUUGAAAAUUGUUCAGUAAACAUACAAUACACACAUUUGUUAAAACACUACAAAUACAUUUGUUGAAAUAUAAUAGAUACAACUUUUUAGUGUUUAUAAAAAAAACAUACUUCUAAUACAGACUUCAUUCUUCAAAAGUAUUUUGUAAUAAGUUUGCUGUAUCCUGUAAAGUCUUUAUCUACAAUUUCCCAUAAUAAAUAAUAACUUUUUAAACAAAGUAUGUUAUAGCAUGCCUCAAGCAUUUUUCCUCUUUUCUUAUACUAAUUUUCUAACAAUAACAAAUUGGUCAAGUUUGAUAAAUUUUUAAUUUAUGAAUUGAAAUUUCGAAUUUGGAUUACAUUUCAUUAAAAACAACUACGUAGAAAAAAUGUGUUACAACACGCCUCAAGCUUCUCUUUUUUUCUUAUACUCAUUUUCUAACACCGUAGAAAGUUCAUAACCAGGAAAAUAGAAGGCGGCAAUGCAGUAUCCACGAGGAUUACUACAUACACCGCAUGAAAGGAUCUGCCAAUGUCUGUCUGUUUCCUAGAUUCCAACUUCAUUGCCAAAUGAAUGUUCUUUCUAAAAAAUUUGGCACCAACACUACUUAUUAAAACCACGUGGAAGGAUCCGCCAAUGUCAAUGCUCUUUUCCAGUGUGCACAAGCAAAUUAAUUCACGGCACUAACCCGCCGAAGAAUUUGAAUGAAUAUCUAACGUUCCUUGAGUUUUCAUCGUUCGACAAGUUCAUAAAGAAAAUAAUUUUGUUAAGAAAUGCUACAAGUAAGACCAGUACCCUUUUGUCAAAAGGAAAUCCAAUAUGUUUAAGAUCUUUAUGAUAAAAUCUAAAUAGUUAUUCAUCUUAAUCAUUCAUUAAUUUUUGUUCUUUUAUAAACGAAUUGAGAGCACACUAGUUGUUCCAACUUCAUUUUAGGUCGCAAAUGUUGAGAAUUUUCUCUUCUACUGAAUAACAUUAAAACAGGUUAUUAGUAAGACUCAAAACCAAAUGAAUUAUGUUGAGGUGCAUUACCUUGCUGAUUAAACUGAUUUAUCAUUGUUAUUUAUUAAAGUUUGUUUGGUUUAUAUUUUUAGCUUUUAUUAAAUUUUUUCUUUGCCUUUUUCUAUUUAUUUUUUAUAAAAAAUAAAAAUAAAAGAUAAAUACAUCGAUAAACGAACUUAAUGAUGCCUUCAGCUAUGGGUGUUGCUGAUUGUUUCAAUUCUUAAAUUUUUGUAUUGUAAGAAAUGGAUAUUUCUACCUUUAGUACCACAAACGAGGAAAUUGGAUGCUUCUUUUUUCAUUUUCAACUUAAGACUGUUUAUUAUUUUAUUCAAUCUUAAAGUUUUAAUUCGUUUGGAUUGUAUGUUUGGAUAUCAUGUUAUGCCUUAUGGAAUGGUUCAGCUUAUUCUUCAGUGCUUCUACCAUUUCUUUUCUUACCAUUUUCUUAAAAUUUAUCCCACAAACUUUUGUUUAUAAUGUUUCUUUUUCUUUAUCAUAUGUUAUGUACUUUUGUUUAGGUUAUUGUUGUGAUGAGCAGUAUUCAUAAUUCCUAACAUGAAUUGCUGAUAAAAUUUUAUAAAAAAUACAUGAUCAAAAACUUAAGAAAAUCAUGACAUUGUCGCAACAAAAUUAAUUUCUUUAAAAAUUGACUGAAUAUAGAAGAAAAAUUAUACGUAUUUUACAGAUUAUAAGUAAAGCCGAUUUUCUUACAGCAAUAUUAUUAGAGUUGCGAAAUCUUGCACCCUUGUAGUGUAUUCAAAUUGUUUGUAAAAUAUAUAAAUUAAUUGGAAACAAGCAAAUUCGGACUUUCUAAAGAGGAAUACAUUUUGGUUGACUGCAUGAUAGAGAGGAUUUGCCUUGAAAGUCCUGGAUCAUACCUAUGAUAGAGGAGAGGCUAACUAGAAGUAAGACUUGGAAACGUGUGAGUGAUGGGGAAUUUUAUGUAUAGUAUGUAAUGGGAAUGGUAAGAUUUGGAAAUGGAUGAAUGUAUACUGUAAUUACUAUCAUGCAGUAAUUCUAGGCCACUUGAAUUUCAUCAUGUUUUUCAUAUUUAUAAAAUUUAAAGAAGACAAAAAAGAGAACAAAUGGCAAAUGGUUAACUAAGAAUUUCAAAGUCAAAGAAAUACAAAUUCCCUAAUCUCAUUUCCUUUUAUUAGUCGAUGUUUUGCACACGUAAGUUUAGUACAUCCCGGUUUUAGCUUGACGUAAACGUUCCGGUUCUGUUCAUGGAUCAACUUUUGAUCCUUUUGGCCUAAAUGGAUUGAUUGAUCUAAUGGGACUUUGAGGUCUUGGAGCGAGAAUGCAAAUCUGAAGCAUCCAUUGGAACAAAGCGGUCAAUUAUUGGGGGCAAAUGUUGCCGCCCUCCCAAGGGCUUGUAGAGGUAACCAUAGAGAUGUUAAUGGGUACCGUACUAUAAGGUAUCUUAAGAGUACUCGAUCCGAUUACACGAAAUUAGAGUGCUCAAUAAAUGGAUUUGGAUAGUGAUUUCACUAUUCGAAUCGAGUUUAGAUAAGGUUUGGGAAUUACUUUUUGGGUAUCCGUUACCCCGAAUUCGAUUAUGUAAUAUUCGGGUUCCGUGAGUACCUGACCCGAAUCUAACUAUAAUACUCGUAUAUAUUUUUUUUAGUAUUUAAAUAAUUAAAUAAAAAUGACCCAAGUAGUGAUUCAUUACCCGAAUCGGGUUUGGGUAAGGUUUGGGAAUCACUUUUUGGGUAUUCGUUACCCGAACCUGAUUAUGCAAUAUUCAGGUUUUGCGAGUACUCGACUCGAAUCCAACUAUAAUACAAAAUCUUUACCAUCUUGACAAACAAUUUUUUUAGUAAGUAUUGACAAAUAUAUUAAAAAUAUGAUUAGUCAAAUUAUUAAUGUGAUGAUAUUAAUAUAUAUAAAUUAAAAAAUUAUUAUAUUAUUAAUUAUGUUUAAAUAAUAUGAAUAUCAUAUCAUAUUACAAAGGAAUAUAACUACUAUUAUAUAUAUACAUUUUUAAUAUAAAUGUAUUUACUUUUUAUUUUGUGUUAACAUUACAAAAAAUUAUAACUUAUAAUAUAUAUACUUAAAGAGACUCUUUGAGUUUAGAAUAGUUUUGGGAUCUAACUAUUUUUUUAUAUUUUCAUGUAUUAAAUAAUGUAAAAAAAUUGAUUUCCUUUUUUCAAAAAAUUAUAAGAAAAUGUUUCGUAACUUGAUUUUAAAAAUAUUCAUCAAAAUAAAAUCAAUUAUUUUUAGUCAUAUUUAAUUAUAAUUUGAUAAAAAUAUUUUUAAAAUCAUUUUAAAUAAAUUAAAUCAUAAAUCACAACUUUUAUUUAUUUUUAUCUUUGAUUUUAGAUUUUUUUCUUAUUAUCCAACUCUUUUUAAUUUUAUCGAUUUUUUUUCAAUAUUUGUCUAUUGUGCUUUAUAUUUCUCUCUCUCAUGCUUUUUAAGACAUUGAGUGAUGAUUUUNNNNNNNNNNNNNNNNNNNNNNNNNNNNNNNNNNNNNNNNNNNNNNNNNNNNNNNNNNNNNNNNNNNNNNNNNNNNNNNNNNNNNNNNNNNNNNNNNNNNNNNNNNNNNNNNNNNNNNNNNNNNNNNNNNNNNNNNNNNNNNNNNNNNNNNNNNNNNNNNNNNNNNNNNNNNNNNNNNNNNNNNNNNNNNNNNNNNNNNNNNNNNNNNNNNNNNNNNNNNNNNNNNNNNNNNNNNNNNNNNNNNNNNNNNNNNNNNNNNNNNNNNNNNNNNNNNNNNNNNNNNNNNNNNNNNNNNNNNNNNNNNNNNNNNNNNNNNNNNNNNNNNNNNNNNNNNNNNNNNNNNNNNNNNNNNNNNNNNNNNNNNNNNNNNNNNNNNNNNNNNNNNNNNNNNNNNNNNNNNNNNNNNNNNNNNNNNNNNNNNNNNNNNNNNNNNNNNNNNNNNNNNNNNNNNNNNNNNNNNNNNNNNNNNNNNNNNNNNNNNNNNNNNNNNNNNNNNNNNNNNNNNNNNNNNNNNNNNNNNNNNNNNNNNNNNNNNNNNNNNNNNNNNNNNNNNNNNNNNNNNNNNNNNNNNNNNNNNNNNNNNNNNNNNNNNNNNNNNNNNNNNNNNNNNNNNNNNNNNNNNNNNNNNNNNNNNNNNNNNNNNNNNNNNNNNNNNNNNNNNNNNNNNNNNNNNNNNNNNNNNNNNNNNNNNNNNNNNNNNNNNNNNNNNNNNNNNNNNNNNNNNNNNNNNNNNNNNNNNNNNNNNNNNNNNNNNNNNNNNNNNNNNNNNNNNNNNNNNNNNNNNNNNNNNNNNNNNNNNNNNNNNNNNNNNNNNNNNNNNNNNNNNNNNNNNNNNNNNNNNNNNNNNNNNNNNNNNNNNNNNNNNNNNNNNNNNNNNNNNNNNNNNNNNNNNNNNNNNNNNNNNNNNNNNNNNNNNNNNNNNNNNNNNNNNNNNNNNNNNNNNNNNNNNNNNNNNNNNNNNNNNNNNNNNNNNNNNNNNNNNNNNNNNNNNNNNNNNNNNNNNNNNNNNNNNNNNNNNNNNNNNNNNNNNNNNNNNNNNNNNNNNNNNNNNNNNNNNNNNNNNNNNNNNNNNNNNNNNNNNNNNNNNNNNNNNNNNNNNNNNNNNNNNNNNNNNNNNNNNNNNNNNNNNNNNNNNNNNNNNNNNNNNNNNNNNNNNNNNNNNNNNNNNNNNNNNNNNNNNNNNNNNNNNNNNNNNNNNNNNNNNNNNNNNNNNNNNNNNNNNNNNNNNNNNNNNNNNNNNNNNNNNNNNNNNNNNNNNNNNNNNNNNNNNNNNNNNNNNNNNNNNNNNNNNNNNNNNNNNNNNNNNNNNNNNNNNNNNNNNNNNNNNNNNNNNNNNNNNNNNNNNNNNNNNNNNNNNNNNNNNNNNNNNNNNNNNNNNNNNNNNNNNNNNNNNNNNNNNNNNNNNNNNNNNNNNNNNNNNNNNNNNNNNNNNNNNNNNNNNNNNNNNNNNNNNNNNNNNNNNNNNNNNNNNNNNNNNNNNNNNNNNNNNNNNNNAAAAAAUGGAAAUGAAUGGAAUGGAUGAUAGGCUAAAAAAUAUUUAGAUUAAAUUAAGAAAAAAUUGGAAAUUAUUGAAAUAUUGGUGGGGUAUUCUUAGGUAAAAAUAUAUGAAAGUGCAUGUAAAAUAUGUUUAUACAUUAGAUUGUAAGAAUAUGUUUAGUGAAUGAGAAUAAACAAGGAAGAAACAUUUUAUGUUAAAUAAAAGAUAAUAAUAAGUUGAGUUAGUCAAAUAAUCAUAAUAGGAUAAGUAUUAGAAUCGACCUUAGAAAAUCGAAUUUUAAGAUGCCACGAUAUUAAUUAUAGGAGUAAUAUAUAAAUACCGAUAAUAGGAUGAUUGGUCGGAACACGAGGAAUCGCAAUCUCAGGCUAAUUUUCUCUAGGUUCGGAAUCCGAAUCAAGGCCCCACCAGUAUGAUGGGAGGGCCUCGAUUUUGAGAUUUUGAGAUUUUUAUUUUAAAUAAAUAAAAAUUUUACUACAUAAAAAUUAGUUAAAAAUAAUAAAUUAAAAAAUUAAAAAAUUAAAAUAUAUAAAAAUAAAUGCUAUAUUUUAUUUGUUCAAAAAAAUAUAAUAAUAAUAAAUAAUAAUAAAAUAAGAAUAAAUUUAAAAAAAGCAUAUCAUAUGUUUCCAUCGCAUCAUCCACAUCAUGGUAUUAUGAUAUUUUUGUUCACGAGUAUAAGUCCCGAUGAUGGGAUCUUCCGACGAUCUUGCGAAGGCGGGUAUAUCUCGAAAAGUUUCCUAGGUGAAAAGAUGUCCUCGGGUCCCACCAGUAUGAUGGGAGGGCUCGAGAAACAUCUUUAAUAAAAAGCUUUAGCUUGUGUUAGGUUCAUUAUUCACGAAAAUAUUAUUUUUUAAAGAAAAACGUACGAUAACCCUGAUGAUGGGAAUUAUUCGUUGAAUUUGCGAAGACGAGUUUCUCGAGUAAUUUUCUAGGUGAGAGAACACCUCGAACCCCACCAAUAUGAUGGGCGGGUUCGGGAGAACGUCCUCAAUAAAAGGUUAUUCGUCCGACAUUUUUAUCUCACACCAUGCAUCUCAUCUUUCCUCAUAUUUGCAUUUCAUUUUAGGUUAAAUAUGAGAUAAAAUAAGAGAACAAUAACUAAGAAAAUAUAGUGAACUUAAAAAUUAAAGCCUAAUAGGAUAAUCUAAAAAAUGGUACCGUUCAUGGAACGGGUGUCCCGGGGGUACUAAUCCUUCUCCGGGCAUAACCGUACUCCCGAACUUAGAUCUAGGAAAAUGCAGACCAGUUUAAGGUUCUUUUCGGUGGGCUUAAAAUUAAUUUAAAGCUUCAUUGAUUAGAAUCGAGUCGAGUGAAUAGGUGGCCAAUCGCACCUAGAAAAAAAAAUUGGUGACGACUCCUAGUUUUAGAGUUUUCACUGGCGUCUGGCGGUCGGGGUCCCGGACCCGCACGUUACGACACCUUACCCAUUGACAACCUUAGUAACCAAGGGAUUUGGAAACCGGAGAGGCCAAUGAAUAUUCUAUGUUUAGACAUUUGUUAGUGUACAAUAUCGAUAGUCAAUAAUAUGCUAAAUCAGCCGAAAUGAAAUUUUUUAACACGCUGCGUUCAUGAAGUUUUCUCUUUUCUUGCAAGACUUGGAUCUUUUUAGAAUUUCAUUUCAUUCUGCAGGUAUUUUUUAAUGCCCAUACUCAACCUCACCACAUCACUUUUAGCUGGUUUUGCUAAGGCUGUUUUCUAUGCGUUCUUACGAGGAGUUAAACCCACAAACUACCCAACGAGCAAGGCCAAAACCAAAUAUAUUUUUAUAUGUUUUGUGCGCUCAUAAAAAAAUAGGACUUUUACCAGUAUGAAUAACAGAUUGAUUAUCACAAUAAAGCAUUACUACGCUGGUAUAAUGAAUCCCAAAAUCUAUUAACAAAGACUUUAACCAUAUAAUUUCACAACAGGAAAAAGCCAUAAAUGAUAUUCUGCCUUAGUUUAACUUUUCUCCACUAUCGGUUUUUUCUUGGACUUCCAACUAACGAAUGAAUUGCCAAUAAACAUGCUGAAACUAGUCACUAAUUUGUGUGAUCUGGGCAUCCUGCCCAGUCACUAUCAGAGUGGCAUAAAUAUGAUCUUGUCUCCUUUUAAAUUCCCUAUGUUGAUCCCAAUAGAGUGUUAGAAGGGAAGUGAAUAACACUUAAAAAUUUUCUUAAAGGAAAUUCUUAAGUUUGAAAACCUUUUGAAUAAAUUUGAAGAGGAAAAUUUAAAACUCGUUAAGGUUAAAAGGUACAGAGUAAAGAAAACACAAAUAUUUAUAAUGGUUUGGCCUCCUUAACUUAUAUCUACUACCAUGAUCUCUUAAUCAAGAAUUUUUAACUCAACUUUAGCAAACUAGUAAAAUUAACAACUUCCAUCAAACUUUUAGAAGUGAGCUCCUAACCAAACUCUAAACCCUUAUAAGAAUCCCUAAGCCUUCCAAACUUAGUCUACCCCUUACUACAUGUUUGGUAUGGAGAAUUACUAAGCUAUUUCCCCUUUAAUCCCAUCUAUUACUUUCUCCCUUAUUUGGUUGCCAAUAAUGUCAAGGAAUAGCUAAUUUUAAAUUUUAGCUAUUUUUCAAAUUCAGUAAUAACUCAUGUUUACCACAAUAUAAAAUCAUUUUUUCUCUCUCUUCCUCCUCUACCUCCUUCUCUUCCAACGGCAUUGUUCUCUUCCACCAUUUCCAGCUCCGCUAAUUGCCACUGCCUUUCUCUCCUCCACCUUUCCAACUAUGCAGCUCUCUUCUCUUCAACGUUUACAGCUCCACCUAUCACAGCCUAUUUUGGAUCAAAUACUUGUUUGAUGUAAAGCAGAAUGGGUUGAACUCCUUGUUUUUCUGUUCAUUUUUUGAUGUUCUGGGUUUACUUUGCUGUUGUCCUAUUUUUUGUUCUUUGUUUUUGUUGUUUUGGGCUUGCAACUCUGCACAUAGUCUUUGAGACUAGUGCUUUAUUGUUUUGUUGAAAUGCUUUUUGUCUUAACUGUAUAUUCCUACUUUAAUUAUCUUUUUGACUGGUGCGCAAAUAUGCUUCACUUAUCAAAUCAAGCAUUCACGUUUUCCCUUUUUCCACCUUCAUUUUUGGUCAACAGUUCUCUUCCAUGGAACAUUUAAUACAGAAUAAUAGUAAAGAAUAACAGUAAAUUAACCUUAGAUGGAAGACCAUCUUUCUAAUUUGAAUAAAAGAAUUGUAAUUGAUUUAGCAAUUUGGACAAACAUCAACGUAUGAAUUAGGGGCUAUAUAACCUGUACGUGUCUAACUUUUCAAAAAUUCAAACAAUUAAUGAUGAGAUGUUGAUAUAAAUAAUUCUAUUCUCAGUUUUUAUUUCUACUAGUUUUUUUAUUUUUUUCCAUAAUAUUUUUUCUCCAGUAUUUCUUCUAAAAAAAGAUUUUGAUAAUGAUCCACAAUAGGUAAAGAAUGGACCAAAAAUAAACAUCUAUAAAUAAAAUUCAAUUGACAUUUAGGAUAAUAAUGUGAUUAAAUUAUAGUCUAGAAUAAUUUUGUCCAUUUUUAAAAAUAUGUGAGUAAAUUAUAAUUAAGUAUAUUUUUAGCAUUUGGGAUAAAUAUGUGAUAAAAUUAUAAUUAUGGAUAAUUUUGUUUUUUGAGAUAAAUAUGUUUUUAAAUUAUAAUAAGGAUAAUUUUGUUUUUUAUAAAAAUAAAUGCUAUUAUAGUAAAAGAGUAUUUUUUUAUCACCUAUUCCUUUGUUAUUCCAAGAUUUUCUUUUUACCCACCAAACACUGCAAUAAGUCAUAAUAACAAUUUCUAUCCUAUUUCAUUUACUGUAUCAAAUUACAUAAUAAUUAUUCUAUUUUAUUCUUACCUUACUCUCUCACAAAAUAACUAUUUUAUUCCAUUUUUGUCUAUUUUGCAAACCAAAUGUGCUGUUAGAGUGUCCCGCACUCUCUAAGUAAACAAGAAAUGUAGAAAAGAUGCAGCACAAAUGAUCGCCUAGUUGAUCUAAGAUGUACAAAAUUAAGCUUAAACAUUUUUACAAAGAAUAGGAGUAAAAUACAUUUGAAAAGAGAAGUUUCUAACACUUUUAGGCUCAAUCUUGCUCUUGGAUGAUUCUCUCAUGUAUUUAUCACCGUUUGAACCCUAUUUAUACUUAGAGAGUGAAAUCUGACCGUUGGAUACUGUUUGGGAAGAAUCUAGUUGUUAUUUUGUCUUUUACCGGUUUUGAAUUCAAAUCUGUCUAGCCAUUUAAUCCAUUAAAAUAGAUUUUAACCAAGUAAAAUCUUUCUAUCUAUCUUCCUAUACUUCAAGUUAAUCGAUUAAAGUUGGUUUUAAUCAAUUAAAAACUUUCUGUCUGUCCCCCUUGAUUCAGGUUCAUCAGUUAAAAUUGUCUUUAAUUGAUUAAAAGCUCUGUGUUUCCCCUUUAACCAAUUAAUUUGAUUUUCGAUCGAUUAAAAUCAACUUGGGUUCAAAUUUCUUCACUUGGCAUUCUUCAAUUUGAAUCUUCACUUUUUAGUGCUAAAGUACUUUUUUGUUGAAUAUUGAUCAAUUAAACCCUAUGGUUAAUCAAUCAACAUUGUGUGCAGUAUCUUCAAGUAUCAUUUUGAUCGAUAAAACCUUGUGUUAAUCAAUAAAAUCUAUCUGCUUGUCUUAGUGUGCAUUAAUCCAUUAAAAUCAUGUGUUAAUCAAUUAAAACCAUUCUGUCUUUCUGAAAGUCCAUUCUAGUGUUAUUUUAAUCGAUUAAAACGUGGGUUAAUCAAUUAAAAUAUUUUUAUGAAGCUUUAAAUCUUUCAUUUUUGACUUGUUUGAUUGAUUAAUCUUCAUGGAACAUCUUCUAUCUUGUUUAAAUCACUUUCUUUGGACUUGAGACUUGUCAUGGGAAAUUUGGGGUGUAAGAUAAACAAUUAUAUAACAAAUUUACCCUUGCACACUCAAGUAACAUAGUUAGACUCAAAGAAUGAGAAAUGUUUAAUUAUCAUCAAAAACAUAUGAAGUCAACAAUCCCUUCUUCUUUUUUUUAUAAUGACAAAACACCAUUAUAUUUAAAAGUGUAAUGCAUUCACUAUGUUAGGUAUGAACAAUUUAAGUUAUCUUUAUGCAAAUUAGAAACUGUUCCCCCUUAAUUAGUGAAUCUAAAUUUAAAAAGAAAUUGCAAGAGUUUGUCCUUAUCUUUUGGGCUAUCCCCUAUAUUUUAAAAAUAAAAUUUACAAGUAUAGCCAAGCACAAAUACAACAACAACAAACAUUCAAUUCAAGAAAGUCAUAAGCUGCAUUAAACACUCAAGUUAAGUACACACAAUAGAAUAUAUGACCUUAACAUCUAAACAUUCAAUUUCAAUUUCAAUACACAUAACCACAAUCAUAAUCUUAGUUUCUUUUCCCACUUUUGUCAUUAUCAAAAAAGGGGUUAAGAGUAAAACAAGGUUAAUUCAAAUGCUUGCCCUUAAACAAAUCAUGAAACCAAGAAGUUUCCAAUUGUUAAAGAACAAAUGUUAAGAGAGAAAUCAUGAGCCUAGAAUAAAUGAGUAUUUAAGUAGAUAUUCAACAUGUUUAUCUAAUACUCAAGUAUUUAUGGAACUAGAUGAGUAUGAGUAUUUAAAUAGAUGUUAAACAUAUGCAUCAAAUACUCAUAUUUUUAAGAAAUAUUUGCAAAGUAGUUCCUAGGCAUGUCUAAGGUAUCAUUAGUCAUCAAACAUCAUUCUCAAUUGUCAUCAAUCAUUAUCAAUAAUUAAUCAUCAUCAAGCCUUCUUAAUUACCAUUAAAAUAUUUCUUGAGCAAGUAUUCCAAGAAAUAUUAUCCAAAAUCAUGUAUGAAACUAUCAAUUGAAGGAGAAUAUUCACAUCAAGAAAAUAUUUUUAUCCAUAAAGCAUUACCAAAGCGUUUUGCACUUGUUGUAAUCACAUGAUUACAAGAAAUAAUAUGAUUAUCUUCAUUAAUCAUGAUUCCUUGCACCCGAGCAUUUGGCUCAUUGGUUGUUCCUUACACCUGAGCAUUUAGCUCAUUAGUUGGUCUAUGAUCCCCUGCCUAGAGAGCAAGGUUCAAAUCUCCCCUCCCGUAAUUAGAAAAAAAUCAUGAUUCCAAUUUGCUUCACAAAAAGCAACCAUGAUAAUUUUAUUAAAUUAUAUAACCAUACACCAAUAAAAAAUAUGCAAGCAUUGAAAUUCAAUGUGGUACAAACUAUUUCUCAUAAUUCAUGAGUGACACCAAUUGUUAUGGAAUAUUGAAAAGUAAAGUACUCAACUCAUGAAUAUAUUCAAAGUGAACACCCAAGCAUCAAUAAAUGCCAAUUUUCAAGAUUCAAGAAAUGAGUAUUCAAUGAAAGCAUAUUAGGCAUUCACUACUCACUUAAGUUAUAGGUCAUAUUUCAUUUGACAUUCUAAGUUACUUAUAGUAACCUAUAAGUUAGAGUGGAUGCACACCAAUUUUUUAGAUCAUGUGAACAUUUAAGGCUCAAUGAAGACAUAGUCAACACUCAAAUGCAUAUUCAAAGGAUAUUUCAACUAUGUCAACACAAACUAUAUAUCAUGGUCAAACUUGACUUAGGUUAUAUAUGAAAUUAAGCACUAUAAGCAAUUCUAUCACUUAAGUUAAGUUAUAGACUUCAAUCAUUUAGGUCAAGCGAGAUUAAAAGUCAUGUAAGUAUUUGACUUGACCAAAACAAUAGAUGAACCAAAAAAAAUAUUUUUCAUUAAGUUCAAUGAUUUCAUCCUAAUCAAUUUUAUGUUCCUAAGCAAUGAUUCAAUCUUGAAACAAUCAUUUAAGUAUAAACAUGAAACAUAUUUCAAGAAUUAUUCCUAGACUAAGCUUUGAACAUUUCAAUUCUCAAUACAUGAUUUUUCAAUGUAAGCACAAGAGAAAUAAUAAAAUCAAGCACUUAUGAACACUUUUUCAUUUUUCAAAUUUUCUUAAUUAAGCACAAAAGAAUUAAUAAUAUCAAUAUGAGUGCCAUGUUUUUGGAAUAAACAAAUUCAAGCAUUUAUGAGAGUUUUCCCAUUUUUCAACAAGUUUGAAGGGGAACCAUUUUUUAAAAGAAAAACCGUGAAAGUGAAGAGAGAAUAUUGUGACAGAUUUUUAAAGCCCAAUGCUUUAAUCCAUUAAAGAAAGUACAUUUUAAAAGCAAGUUUAAAAACACAGAACCAUUUUAAUCAAUUAAACUCUUUUGACUUUAAAUAGAAUUGUUUUAAUCGAUUAAAUUAAGCUUUAAUCAAUUAAAACUCUUCUAACUUCAAAAUCCACAUUUUCAUGGAAAUGAAUUAAUCAAUUAAAAGACUUUUUAAUCAAUUAAAAUGAACAUACUCUAUUCCAGAACUAGUUUAAUUGAUUAAAACAUGAUUUCAAUCGCUUAAAAAUCUCAUUUUAAGUACUUAAAACCACUUUUAAUUGAUCAAAAUAAGAAAUUAACACACAAUAGACAUCAAAAUUCAUCAAAACAUAUUCAAAUCAUCUCAAUCCAAGUUCACGUACAUCAAGCAUUCCUAAUUUUCUUCUAAUUUUAUAAAAUUGGUCUUCACUUAAGGGUUUUGUGAAAAUAUUAGCUAAUUGAUGCAAGGUAUCAACAAAUUCAAAUUUAACAUCUCCUUUAAGUACAUAAUCUUUAAUAAAAUGAUGCCUAAUCUCAGUAUGCUUAGUUUUAGAGUGCUGAACAGGAUUCUUGAAAUGUUAAUGGCACUAGUAUUGUCACAAAAGAUAGGAAUAUUAUGCAUUGACAUGCCAAAGUCAUUUAAUUGUUGCCUAAUCCAUUACAUUUGUGCACAACAAUUACUUAAUGAAAUAUACUCAACUUCAGCAGUUGAAAGAGCAACUGAAAUUUGUUUCUUACGAGAGCAAAAUACAAGCAUGAUUUCAAGGAAUUGACAAGUACCACUAAUAUUCUUCCAAUCUACUUUGCUAUUGGCAAAAUUAACAUCAAAAUAGUCAAGAAGAUCAAAAGAUGGAGUUAGAAGAGAUCAUAGAAUGACUUCACCUCAAGGUCAACGGGGUGCUAGGUAGAGGCAUCCUCCUCUCUCUCCAUGCACCACUUAUGGUAAAAAGCAUAGAAGAUAGUGCAUGCAAGGUUCCACCUUACGUCACACUUGUGGAUAGUUAGGACAUUUUGCCAAAGAGUGCCUUACUAGUCAUUCCUCUUAAAGAGAUACAUAAGGGCAUACAUAAGCAGCUUUACCACUUCCGCUUGUUGCUGCACAACCUAUUAGAGGCACUAAAAGAAGUAGAGACGAAGGCACUAAUGCAACUAGUCAAGGUAGAGCUUAAGGAUUUGGAUCAAGAACACAGGGUAUCGCUAGUUGUGGAUAGGCUAGAGUUUAUACUUUGACUCAACAACAUGUGUAGGCAUCCAAUGUAGUGGUUACAGGUAUAUUACUCAUUUGCUCUAUUGAUGCACAUGUAUUGUAUGACACUAGUACUACACAUUCUUUUGUAUCUCUAUACUUUGCAUCUAGAUUAGGUAUUAAGUGCUCCAAGAGGAAGCACAACUUGGUAGUUUCCACCCCUUUGAGAGGUGUGUUUGUGGCAAAACAUGAGUAUAAAGAUUGCAUGGUCCAAGUUAAGGAAAAGGACACUCGAGCAAAUCUAGUGCUGAUGGACAUGAGUAUAAAGGUGUUUGAUGUGAUUCUUAAGAUGGAUUGGUUAUCACUUAAUUAUGCUAGUGUGGAUUGUCACCACAAGAAGGUUAGGUUCGAUUAUCCUAGAGAAACAUUCUUUUAUAUAUAGGGAGAUUGCAACAUGGCGUCAAGUAGCAUGAUAUUGGGUAUGAUUGCUAGUCACUUAAUGAGACAUGGAUGUUAAGGAUUCUUUGCCGUGGUGAUAAAUACCUAAGUAGAGGUAGUUAAUAUGGCAAAUGUGUUUAUUGUGAGGGAGUUCAUAGAUGUAUUUUCGAAGGAAUUGCUCGAAUUAGCAUCAGAGUGAGAGACAAAAUUUUGCAUAGACUUGGCGCAAGACUUGGGUCUGAUUUCUAUACCAUCAUACUGGAUGGCAUCGAUCGAGCUUAAGGAGCUCAAAGAUCAGUUGAAGGACUUGUUGGACAAGGGCUUCAUUCGCCCUAGUGUCUCGCCUUUGGAUGCACUAGUAUUGUUUGUAAAGAAGAAAGAUGGUUCAAUGAGGCUUUGUAUUGAUUACAAAUAGUUGAAUAAAGUGAUCAUCAAGAACAAGUAUCCCCUCCCACAUAUUGAUGAUUUGUUUAGUUAGUUGCAAGGGGCCAAGCAUUUUUCUAAGAUUGAUCUGCUAUCGAGGUACCAUCAGUUGAGGAUUAGAAGUGGUGACGUACCUAAGACUACUUUUCGCCCAUGGUAUGGUCAUUAUGAGUUUUUGGUUAUGCCAUUUGGAUUGACUAAUGCCCUUAUAGCUUUAAUAGAUAUGAUGAAUAAGGUAUUUAGAUCAUAUUUGGAUAAGUUUAUGGUCGUGUUUGUUGAUGACAUUUUAGUGUAUUUGAGGGUUAGGGAGGAACAUAAGCAAUAUUUGAGGAUUGUACUGCAGACUUUAAGGGAACACUAGCUAUAUGCCAAGUUCUCCAAAUGUGAGUUUUGGCUUGACAGUGUUAGCUUUUUAGGCCACAUAAUGUCUAAAAAUGGAGUGAUGGUGGACCUAAAGAAGAUUGAAGUAGUAUAGAAAUGGCCAAGGCCUACUUAGUAAUUGAGAUACGAAGUUUUCUAGGGCUAACUUGAUAUUAUAGGAGAUUCAUUAAGGAUUCCUCAAAAAUUGCUGCUCUUAUGACUAAGUUGACACAAAAGGGUAUCAAGUUUACAUGGACAGAUACAUGUAAGGAGAGUUUUGGGAAGCUCAAGACUUUACUUACCAUAACUCCAAUGUUGAGUUUGCCAUGUGGUUCAGGCGGUUAUACAGUUUAUUGCAAUGCAUCACAAGCAGGACUAGGAUGUGUGCUGAUGCAACAUGGAAAAGUGAUAACGUACGCAUCGAGACAACUCAAGAAACAUGAGCAAGUUACACCACACAUGAUUUGGAGAUGGCUACCAUAGUAUUGGCCUUGAAGAUAUUGAGGCAUUACUUGUAUGGUGAGACUUGUGAGAUUUACACAGAUUGUUGUCGAUUUUGCACACACAAGUAUACGUAUUGAAUAGGUAAUAUAGACAACAAGUCUAGAUUAUUAUUCCCACUAGGAUUUGUUUCUAAAGUUUCACUAAGUACUAAAAUUAUAUCACAAAUUAAUCUUAUUUAAACUAACCAACAAUUGAAAAGCUAAUCAAAGGGUAAAAUUAAAACAAAUAAACAGUAAAUUAACCAAUAAAAACUAAAUAUGUUGAGAAAAAUAGUAGAUUAAAGACCUAGGAUCAUGGGUUCAUUUAACAUUCCAUCUGAUACCAACUUUCUUAUUAUUUAUCUAUCCUAGGUGAUUUUACUGACAUAGAAUCCAAAGCUAUGGACAAGUCUCCAUCAAGAUGCUUGUACAAAUAACUAACUUAAUCAGUUCACUAUAUGUCUGUAGGAAUCAAUUAAAUUAAGUUCAUUAAGUAAGUUUCCUAAUUUGGCUAUGUAUGGUAAUUUGUGUAUGUCCACCCGAAUCGCAAAUCAGAUUACAUAAGUGACGUGAACAUACCUUAAUCCAAUCCCUUUUGUCGAGUUUCAAUUAGAUGCACAAAUUAAUUAAUUAUUGAUCAGGCAAUCAAAGGCAUUAAGAACAGAUUUGAAUAAGUAAAACGAUAUCCAUUCAAGAUAACUAACAGAAAAACCAGUAUCAGAUUGCAUGUCAAAAUCCACCAUAAUCCUAGAUAAGCAAAUUAGUUCAUAAGAUCCAAAUAAAACACUAUCCAAAUAAAUUUAGCCAUAAAUUCAAAACAAGAAAAUAAGAAAAACAUAAAAAGAGAGAAAUAAACUAAUGUUGAAGCCUAGUUGAUUGCGAAUCUUUCUCAAUUGCUUUUGAAUUCUUGAUUGAUUUGAAGCUCUAUUUCUCUAGAAAACCUUAUUGUCUCCCCUUUUAAAUGCUUUUAAAAAGGCUCUUAAAUAUGUGUAAGGUGCCCUACUUUCCAAUUUUCAAUCAAAGUUUUAAUUUUGGAAACCGAGGUGGCACCACAGCACCGUGACAAGCUACGAUAGCACCGCUGCAUUCCUUUUCUGGUGCCGCGACGUAAUGCUCUUGACCUUUAGUAUGAUGCAUCCAUCCAGCCCAACGCUGUGGCCACAAGCUUCCAUCACUGCGACGGUGGUCCCUUCAGCAACACAACCUUGAGUGACUCCGCGUCGCGGCCUCAAUCACCUUGCUGCCUUGUGUUCAGUCUGCAUCUAUCUAGCAUCUUCAGACGUGAUUUUUACCUUGAUUUGAUCUGAAUUGGGUGAAGUGGUAAUCAUGAAAAGUUGUAGCCUAUUCUCUUAUCUUUCCAAUGGAUCAAAAAUCACAUCAAUUGGACUUCUAUAGCUCAAGUUAUCUUUAAAUUCCCACAACAUGUACUAGUGACACAUUCACCAUAUUUGUGCUAUCAUAACUCAAUUUCACCUUACUCAUCACAUAUCUUGCGCAUCACCAUGAGAGAAAUCUAUGUUAACUCUUCUUAAAGUAAUUUAAAAAUAAAAUAAAGUAAACUUAAACUGAAACAACUUAAUUUAACUAUUCAACAUGUAAUAUAACUUACAUUAGAAAAACAUCUAAAUGCUAAAAUCUGUACCUAAAACUCAAAGAUCUAGAAACUAAAGCCCUUCAAAUGUGUUAAAAAUAACUCUAUAUAAUAGAGUUAUCACACCCCUGAACUUAAGAUUUUGCUAGACCUUAAGCAAAAAAAAAAAGAAAAAACAAAUGCAAUAACUUAAACAUGAAAACAUUCAACUAGAGUUCUAUUGCACCAUUUCAUUAAUUAUCUUUAAUAUCAUCAAAAGUCCCUCCAAAUUUAUAACUUUAAUCCACAUACAAAUAUUAUUCAAGUUCAUGUCUCAAUUCAAAUGAAAGCUUAUCAUUAAGUGAAUUUUCAUAUGUGUGUGCAAUCUUCUUACCUAGACAUUGUACGAUCCAGAUAAGUCUAUAUUCAUGCAAAAUUCAAAUUAGUAAUUAAAUUCCAUAAGUUUGCUUUUCAUUUCUCUCUCCACUAAUGUAGACUAAUACUAAAUCAAGGAUAAAUAGGACUUUAAUUAGCUUGUAAUGUAUGGCUAAGGUCAAGGUGGGAUACAGAAUAAUGUACAGCUCAAAUCACCCUAAGCACAUAGUCAAUCUAGGACUUAUUAAGAGCUUUAUUUUCCUUCACCUAGUAUACCCAUUUUUCAUCAAAAAAUUUCUUUUGUUCAACACUUAAUUCUCUUUCUUUUUCUUUCUUUCCCUUUUUCUUUUUCUCACUUUCACACCCCCAAACUUAUUUCUUUUUUUGAGUAGUGAGAUGAAUACAGUUAUAUUUUUGAACUUUUCAUCAUUUUUCAUCUUUAUUACCUUUUUCACUAUCUACCUCAUAACACUUCCUAAAUUAACUUGUGCACUUAGCAAUAAGGGAUGCAAGAAUUGUUGAAAAUAUUAAUAUAAGGGUUUAGGCUAAAAAUUGAGUGUUCAAAAAAAUAAAAGGUGUCAUUAGGCUCAAAGGGGGAAAUUAAGGAUAAUUUAUGUAAAAAAAGAAUAUAAAAGGCUCAAUUAGCCCAAAUAUGACCUAAAUCAUCUCUUUAACUAAGUAUAGCCUAGAAUUUCACCUCGAGAAAGAAUCAAACAAAUUUUAGAACUUAAUACAUAAUUGAAAAUUUUCACAUUUACAUAAAUCUUCUAUAAAUCCGUACAAUGAAUCUAAGCAAAAGACAUAGUGCUCAAAAUGUAGAAAUUUCAUCUUAACAAUAAAACUUAUCAUAAGAAUUUACAUAACACUCAAACAACAUUCAAAUGUUGCAAAGAAUCAAAGCAGGAAUGAAACUAAGUUCUUAUCAUUGGAUAGGUAAAUUAAACGAAACUGACACAAUUAAAUCUAGUUCAAAUGCAAAAGAAAAUGCAUAAAAAAUUUAACGAAAAUAAACUAAACUAAAAUAUCACAAAAACUACUAACAACAAAACCUUCCCCUAAACUAAAUUGCACAUUGUCUUUAAUGUGAAAAGCUAAAAAGAAUAAGAAAAAGAAACUCCUCUAUCAAUGGUGACAAUGCAUUGAAAGCUCUAAUUUCUUCCUCCUUAUCCUCAUGCUUUCCAAACCCGUAAACUCAACAAACAAGCUAGGGAGAGGUUAUAAGUACUUAUUUAAAUAGAAAAAUAAAACUAACUAAAAUAACGACUAACCUGAAAAAGAUAUAGCUUAGGUUGCCUCCCAUGAAACGCUUCUUUAUAGUCAUUAGCUUGACUAUGAUACCUUUUUUUUAACUUCUUCAUCCUUGCAGAAAUGCUUGAGGCUUUGUUUCAUUACCUUGACUGCUCCUGUAAAUGUACUAAAAAUUUCAAGGUAUCCAUAAGACAAAAAUUUUACCACUUUAAAGGUUGGUACCAAUAUGGUUGAAGUUGCCAUGGUAAAAGAUGGAAGCAUGAAUUAGAAAGUGUUACAUGCUAUCCAACCUCAAAAUCACUGUCACUAGAAGAUGGUAGAUUAUGCUCACCAUAACACUGCUUCAUUUUGAGAUGUAGUGGCGAUGAUUUUAACUCAAGAGUUGGUACUUGCUUGCUUGUAAAUGGUAGAGUAAGAUUCCCUUUACCUCUAUUAGCUAAGUCCACUUUAUAGCAAUGAGCCACACAGGAACGGUAUUUAUUUGCAUUGAAAAUAGUAAAUUCAACUAUCGCCUCACCAACUCUACAAGUUAUUCUACCUUCUUUUACAUUGAUGAGUGCACUUGUACUGGCUAAGAAUAAACGUCCCAAUAUGAUCGAAAUCUUUUGAUCCUCCUCCAUUUCAAGUACUAUGAAGUCUAUUAGAAUGUAUAAUUUCCCCACUUUCAGUAAGACAUCCUCUAUAAUCCCACAAGAGUGCCUCAUUGUUCUGUCUAUUAACUGCAAGGUGACUGUAGCAGGUUGAAUCUCCGUCAACCUAAGUCUCCUAGCAACAAGGCAUUAUUGAGACAUUAGCACUUACAUCACAUAAAGCUUUCAAAAAAUUAAAAUUACCAAUUGAGUAAGGGAUAGAAAAACUCCUUGGGUCCAUAAGCUUUGGUGGAAGCUUGUUCUAGAUUAUCGCGUUACACUCCUCAAUGGGUGUAAUUGUCUCAAAAUCCUCAAAUUUCCCCUUCUUCGUCAAUAUGUCCUUUAGAAACUUCACAUAUGACGGCAUUUUCUCUAGAGCUUCUGUGAAAGGAAUGUUGAUGUGAAGCUUUUUAAAUACCUCUAUAAAUUUUUGGAAUUGCCUAUCAAGCUUUUGUUUAUAAAGGUGCUGAGGAAAGGGUGGUGGUGGUAAAAUUACUUUUGCUGCCUUUUCUUAAACUUGCUUGUCAGUUGUCUCAAUCAAUGUUUCAUUCUCAACAGGCUUAUCUUGAAGAUUAGCCGACCUAACACUAUUUUCAACCUCUUUUUUGCUCCUUAUGGUGAUUGCCAUAGCUUAUUCCUUACCUUCUCUCUUUUCGAUUUACCUUUAUAUCGCUAAGUAAUGUUCCUUGAGGUCGAUUGUUUAAUAAAUUGACAAGUUGACCAACUUGAGUCUCAAGGUUUCGAAUUGAUGCUGCUUGACUCUAAAUGAGAGCUGUUUGACUUUGUAUGAUGUUAUCAUUCUAUGUCAUGUAUUGCCAUAGCAAAUCUUCACCAACUAGCUUCUUUUUUUAGAGAGGUGUUUUGGCUUGCUGUUGGAAUUUCGAACGUGCAUUUGGCCUUAAAGUUGAUGACGCCCCUUGAUUGUUAGCCCAAGAGAAAUUUGCAUGAUUCCUCCACCCUAGGUUGUAAGUGUUAUAAUAGGGGUUAUUUUGCUAUCUAUUCCCCACAAAUUGCAUUAUUUCUGUUGAGCUUGGACAAUGAUUACUUGCAUAAUUAUCUCCACAAUACUCAUAAGCUACAAAAGGACUUUCCACAGAGUUAGUACCAAAAGAGUCAAGAGUUUUUGUUAGAGCUGCUACCAAUGCAGAUAAGGCUGAAAAAGCAUCCAUAUUAUGAAUUCUAACUACUCUCUUAUGCAUUGCUCACUUUGUUGGCCACUAGUAAUUGUUUGCAACUAUCUCUUCUAACAAAUCUUAAGCCUUAUCGAUUGAUUUGGCCAUUAAAGGUGCUUCCACAACAGCAUCAAUGGUGCUUUGAACAUGCCACUCAAACCAUUGUAGAAAGUUUGUACCUAAAGCCACUUUGGAAUACCAUAAUCAGGACAAUGUCCCAAGCCUCGUACAACGAUUCAGACUCUUGCUACAUGAAUGAUGUAAUAUCAUUCCUCAUUUUCGCUAUCUUAGCUGAAAGAAAGAAUUUGGCAAGGAACUUUUGAGUAAGAUCAUUGUUUUUGAGCUAGUAGAGAGUGCAUUCAACCGUGCUUUAGCUUUAUCCCUCAAUAAGAGAGGAAAAAGCCUCAAGCGAAUUGCAUCAUCUGUGACACCAUUAUGUUUGAAAGUGUCACAAAUCUCCAAAAAGUUUGACAUAUGGCCAUUAGGAUCAUCAUUUGGAAGGCCUUCUAAUUGAACUAAGGUUUGAAUCAUGGUGAUCAUAGCCAGCUUGAUCUCAAAAUUGUUUGCUUGAAUAGCUUGCUUUUGAAUGCUCGAUGGAAUUCUUUGUACUAAAGGAACAGCAUAAUCCCUUAAGUAAUGAUUUUCAACUACUACGUGCUCUUGGAUUUGCUAUUCACCCUAUUUAUUAGCCAUUGUAUUUAUUAGAGCAACACAUUGUUGAUUCUCUUGUCAAAGUUUACGAAAUGUUCUUUCAUUUUAUAGAUCACUCAGGAUAAUCUCCAAAUUAUUUGCUCUUCUCAUACAAUGACUGAGCACACUUGCAAAACAAAGAAAUAAAACUUAAAUUAUGACUAAUCUGUAAAAUUUUAAUAUUAGUAAAGAUCAAAGAAAACAAAAUCCCCAACAACAACGCCAAAAACUUCUUGUUGAUUUUGCACACGUAAAUAUACGUAUCGAACAAGUAAUAUAGACAAUAAGUCUAGAUUAUUGUUCCCACAAGGAUUUGUUUCUAAAGUUUCACUAAGUACUAAAAUUAUAUAACAAAUUAAUUCUAUUUAAGCUAAUCGACAAUUAAAAAGCUAAUCAAAGGUAAAAUUAAAACAUGUAAACAAUAAAUUAACCAACAAAAACUAAAUAUGUUGAGAAAAUUAGUUGAUUAAAGACCUCGGAUCAUGGGUUCAUUAAACAUUUCAUUUGAUACUAGCUUUUCUUGUUAUUUAUCUUUCCUAGGUGAUUUUACUAACCUAGAAUACAAAGCUAUAGACAAGUCUCCAUCGGGAUGCUUGUACAAAUGUCUAACUUAAUCAGUUCACUAUAUGUCUAUAGAAAUAAAUUAAAUUAAGUUCAUUAAGUAAGUGUCCUAAUUGGCUAUGUAUGGUAAUUGGUAUAUGUCUACCUGAAUUGUGAAUUAGAUUACCUAAGUGAUAUGAACAUACACUAUUCAAAUCUUAAUCCAACAUAAAAUCUCUUUAUCGAGCUUCAAUUAGAUUCAUAAAUCAAUUAAUUAUUGAUUAGGCAAUGAAAGACAUUAAUAACAUAUAUGAAUAAGUAAAACAAUACCCAUUCAUGAUAAAUAACAAAAAAACCAGUAUUCAGAUUACCUGUUGAAAUCCACCAUAAUCCUAGAUACGUAAAUUAGUUCAUAACAUCUAAAUAAAACACCAUCCAAAGAAAUUUAGCCAUGAAUUUAAAAUAAGAAAAUAAGAAAAACACAAAAAGAAAAAAAUGAACUAAUGUUGAAGCCUAGUUGAUUGCGAAUCUCUCUUAAUUGCUCUUGAAUUCUUGAUUGAUUCGUAGCUCCAAUUCUCUAGAAAAGUUGUUAUAAUUUCACCUAUGAAUGCUCUCACAAAGGCUCCAUGACUUAUUGGCGUUGUAACUCCAUGACAAGCUAUGGUAGCAUCACGACGUUCUUUUUCUAGAGCCACGAUGCCAUGCUCUUGGCCUUUAGUAUGAUGCACCAAUCUAGCCCAGCACCACAGCCACAAGCUUCUAGCAUUGCAACAAUGGUCCCUUCAGCGUCGUGGCCUUGAGUGACUUAGUGUUGUUGCCUCAAUCACCAUGCUGCCUUAUGUGUAGUCUACAUCUAUCUAUCAUCUUCAAAUGUGAUUUUCACCUUGAUCUAGUCCAAACUGGACAAAGUGGUAAACAUGAAAGUUGUAGCCCAUUCUCUUCACUUUUUAAUGAAUCAAAAAACCACAUUAUUUAGACUCUGUAGCUUAAGUUAUCUUUAAAUUCUCGCAACAUGUACUAGUGACAGCUUCACCAUACUUGUGUAUCAUAACUCAAUUUCAGUUUGCUCAUCACAUAUCCUACACUAAAAUGCUAAAAUCAACACCUAAAACUCAAAGUUCUAGCUACUAAAGCCCCCAAAUUGUGUUAAAAAUUACUCUAUAUAACAGAGUUAUCACGGAUCACAAGAGUCUCAAAUGCAUUUUUAAGUAGAGAGAUUUCAAUCUUAGGCAAUGUAGAUGGUUGGAGUUGCUUAAGGAUUAUGACUGUACCUUAUUGUAAUAUCUCAGCAAAGCUAAUGUGGUGGCAAAUGCCUUGAGCCAAAAAUCUAUGAGGAGUCUAGCACAUAUUUCAAUCGAGAAAAGAUCAUUGGUGUGGUGCAGUGCAUGCAUGAGCUGAGGAAUAUGGGCUUUCGAUUUGAGGUUAAUGAUAUUGAGGUGAUAUUAGCUCAUUUUAAGAUUAGGUAGAUGUUGAUGGUUCGGAUCAAGAAAGGUCAAGAUAAGGAUGAUUUUGUAGCUAGAGUUUUAGAGGAUCCUCAAGGAAGGAAAUGGUAGAUGUUUACCAGAGGCACCGAUGGAUUACUCAGGUAUGGAUCUAGAUUGUAUGUGACAGAUAUUAAUGAUUUGAGGUGAGAAAUCCUAGAGAAGGCACAUGUGGCUGCAUAUGUUGUUCAUCCAAAGACCACCAAGAUGUACCAUGACUUGAGGAAUAUGUACUAGUGGGAAGACCUUUAGAAGGAUUUGGUUGAGUUUGUAGCUAAGUGUCUAGUGUGCCAACAAGUUAAGGCAAAGCAUUAGAGACCUGCCGAAUUGUUACAACCUUUGCCUGUUCCUAAGUGAGAGCAUAUUUCUAUGGACUUUAUGACUAGACUACCCCACAUGAGUAAGGGGUAUGAUUCUAUUUGGGUGAUGGUGGAGAGAUUGACUAAGACUGCUCAUUUUCUACUAAUGAGGACCACCUAUGAAGCAUCACAAUAUGCUAGGCUAUAUAUUGAUAAGGUAGUGCGAUUGAAUGAAGUUCCAAUCACUAUAGUAUUGGAUAAAGGCACAUAGUUCACUAGUCAAUUUUAGGGAAAAGUGCAAAAAACUUUAAGGAGAAUUAAAUUUUAGCACUGCUUUUCACCCAUGGACAAAUGGACAAUCUAAGAGGAACAUUCAAACACUAGAGGACAUGUUAAGGGCAUGUGUCAUAGAUUUUGGAGUCCCUUGGGAUUGACACUUUCCAUUAAUUGAAUUCACUUAUAAUAAUAGUUUUCAAGCUAGCAUUAAGAUGGCGCCUUAUGAGUCUUUAUACGAGUGAAAAUGUAGGUCGCCCAUAUGUUGGUUUGAGGUCAAUGAGAGAAGUUACUUGGACUGAAAUUAGCUCAAGAAACUACAGACAAGAUCUAGUUGAUUAGGGAGAGGAUGUUCUCAGUACAAAGUCACCAAAAAUCAUAUGCCCACCAUAAAUGUCGAGAGUUAGAGUUUGAGGUUGGGGACCCAUGUGUUUUUGCAAGUCUCUCUAACCAACGACAUUAUGAGGUUUAGUAAGAAAGGCAAAUUAAGCCCAAGGUUUAUUAGACCAUUUGAGAUAUUGGAAAGUGUUGGUGAAGUAGUAUAUCAGUUAGCACUUCCGUCUAAUCUUGCUAAUGUUCAUCUAGUGUUUUACGUUUUGGUACUAUGAAAGUACCAACCAAAUCCUUCUCACAUGAUUCAGCAUGAGUCUUUGUAAUUAGAGAAUGAUUUAAACUAUGAAGGGGUGUCAAUAGCCAUUUUCGAUAGGCAAGUGAAGAAGUUACGCUACAAGGAGGUACCUUUAGUGAAGGUGUAAAAAGGAAAAAUAUUUUAUUAAUAUGAAAUUAAUUACAGAGGGACCAAGACACGCCAUCAUCGGGCCAUAGAGGCAGCCGUAGAUGAUUCGCUACAAACAUACCUUUACUAAUGAGGCAGCCUAACAAUCCGUCGAUUGCUCACCCCUUAUAAAGAGUUUACGAGAUUUUACAAGUAUUCUACAAAUAGCCAUUACAAUACUUGAAAUGAAGGCAUUCUUGUCCUAAAGGGUCUUUCCCCCUAAAGACUUAACAAAUAUUUUUAGAUGUGUAACCAUGAGCCAUUACAUUGUUUGAAAAAAGAACAUUUCCCUUACAGGUAUAAAAAACUCAAUCUCAUAAACAACUCUACCCUAUCAUGGUUUAAUACAAGGUUGGCUCAUGACAUUCUCCCCCACUCAAUAUGUCGACCUAGUCGUUGACUGGUUAGCUUGAAACUCUUUAAUCUUCUGCUAGAAGGUGCAGAGAUUGGCUUUUUUCUCGCAAGUGAUCUCAUUUGGCCCCAAACUUUCCCAAUUCACCAAGUACUCUUAUGUCGGUCGUCUAUUGAUUGUCGUCAUUCUCCCUGCAAAAAUCUCUUCCAUUCGAUACUGUGAUGGUGGCUUGGUGCCAAUGGCAGCUCUUAUGGCUCGACUCCUAUUUGCAUUUACAUGGAACAGCUUCAGAUUGCUUACGUGAAACACAGGGUGUACCUUCAUCCACUUGGGUGGAUCAUCCUAUAGGAAGUCCUUCCCACCUUGGCGACCACUGGUGCAAAACUUUCAUACUUCUAUACUAGUUUUUGAUCUCUUAGAAAUCAAAGCUGUUCGAGCAAAAACUUCACCACUACUAGGUCUCCCACCUAAAAGUGUUGCUCCCUUCGACCUCUAUUUGCCCACUCAUUAAUCCGAUUGGAGGCUUUCUCUAGAUAAGCUUUAGUGAUUUUAGUGUUUGGCCUCCACUCCUUAGUAAAGUUAAAUGCCCGUGGACUCUUUCUGGUAUACGAUUUUACUGAGGUAUGAAGGAGUCUAGGUUGUUGUUCGGUGAUGACCUCGAAAGGGGUUUUACUAGUGGUUAAGCUUUUCUGUGAAUUGAAACAUAGUUGAGCCACAUCGAGUAGAUUGGGCCAAUUCUUUUGGUUUGCCUAUACAAAGUGUCAUAGGUAUUUUUCCCAUAACCCAUUGAAGCGUUCUGUCUAACUAUCUUUUUAUGGGUGAUAACUGAAAAAUAUGUUGAGUUCUAACCCCAAUAGUUUAAACAGCACCUUUCAAAAAAAGUCAGUAAACCUUGGAUCUCUAUCGCUGAUUAUGCUCUUCGAAACACCUCAAUAUUUUACCACAUGUUUAAAAAUCGUGCGAGCCAUUUCUUCUGCAGAGCUAAACUUUUGUACUAGAAUGAAUAUCGCAUGCUUGGAAAACCAGUCCACCACUACCAAGAUUGCUAUCAUAUCCCCCACUUUAGGAAGUUCUACAAUGAAGUCUAAAGAAAUACUUUUCUAGGGUUUUGGUCGACAUGGGUAAAGGUUCGAGCAUUCCCAUCGGUCUUUGUCUGUUUACUUUGUCCUGUUGGUAAAUAAGGAAUGUUUUCGUAAAAUCCAUCACAUCCUGUCACAUAUGAGGCCAACAGUAACCUUGUUUCAGUAGUACAAUAGUCUGCUGCCAACCUGGAUUUUCUACCUAAAGAGUGUCGUGACAUUCUCACAUUAAUUUCUACCUAUGCUCUCAUUUUCUUUGAACAAAUAUACGAGGUCCCUUCGUUAGUAGAAGUCUAUUUUUCACCCAAAAGUAUUUCGACUUUUUGCUCUCCAUCAACUUCUUAAUUGCCAUUGCUUAAGGGUUUCAAUGCAAAUUUUCCUCAAUCAAAUUACGGAUAUUUAUGGUCACUCUACUGGCUGUCAUUAGCAUAAUCACCCUUAGAGCUAUAAAUUCGACUUUUCUAUCGAGGGCGCUUGUUACACGGUUCGCUUUUCCCGCUUUAUGCUUGAAGGAGAAAUCAAACUCAGCUUAGAACUCUUGCCAUCUUGCUUGUUUAGCUGUAAGUUUUGGCUAUGUGAAAAAGUGGCUUACGGUAGUAUUAUCAAUCUUAACUACGAAUUGUGAUCCUAGCAAGUAGUGUCGUCAGGCCCGUAAACAAUGAAUCAUUGCAAGUAGUUCUUUCUCCUGUGCCGUGUAUCUCCUUUCAACUUCAUUCAACUUUUGACUUUCGAAUACAACUAGGUGUUCUUCUUGUAACAACACUCUUUUAAAGGUAAAGUCUGAUGCAUUCGUUUAUACCUUGAAAGGUUUUCCAAUAUCAGGGAACGAUAUCACAAGAUAAGUCAUCAUCGUGUCCUUUAAACCUUCGAAGGCUUCUUGGCACUACGGCUUCUAGUUCCACUUCUAUCCCUUUUUCAGUAAUUCUGUAAGUGUUAUUAUUCUUUUUGAAUAUUCUUCCAUGAAUCUCUAAUAAUAAUUGGCUAGCCCUAAGAAAGAACGAAGCUCAGUUGUAUUCUUAGGGGUAGCCCAUUCUUUGAUAGCCUUUACCUUCUGCAUGUCCAUUCAGAUGUACCUUUGUUUAAUUAUGUAGCCAAGAAACUGUAUUUGGGUUUGUGUGAAUGCACAUUUCUCUCUUUUUACAUAUAACUGGAGGCCACGUAGCCUUUAGAAGACCUGUAGUAAGUGUCGUUGAUGCUCCUCUAAGGUCGAGCUAUACACCAUAAUAUCAUUUAAGUAGAUCACCAUGAACUUGUCCAGAUAAUCAUGAAACACCUAGUUCAUCAGUGUGCAAAAGGUAGCAAGAGCAUUGGUUAGUCCGAAAGGCAUAACGAGAAAUUUAAAUGUGCCAUAUCGCGUUACUCAAGUGGUUUUAGGCUUAUCUCCCUUUACCACUCUUACUUGAUGGUAACCUGAUCUCAUAUCUAGUUUGGAAAAGUAUUUUGCACCAGUUAGCUGAUAAAAGAGAUCUGCUAUAAGAGGGAUAGGAUGUUUAUUCUUAACUAUGACUUUAUUCAAAGCCCGAUAAUCCACGUACAAUCGUAAACUCCCAUCGUGCUUUUUUUGAAAAACUACUAAGGCUCCAAAAGGUGCUUUCGAUGGUCGGAUGAAUCUGGCUUGAAUCAGCUCAUCUAAUUGUUUCCUUAACUCUGCUAACUCUGAGGGAUCCAUCUUGUAUGGUAUUUUUGCAGGCGACUUAACUCUUGAUAAAUAAUUUUAUCUCGUGAUCAACAACUCGUCGAAACGGUGGGACCCUUGGUAGUUGUUUUGGUAUCAUAUCUUGAAAUUCUUCCAAAAUCAGUUUCUCUUCUUCGGGUAUUGCGUUUUUGUUAUCUUCACCUUUGUAGAUGGGCAUGGUUAUGUUGGAGGGCUUACCUUUCUUAAUCCCCUUCUUAAACUGUAUAGUUGAUAUCAUCUUCUUCUUGCUCUUAGGUAUGAUUAUAACUGGUACCACACAUGGUCAUUCUCCAAAAAACAUUAAACAACUUGCAACAGGGAAAGGGAUGGCUUGAGCUUUCAUCAUAAAAUCCAAGCCUAAAACGGAAUCAAAAUCAUCAAUAGUGGCUACUGUCAAGUUUACCUUCCCUCAAUCUUAAUCUUUACGUUUUUAGCAUUUCCCAUUAUAGCUGAAGCUGGCAAGUUAAUAGCUUUCAUCUAUCCAAAAUCCUUUUCAACUUUAAGACCAUACUUCAUUGCCUAUCCCGAGGUGAUGAAAGUGCCUAAGGCCUCCAUGUCAAGCAUAGCUUUAGUACUUUUCUCAUUCAACAACACCUCUACAUACAUUAAACUUUGUUGGGGCUCCUUCUCCAUCUUUUAUAGUUGUGCUUGCAAAGCGUUGAGGAAACGAAUAGAACCCAUUCGUGCUGGCUCUUCCUCGGCUUCUUCGAUUGUGGUGUGGGGUGAAGGUGUCUCAACAUUGGCAAUACAUAUCUCAUUGAGAGCUGCUCGAUGAGGAUAGUCAGUUACUCGAUGAAGUUCCUUGCAUAGAAAACAAGAUAUCGGUGGCCGUGGCUUAAAGUUUCAUGGCUUGUUUAUUCUCGGUUGGGGUGAAUCUCUAGCAGGUGGUCUUCUAUCACCUCCCCCACUUGAGGUCUGGUUAAUCUCAAAAAUUUUACCCCAUUGUUUGUGGUAUAGCUAUUGGUCUUGGAUGGAGGGUCUUUUCUUUUAUUGGAGUUUUCACUAUAAUCAAUAAGGCGCUCAGCAGCCAUCAUUGCUAAAGUCACAUCCUGUACCUUCUAUCACUGUAACUCUAUCAUCGUCUGUGGUUUUUGACCCUUAAGGAAAUAAAACAAUCUAUCUUUUUUAGUCAUAUCCCUUAUAUCUAGCAUUAAAGUAGAGAAGUUUCUCACGAACUCUCGCACUGAUUCUGUUUGUGACAACUCCUGCAACUUCCGUCUCGCCAUAUACUCAACAUUCUCAAGGAAAAAUUGGUUCUUCAAUUCCUACUUUAGAUCUGCCCAAGUGUUGAUAUGGCACCCACCAUCGAUAAUUUGAAAUGCCACCACAGCUUUGUGUGCCCAACAAGAUACAUUGAAGUGAUCGCCACUUUGUCCUCCUUGGACUCCAUGCAUACAGCUUAAAAAUAUUGUUUCAUAUGAAAAAAGAAGUUCUUUAACUCCUUAGCAUCUUAGACUCUUUCGUAUCGAUUGGGUUUCAACACUUUGACCUUUUUUCCUCGAUCUAUUGAACUCCCACUAGCAUUACCUACAGCAAUAACCAAAAGAUUUACUUGAGCUUUCAGUUCUUCAAUCUCGCCUUGGAGAGUGCUCAAUGCAUCCAUGGUCUCAUCACUCAGGGUACUAAUCAUUUCGGAUAGUUCCCGCUAGACUAUCUCAAUUUCAUUUAUUCGUUCUCGCGGAACCAUUUAAGCUUUUACUGCAACCACCGCAACCUCUAGCUCACUAAUCAUUUGAUGGUCCUCUGGUGCACUUCGCGUGGUCACCAUUUUUACACUUUAGAUCAACACGUCUUGCCUAUGCUCUGAUACCAACUGUCACGAACUACACUCAUUCACCUAAGUAUGCAAUAGUCCGUGCGGUACUUGAGUGGAAGCUUCCACGCAAGUCAGUCAACACUCGGUUAUAUUUGAUCCAAUAUUAAUAAUAACAAAAAAUCAGACUAAGAGAACUUGCAUCAAAAUCAAAAGGCAUACUAAAUGCCAUAUAUGUAACCACUAAGCCAUAAAAGGGAAAAAUAUUUUAUUAAUAUGAAAUUAAUUACAAAGAAACUAAGACACCCCAUUGUUGGGCCAUAGAGGCAACCCUAAAUGAUUCGCUAUAAACAUACCUUUACUAGUGAGGUAGUCCGACAAUCCACCAACUACUAACCUUUAUAAAGAGUUUACGAGAUUUUACAAGUAUUUUACUAGUAGCCAUUACAAUGCUUGAAAUGAGGAUAUUCCUUUCCUAAAGGGUCUUUCCCCCUUAAGACUUAAUAAGUAUUUUUAAAGGUGUCACCACGAGCCAUUACAUUGUUUGAAAGAGGGACAUUUCCCUUACAGGUACAAAAGACUUAAUCUCAUAGACAAUUCUACCCUAUCAUGGUUUGAUGCAAGGUUGGUUCAUGAUAUCGAGCAUGAUAGGCGAGCAUGACACCCACAUUUAUUCAAUGAAGGUUAGUGCCUUAGUUAAAUUCAAGGACGAAUUUUCCUUAAGGGGAAAUGUGAAACACCACCCUAAUGUGGGAUUUGCUAAGUUAGAAAUCCUUAUAUUUGCAAGUUAAAUUGUGUUUCAAAAUCUUGAAAUUUAGCUUUGUGAAUGGAAAGUUUUAUGGUGUAAUGUUUUGAGAUGAUUCUUGUGUUUAGAAUGUUUAAAAGUAAGUUUUGAUCUUAGAAAAAUUCAUGUUUUGAUGCAUUAAGAUGAUUUACAAAGUUUGGUGUUACAAGGAGUUUAAUUGGAUAUGUUUCUAAGGUUUAUUUUGUUUUUUAGACCCAAUCUAUCGAUAAAUGUUCUUCAUCUAUCGAUAAAUACAAUCUAGAAAAGGUUUAUCAAAGCUGCCUUAAAGAACAUCUAUGGAUAGAUUGAUAGAUGAGCAGAUCUAUCCAUAGAUGGCCAAAUUUAUCGAUAAAUGGCAAUUAAAAAGCUUCAAGAAAAGGUUCUAAAGCUCAUCUAUCAAUAGAUAGCCUUGAUCUAUCGAUAGAUGAUAUAGCUUUCACAAAAAUAAAACGGAUAAAAGUGUAUUUUCACUUCCCAAAUUAUAAAUAUGAUACAAUACCUGAGAGUUUCUCAAUCCUAACCGUUUUUGCCUAGGUAAACCCUUUCCUAAACCCCUUUCAACUUGUUUUUAGUCAAAAAUCUUCAAUGAUUUUGAACUUAAUUUUGAUAUUUAAUCAUAAAAAUGUCAUUUUUAUGCUGUAAAACCUUUAAAGCUCACAUUUUAAUGUUGGAAAUUUAUGAUUUUUGCCUAAAAAUUUCUAUUGAGGAUUACAGCUAAGGUUUUUGUGAUUUCCUUCAACAUUUAAGCUUAUCUAAAGUAAGUUUAGAGGAUUUAUGUAUUUAUAGCUUAGUCUAGAGAGAGAAAGUGAUUAUAGUCAAAAGCAAAUAAAUUUCGAAAGUUGCUAGGUAAACUAUUUUGAGUUUAUUAGUUUAUAAAUUGAUUGCUAUGAACAUCGAGUGAUAGGAUCACAUGAAAACACAUUGGAUUACACAGUAUCAUAGUUGUAAUCGAGCUUCCUAUAAUGUAAGUGGAUAUACCACUUUCAAAACUAUUUUGAUAUGUAAAGUUGAAACAUGAUUUAAGGAUUAUUGGUGAAUAAGAUUUUCUUCAAAUAUUUAUGAAUUAAAAAUUUAUUUGUGGAUAAGAAAAUAUUUUAAAAUCUGUUUUCAACCUACUAUGUAUUUAAUAUGAUAUUAUGUACUAGUUUCCAACAAGAGGGGACAAGUACCUUAAGUUUUAGUCCACUCAAUUACUCCAGUCUUUGGACUAGUGUGGGCACAAUUUAUGAUUUAUGAUUAAUGCAUGAAUGUAUGAGGUGUAUGCUAGAUAUGUUGAGGCAUGAAAUGUGUGAUGGCUUGUAUAAUGAAUUUCAUCAAAGAUAUUAUGUUUAUGUAUAUGAUGUGUUUUCCAUAUACUACAUGAGAUAUUUGAGGAAGCAUGAUGAAUGUUAUGAGAUUAUCCAAAUAAUGCAUGUUUUACAUAUGAUAUGAUGAAACAGUGGGCAUGAGGAAAAGCCAUGAAAUGUGUAUAUGAUGUAAAAUUCCAUAUACCUUAUGAAAUGAGUAAGCAUGUAUGUGAUGGACAUUCCACAUACUAAAUGCUACAAGUAUAACAGUUUAACAAGUGCGAUUGAUUUCACUCACACAAGGUGUAGUGACGACUUCACUCCUAUGAUGCAUCAUAAACACCCAAGGUGCAAUGGGGUUAUACAUUGUCAGCCCAAGGUUAAUGGGGAGUGUACCAUCACUGUGUGAGUUUAAUAUUAAUGGAAUAAUUAUGAUUGCUAUCUGUAUGAUACGUUGCAUGUUAAGUCCAUCUUGGAUAAUGUUAUUGAGUUAUACUUUCUGUUGGUAUGAGAAUGUGUUUAGAGAAAUGAAAUGAGCUAUAGAGAUAGUCCCAAAAGGUAAAGGGACCUAAGGACGGAAAGGAUACACAAAUUUGCCUAGAAAACAAAGUUUCAAAGGCUAUCUAUUGAUACAUGUAGAGCAUCUAUCGAUAGAUAGAAGACAAUAUGCAACAAGAAGCAUUCUGUUUCAAUCUAUCAAUAGAUGAGUCCCAGAAUUGAAUGUAUUGACUUGUUUGAAAGUUUUCAAAGGUAAAAAGGUGUUCCAGUGGUUUUUGACUCUUGUUUAUAUCAUAUAUGAUAUUUCAAACAUGUUUAAACACCAUGUUUCAUGGGAUUGAAGUUUAAAUUGAUUAUAAUUGGCAUGAGGUUAUAAGUGCAUGUUUACGAAACACUUUUAUCCCUUAGCUUGUCCCUUUCCCAUAUCCAUUCAUAGAGCCUUUGUGACUCAUGUUAUUUUCCUCAUUUAUUUUGUUACAGAUCAGUGAUAGCAUUUUGAUAAUAGCUAGUGUCGCGGAUACCAGUGUCCAGUCUUUAUUCUUUGGUAGGUGUCUAGUAGCCAUUUAAUGCCUAAAGGGCUAGUCACGUUCCGCUGACGAAUCAAUCAUAUGUUUAUAUUUAUGGAUUUGAUUAUGUUUAUGGAUUACAAACAUGUUAUGUUAAUGUAGCCUAUGAUUGGCAUUUUACAAGGAUAACGUAUGUAUGAUAUUAUGAUGAUGGCUCUAGAGCCUAUACGAACACUCAAGGGUGUUGUUAAUGAUAAUGAUAUUGUGCAUUGUAAUAGUUGUACUUGUAAAUAUAUAUAUAUAUAUAUCAAAUGCUUGAGCUUAUACAAUUAAGUUGGGAACUUUCUUAAUUGCAUAAUGAGUAUUAUGAAUGCAUGCAUGAUGAUUUUGUGUGUAAAUGGAUGUUAUAAGACACUUCCGCAUAUAAUGAUGAAUGUUUAAUGAUGUUAUGGUAAGAGGCUUGCUUGAACCUAGUGGGCUAUGCUCGUCUAGGUCCAUUCACCGAUCAUGAUCUGUCCAAGAAAUGGGAUGUGAUAGCAAAGGAUGAUAAUUCCUUAGCUUUUCUCAAAGGCUAAUAUUGGAUUAGAACCUCUUCAACUUUUCUUGUCGAUCUUGGAUUAGAAGAAUUAACCAUUGAUGUUACAAGAACAAAGAAAGACUAAUCAAGAAUUAAAAUCAAAUUUGUGAGAUUAAUUUUGCAACAAAGAAAACUAUAUUUAAAGUUCAAUUUGAGAAAAACUUCAUAAGGAAAUCUGGAAAAUAUCACGCCAGAAACCCUAGAUGCUUUGUUGCCAUGUAAGAAUUGAAGGAGAAUAAUGUCUAGAAAGAGAAAACCAUUGUGGAAUUAUGUUGAGUUCAUUCGUUGAUCAAUCAAUUACAAAGGUGUUUAUAUACAAUCUGUUACAAUCUUGAAAAGGGUAAAAUAACCAACUUCUAGUUAGUUACACAAUUAGCACUUCUUACUAGAAAAAUUACUAUUAGUUCAAGAUAAAUUUGUACAGUAAAAAUUUGUAUUAUUAAUAGAAAAACUACUAUAGGUUCAAGAUAAAUUUGUACAAUAAAAAUUUGUUUAACUUAAAACUAAACUGAGCUUCACAUGUGCUGAUCACGUGUUAUCAUUUUAAAUGGACAUGUGCAAGCCAUGUGAUUUUAAUCUUCUUAAAAUCAAUUCAAUCUUUAAAUUCUUCAAUUCCUUUUGCAAACAAGCUUCAAUCCUUCGCUGAUCAGCUGUUGAUUCUUCAACAUUCUCCACUAUCAAGUCUAGGCUUUAGUUUGCUACCAUGUUAGCCAUUGUUCUACUUUUAUUUAAGAUAUGACUGACAUGGCUUGACAAACUAAACCUUAACCCUUUACAAAAUAAAGAUUUGGGGUCUGUGGAUCUUGGGUCUAUAUAUCAAUUGGUCAGCCAUUGCUUUACUUUUAUUUAUGACACGAAAAUCUUAAUUUACUGCCAUGGUUAAGUUUGUUAAAGCAAGAGCUUCUUUUGUUACGGUUUUAUCUAUAUUGUGUAUAUCUCAGGAAGGGCCUCUUUUGUUAUGGUUUUAUCUAUAUUGUGUAUAUCUGGAUGACUUUCUUUUAUAAAGGGUGAAUAUUUUACAAAGGCUUGAUUUUUGUUAGAGCCAAGCUUACAAGCCUCUUAAAAGGAUUGGGUGAUGCACAUUUUGUUUUUUGGGUAUCCUAAUGGUUAUUAUCGAACCACAAAGGUUUUUUUGUUAACUUAGAGGUUUUUUUAUUGGAUGUAUUUAAAUUACUCUAAUGAAACAAGAAUAUUUUCUAGUGAAAUUAGAAUAUUUAUUAACCUUUCAAAAAAGUAAUAUAACUAGGUUGUACAUAUUUUGUAAGCCAUGAUUCCAGCUAAACCUUGACAACUUCCUUUUUCUCCUUCAUGGUCUCCAUUCCCGUCUUUAAACCUCCUCUACCAACAAAUCCCCAUCUUCCUUUUUCAUCGCUAACGAUAGCCUUCUAUUUGCAACAGUUUCAAUAAUAGGGUUAGCUAGGUUGUUCCAGCAAGGUAUUUCUUGUUGGUCGAAAGCAAAGUUUCAGCUGCUUUAAAUGGAAGGUUAUCGUUGGCGAUGAAAAAGUGAAUGAGGGGAUUUGCUGGCAGAGGAGGUUUAAAGAUGGGAAUGGAGACUAUGAAAGAGAGAAAAGAGGUUGUAAAGGUUUGACUGGAAUCAUGGCUUGUGGGGAUUGUCAACGGAAGAGGUUUAGUUGGUUCGGCACAUGAAGGGGGGGAGCAAGGGACAGUCAGGACAAGGGAGGGGAAGGGAAGGUCAAGACGGGGAGGGAGAAAAGGAAUAUUUUUUGCAACUAAAAAAAUUGUCUUAUGCCCAAUUAACAAGCUCAACAACCCGUAAAACUUUUUCCAUUUCGAUUUAAUUUUCAAUCUUCCAAACAAUUUUAAGUUCUGAAAAUAUUUCACGACAAAAAUUUUACAUCAAAACAAACAAACCUUUUAUUAUUAAAAAAUAACCUCUUAAAUGUAAAAGUACAUUUUUUGGUAUAAACGUAAUUUAAACAAAAACUAAUAAAAAUACCUAAUUUAAUCCUUAUAUAAUAAAUUUUUAUUCAAUUUAAUCUCUAAAUUUUAUAAAUUUAUUUAAUUUAAUUUCGAUACUUUAUAUUUUUAUUCAAUUUAAUCCUUAUAACAUGACAUUAAAAAAUUGACGUAAAAAAAAAUUUCUAAAAAUAAUUUCCAAAAAUUUUUUCAAACAUGACACCUCUUUAUUGCCACAUUAGCAUAUCAACACCUCAGCAUCACCUUGUGAACAGUCACACAUCUUCAUUGCCACAUUAGCAUAUCAACGCCUCAACAUCACCUUGUGAACAAUCACAUUAAUGUCACGUCAACAUUAUUAAUGAUCAAUUUGGACGACAUUUAGGGAAAAGAUUUAAUUACAUGAAAUCUUAAAAUACAAAGACUAAAUUGAUUAAUUUUAAGAUAAGACUAAAUUAACAAAAACCCCAUAAUAGAAAGACCUAUAGAGUAUUUUGACCAAUAAAAAUUAUAAUCCAUUCACAAAGUAAUACCAUCAAAUUUCAAAUAUGACCGAAUCAUAGUAAAUAUCCAAAUUGCACAGCUAUUCAAUAUAUCUAUCUCUUCCCAAAAUUAUUAUUAUCUUAUGACAUGCAACUAAUAUUAGGCUAAAACCCUUUUAGAGAACAAGGUGGCAAGAGAUGACAUUUGACUAGUCCUUUUCAAAGCCAAAUAUUAUGUUCAAUCUCAAUCCGAAACAUGUCGAGAAAGCAAAAUCUCCCGCAGAUGAAGGUCCGAGCAGCAUCAAAAACAGAAGCCCAUUGGCAAUGCUAUAGAGGUGUUGCAAAUCCUGCCAACACAAACGUAUCAAUAACUUAAAACAUGAAGACCCACCGCAGUAAUGCCUAGGAGGCCCGCUGCAGUCAUGCACUCAUGCUAAGGCAUGCAUAAGCUACAGUGUGAUCGCUAAUCAGAUAUUGAAAAAUGUUUACUCAAGAGUUUUAACUUAAUAACAUUAUAUUCCACUUUAAAUGCUCAAAACUAAAAUUGAUAAAGUUGUAGCUUGCAUAUAAAAGCAUGUAAAAUCACAAUAAAAAUGGAACACAUGGUUUGUCUAAGUUGAAUAAGAGCUGUAAAGUGUAACAUGUAUGCAAAAAGCUACUCCUGCAAAAUUGUUUUACGUGGUGCUGAAAAUUUCAAAUAAAAUUUGAAAAUUAAAGAGCUAAUGGAAUCUUUAGGCAGCAAAAAUUGAUAUUAGUUCAAAAACAACCUUUAUUUGCAACUUGCAACAAGGGGUGUUAAGCCCUUCAAUUGGAUUUUGGAGGUGAGAAACGGCAAGUUGUUUUUUAAAUCUUUACAAAUCCAAACUUUUUCCUAAAACAUUUUUAAUCAUCAAAAUCAACUUUGUGUGAAAACGAGCAUUAUUUAAGUUUGCUGAGAAAAAAAUUUGCAGCGAAUUUAUCUUCUCUUAGCUCUAGUUUCCCACUGCCCAAUUUUGAGUCUUGUAUCAUUUUUUCAAAGAACCAACUUUCUCUAGGAAUUACAAGGUGUGUUGUGAAACCUCAUCCUAAAACUGGAAUGCAAGGUAAGAAACCACAGAAAUUAUCCAAUAAAAGAUGCUCAAAUAUGGAUCUGGAAGAGCUAUAAUGAUGUAACACAACACACUUGGAAAAAAAUUAUGUAACACCAUGAUUUCAAUAAACUCCCAAUAUCAGAUGCUCCCUAAGGAGAAGCAAGAAAUCUAACAGAAAAUAAAAAAUAACAUCAAAACAUAUCAGGGCAGUUUCAUAACUACUAUGAUGGUACCCAUUUAUUAGAAGGAUAGUGAUCACCAAUACUUGGAUAUAGCAAAGGAGGCUUGCUAACUCCUAGCACAAAAUAGUUGCAGAUCAAUUUUACUCAUCAUAACAAUAACAAUCAAAGGUAGGGCUUAAUUGCUUAAAUGUGAACCAUAAAUUGGUUUUGAGGUAGCGGUUUCAGCCUCAACAGUAUUAAAACUAUCUGAAGAUCAUGGAUCCCAAGUCAAAUAGAUUCUGAAAUACACAGAAUCACAAAGAAAAACUGAUAAGAAGCAUAGUAGUUAGCAGUCAAUCUAACUCGGUAAAUUCAGCACAGCCGAUGUACAUUUAAAGGAUAUAUUACAAAAUAAGGCCAUAAGGUUCAUGGAUAUUUCUUCUAUCUUAUCAACCAUGCUCUUUUACCUUCCUAACUUUCCAGCUCAAAUAAUUUACAAGUCAAAAAGAAAUAUAUUGAGCUUUAUAGAAAGCAACCAUAACUCAAUCAUAAACAAUUUCAAUUAGAGAACAGGAUUGCUUUAAGCACAGAGCCCUCAGGCCACAAUUAACCGUUCCCCAAAUCAGCCACAGUUUCACAAAUAAAAUAUAUGUAGCAUACAUUGGCCUAUAAUCCAAGUCUUCUCCCCAAAGAAUGGAUAACAAGAAGGGGGUACAUACAAUAAUACUUUUAAUAAUGAUCAACCCAAAUGGCUUCUCCCGGCAAUGUACCACAACUAUGCAGCAGCUUCAAAAGCCAAAAUAUACCUACGCAAAGAAAUUAUUCUACCAUUCUAUAGUUACCCAUCAAAGGAUGAAUUACAGUCUCAAAACAGAAGAAGAGAACAUACAUUCGUUAUUUUUUCCCUCAAUCAAAAUGCAAAAGCACAAAUAUUAAGCUGCAGCAAUAAAAUAGACAGUUUCAAGAAUAAUACGCUGCUAUAAAGCAACUCACAAGCCACAAGCCAGUAUAAUAUAAAAGGGAGAGAUAUAAGAACAGGACAGUCAUUAUAAUUACCUUCUGAAAGACACCCCCAGCUUUGAUUAUGCAAAGACAGCAAUGAAGUAAACAAGGCAGAGGCAGUAGCACUAUGCAAUGGCAUCAAAGUUACUGCACCACCCAAUUCCACUGGGAGCCUGAAAUAAGCCGCAUCAAACAAUUCUUACUCAGACUUAGAACAAAUCGGCAAUAAUUUCCAUACAGAAUUUCUCGAAUAAUUAGUAGAACCAAUACAAAAAGUAUAAGUAAACUGCUAAAAUAUUCUAUAACAAAGAAAUGAAGCUGUAACUUUUCGGAUGGAAGCAAACCUGGAAGAAAUGAGAUUGCGGAGAGAGAAUCGCGAUGCAGAGGUUGGCUUAGGAGAGAAAAGGCCGGCCAGCUUAUUAUUAGCAGAUCUUGAAGAUGUUGAAUGGGUCAAAAUGGUCUUGGCUGAAGCACAAGAGAACUGUAGGGUUCUUCUUCCACAACUAGCCGCCAUGAUUCCUUUUGUCUUUCCCAAGAACCCAGAAGCCUAAAACCUCAGGGUCAGGGUUUUUUCUUUAUUAGUUUUAAUUUUCUUUAAAUGAAGAAAGAGGUGUUGGUUAUGGGCUGGAUCUUGGCCCAGAGUAUGCAAAAGAUAUUAGCUUUCAUCUUUCAUUUUUACCUUAUAAGUCUAACAAUUAAUCAGACUUUACUAAUUUAUUAGGUGAUAUGUUUAUGAGGAAUUUAACCUUUUUGAGAAACGAGAAUAUGUGUUCAGGGAUGGAUAAGAAUAUAGAGUUACACAUAAGAUCAAUUCUAGUAGUUUAUCACCCAAGUAGCACCAUAAAUGAAAGUAUUCCAAAUUCAAUUAUGGAUUAAGAGUAUACUUUCAAGUUCCUAAACUAUUCAAAAAAAUUCAAUCAUAUCUUUAUUUAUUUAUUGCAUUCAAUUACGCCUCAUAUACUUUCUUUUAGAUCAAAUGAGUCCUUAUAACUAAUAGUUGAAUAAUUACUAUUAGUCAAAAUGUCAAUUGUCAUUUUAUAUUCACGUGCUGUUAAUGUGGCACUGAUGUAGAUGAUAAAAAAUAUCACAUGAUCAUAUUAUUAUGUCAUCAUCAACAUAUCAUGUUAUUAUCCAUUAUAUCAUGUCAGUAUACUAUAUUAGCGUCGAGUGACACAGAAUAACAAGUGACAUUUUGAUUAAGUUAAACAUUAGUUAUGAGGGUUUAUUUGGCUCAAAUUAAAGUAUAAAGAUUUAUUUGACUCAAAAUAAAAGAACAAAUGUUUGAUUGAAGGUAAUAAAAGAAUAAGCGCUUAUUUGAAUUUUUCUAAAUAGUUUAAGGGUAUUUUUAGAUAUUAUGCCUUUUUUAUUUAUAAAGAAAAUUGCCAACCAUUUCUUUGUUCUUCUAUAAACUAUAUAUAUUUUUAGAGUUAUUGAUUAUUUUCAAUUUAUUUAGUGUUUUUUUUAGUCCUUGUUAGCAUUUAUGUCUAUGAACACCCAUUAACCAUCAAGUUAUACAAUAAAAAAAAAACUCCUUUAUUUUAAAGAUGUAACUUUAUCUUUCACAUGACAUCUUCUAGUUUCUUUUUCUCAAUUAACAUUUUCUAGAGAAUAUUUAUUUUUAUAAGAGGUUAUAUUGUUAAUUUUGCCUGAUAAAAUUACCAAAACACUCUUAAUUCAAAGUUAGUCUAAAGGUUCAUAGUUAAAAGUAUUUUAUAAUCUUAUUAGGUAAAAUUAACAACAUAACCCUUUGUUGGAAUACCUAAUCCCUUAUUGAAAUAAAAGUUAUGUGCUAAUUGAGAAAAAAAUAUUCAUAAGAUCUUAGUUGAAAAAAAGGGUAAAUUACCCCCAAGCCCUUAAGAUUUCAUCCUAAUUCAUCUUUAGCCCAUUAAUAUUCAAAAUGGACACUUCCCCAAAAAUCCCAAACGUCAUUAACAGAUAUUAAAAAAUUACUAAAUUACUAAUGACCCUAAAACACCAAAACAUGUCUUUUAAUUCAACUUACUCGAUUUAGUUGACUGUUAAAGAUUUUCUUCGUCAUUUUCAGGCCAUAAAAAAUCUAAUAUGAUAACAAUAUUUGUGAGGUAAGAGCAUGGCAAUUUCUUAAUUUUAGUUUAUUAUAUAUUAAUCCUUACCCUAUCUCCUCUAAUUUUAGGACAUUCAGUUGUAUAAAGUAAAGUGGAGUGUUUUAUUUUAGCAUUACUUGUUCUUCGAAAGCUAAAGAAAAUAUGUACUGGUUGACACUAUUUCAGUGAUACAAAGCUAUAUGUAAGUAUUUGUGAUGGUGGAAGAUGAAAAAAGGAAAGAAAGAAUAAGCUUUAAUUUGCUUAAGAAAAUUGCAAACCUUCCAAAAGUGUGGUAGAUCUCUUAGUUUUGCUUGGAAUCCAAAUUUUGAUGGACAAAGUACUUUGUUAGUGCAAUAAGCUCAAGGUGUAGAAGUUCAAGAAAGGGAUGAAUUGACUUCUUUUAAAAUUUUUUUCUAAAUUUAAUAAAAAUAGAGUUUCUUUUUAAAUUAAGAUUAAAACACUAAAAACUUGAAGAGAAUGUUAAGAACAAAAACAUAAGAAUUUUAUAAAAGUUCGACCUCUUUGCCUACAUUCUCUCUCUUAGCUCACUCAAGCAUUUUGAAUCCACUAUGAAAAUUAUCACAGCCCAAAUUUCAGGCUAUGACCGACGCAUGGGCCCAAUGGGCAUAGCCCACUAAGCCCAAGCAAGCCUAUUUAUGCAAUCCCGAUCAUUAAUCCCAACCAUCAUUUCUAAAACCAUAUAUUUUAGUUCUCAAUGAUGAAUGUUUCAGUAAUAAUUUAUAGCGAUCGAAUAUUUAUAUUUGUAUUAUCUCAAAGUAUUGUCAUUCAUUGUCGUCUCAUAAGGCAUCAUCAUCAAUCCAACAUAUACAUACUUCAUUUAUAACAUGACUCAUAAUAGUUUACAUUCCAUAUACAUGUACACAGAUAAAAGACUUUCAACCGUCAGCGGAGUGACUUUAAGUGAAGGUACCGCUAUUGGGAUGCCAUAUUACCUAUCAAGAAGGCGAGCAUAUGUGUGUGACUCAAUUUAGGUCCCAACUGCCUCUGAAUUUGAAAACAUGAAGUUUAAAAACGUGAGUAUAAACUCAAUGAGUGAACAUAAGAAGGGAACAAGCAAUCGAUAGGAAGAAUUUAGAAAUCAUGAUGCACUUGUUUCAAAAACAAUGCACUUGAUUUAAUUUCUUGCUAAAAACCCCUCAUUUCAAACCUUGAUUGAUACCCUCAUAGUGUUUCACAAACCCAUGAUCAAUCCAUGAAGUUAAAUGGGUGAAAAGUAUAUCAAAAUCAAGCAAGGUAGAAAGCAUGGCAGCAAGUUUCUCGCUGCAGCAAAAUUCAUUCUCGCUGUAGCGAAAUUCGGGCGGCCAAAAUAAAAAGUUUCUCGCUGUAGAGAAAAUAUUGUUAGUUUGCAUAUGUUUCAGUUUUUCUAGUAGAUCUCUCGCUACAGAAGUACAAUUGACCUGAUUUUUAGACCAUUAGAAAGAUAAGAGACAAGGCUACAACUUUGAUGUUUACCACUUUUCCCAUUUCGGACGGGAAAGUGGUCAAAAUCUUUAUUAAGUGAAGAUACUGCAUUAGAACCUAAGAGUUUCUCGCUGCAGUGAGUUGUUGGCUACCAAAACAGAAUGUUUCUCGCUCAGCGAGAAACACUGUUAGUUUGUAUGUGUUUUAGUUUUUCUAGCAUUUCGCUCACUAUAUAAGUUCAAUUGACCUGAUUUUUAGAUCAUUAGAAAGCUAAGAGACAGGGCUACAACUUUGAUGUUUACCAUUUUUCUUAAUUCGGACGAGAAGGUAAUCAAAAUCUUCAUCAAAGUGAAGGCACUGCAUUAGAAUCCGAGAGUUUCUCACUGCAACAAGAUUUAUUCUCACUGCAGCAAGUUGUUGGCUGCCAAAACAGAAUGUUUCUCGCUGCAGCUAGAAUGCUUUCUCACUAUAGCCAGAAGUAGGGCACCUAAAUGUAAAAAGGACCUCCUUUGCACAAAAAAUCCAUUUGGUGCUGCAAUAAACUCAAUUUGCAAGAAAAUGGGACAUUCUCAAGAUUCAUCAUGCCAAUUUCAACAUGAAAUACUCAAAAAUUUCCAAAGUUCAACAUGCCAAAAUUUCACAUGCAUUACAACCAUAUACUAUAUUCAUGAACUUUUAUUUCACAAACAUAUAUAUACAUAUAUACAUACAUAAACACCAAUGCCACCAUCAUCUCACCCAGCUCAUGUGCAUCCCCCCACAUCGUGCACAUAGCCGGAGUCAUCGUGUGCAUCCCCCCACAUCGUGCACAAUUAGUGCCAUCAUGUGCAUCCCCCCACAUCGUGCACAUGGGCACUUUCAUCAUCCAACUCCCUCACCACCGUCAUUAUCGGCAUGUGCAUCCCCCCACAUCGUGCACACGAAUGGUUAUCAUUAUCACACAAUGUCAACCAUCCAUGCACAACAUAUAUAUAUAUAUACCAACACAAUGUACUAGUGCAUGAAUCCAUAACAUCCAUAAGUCACAACAUAAAGACAAUUUAUCAAGGGCUUGUUCCCAAGGCACCCGUUUUAGUAAGAAAACUUGGAUAAAAUCAUUCAAAGGUUUUGUCCAGAUACAUUCACAUUCCCAAAAUAAUUUUUGAAAUGCAAGUUCACUCAUCGGGAUUGUUGAACCUCUAAUCGACUCUAACUUUGAUUAUCACUUCAAACGGACAUGUGAGGCCUUGUUGGAACCUAUCACCCACAAUAUAACUAUAAAAAAUAUAACAGCCCAUAAAUCAAAUUUCUAGUCAUCUCUAACACCUUAAAAUCAAAUUCUAACUCAUUUCUCACCUUGGUGGUUUUUUUUUUUGUAGUUUAAUUCCUUUUCAAAAGCUUCCAAGCUACUAUGGCAAGUCUCUCUUUCUCUCUCUAAAACUUUCAACUAAUGAGAGAAAGUGCUGAAUAAAGACUUUUUGAGGGUUUUAAGGUGUAAAAGUUGAAGGGCAUGAAAAACCCUAUGAAGGAGUGGGCAAAAGCAUGAAAUUUGGACUUUCCAUGAGGGAUUUAUGGAGGGUUCAAGGUUUUCCUCCCGUAGAGAAUGAAGAAAAUGUGAAAUGAAGAAAAGGACUGGGAUGAAGAAGGAGAAGCUGUUGGAGCAUAGAUAUUUAUGCUUCAAGUAAAUCCAAAUUUCCACUAAAAUUACCAAAAUGCCCUUAACAUGGUGGCUUUGUCUUCCUCCCAUCCUUUGUGAAACCUUUUUGCUCUUUUGACACCGAAACAAAGUCCAUAAUAGUCUAAAGGUACUCGAGUUCACGAAACAAAAAAACUUAGACUCGAGAUGCAAAAUGACCAUUUUGCCCCUAUCGUGGAACUUAUCAUUAUUUCUAUUUUCCUCAUUUAUUUACCAUCAUAAACAUCAUUUAUUCAUUCCUUAGGCCUAUUUAGACCUUAAUAGCAUAAAAAAAACCCACUCGUAGGGGCCUACCAAGAGAAAUUACGAAAUUACCCAUAGUCUGCAUUAUCGCGUCUACUUCUAGUUAUGUGCCUAUGGAGACUGAGAUUUCACAGGUUCACUUUUGAAUUACCAUUUUAACUCAGUAAUUAACCUCAAUUGGCAUCCGUAAAUUCUAUUAGCCACCGUAUUAAAAUACAGGGUACUACAGUUUCCCCCACUUAAAAUGAAUUCGUCCUCGAAUUCAAAUCGGCGUAGAGUGAAUAAUCAAAGUUCUAAAGUUCUACCACAUCACUUUCAUUAGGCAUUCUUAACAUAGAACCUUGGUUUAUGCAUCAUAUCGAUUUCCAAUCUUAUAGAAAACUCGACAAUGUCAUAGUAUAUAGUUAUGUGUACUGUUCUUGUUGAAUCAAAAUAAUAUCAUUUUUUAUCUUAUGAAGAGAAUUCAAAUAUGCUAUUAAUUUUGGUCACACCUCAAUCAAGUCAUACUUAAAUCAUCAAUCAUGCAUGUUUACCUAACCACCCACAAUUCCUCUACCUUGAACUUUUAUCAAACCUUCCAACAUUCUAGCAUUUAUUCCACCAUUAACUAUGGGUCUAAAUGGUUAACCAACCUCUAUUCCAUUUUACAUACCUCCAUACAAAUUUCAUUCAAGCAUUUCAUAAUACAUAAGGUUCAAACACUCUUUAUUUAUUCAUAUAUAUUUAACAUCAUGGAUGAUUCAAAUCCGGUAACUUUUAGUAACCAUAUUCCUAAAAACAAACUCCAAUACUUUCAUGAUCGAGUGCUCACUAGAUAAAUCUCAACUUAUGCCACAAGGCAUUUCAAUAAAUUAUGACAUUCCACAUACCCCUUUAUAAUCUUAACCAAUCUCUUUAAUCAAUAACUCAACCUCUCAAGAUUAAAGUUGCUCAAAAUUUUCCCUUUAAAGUUCCUUUCCAAGUCUCAUUUUGAUUACUAAUCAUUUCUAUAUUUCCAAUGUCAUAGCUAAUUUGCUCGUCAUCAAUCACCCACAACAUAUCUAACUUGAUAUUUCUCAAAUUUAUUCCAAACAUCAAAUCUCAUGGCCUCAUUAGUUCAUCAAUCUGAAGAUCAAAUUAAACAUUUAUCUCUCCUUAAGUGCACUUUAAAAUUUAAGAAUUAUCUAUUAAGACCUUUCGGAUAUUAACUUCUUUUGUCCUUUUUACCUUAGAAAAUUAAAUCCAUAAUCAUUCAUUUUGAAUCAUGAGCUUUUUACCAAUCAAGGCAGAUUUUCAACUUUUCUUACAUAAACUCAAAUGCACUACCUUCAUGCAUAAGCUAAAUUUUUUUACCCAAAUCUCCAUAAGUCAAAACCUUAUAUUGAAACUAUACCAAUACUCAUAUGUUCUAUCCCAUUAGCCUUUAGAGAAUUAAAUCUAUGGCAUACUUCUCUAUUUGGGUACUUCAUAACAGCUUAACAAAUUCUAGCUUACAAUUAAGCUAGUUCAUAUGCCAAGACUCUCAGGCUAUAUCAAAACACCAAAUUUGAUCACGAUAUAAUAGAAUUUAAUGAACUCAUACCAAAAGUAUAAACACUUACUUUUAAGCUAACAGCAUUAUAAUCCACUUGUUCAAUGCCAAAAUCAGCAAUAAAUUAUCUUAAUCAUUGUCUAGCACUAUAACCAUUGAUAGAAUAUCAUCAUCGAAUCAAAUUAUAACUAACUCCACAUGAGUUUUUAUACCAAUAUGCAACAUAUAUAGCCAUACAUAUAUAUUUUCAAAAAUUUUAACUUAGAAUAUCCUUAGGCAUGUCAAGCUUAAUAAGCCAUAUGUAAAACCAAAAUAACCAACAAUCAAGUUUAGAGUCAUUUCUUAUCUUGGUUGGUUAGAUCAUGCUCAUCAUAUAUGGUGAAUACACAAAGCUGAUUUCAAUAUUCCAUUCUCAUACAAGAGUCAACCACUAAUUGGCACCAUCUCUAAACACCACGUGUUUUAUAAGUCAAUUUUCUUAGUCAAAAUUCAUAUUGUAAUAUCAUGCUUCUAGGUCGUAGCUCAUUACCAAAGUCUUUACUCAUAUACGAGUACUUGAAUUCUUAAAUCAUCAUCUCUUUUCUAAGUAGAUCUCUGCCAUUCCCGUAUUGUAUUUCUAUUCCCUUACCAAGGGUAGUAUCAUUUAAUCAGACCAUGUCACCCUCAUUCUCAAAACAUUUGAAGCAUAGUUCAACCUUCCACUAUCCCUAUCAGGCACUUUACCUUGAUAAUUACUCAAAAUAAAUUGGAACUUGUGGGGAAAGCACAUUUCACAAUUUAUGCCUUGCAUCUAUAAUUAUGUCGAGACCAGAACCUCAUCGGGUCCACAAAACGGUAGGAUAAUCAUUGCCUCAAACUAGUAUUUCCAAGUAUACUUAUGCUUGUAUCAUAUCUUCAUACUUAUGUGACAUGUCAGUCACGAGCCCAACUUGACUGUAUAGCCAUUUGCUCUUUGAGUUUUAAUGUUUGCUCAUUGUGAAAAGUCUUUUGAAUUUAUCUCAUCAAGGUAUUCACAAGGUGGAUACAUGUCCAUAACUUAUAGUUCAAUGCCUAAAGCAGUGAACACAAUCUCAUCGUUAGAGUUAUACUCUUAUCUACCAAUCAUAGCUCCUUUUAUGAGCACAUACUUUACACUGCUUGAUUGUUCACAAGCCACUCAUGGCCAUCCAAAUUCAACCUCUUAUAGCAAGUCAAACUAGUAUAUUAUUCUUAUGUUUUCCAGUAUACUUGCAAAAUGCUUAAACACAUCCUUUAAUAGGGUUCCAUUGAGAACUUAAUCAAUCAAAGGCCUAUCUUCAAAGUCACUCAUAACUUUAAUCGUUCAUUGUAUGCCCGAUAACACUUUAGCUCAUUGACCCCACUGGACAUUAUUUUAAAAUCUCCCAAGGUGUCCAUGCUUUUAGUUUUGAUCAUACCAUCUAACUUAGUAUAAUUGCAUUAAUUAUCCUUAAGCUAUUUAUGCUCAGCAUAUCAACAUCCAUAUUUCCCUCUCAUUCAUGUUAUUGACCUUGUUAAGGUAUAUAUGGCUUUUCAACCUUUCACAAUACAUUCCACAUUUAUGUCAGGGCAUUCUCAAUCUCAUGCCAAAUCCUUCUAUGGAAUAUCUCCUUCCAUAUGAUGAAUGCGAAUCACAAGAUACACAACUCCAAGUGUAUGCUUACAUAUUGGUAACCUCCAUAUAUUUCAUGGUCAUGGAAACCACAAUUUGCAAAACUAGCUUCCUAUCACAAGUUUGUGAUCGGAACAUUAGUCUCCACAUAUCUCACUUUGGACAUACUUCACUACUAACAUUCAUAUACCUUUACCACAACAUUCAGUGCAAAUUAAUUAAGCAAUGAUCUCCAAAUUUACUCUUAGGUACACAUAUAUCAAAUUGUACACCAUUUAGUGUUAAGAUCUUAACUUUACUCAGCAAUUCUUAACCAAUUACAUCUAUAAGAUAGACAAUUCACUAAAUUUUUGUAUAUUACUUUUGCAGUUAUAAGAUCAAAAUUUCUUAAACUUAAGAUGCAGAAGCUUCCUCUUAGAGCAUAUCCGAAAGUCCAUAUGUUUUAAGUCCCUUACCUUUAGAGAAGUUACAUUCAAGAAUAAUCAUUUACAUCAUAGGUUGCAUAUUGAACCAAACAUAUUUUUGAAUUGACCCUUAAAGCAAUUCGUAUAUCGAUCUUCAUAUAGAACUCCAUAUGGCAUUUCAACUAAAUUUGUCAUUUCCAUGCCAUUUAAUUUCAAACUGCUAAAUCCACAUCUAGUCCUUUAAUCCUUUGGCUCUACACUAAGCAUAGCAAAAUUCAAGCUCAUCCUUAGAGGAGAUCAUUUACUAGCCUUUUACUUCAUGACCAUACAUCAAUUAUAAUUAUCAGUGAUUUUCGCCCUUGAGCUAAUUCAUGCAAUUAUAACCAUAAACCACAAUAAUUCAAUUCAAGCCUUGGAAUCUUACAAUUACUUAAUUAGAAUCAAAACCAACCCCAUUGAAGCUAUUAUACACAUAUUCAACACUUAUACGAUUAUAAAAUAUUUCAAAAGCCCACACCAUUUCUAUAGGGGCAUGUCAAGCUUAAUUAACAUAGUGCACUUGCCUCCGUACACCUAAACGUUGGUUUACACUUUCCUUGAUAUUUAAAUUUAUAAACCUCAAGCGAGUCAUAACAUUCACUAUUCAUUCCAGUCAAAUACUGCUCUUAUUAUCAUUAUCGUACGUCCUCCUUAUAUUCACCUCAAAUACAAUUCAUAGUCUCCAAAAUUUUAAUUAAUUUUUUUUAUAACCAUGGGUUCGAAUCAUAAUUCCACCAAAUGAAUAAAUUAUUACAAACCUAACAGUCUAGCUUCACCUUCCUCCAUCCUUAGUCAGAGGAAUAUAUCAUUAUGUUGACCUUUCAUUAGGAGCAUUUGCUUAAAAAUUUUUCCAAUAAUGGUUUGUGUCUCGGGUGGCAAAUCAAACCUGAGCAGCGAUACCAUUUAUGCCAUUUACAUGACGAUAGCAAAAUGGUAGGUUACUAGGAAUAGGAGUUCAUAUAACUUCCUGUCUAUGACUUGUGCUAUAGUCACAAACCAUAGAUAAGACUCUACAUUAGCUUCGACAACUCCGCUGACUGACACAAGAAUCCCUAGGACUCGGCUAAACUUAGAGCUCUAAUACCAACUUUGUCACAACCCAAAUUCCAAGCUAUGACUUGCGCAUGGGCCCAAUGGGCAUAGCCCACUAAGCCCAAGCAAGCCUAUUUAUGCAAUCCCGAUCAUUAAUCCCAACCAUCAUUUCUAAAACCACAUAUUUUAGUUCUCAGUGAUGAAUGUUUCAGUAAUAAUUUAUAGCGAUUGAAUAUUCAUAUUUGUAUUAUCUUAAAGUAUUGUCAUUCAUUGCCGUCUCAUAAGGCAUCAUCAUCAAUCCAACAUAUACAUACUUCAUUUAUAACAUGACUCAUAAUAGUUUACAUUCCAUAUACAUGUACACAGAUAAAAGACUCUCAACCGUCAGCGGAGUGACUUUAAGUGAAUGUACCUCUACUGAGAUGCCAUAUUACCUGCCAAGAAGGCGAGCAUAUGUGUGCGACUCAAUAUAGGUCUCAAUUGCCUCUGAAUCUGAAAACAUGAAGUUUAAAAACGUGAGUAUAAACUCAGUGAGUGAACAUAGGAAGGGAACAAACAAUCGAUAUGAAGAAUUUGGAAAUCAUGAUGCACUUGAUUUAAUUUCUUACUAAAAACCCCUCAUUUCAAACCUUGAUUAAUACCCUUAUAGUGUUUCACAAACCCAUGAUCAAUCCAUGAAGUUAAAUGGGUGAAAAGUAGGUCAAAAUUAAGCAAGGUAGCAAGCAUGGCAGCAAGUUUCUCGCUGCAGUGAAAUUCAUUCUCGAUGUAGUGAGAUUUGGGCGGCCAAAAGAGAAAGUUUCUUACUUCAGCGAGAAAUAGUGUUAGUUUGCAUGUGUUUCAGUUUUUCUAGUAUAUCUCUCGUUAAAGAAGUCUAAUUGACCUGAUUUUUAGACCAUUAGAAAGCUAAGAGAUAGGGAUACAACUUUGAUGUUUACCACUUUUACCAAUUCAUAUGGAAAAAUGGUCAAAAUCUUCAUCAAAGUGAAGGCACUGCAUCAGAACCUGAGAGAUCUCGCUGCAGCGAGUUGUUGGCUGCCAAAAUAGAAUGUUUCUCGCUGUAACGAGAAGCAGGGCACCUAAGUGUAAAAAGGACCUCCUUUGCACUAAAAAUCCAUUUGGUGCUACAAUAAACUCAAUUUGCAAGAAAAUGGGACAUUCUCAAGAUUCAUCAUGCCAAUUUCAACAUGAAAUACUCAAAAAUUUCCAAAGUUCAACAUGCCAAAAUUUCACAUGCAUUACAACCAUAUACUAUAUUCAUGAACUUUUAUUUCACAAACAUAUAUAUACAUAUAUACAUACAUAAACACCAAUGCCACCAUCAUCUCACCUAACUCAUGUGCUUCUCCCCACAUCGUGCACAUAGCUGGAGUCAUCGUGUGCAUCCUCUCACAUCAUGCACAAUUAGUGCCAUCAUGUGCAUCCCCCCACAUCGUGCACAUGGGCACUUUCAUCAUCCAACUCCCUCACCACUGUCAUCAUCGGCAUGUGCAUCCGUCCACAUCGUGCGCACGGACGGUUAUCAUUAUCACACAAUGUCAACCAUUCAUGCACAACAUAUAUAUAUAUAUAUAUAUAUAUAUACCAACACAAUGUAAUAGUGCAUGAAUCCAUAACAUCCACAAGUCACAACAUAGAGACAAUUUAUCAAGAGCUUGUUCCAAAGGCACUAGUUUUUUUAAGAAAAGUUGGAUAAAAUCAUUCAAAGGUUUUGUGCAGAUACAUUCACAUUCCCAAAACAAUUUUUAAAAUGCAAGUUCACUCACUGGGAUUGUUGAACCUCUAAUCGACUCUAACUUCGAUUAUCACUUCAAACAGACAUGUGAGGCCUUGUUGGAACCUAUCACCCACAAUAUAACUAUAAAAAAUAUAACGGCCCAUAAAUCAAAUUUCUAGCCAUCUCUAACACCUUAAAAUCAAAUUCUAACUCAUUUCUCACCUUGGUGGGUUUUUUUUUUUUGUUGAAUUCCUUUUCAAAAGCUUCCAAGCUACUAUGGCAAGUCUCUCUUUCUCUCUCUAAAACUUUCAACUAGUGAGACAAAGUGCUGAACAAAGACUUUUUGAGGGUUUGAGGGUGUAAAAGUGGAAGGGCAUGAAAAACCCUAUGAAGAAGUGGGCAAAAGCAUGAAAUUUGGACUUUCUAUGAGGGAUUUAUGGAGGAUUCAAGGUUUUUCUCCCAUGGAGAAUGAAGAAAAUGUGAAAUGAAGAUAAGGGCUAGGAUGAAGAAGGAGAAGUUGUUAGAGCAUAGAUAUUUAUGCUUCAAGUAAAUCCAAAUUUCUACUAAAAUUACGAAAAUGCCCUUAACAUGGUGGCUUUGUCUUCCUCCCAUCCUUUGUGAAACCUUUUUGCUCUUUUGACACCGAAACAAAGUCCAUAAUAGUCUAAAGGUACUCGAGUUCACGAAACAAAAAAAUUUAUACUCGAGAUGAAAAAUGACCAUUUUACCCCUACCGUGGAAAUUAUCAUUAUUUUUAUUUUACUCAUUUAUUUACCAUCAUAAACAUCAUUUAUUCAUUCCUUAGGCCUAUUUAGACCUUAAUAGCAUAAAAACAACUCACUCGUAGGAGCCUACCAAGAGAAAUUACGAAAUUACCCUUAGUUCGCAUAAUCGCGUCUACUUUUAGUUAUGUGCCUAUAGAGAUCGAGAUUUCAUAGGUUCACUUCUAAAUUACCCUUUUAACUCAGUAAUCAACCUCAAUUGGCAUCCGUAAACUUUAUUAGCCAGCAGAUUAAAAUACGGGGUACUACAAAAAUACCUUUUAAAAGUUCAAACACAACCUUCACACUAAUCUUUUCAAGGAUAAGAUUGAACGUUUCUACCUUUUCACUUGGUUAAGGUAUAACCACUGAACAAUAAAUGAAGCUAGAAUGCCUCUUAAAGGUUGAUGAGUUAUGGAGGUUUAAGCUUAAACAAGAUGGGCACAAGAUGUAGUAGAAAAAUCAACUUAAUAAAUGAUAGGAGGAAAACUUAAAUGCUCAAAGAGAGGUAAGUGAGUGUGUUUAAAGAUUUUGAGGGUGUUCUUUUGCUUGGAGAGAGGUAAGUGAGUGUGCUUAACGAAAUGCUUAAGUCUUGUCAAAUGAGUUGAAUAUUUGAUAUAAUUGUUUUAUGUGUCAAGGAUGUAAUGCAUCAUAGUUUUGGUUUUUCAAAAUAAGAAAUGUGCAUGGUUUCAAAGGAAGUAGCAUAGCUAUGUAACAUACUCCUUUUGGUAUAAGCUUGUUCCCUUACUAAGUUUUAUGCUCACCGUUCAAAAUUCAUGUUCUUAAGUUUUCGAAACAAAAGUUAGUUGGAUCAUAGUAGGGUAGUUCUAACUUUAUCCAUUUUCCUGGUAGGUGUUACCAUGGCAUUCACUAGGCUCCACCAAUUCAAAUCACUUCGCUAUCUUGUCAUGUUUUAUUUUGUACUCGAUAGAAGUCUAGUAGUGUUGAUAUAACCAUUAAAUGGGAACAUGUCAAAUACUUUUGAUGAAGAAUAUAUAAAGAUAAUGUCAACACUUAAUAUUUUAAUAUUAAGGCAUACUUAAGAUAUAUUACGUGUUUGGAUAAGAAUGAUAAAUGAAUAUGAUAGGAUAUUACUAUAUGAGAUAUGUGUAAACCUAUAUGAUAUAAGUAUGACUAUGAAGCUUGUUUGGGCAUAAUGGGCUUUACCUAUUGGGUCCUUGCACCGGUUAUGGCCAAUGAUUGGGUCAUUUGAUCUCCAUUAUUUCCUCAAAGGUAUAUAUAUAAAUCUCCAACUCAAGACAAAAUAGAGGCAUCAUUCAAGUUCAUAUUUCAAUUCAAAUGCAAGCUCAUUCUCGAAUAAAUUUCUGUGUGUGUGUGUGAAAUCUUUUACAAAGAACAUUAUAUUUAUCCGAAUGAGUUUAUGCCAAUACAAAAUUUCAAAUUAGUACUAGAAGUCCAUAGGUUUACUUUAAAUCUUUCUCUCCACUAAUGUAGACAAAUACUAAGUCAAAGAUUAAUAAGUAUUUAUUAAGCUUAUAAUGUAUGUCUAGGGUCAAGGUAUGAUAAAAGACAAUAAUUUGGCUUAAUUCAAAUCCCUUACUCUAUUCAUCUUUUUCUUUUUUUGAAAAUUUUCAAAGUUCUUAUUUUUUUUGUAAAAUUUUCUUGAAAAAUCAACAAUUAGUUUACAUUCACAAAACCUAAAAGUUGAUGGGUUGAAGUUACAAGUGAAAUGAAAUCUGUUAAUUAGAGCACUACCUAGAGUUGUUACAUGCCAUGUUUGCAUGUAACAACUCUAAUGCAGUUAGCGUAUAACAAAUCUAUUGAAUAUGUUUUUGUACAUGUCUGCAUUUAAGAACAUUUUUUUCAAAAUAACGUGUAAUAAAAUGUUUUUGAACAUAGUGUGUAACAACAACUUUUUUUAAAAUGGUGUGUAACUUGCUCCUUUGUAUUUCACUAGAACAUAAACUUUUGGAAUUAAACAGCGUAUAAUAAUUUUUUUUCAACAUGGCUUGUAACAACAUUUUUUUUAACUUGGCGUAUAAUAAUAACAUUUUUCAAACAUGAUAUGUAACUUGGUCUCUAUCUUUGUAUAUUACUAAAACAUAAACUCUUAGAGUUAAAUAUCUUCACAAUAAAGAUAAAGUUUAAAAUCAAAAAGGAAUUUGACAUGGAAAGGAAGAUGUAAUGAAAAGUUAUUCAUCGUCAACGUUAUUGUUGGGAUGAAAUGGAUUUAGGCAAAAAGAUAUUAUCCAAAAUCCUCAAAUUUGGAUAAUUAGCUUUUGGGGUUAUUUUAUUUGUUACAUUUUUUAUAAUAAUAUAAAAAAUGAUGUGUAACAACUUUUCUUUUUCAACAUAUAAUAUAACAAUAUUGUUUUCAACACGUGCACUUGAAUAUAAGGAGGUUUCAUUAAGGGUAAUUUUAUCCAAAAAUCUUUUCUCUUGGUUAAAAAUAGUUGAAAUUAAAAAAGGGUUAUUUUUGAAAACACCUUACCUUUGAAUGUUAAAAAAAAUCGUCCCUAACAAGAAUGGUAAUUUAAACUAUAAAAAUCAACCAAACAAAGUCUAGAACCACAAUAUCUACUCAACACUUCACUUGAAUCUCUUUUACUUUCUCUUUACUUACUAAACAACUAAGCUGUUGACUUAAAGCUCUAGUCUAUUUAUAAGUCUCUUCUAAUGUUCUCAUAAAAAUAUCUCUCUUAACCAAUCUACUAUAUUCCUAUAUAAAUUGUAAUUAAAGACUCAUUAAGCUUAGACUUUAAAUUCACUAUAUAUGACAUGUAAGUGUAUUCCUACCAUACAAACGAAUCAAAUCAAUCAUCUCAUGCAAUUGACAUUAAACAUAUGUUAUUUCAUCCAAGGCUUACACUAAAUUUCCUCUUCUAGUUCUGUUUAGGUUACCUGAUCUAUAUAAUUGGUGAUCAGGCAAUUAGAUCCAUUAAUUAUAGGAUUAAAAUAGACAACUCAAACACUAUCAUAAGCAAAAAAAGAGUAUUAAAAAUUUAAACAGCAUUGUGGGUUCAAUUACAAUUCUAAAUAAAAAAUUUAAUUCCUUAUAACUACUAAAAACGUAAUCCAAAAAAUUUUAACCAUCAACACAAAACAAAGAAAGUAUAAGAAGAACUAAAGAAGAAAGAAAACCCAGAUUUGUCAGGUUUUCGAUCUUGAAUUUUCAAAAGUUUUUCUUUGCUUUCUGGUUUGCUUAACAACUCUUUUUCUUCAGAGAAAAUCUAUCUUAAUUGUUGCCUUCAAGUGAUUUGAAAGGGUCUUUAAAUAAGCCUCAGAAUCCUACUCAAAAUAGAAGUCCCAAAUUGUUGCUUGGAGAAGCUAUCGUGUCGACGCCGCAGUGCCAUUCCUUCGGCACUGCAAUGUCAAGCUUUUUGCUUAGUUUUUUCUACUCUCUACCUUCAGCAUUGUGGCCUCCAUCCUUGGGCUUCGUGGUUUGAUUGCCAAAGUUUUUCUUUUCACGGUGCUACAUUCCCUAUUCAGCCAUGGCUGGGAUGCCUAAUGUUCUAUUUUUGAGUUUAAAUUUUGCUUUUCUUCUUUGAUCCGAACUCAUUCAAAUGAGCACUUACAAAGCUCAAAACCAUAUAACUAUUCUCAUUUAAAGAGACCUAAAUCAACCUAAAAUCAACUAAAACAAAACUACUAAGUAACUUAAAGCGAAACUUAAAAUAAACUCCUAAAACGAGACUAAUUCAUAUCAAAACUCAAAGACUUAAUUGAUUUUAAAGUUCAAAAGUGACAAGAUAACUCUAUAUUAUAGAGUUAUCACAUCCUUAAACUUAAGAUUUUACUAGUCUUUGAGCAAAAACAUAAAAGAAAACUUAAACAAAAAUGAAAGCAAUCGUAAAUGAUGAAAGCACUUAAAUUAUGAAAACAAAUAACUAGAGAUGACAACUUGCUAAAGAUAACUCACACCAAACCAAUGAUCUCUCAUAAUUUCCUCAAAAGUUAUCUCAAAAUCUCAACUCAAGGUUCACAGAAAUAUCAUUCAAGUCCAUGCUUCAAUUCAAGUGCAAACUCAUUCUUGAAUGAAUUUUUGUGUGUGUGCAACUUUUUACAAAGAAUAUCAUGUAAUCUAGAUAAGUUUAUACUUAUGCGAAAUUCGAAUUAGUAUUAGAAUCCUAUAAGUUUGUUUUUCAUCUCCCUAUCCACUAAUGUAGACUGAUGCUAAUUCAAGGAUCUUUAGGACUUUAAAUGGCUUAUAAUGAAUGGAAAGGGUCAAGGUAGGAUGAAGGAUAUUAUAAGGCUCAAAUCACCCUAAGCACAUCAAUCAUUCUAAGACCUUCUUAGAGCUCAAAUUAUACUCUACGUAAUUCCCUCUACUUGAUUUCAACUUUUACUUUUGUCCAACACUUUAUUCUUUUUUUUCCUUAAUUUUUUUUCAUCAUAAUUUUACACCCCAAACUUAUUUUUUUUUAAUCUAGAUAGUGGGGUGAAUACUAAUCAUAUUUGAACUUUUCAACAACUCCACCUUAUACUUUAUUCAACAUCCAACUCAAUACACUUCCUAAAAUGAUUAACAUACUUAGGUGUGAAGGAUGCAAAAUUGAAAAUUUAUUAUAUGCUAGACUAUAUAAAAUAGGUGUUUGACAAAGAAAAGGUAAUAUUUGGCUCAAUGAAGUAUACUAGGGAUAAAAAUAUAUAAAGAUAGGCUCGAAAGGCUCAAAUGGUCCAAAGAUGGCCUAAUUCAUUUUCUUAACUAAGUAUUGCAUAGGAUUUCACCUCAAGAAAGAAUCAAACACAUUCUAAAAUUCCUGACAUAACUAAAAUUCACAUCAAUGUAAACCGUCUCUAAAUAUACACAACAAUUCUAAGCAAAAGAAAAUGUGCUCAAUAUAUGGAAAUCUCAUCCUGACAAUGAUGCUUAACAUAAAAAUUUAACCUAAACUCAAACCACUACUAAAAAUUUUGUUAAUUUCGACAAAAAAUUCUAUAGGAAAAAGUUUAAUUUCCAUCGAAAUUGACUGCUUCCAAUUGAUUUUCAACAAAAAAAAUCCAUUUAAAAUUCUGUUGCUAAAGGGGUCGUUGGAAAAGCUUGUUGUAAAAAAUCCAUCAAAAAAUUUUAACAAAAAAUUCUGUUCAAAAAAGCAAUAAUAUUUUUUAUUAUUUUAAUAUCAAUCUAUCCAAAAAGACAAAAAUUACCGAUUGAAAUUUUUGUUCGAAAUAUGAUUCCAAUGAAAAUCCAUUGGAAAUUACCAACAAAAUUUUCUGUUAGUAAUAUGUUACCAACGAAAUUUCUUUCGAAAUUACCAAUGGAGUUUUUGUUGAUAAUUUAGUCAUUUCCAAUGAAAUUCUAUUGAAAAUUACCAGCGAAAUUUUUGUUGAUAAUUUAGUCAUUUUAGAUGAAAUUUCAUUGGAAAUUACCAAUGGAAUUUUUGUUGGUAAUUUAAUCAUUGCCUAUGAAUUUGAGUUUGAAAUCAUCAACGGAAUUCUAUUAGUCAUCAUAAUUAAUCUGCGCAAAUCAUAAUUAAUAUUCAAUAUUCAUAACAAAAGUACACAUUAAAAUAUGAAAAUCAAAAUCAAAUUGAUGCUAUUAUAAAUCAUCAUAACCAUGAAAUAUCUAAACAUAAAGUUAAAUAUGGAUGAAAUAUCUAAACAUUAAAAGUUCUCAUGUUUGUUCCUAUGUUUCCAUUUCUUUCACUAUACUGUUAGUCACUACCAGAAAAGUAUCUCUGAGUGUCAAACGGCUGGUUUUUGGAGUUUGUAUCAUAGCUGUUCAAGGCUGUUCCUCCAUUCAUUGGUGCAAAUGCUGCAAAAUAUAUGUACAUUAGGAUUAUAAAAAUAUCAUGAUGGUUUCACAUAGUUUAUACUAUUAAAAAAAGAAAAAAGUAGGUAGAAAACAAUCCAUCUCAGAUAAUAUUUGCAUGUCAUGCAUAAAUAAAAUUCUCAAGAGUUUUACAUGAAAUGCUAUUAAAAUUUAUUAUACUCUUGAACCAUUAUUGAAUGUUAAGCUUUUACGUGAGUCAAUUUAUUGAUGAGUUCAGUGCAUAUGUGAAUUUCAUGGAUAUUUUAGGCUCUAGUUUAUGCAGUAAUGACAUCAAUUUUCUAUGACAACCUUGUAACACAUGGUUAAACAUUCUAACAUUGUAGAAAAUACAAUGAAAGGAUUCUAACAUUCUUAAGCAUUUGGCUCAUUGGUUGGUGCAUAAUCUCUCUGCUAAAUAACAGGGUUCGAAUCCCUACUCCUUUAAUUAUAUAAAAAAAAUUACAGCAUAUUAAAGAUAUAAUUUCACACAGUAAGUCGAAGUAUUUAUAAAUCACAUUGUGCAAUUUAUCACUUAGAAAAAAGUGCUUAUUGAUGAAAGGCCUCCCUAUCAACAUGAUCAGUAAUGUGCAAUCAUAGGAAAAAAUUAGCUUAAGCAUAACACUCUAUAUCAAACAAUUGGCAAAUAGUUUAAUGCAGUUUCUUCAUGUAAGAGUCAUAAUAUUCCAAACCUUGACCUUGACAGGCCCAAAAACUUCUGCAAAAGAGCUUACUCCAAAAGCUCAGAAAGUAGGAGAGGGGUAAAAAUUUGCAAAGUGUGGCAAUUUAAUGAAAGUAAUGAUUUCAAAUAUCAAGUUGACAUUUAAAAUUGAAUUAAGAAAACCACAAAACCAUAUACUGCAAAAACCUAUAACUAUAUCAGUUUAAAACAAAUUGACCAUUUGACCAUUUAAUGUUGGCAUCAUUAUAGGAAGAGUUCACACUCAGCUCAGUUGAGUACAAUGCUUCAACCAGUCUCUUUCAAACACUUGCCAAAGAGACUUAGAACUAACAAGUAGUUUUAGGGAAAAAAAGAAAUUUAUUUUUGAUCAAUUAAAAUUUCAAAAUCUAAAAACCUAAAGCUUAUCAGCUGUAUAUCAACAUAUUGGGAACACAAAUUCACAUUUAACACAUGAAAGAUUCCAAAACACCUCUUUAGUAUGAUAAUAUCUUUAACAUUCCAAGGAAGUCAAGGACCUAAAUUAAACUUGUUUUCAAGUGGCAUAAAAACACUCAUAUUUACAAGCCUACCAGAGAUAAGUUAUGAGAAACCUCAAGCUUAAUUCAUUUAGCGAGUUAAGAACUUAGGCUAAGCUUUAGUCACCUCAUUAACAAGCAAAGAUACAAAAUAGCUCAAACAACUAUUGAAUAUAUUUUUAGAUGCUUUUUUCAACCGACAUGGACACCUUUUAAACAAAUUGAGAACUAGGGAUCUAUUUAGAGGUGGCAAUUGGGCAAGUUGUUUCUGGUCAGGGUCAGGUUUUGAUCGCUAGCUUUUAAAGUCAAUUCAAGUUAGCUUGUAGAUGGUAAGAUAUGUCUUUUGAGUUACGACCAAUUUUCACUGCAUUUUACUCUAUAAGCAUACAGUCAUCCUAUUUGGGUCCAAACCUAUCACAGCCCAAAUCUUGAGCCAUGACCGGCGCAUGGGCCCAAUGGGCAUAACCCACCAAGCCCAAGCAAGCUUUUUUAUGUGAUCCUGUUCAUCGAUCUAUCAAUCAUACAUCAUCAUUUCUAAAAUCACAAUUCGUAAUUCUCAACUAUAAGCACUUCAAUAAUAUACCACGGCAACCAAAUACGCAUUUGUAUCAUCUCAAAAUAGUGUCAUCAAUUGCCAGCUCAUAAUGGCAUCUUCAAUCAAAAUAGACAUAUAAUGUUUACAAAAUAAAUCUUAGUAAUUCACAUCAAGUAUACAUGCACAAAUGCAAUAGACCCUUGACUACUAGCGGAAUGACUCUAGGUAAGGGUACUGCUACUAAAUGCCAUGGUAAACCUACCAAAAGGUGAAUAUAAGUGGACACUUCAAUCUGGGUCCCAACCACCUCCGAAUCUAAAAAUGAAAACAUGAAGUUGAAAAGAAUGAGUAUAAACCCAGUGAGUGAACAUAGGAAGGGAACAAGCAAUGAUACAGAAGGUUUUAGGAAACACGAUGCACUUAUGUUAAAAACAAUGCAAUUUAUUCUUCAAACACCAAAUUCAAUGCUAUGAUGUCUUUUAACUCAUUUGGAAACAUUUAUGGAUAUCAACUUUCAACAUUCAAUUCAAUCACAUUACAUUUUCCAAACAUCUCUACUCUACAAAAUAAGUACACAUGCGUGUAAGAAUUCAUGUAUUCAUUAUGUGUAUAUAAAUAUAUAGAAUAUUCAAACAUACACCAAGGUCAUCCCCACACUAGUCAACAAGUCUCCGCGUAUACAACCGCCAACCUCAACUUAGCUCAUGUGCACUGCCACACCGCACAUAGCUAAUAUCCUCAUGUGCACUUCCACAUCGCACAUGGCAAGUAUCAUGUGCACUCCCACACUGCACAUGGCAUAUAUCAUCAUGUGCACUCCCACACUGCUCACCACCAUCACCGUCAUGUGCACUACCACACCGCACACGCACGAUUAUAAUUAUCAUUCAAUAUUACCUUUCAAAGCAUAACACACAUAACAACAUACAAUAAUUUUUUUUUGCAUAAUAAUGCAUUCCACAAAGUUCAUUGUUUUAUUGGUCAUACACAUGGUUGCACAGUCCAACAGUCAAAGAAAAUAAUAUUAACUACUAUGCCACUAGUUUAGGACAUCACAAAAUUUCUAAUGCAUCACGCGCCAUAAUUCAAUUGACAAUUCAACAUAAUAUUUCAAACAUGUGAUUCGUCACAUUUCACGUUUAACAACAUAGAAAUAUCACUCGAAAAGGCUUGUUCCCGUGCAAGAUUUUCUUUAAAAGAGUUAACCAAGAAUAUUUAAAUACUUUACUCAAACACAUGCUCAUUUGUUUCAAACGUUUUAAAUGCAAGUUCACUCACUUGUCUUUAUUGAUUCUUUUGAUCGACUCCAACUUCAACUAAUGCUCCAAGUGGAGAUGUGGGGUCUCAUUGGAACCUAUCUCACACAAUAGCAUCACAACCAACCCAAUUUGCAUGAAUAUAAAUCCAAAGGUUGUUUCCUAAAUCAAACUUUCCUAGUUUUCCCUAACUAGUUUUUAAAUUACCAUUUGACUAGUCAACCUAAUACUAACACCAACGAAUUUCAUAACACUUCUUUUAUUACUUCCAUUUUCCAGCACCUAUAUCAUCCUUAAAAUUCACAAUUCCAAACUUAGGUAAUUCCCUUAGUGACAUCUCACAUGAACACAAUGCCUUUUAUUAAAUUAGUCAUCCAUACCACUAGUUAAACCAUGAAUUACCAUAAUUAUUAAUCAUUUCUCCCUCCAACAAUCUCCACCCAUCAAAAUAGCCCCUAAUUCCCAUUUCAAGUAUUAAUUUACUUGUAAAUUUACAAGGCUAACAUUCAAGUCAUUAGCUAGUCAUUUAUUUGUACUAUUAUAAUCACACUAGUAAUAAAUAAUCUCAUUUUCACCACAAUAUAACUAUCAACAAUUAAACAGCCCACAAAUCUAAUUAUUAGCCAUCAUUAACAACUUAAAAAUCAACCCUAACUCAUUACUCACCUUGGUAGACUUGUAGUUGAAUUUCCUUAGUGAGCAUUAAAAAGGGAAAAAAUUCCUUUAAGAGUUUCCAAGCUAUUUUGAAGAGUUCAGCCACAGCCUAAAUCUUGGGCCAUGACCGAUGCAUGGGCCUAAUAGGCAUAACCCACUAGACCCAAACAAGCCUUAUUAGAGAUUCCUGAUAAUGCACUAUACUCGUUCACCAAUCCAUAUUAGUGCUUAAACCAUAUUUUUUUGUAUCAUAACUUGAACCCUAAUUAUAAUAAUCAAUUCAAUCUUAAAACAUAUAAUCAUAAGUAUAUACAAUGAGGUCUAAAGUCUCCAGUUUAAUACUUAUAUCAAGGCCACUAUCCAUUUACAAUUAAAUAAACAAAGUGCUACGACUCGACCUCUAACAGCAGAGUGACUUGGAAUGAAAUGCUAUGAGAUGCCUUGACCUAUCUGCAAUGGACCAUAAGUGCUGAUGAUUACACACUAGGCCGAUCACUAUCUGCAAAAGGGAAAUAAGGGGGUGAGUCUCAUAGACUCAGUGAUAAUCAGCUUUGUGAGCAGGAAGUAGAUGGGAAACAAGCAAUAAGCAGAUCAUUUGAAUGAUAAAACCAGAAUAUAAAAUGCAAAUCUUAUAAACCAAACCACAAUGAGGAUAUAUGUGCCUUGUAAAAAUGAUAUUGUAGAAUCAUAAUAUAGUGCUUUCUUUGCCAAAACAGUGUCGAAAAUAAGUGUAAUAGAAAGAGUUUCAAUCACCAGAAACAUCAUUGCCAUCAAAUUAUGAAACACAGUAAAAAGGUAAUCACACGCCCAAAAUGUGUGGCAUGUAGAGAAAUCAAAGUGUACAGCCACCUAAAUCAACUCAUGUUUGUCAAGUAAGCAUUGAAAGCUUUUAUUUAAACAAUGGGAGCUACAGAGAAAAUCUUAACUCUCCACCUAUAAGAGAGUACACGUUGAAAACUCACAAGGCUCUCGAGUAAGAAAGUAUAAUAUCAACACGUGGAGCCACUUCCACGUAAAAAUAAUCCGAGAGUCAUACUCCACCGAAUUCCCAUAGCCAUGGUAGUCUCCACGAUGUUGGUCGACAUCGGAGAAUCAAGCGGUAGCAACUGUGCACAUUCGGGAGUCUCACUACACCAGACCACUUGUGGCCUAGCCACGUAUACAUAUCACAAGUCGUGGCCCCUGCCAUGCCUAAUCGUCUGUCGAUGACCCAAAGGUUCUCUAGUUAGAGCUCACUUAUGCAUGAGGGUUACAAUUAACCGAAGUGACAGCCAACCUACCCUCGACGCACUUCGUUUGUCAAAACCAUUUUCAAAAAUCACAUUGAGGUUUCCAAGUCUUUUGCUUAAAACAUUUGAAAACAAGGUUCAAUAACCUUUCAAAUUACUUUUCACGUAAAAAGGCAUGGUGUAUUCUCUUAUACAAAGAUCGAACUAAAAUCGGUGCUCAAAACAUCCAUUUUAAAUCAUUUAACAACUGCAUUUAACUAUGCAUAUCACACAAAAGAUACAAGGCACAGAUUUUGAAUGCAAAACAAUAUAAAAGGCUUGUUCUCUAUUCUUAAAACACUUUACGUAUAUAGCUCAUUUAUAGAUAUAUCCAAACAAUUUUCAAAACAACUUGCAUCCACAAUUUCCUACGAGUUCUACCAGCUCUUGCUUUCCACAAUAACAGUGUAUAAAUCAUUGUAAAUCUGUUUAGAAAUAUCCUAACGAGGCUAACAACUCAUGCUUUCCACAAUUGCAUUUAAUGAAAUCCGGCAACGUUUAUAAUACGUAUAACAUUAUAUAGCUAUGGAAAUUUUGAAAUAGGCACCCCCCACUCACCUUAGAAUAGCGAGACGCUUGGUCAUUAUUGAUUCGGGUGCGUAUCUUGUAAUUUAUACUUGCUGGUCACUCGUUACUUCACCCAACACGCUACCACUGAAAACUUUUCUACUUAUAUACUUCCUAGCAACAAUCCAAAUUCAAUAAUCUUAGUGUUUAUCAUUCCCAUUUUCCUUCUUAUUCAAACAUUCCCAUCAUGUUAAUAACUCAUACUAUGCUAGAAUCACCACUUUUCCUCACUUAACCUUGCAUAUUCAUAUACAUCUUAACACAUUUUUACUAAAGUUGCCUUUAUCCUUUACUUGCAUAAUUCUUUAAAUUAUAAUUACAGGCAACUUAUUUAUGACUCUAAUACAUAUAUUAAUCCUUUCUAAGGAUAUUUAUCAAGUUCAACCAUCAUUUCCACAACAAUAACCUAGCAUAUGGCAGCAACUAUAAAUUCACUUCCAUCAAGCAUUUUCUAAGUGUACAUGUACUACCAUUCUCAUUUACAUGUUACCACCAAGCAUAACAUCAAUAUUCAUUCAUACGCACCAACAUCCAUAACCUUUUGAGCCUUUUCUAACAACACAUAUCCACACAAUCCAUUUUUUUCCAAGCUUCCAAUUAAUAUAAUUGCUUUCCAACCAUACCCGUGACAACACCAUAACACUACAUAUUGUACACAAUCAUUCUCACAAUAUUAAACUAAUCAUAGACUUUAAAUUGUAGCAUUAAGUUUACCACUUGGUUUUAGCUUAGAUUUCACCCAACAAAAUUCACAAUUUCCUCACACCCAUGGCCACCAUAGCUACCACAAAAAUACUUACACAAUUACCAACUCAUUUCCAAAAAUUACUCAAGCUAAAAUCAAAAUCCUUACCUUAUGACUCUUGAAUCUUGAGACCCACUUGAUUUUUCUUCAAUUAAUCUUGAAUCACUCACUACCCAAGCCCUCCACUUUUCUCUCUUUUCUUUCCUUGGCCGAUUCUCUCUAUUUUUCUUUUCAAUUGCAUGGUGGCAAGGUAAAAAUGGCAUGGGAGCAUGAAAAUGGCGUGAAAGCAUGGAGGUGAAGAAGAAAUUAUCUUGUGGGUUGAGAUAAGAACCGACCAUGGGAUAAGAAUGAAGAGUCAAAGCUUCCUUGUGAGACCUUGUCAAGCUCGAUUAAAAGACGGUAUUGUACCGAGUGGUACAACUAAGUUAAAUCGAGCCUUGAACUAGUUCAAAUAGAAAUUCUAAGAGGAAUUUGAAAAUUCUAAAACCCACAGAAUGACUUAGAAUAGUGAUUCGGAGUUCAAGGUCCAGUUUAGAGUUCAUCAGGAAAAUUGAUAGAUUAGGGACAAAACGGUCACCUUACCAUUUGAUGAUAAAAUGGAGAUUUUUAGCCAAGAUUUGAUCACAUUUGACCAAGAAUAAUUAUAUGAAAUAUAAUUAUGAUUAUUGGAGUAUAAAAUGAUGUUUAGCAGUGAAAAAUUAUGAUUCUCGAUAUUUUUAGAGCACAAGGGUAAAAUGGUAAUUUUGCCACUAGAGGACUAAACGGGAAUUUUUAUAAAAUGAUUUUUGCCCCAUUUGGUUAAUAUUGAUCAAUAUUAGUGUUAUUUGAGGUUGAAAAGUAGAAAUAAUGUGAUUCUUGUACAUUUCGGAGUAUAGGGGCAAAAUCAUAAUUUUUUCACUCCGAGGGCAAAUCGGUAAAUUUUUUGCCCUAGUACUUGUCAAGACCAUGGGAUUUUAAUUGUGGUAGGAUUUGAUAAAUACCAGAAUAUUUGUGGUGGAAAAUUAAGAAGAAAAAGUCAAAAAGUUAAAAAAAUUGGGCCAAUAAGCAUGUGACAUGUGGCAUGCUUGAUUAUUUUAUUAUUUUCUAUAGAAAUCAGCCCAUUAAAUCCCCAAUUCUCUCACCAUAUUUGGCCUAGGCAACUAGCAACAAGAACAAAGGAAGAACAAAGGGAAAANNNNNNNNNNNNNNNNNNNNNNNNNNNNNNNNNNNNNNNNNNNNNNNNNNNNNNNNNNNNNNNNNNNNNNNNNNNNNNNNNNNNNNNNNNNNNNNNNNNNNNNNNNNNNNNNNNNNNNNNNNNNNNNNNNNNNNNNNNNNNNNNNNNNNNNNNNNNNNNNNNNNNNNNNNNNNNNNNNNNNNNNNNNNNNNNNNNNNNNNNNNNNNNNNNNNNNNNNNNNNNNNNNNNNNNNNNNNNNNNNNNNNNNNNNNNNNNNNNNNNNNNNNNNNNNNNNNNNNNNNNNNNNNNNNNNNNNNNNNNNNNNNNNNNNNNNNNNNNNNNNNNNNNNNNNNNNNNUUUUUAUUUCAAGGAAAAUGGCUUGGAAAAAGAUGAAUUAAGGUGAAACGGUUAUGUAGAAAAAAUUUCGGUGUUAGUGCACCAAAUGACCAAAUUUUUCUAUAAGGAACUGUGAGGGUUCUAAUGCUGAAUUUGGCUUUAUUUAAAUGGUAUGUGGUAAAUUAAGGUAUUAGAGGAGAAAUGGAUUAAUUUGGAGGUGAUUUGGACACAAUCGCCAAUUAAUCCGGUGAUCGGUUGAAUUUAAUCGAUACCGCGAUUAAGCGAUAAUCGGACGUAUUUUUGCAUUUACAUAUCAAGCAUUAGUAAUUUAAAUUAGUUUAUAUCAAUUUAAGGACAAUAUAGUAAAUUUCUCGACUUUGUUAUUUGUCAAGGUAGUGAGACGUCCGGAAAAGGUAAAGGAAUUGCGCCUGAGGACUAUUAGUCCAAGUGCACCCGAAAUUCAAAUUUUCGAUACUGGUGAGUGGACUUGCAUUUCAAACUUGUUUUGGGUAAUAUGAAAGAUUCUAUUCAACUUGUCUUAGAACAUGUACCUUGGGAACAAGCUUUUGUUAAAUGGUUUGAUGUUGUGAUAUGUGAUUGCUAUGGAUUCAUGCAUUAUUGCAAUAUGAUGAUAUAUGUAUAUGUGUGCUGUGCAUGAUGAAUGAUAUUGUGUAUAAUGACUGUAAUCGUGUGUGUGCACGAUGUGGGAAGAAUUAAGUUGGUAUAAGAGCAAAGGGUUUUACCCGAUCCCUGGGAACUCUAACGCAUGAACAGGGACGAAGCGUGGCUCUCCGCCCAAGGGCUUAUAGAGGAAAGGGCUACCCAAAGAGGUGGAGCCGCCCUAUGAGUGCUCUGAUAGGUACCGUAUGUCACCUCCGUAGUGAAGGGGUUGAGUGGUAUGUCCCUCCUUAGUGACAAACUUGGUAUCAGAGCCCCAUUUUAUGGUGGCUUGAGAGGUGGAUGAUGAUAGUGCCCGUGUGCACGAUGUGGGGGGAUGUACAUGAUGGCACUGAUUGUGCACGAUGUAGGGGGAUGCACACUAUAGUGCCGGCUAUGUGCACGAUGUGGGGGGAUGUACAUGAGCCGGGUGUGAUUAUGAUGAUAUUGAUGUUUGUCUAUCUAAUUAUGCAUAUCUAGACUUAUGAAAUGAAAGCUCAUGAAUGUGAUAUAUGGUUGACAUAUAUGUGAAAUUUGAUACAUUUCACUUUGAAAAUUUUCAUGAGUUUUAUGUUGAUUUUGUUGGUUUAGUAGGAUGGCCUUUUUGUUGAGUGAAGGGAAACUUUUCUCUUGUUGCUCUGUUUCGCUGAAGCAAAAUUCAUUCUCGCUGUAGCGAGAAACUCUCGGGUUUGAGGGCCUUUACCAAAACUAGUUCUCGCUACAGCGAGAAACUUUCUGUCCAUUUUGCAAACUUGUGGGUUUUUGCCAUAUUUCCCAUUUCUUUGGUACCAUAGUUGAGCAUGGAUUUUUGUAAAGUGAUUUACUCAUGUGGGGUUUACAUGAGGGGUUUAAAGGAGUUAAAACAAUUGCAUGGUUUUGAGAAAAUGAAUGCAUCAUGAUUUCGAUAAACAUUUCUUAUGGUAUGCUUGUUCCCUUCUUGUUCACUCACUGAGUAUUGUACUCACGUUUUAUAAAAAUUCAUGUUUUCAGAUCAGGUGACUGUUGGACCCUAGAUCAAGGAGUCCUCGUAGUGCAUCUCCUGGGUAUGUGUCUGGCAUUCGAUAGUAAUCCCUCUUAUUGUAAAUGUCUCCGCUGGAAGUCAUGGGUUAUUUUGUAUUGUGAAUACAAUCUAACAAUGUGAAUAUGUGUAUGCAAUGUAAAUUGCUAAAUACAUGACUGGUAUAGUGCAUGUAUAUUAUUAUCAAUAAUGCCAUUGUGUUUUGGCUAUGUUCACACCCGGGAAAAGGUGUGUGUGUGUAUGCAUGAUAUGAUAAAUUUGUUAAGCAAAGGUAAACGGAUAGGCUUGCUUGGGCUUAGUGAGCAAUGCUCAUUGAGCUCAUGCGUCAGUCAUGGCUCGGGAAAUUGGGUCGUGACAUUCCUUUGGAAGCUUUGACCAACUAAUGGCAAAAUUAUCAUUUUACCCUUCAAGCUUUUCACCAUUUUUAAUUGUAUCCUCCCACAAUCUUUUAAUUCCAAUUUCUUUCCAUUUUUCCUCCUUAACACUUGUAUCAAUAAAAUAUCAAGUUUAUGCUUUAACGCGGUAUCACCAUAAUAUUUAAAUAUUUACUUACCCGUGCUAGCUUUAUUUAAUAAAGACACGUGGCCCCAUUAAUGUCAUUUUUCUCUGAAAUUUCCUUGUUCUUCUUUUCCCCCACUUAGAUUGACCAUAUACUCUUCCUUCACGAAAAAUUUCGACACUAAAUAAAAUAUUAUUUUAUUCUAAAAUUUUCUACGUGUCUCUUUGACACCCAAAAUGUCUUAUUAUGCCCCGAUUCACUUCUGAAUCACUUUUUAUAUUGCUAAUUCAUCCUCAAUAAAAAUAUUAUUAUUUAAUUUCUAUUGCUUCACUUGCGAAAUAUUUUACUCUAGAAUAUUCCCUCCACCCUUCAUCACUCUUAAACACUCUAAUUAACCUCAAUUGGUAUUCGAUAAGUUCUAUUAGUCAACAUAGCAAACUACCAGGUGUUACAGUCUCCCCCACUUAAAAUGAAUUUGUCCUCGAAUUCAAAUUAACAUAAGGUGAAUAGUCAAAGUUCUAAAAUUCUACCACUUCACUUCCGUCGGGCAUUCUUAACAUAGCAUCUUAAUUUACACAUUAUAUCGUCUUCCAAUCUUUAUAGAAAACUCGACAAUGCCAUUGUAUAUACAAUUAUGUGUUCUACACUUCUUGAACCACAUCAAUAUUAUUCUUUAUCUUAUAAAGAGGAUUCAAACAUGUCACUAUCUUAUGCUAUAACCACUUAUAAAAUAUCAUCUUUAAACAAAUUAUAACCAACUCCGUAUGAGUUUUGUACCAAUAUGCAACAUAUAUGUCCAUAUAUAUUUCCAAAAAUUUCAACUUCAAGUAGUCUUAGGCAUAUCAAGCUCAAUAAGCCACUUGUAAUACUAAAAUAGCCAAUAAAUCAAGUUUAGGAUCAUCUCCUUUUUGCGUUUAAUCAGAUUAUGCUCACCAUCAUGUGGAGAAUACUCAAAACUGGUUUAUGUGUUCUAUUCUCAUACAAGUGUCACUCACUAAUUGGCAUCAUCCCCAAGCACCACGUGUCUUAAAAGCCAAUUUUUCUUAGCCAAAAUUCAUAUUGAAGUAUUCCAUCUCUAAGUCAUGUCUCAUUACCAAAUCUUUACUUGUAUAUGAGUACUUGAAUUCUCAAAUCAUCAUCUCUUUUCUUAGUAGAUCUAUGUAAUUUUUGUAGUUUAUUUUUAUUCCCUCACCAUGGGUAGUAUCAUUUAAUCAAACCAUAUCACCCUCGUUCUCUAAAUAUUUGAAGAGUCAUUCAACCUUUGCCUACCCUUAUCAGGCAAUUUACCUUGAUAAUUACUCAAAAUAAUUUUGAAACUCGUGGGGGAAGCACGUUUCACAAUUUAUGCCUUACGUCUACAAGUAUAUCGAGACCGUAACCUCAUCAGGUCUACUUAAUGGCAAGAUAAUCAUUGCCUUAAACUAAUAAUUCCAGCCAUCCUUAUGUUUGCAACUUAUCUUUAUACUUAUGUGACAUAUCAGUCACGAGCCCCAAUGUGACUAUAUAGCUAUUUGCUCCUUGGGCUUUAAUGUUUUCACAUUGUGAGAAAUCUCUCAAAUUUAUCUCAUCAGGGUGUUCACAAGGUGGAUACAAGUCCAUACCUUACAGUCCAAUGCCUAACGUAGUGAACACGAUUUCAUUGCUAAAGUUCUACCCUUAUCUACCAAUCAUAGUGUGAGACCCUGUCAAGCUCUAUUAAAAGACGGUAUUGUAUCGAGUGGUACAACUAAGUUAAAUCGAGCCUUGAACUAGUUCAAAUAGAAAUUCUAAGAGGAAUUUAAAAAUUUUAAAACCAACAGAAUGGCUUAGAAUAGUGAUUUGGAGUUCAAGGUCCAGUUUGGAGUCCAUCAGAAAAUUGACCAAUUAGGGACAAAACGAUCAUUUUACCAUUUGAUGAUAAAAUGGAGAUUUUUAGCCAAGAUUUGAUCACAUUUGACCAAGAAUAAUUAUAUGAAAUAUAAUUAUGAUUAUUGGAGUAUAAAAUGAUGUUUAGCAGUGAAAAAUUGUGAUUCUCGGUAUUUAUGGAGCACAAGGGCAAAAUGGUAAUUUUGCCACUAGAGGACUAAACGAAAAUUUUUUUAAAACAAUUUUUGCCCCAUUUGGUUAAUAUUGAUCAAUAUUAGUGUUAUUUUAGGUUGAAAAGUAGAAAUAAUGAGAUUCCGGUACAUUUCGGAGUAUAAGGGCAAAAUCGUAAUUUUUUUGUCUCGGGGGCAAAUCAGUAAAAUUUUCGGCCCAGCACUUGUCAAGACCAAGGGAUUUUAAUUGUGGUAGGAUUGGAUAAAUACCAGAAUAUUUGUGGUGGAAAAUUAAGAAGAAAAAGUCAAAAAGUUAAAAAUUGGGCCAAUAAGCAUGUGACACAUGGCAUGCUUGAUUAUUUUAUUAUUUUCUAUAGAAAUCAGCCCAUUAAAUCCCCAAUUCCCUCACCAUAUUCGGCCUAGACAUCCAGCAACAAGAAAAAAGGAAGAACAAAAGGAAAAACAAGAAAACCUAGGUGGAAAUUCAAAGAAAAAGUGAAGAAAUCAAGGAAACAAGCUAGGUAAGUUAAAAUUUCUUUAAUUCUCCUUGAUACCUAGCUUACCCAUGCUUUUGUUCUUGAUUUCCAUGGUUGAAUAUUGAGUUAUCAUGAUGAAUUCAAUUCUGAAAAAUGGGUAUGGAAGAGGAAUUGUUGUUGGAAUAAUUUGAUUUUAGACUAUGUUAGUGUUUAGGGAUAGUUAAGCAUGGUUAUGAACAAAAACACAAAAGAAAUAUUCAAUUUCUCUAGGGUUCCUUGUUGGUCGAACCAUGAGGGCUGAAUAUCAAUGGGGGAUUGUUUUUAUUUCAAGGAAAAUGGCUUGGAAAAUGAUGAAUUAAGGUGAAACGGUUAUGUAGAAAAAAAUUUGAUGCUAGUGCACCAAAUGACCAAAUUUUUCUAUAAGGAACUGUGAGGGUUCUAAUGCUGAAUUUGGCUUUAUUUAAAUGUAUGUGGUAAAUUAAGGUAUUAGAGGAGAAAUGAAUUAAUUUGGAGGUGAUUUGGACACAAUCGCCGAUUAAUCGGGUGAUCGGUCGAAUUUAAUCGAUACCGUGAUUAAGCGGUAAUCGGACAUAUUUUUGCAUUUACAUAUCAAGCAUUAGUAGUUUAAAUUAAUUUAUAUCAAUUUAGGGACAAUAUAGUAAAUUCCUCGACUUUGUUAUUUGUCAAGGUGGUGAGACGUCCGGAAAAGGCAAAGGAAUUACGCCUGAGGACUAUUAGUCAGAGUUCACCCGGAAUCCGAAUUUUCGACACCUGUGAGUGGACUGCCUAUCAAAAUUGUUUUGGGAAUAUGACUGUUUUGAACAAAGUGUUUGAAUGAUUUUAUGCAAUUUUUCAUGAAAAUGAAUGCCUUGGGAACAAGCUUUUGAGAAAAGGUUUAUGUUAUGAAAUGUGGUUAUUAUGGAUUUCUAUGUGGCUGCAUUAUGUUGAUAUACAUAUAUGCUUGAAUAUAAUGUUGUGUAAUUAUGUUGACUCGGCUAUGUGCGAGUAGGGAGUGCGCAUAAGCCGAGGAUGACCCGGUUAUGUGCGAGUAGGGAGUGCGCAUAACCCGGUGAUGACCCAGCCAUGUGCGAGUAGGGAGUGCGCAUGAGCUGGUGAUGAUGAUGAUGAGCUGGUGAUGAUGAUGAUGGGUUGGUGAGAUGAUGAUGAUGGGUAUAUACGUAUAUAUAUAUAUAUACAUAUGUAAAUAUGUGUGAUAUAGCAAAUUGAUGGACAAUGAUUUAUGGUUGUAAUGUACGUGAAAUUUGACACAUUAUACUUUGAGAAUUUUCAUGAAUUUUAUGUUGAUUUUAUUAGUUUAGCAGGAUGGCUUUUUGUUGAGUGAGGAAAAAUGUUUCUCUUGUUGCUCUGUUUUCACUGCAGCGAAAUUCAUGCUCGCUGUAGCGAAAAACUCUCGGGUUUGGAGGGGUUUUAAAUAGGAAUGAACUAAAUUGCAUUGUUUUGAAACAAGUGCAUCAUGAUUUUAAAUUCUCCCUAAUUGUUGCUUGUUCCCUUCCUUGUUCACUCACUGGGUUUAUACUCACCAUUUUCAAAUUCAUGUUUUCAGAUCACGAGGUAGCCGAUAAUUAGGACGAGGUGUCCUUGUAGAUCUGUGUACAUCUUUUGGUAGGUGUCUCGGCAUUCGGUAGCUGUAUAUCCAUCCGAGUCACUCCGCUGGAGGUCGAGUAUUAUUUUGUUAUGUAUAGAUGAACUUAAUGUAAAUUUUAAAAGAGUAAUGCCAGUACGAGUUGGCAAUGUAUAUCACUAUUUUGACUCAAAGUCAUGAAAUAGGACUUAGUGAUAAUAAAUAGAAUCAUAAGUAAAAUAAAUAAUAGGCUUGCUGGGUUUAGUGGAUUACGUCCAUUGGAUCCGUGCGCCGGUCAUGACCCGGAAUUUGGGUCGUGACACAUAGCUCCCUUGCACAUUUACCUGUGCAUUGCUUGGUUGCUCACGAGCCAUUCAUGGCCAUCCAAAUAUAACCUCUUAUAAUAAGUCAAACUAGUACAUUCUCACACUUUUCCACACAUUUCCAAAACACUUAAACACUUCCCUUAAUAAGAUUCUAUUGAGAACUUAAACAAUCAAAGGCUUAUCUUCAAAGCCACUUAUAACCUUAACAAUUUAAUGUAUGCUUAAUAGCAUUUUAGCUCAUUGGUCUCAAUGGACAUCAUUUUCAAAUCUCUCAAAGUGUCCUUGUUCUUAAUUGAGACCGUACCAACUAACUUAGCAUAUUUGCAUAGAUUAUCCUUAAGCUUCUUAUGCUUGUUGUAACAACAUCAACACUUCUCCCAUCAUUUAUCUUACCUUUCAUUCACUCUUUCCUUAGCCUUUAUCAAAGCUUAAUCUCUUCUCCCCCUUAUUUUUUAGGAUUUGACUUUAGUUUGCGUAAUGUUUAUCCUAACACUUCACAUGGUAAUCUAUCUCAAGAACUUUCUAACUCCCCUUUUUGUUUCAUACCCUUAUAUAAGGUAAUAAAGAAACUUUUCAAUUCAUUUAUAUAAAUAGUUUCCAAAACCCUACAACUCCAUUCAACAAAGCUGAACAUCAAGUCUACUGACCAUAACUUCGCUUGCAAAUCCGUCUCCAUGCCACUCACAUCUUGUUCUUGCUUCCUAACAUAAGAUGUUCCUAAGGCUACGGUGCUGCAGCCGUUGGAAAUUUACUUUAUCAAAACAAUUCUCCGAACUCAUAAAUUACAACUCCAAAUGUAUGCCAACAUAUUGAUAACCUUUACAUAUUUCAUGACCACGAAAACUACAAUUUGCAAAACUAACUUUCCAUCAUACAUACGCUAUCAAAACAUUAAUUUCAACAUAUCUAUUUCACCUCUUUUUUUUUUGUGGUAUGCCAAAAUCAUUGUUUAGGCAUAUUUCACUACUAACAAUCACAUUCCUUUACCAUAGCAUUUAGUGCAAAUUUGCUUAAGCAAUUGUCUCCAAAUAACUCUUAAUACAUAAAUAUCAAAUUAUACACCGCUUAAUGUUAAAAUCUUGACUUUACUCAUCAAUUUUUAACCAAUUACAUUUAUAAAGUGAAUAAUUUACUUAGUUAUUGCAUCUCGCCUUUACGGUCACAAGAUCAAAGUUUCUUAAACUUAAGAUACAGAAGCUCCCUCUUAGAGCAUAUCCAAAAAUCAACAUCUUCUAAAUCCCUUACCUUUGGAGAAAUUAACUUCAAGUCUAAUCAUUUUCAUCAUAGUUUGCAUACAAAUCCAAAUAGACUCCUAAAUUGAUCUUUAAAACAAUUUGUAUAUCAAUCUCAAAUAUAGAACUCCAUAUGACAUUUAAACUAGAAUCAACAUUUCUAAGUCAUUUAACUUCAAGCUACCAAAUCCACAACUAGUCCUUUAAUCCUUUGGCUUCAUGCUAAGCAUAGUAAAAUUCAAGCUCAUCCUUAGAGCAGAUUCGUUUACUAGCCUUUUACUUGAUGACUACACAUUUAUUAUAACAAUCACUGAUUUUCAGCCUUGCUUUAAUUCAUGCAGUUAUAACUAUAACCAUAAUAAUCCAAAUCAAACCUUGGGAUCUCAUAAUCACUUAAUUGAAAUCAAAACCAACUCCAUCUAAGUUGCUAUACACAUAUUCAACACAUAUACGCAUAUAAAAUACUUCAGAAGCCCAACACCAUUUAUAUAUGGGCAUGACAAGCUCCUUUAACAUACUGCACUUACAUCCAUGCACAUGAGUAUGGGUUUACAUCUCCCUUAAUACUCAAAGUUAUAAACUUUAAGUGAAUCACAACAAUCACUAUUCAUUCCAAUGAAGGCGUCCUUUAUUACCAUUAUCUUACGUGCUCCUUAUAUUGACCUCAAUAAUGAUCCAAUGUCAUCCAAUUUUCUUCUCAUUGACAAUCAUGGACUCAAAUUAUAACUCCAUCAAAUAAAUAAGUUACAAAGGACUUAUUAGUCUAGCUCCACUUUCUUCGAUGUUUAAUCGGAGGGAUAUAUCAUUACAUUAACCUUUCAUUAGGAGCAUUUGCUUAAAUUUUUCCAACAAUAGUUGGUGUCUAGGGUGGCGUCUCAAACUCGGACAACGGCACCACUUGUUACCUUUAUAUGACGUUAGCAAAAGGGUAGGUUAAUAGGAAUAUGAGUUUAUAUAGCCUCUUAUCUAUGACUUGUGCUGUAGUCAGAAACCAUAAACAAGACUCUACAUUAACUCCGACAACUCCACUAACUGACAUGAGAAUUCCUAGAACUCGACUAAACUUAGGCUCUGAUACCAACUUUGCCACAGCCUAAAUCUUAGGCCAUGACCAGCGCAUGGGCCUAAUAGGCAUAGCCCACCAGACCCGAGCAAGCCUUAUUAAAGAUUCUCGAUAAUGCACUAUACUCGUUCACCAAUCCAUAUUAGUGCUUAAACCAUAUUCUUUCGUAUCAUAACUUGAACCAUAAUUAUAAUAAUCAAUUCAAUCUUUAAAACAUAUAAUCAUAAGUAUAUAGAAUGAGGUCUAAAGUCUCCAGUUUAAUACUUAUAUCAAGGCCAUUAUCCAUUUACAAUUAAAUAAACAAAGUGCUACGACUUGACCUCUAGUAGCAGAGUGACUUGCAAUGAAAUGCUAUGAGAUGCCUUGACCUAUCUGCAAUGGACCAUAAGUGCCGAUAAUUGCAUGCUAGGCCGAUCACUAUCUGCAAAAGGGAAAUAAGGGGGUGAGUCUUACAGACUCAAUGAUCAUCGGCUCCGUGAGUAGGGAGUAGAUGGAAAACAAGCACUAAACAGAUCAUUUGAAUGAUAAAACUAUAAUAUAAAAUGCAAAUCCUAUAAACCAAACCAUAAGAAGGAUAUUUGUGCCUUGUAAAAAUAAUAUCGUAGAAUCAUAAUACAAUGCUUUCUUUGGCAAAAACAGUGUCGAAAAUAAGUGUAACAGAAAAAGUUUCAAUCAUCGAAAAUAUCAUUGCCAUCAAAUUAUGAAAUACAGUAAAAAGGUAACCACGCUCCCAAAAUGUGUGGCAUGUAAAGAAAUCAAAGUGUACAACCACCUAAAUCAACUUAUGUUUGUUAAGUAAGCACUGAAAGCUUUUAUUUAAACAAUGGGAGCUGUAGAGAAAAUCUUAACUCUCCACCAUGCAAGAGAGUACACAUUGAAAACUCACAAGGCUCUCGAGUAGGAAAGUAUAAUAUCAACACGUGGAGCCACUUCCACGUAAAAACAAUUUGGAAGUCUUACUCCAUCGGAUUCCCAUAGCCAUAGUAAUCUCCACAUUGUUGGCCGACAUCUGAGAAUCAAGCAGUCGACAAACACGCACAUUCGAGAAUCUCAUUCCACCGGACCACUUGUGGCCUAGCCACGCAAACAUAUCACAAGUCAUGGCCCCUACCACGCCUAACCACCCGUCGGUGACCCAAAGGUUCUAUAGCUAGAGCUCACUUGUGCACGAGGGUCACAAUUAAUCGAAGUGACAGCCAGCCUACUCUCGACGCACUUGGUUUGUCAAAACCAUUUUCAAAAAUCACAUUAAGAUUUCCAAGUCUUUUGCUUAAAACCAUUUGAAAACAAGGUUCAAUAACCUUUCAAAUUACUUUUCAUGUAAAAAGGCAUGGUGUAUUCUCUUAUACAAAGAUUGGACUAAAACCAGUGCUCAAAACUUGCAUUUUAAAUCAUUUAAUAACUACAUUUAACUAUGCAUAUCACACAAAAGAUACAAGGCACAGAUUUUGAAUGCAAAACAGUAUAAAGGGCUUGUUUCCUGAUUUUUAAAACACUUUACGUAUAUAGCUCAUCUAUAGAUAUAUCUAAAACAAUUUUCAAAAUAGCUUGCAUCCACAAUUUCCUACGAGUUCUACCAGCUCAUGCUUUCCACAAUAACAGUGUAUAAAUCAUUGUAAAUCUAUUUAGAAAUCUCCUAUCGAGGCUAACAGCUCAUACUUUCUACAAUUGCAUUUAAUGAAAUCUGGCAACGUUUAUAAUAUGUAUAACAUUAUAUAGUUAUGGAAAUUUUGAAAUAGGCACCCCCCAUUCACCUUACAAUAGCGGGAUGCUUCGUCGCUUUUGAUUCAGGUGUGUAUCUCGCUAUUUCUACUUACCGGUCACUCAUUACUUCACUCGACACACCACCACGGUAAACUUUUCUAAUUAUAUACUUCCUAGCAACAAUCCAAAUUCAAUAAUCUUAAUGUUUAUCAUUCUCAUUUUCCUCCUUAUUCAAACAUUACCAUCAUGUUAAUAACUCACACUAUGCUAGAAUCACCACUUUUCCUCACUUAACCUUGCAUAUUCAUAUACAUCUUAACACAUUUUUACUACAGUUGCCUUUAUCCUUGCUAAUUCUUUAAAUUAUAAUUAUCGGUAACUUAUUUAUGACUCUAAUACAUAUAUUAAUCAUUUCUAAGGAUAUUUAUCAAGUUCAACCAUCAUUUCCAUAACAAUAACCUAGCAUAUGGCAGCAAUUAUAAAUUCACUUCCAUCAAGCAUUUUUUAAGUCUACAUGUACUACCAUUCUCAUUUACAUGUUGCCACCAAGCAUAACAUCAAUAUUCAUUCAUACGCACCAACAUCCAUAACCUUUUAAGCCUUUCCUAACAACACAUAUCCACAUAAUCCAUUUUUUCCCAAGCUUCAAUUAAUAUAAUUGCUUUCCAACCAUACCCAUGACAUCACCAUAACACUACAUAUUACACACAAUCAUUCUCACAAUAUUAAACUAAUCAUAGACUUCAAAUUGUAGUAUUAAGCUUACCACUUGGUUUUAGCUUGGAUUUCACCCAACAAAAUUCACAAUUACCUCACACCCAUGGCCACCAUAGCUACCACAAAAAUACUUACACAAUUACCAACUCAUUUCCAAAAAUUACUCAAGUUAAAAUCAAAAUCCUUACCCUAAGUCUCUUGAAUCUUGAGACCUACUUGAUUUUUCUUCAAUUACUCUUGAAUCACUUACUACCCAAGCCUUCCACUUUUCUCUUUUUUCUUUCCUUGGCCAAUUCUCUCUAUUUUUCUUUUCAAUUGCAUGGUGGCAAGGUGAAAAUGGCAUAGGAGCAUGAAAAUGGUGUGGAAGCAUGGAGAUCAAGAAGAAAGUAUCUUGUGGGAGGAGAUAAGAAUCGACCAUGGGAUAAGAAUGAAUUGUUAAAGCUUCCUUUGGAAGCUUUGACCAACUAAUGACAAAAUUAAUAUUUUUACCUCCCAAGGUUUUCAUCCUUUUUAAUUGUAUCCUCCCACAAUCUUUUAAUUUCAAUUUCUUUUCAUUUUUCCUCCUUAACACUUGUAUCAAUAAAAUAUCAAGUUUAUGCUUCAACAUGGUAUCACCACAAUAUUUAAGUAUUUACUUACCUGCGCUAACUUUAUUUAAUAAAGACACGAGGCCCUAUUAACGUCAUUUCUCUUCGAAAUUUCCUUGUUUUUGUUCUCCCCCACUUAGAUUGACCAUAUACUCCUUCUUCAUGAAAAAUGUUGAUAUUGAAUAAAAUAUUAAUAUUUUAAUAUUAUUUUUUAAUUAAAAUAUUAUUUUAUUUUAAAAUUUUUCACUUGUCUUCUCGACACCUAAAAUGUCUUAUUAUGCCCCGAUUCACUUUCAAAUUACUUUUUAUAUUGUUAAUUCAUCCUCAAUAAAAAUAUUAUUAUUUAAUUACUAUUGCUUUGCGUGUGAAAUAUUUUACUUUAGAAUAUUCCCUCCACCCUUCAUCACUCUUAAACACUAAAAUUAACCUCAAUUGGUAUCCGAUAAGUUCUAUUAGUCAACAGAGCAAAGUAUGGGGUGUUAUAGUUUCUCUUUCUAAAAACGUUCAGCUAGUGAGAGAAAGUGCAAAGGAAAAACUUUUUGAGGGUUUUUGAGGUGAAAAAGUAAAAGAGGACGAAAAAUCCUAUGAAAAAGUGUAUAAAAACAUGAAAUUUGGAGUUAAUAUGAGAAGGUUAUGGAGGUUUCAAGGACGACCUCCAUGGAAGAUGAAAAAUCUGCAAUGGAGAGAAUAAAUGAGAGGAAGAAUGGAGAAGGUGCAGAAAAGUAAGGAUAUUUAUACCUAAGGUUGACAAAAGUUUCACAUAUUUACGAAAAUGCCAUUAACAAGUUGACUUUAUCUUCCUCCUUUUUUUUGGCGAAAUUUUUUACUCUUUGGAUAUUGAGACAAGGUUCACAAUAGAAUAGAGGUACUCGAGUUCACGAAAACUUAGAAAUUUAGACUCGAGAUCUAAAAUUACCAUUUUACCCCUAAUGUGAAAAUUAUUUUUACUUUAUUUAUUUUCUUGUUAUAUAUUUUUUAUUUACUUAUUCUACGAACUUAGACCUUAAUAAUAUUAGAAAACCUCUUCUAGGAGCUCACCAAGAAAAAUGACAAGACUACCCCUAAUCCAUGCCUUCGUAUCUACCUCAAGUUACGUGUCUAUGGAGGUUGAGGUUUUACAAAACCAUUUUAAGUUUCAAGUCAAGGUCAGAUUUUUAGGUAAUUGCUUUCUCUAUUAAAUUCAAGUUCAUUCAUAUAGAUUGAGCAUGUUCAUUGGAUUAAUUCUCUUGCCACCUCUAGAUCUAAUCCAAUAGAAGCAAGAGCAGAAAAUAGAAUUUUUUGUAUAAAAAAGAAAUUAGCUAGAAAUAAUCGAACGUACCUUUUUCUCUAAUUCUUUUGUCUCUGUCACAUUCAAACUUAACCAGAAUUUGAUUAACCUUCUCCAAGGUAUCACUUUGCCUAUUCCUCCUAAAGCUUUGGUCCUGCAGUCAGAUUAUAUAAUGCAUUAUAUUUUCAAGAAGGAAGAUAUUACAAAACUAAAGAAAUAAAAAACGAAAGUUCUAAUACGCAACAUGGGAUGGCCAAAAUUCUUGAGAUUGAGUUUUAUUUCCUAAGUUAGGCCGCCAGCAAGUCAUUUGAUCAAGAUAUGAAAAAAGUUAUACCUUUAUUAGAUCAGCACGGGGUUGCCUACUCCUAUAACACAAAGCAAAAGGGUGAACGAUUAAGCAUUUCUAAUUGGCAUCUUUAGUUAGACAAAUCAAUGCUAGAUAGCAAUGCAAAAAAAUAAGAAUGACCAAACAUACAACCUUCAAGAUUUGGUAACAGAAUAGAUCUAAACUAAAACAAAGAAAAGAAGCAGAAGAUCAAGUAAGAAUAACUAAAAAUGUGUUGUGUUCAUUCACUGACCUUUGCCUAGCUUUUUCUAAAAGAAGCAGAGGAUUAACGGGGUUUACCGACUGUUAACAAGGCACACCAAGGGUCACCAAGGGGUGGCAAGGGGCGGCAAGAGGCAAAGGGCAAGGGGCAGGGGCACUACUGCUCACAUUGUUUCCUAAACGUUUUUGUCACAUUGCUUGCAAGAGUCUAUUCAUGUUUGGAAGGGAAUAGCAUUGGUUUUUCUUACUCAUGGGCAGUAAGUUUUGCACACUCAAGGUACUUUCCCCAAGCAUAAAAAGACCUAGUGAAAGCCCUAUGAAAAAUUAGAUGCAAUUACACAAACAACAAACAACAAGGCAAAACGGCAAUUCAUUAUCCAUUGACAAACAACAAGGUAGCAAUGAAACAAGAAACAAGGUAAACAUUCCGAUAGAAAUAAGAGGCAGCUUGGGUCAGUGAGGCACUUACACUUCAGAUAAAAUUGGAAGGCAACAAGAGGAAGCAGGGGUUAGCGAACCGCAUCAAAGUUCAGUAAGGUCCACAAGAGGUUAGCAAGGCUUGGCUCAACAAGGGGUGGCAAGGGCCAGCAAAGGUUUUGUGGGCAGAGGGAUUCUAAAAGAUUGAAAAUUUGGGGAAAAAAUCAAGCGGCAAGGCUGCCAGGUUAAUUAGGUGUUAUUACUGCUUUAAAAUUAAAAAGGUAAAAGUAUUAAUUUUUAACAAAGAAAAUCAUAAUAUAUCAUAUAUUAAUGUAUAAUGUAUAAUUUUAUAUUAACUAUAUAUGAACCAUUAGCAAUAAACUAUACUAUAUAAAUUAUAAACAUAAUUAUACAUAAUAUUUUAUAUAUGUAUUAAAUUAAUAUUUAUAAAUAAUCAUAAUAUAUUAUAUAUUAAUGUUUUAUAUAUAUUAAUAUAUAUUAUAUAUAUUAUUUUGUUGAUUAUAUAAUAUAUUGUUUAUGAAUUAUUAUUAAUUAAAUAUAUUAUUUUGUAAAAUAUAACUUGGUUAAUUAUAUAACAAUAUCUAAAUUAAGUUACUAUAAGUAAGUUAUAUGUAUGUAUCUAUAUAUAUAUAUAUAUAUAUAUAUAUUUCAUAACCACAUAUAUAGUUUUCUUUUAUGCAAUAUAUAUAAAUAAUGAUAAUAUUAAUAAAUUAUUCUUAUAUAUAUAGUCUAUAACUUAUUUAUAUAAUUAAUAUAAUUCAACGAUUUAAUGAUAUAUAUAUAUAUAUAUAUAUAUAUGUAUGUAGGUAUGUAUACAUACAUACAUGCAUUUGUUACAUAUGUAUGUAUGUAUGUAUAUAUAUAUUUCAUAAAAACACACAUAUAUAGUCUUCUUUUAUGAAAUAUAUAUAAAUAAUAAUAAUAUUAAUAUAUUGUUCUUAUAUAUAUAGUUUAUUCUUUUAGGAAAGUUUAUAAUUACUCUAUAUAUAUAGUUUAUUACUUAUUACUAACUAAGUAUAAUUUUUUGUAAAAUAUAACUUACUUAUAGUUAAUAUAAUUAAUCGAUCUAAUGAUAUAUAUGUAUGUAUAUAUAUAUAUAUAUUUCAUAAACACACAUAUAUAGUCUUCUUUUAUGAAAUAUAUAUCAAUAAUAAUAGUAUUCAUAUGAAUCUUCUAUAGAUAAUCUAUUAUUUUAUGAAAGUUUAUAAUUACUAUAUAUAUAUAUAUCUUAAUUAUGUACAAUAAUUUAGUCCCUUCUUAUUUAUUUAUGAUAUAUAGUAUAUAUGUAUGUGAUAUAUAUAUAAUUUAAUAAAUUAUUAUUCUUUUAUGAAAAUAUAUAANGUUUAUAUAUAUAAAUAUAUAUAGAUAUAUAUAUUACUUAUUAAUUUAUAAUAUAUCAUAAUGAUAAUUUUGAAGUUAUAAGUAACAAAGAAUCUAUUUAUGUAGAUGGAAAGUUUAACCAAAUGUCAAUAAUUAAAUAAAAUUAUUUAAUAUUUAUAAUUUAUUAACAAUUAAUUUAUUUCUAAAUGAAAUUUACUAUGGAUGAAUCAUUGUCAAUAAAUAUGUAAAAAAUUUAUAUAUGUAUGCAUACAUAUAUAAAUGUAGUCAAAGAUUAAUAUUUAUAUACAAUCAUAAUUAAUGGAGACAAACAAUAAAUACAAAUAAAUAAAUAAGAAUUUAUUGAAUGAUAUUUUUAAUAAAAAUAAAACAUAUAAAAAAAGUCAAUUCCGACAGAAUAUUCCUCCAAAAAAUUCUGUUGGAAAAUUUGGUGGGAUUAAAUGUUUUGGCACCUAAAAUAUUUCCAACCGAUUUCCAACGAGAUAAGUUCCGUCAGAAAUUUUUGUCGAAAAUCUGUAGGAAAUUCAAUUGGAAAUUUUGGAAGUAGAUUUUUUUUGGCGCAAAAUAUUUUUCUAAUGGAUUUCUAAAAUCUAUCUAAAAUUCAUUAGAAAUCCGUUGGAAAAUAUCAAAAUUUAUUCCGUUGGUAAUUCGUUGGAAUUGCUAAUAAAAUUUUUCUAAUGGAAUUUUUUUCAUUGGAAUAAGCAAAAGUUUUUGUAGAAAACAAUAUUCAUAUUUAACAAAAGUUAAAGGCAACAAGAUAACUAAGUUCUCAUCAUUGGAUAUGGAAAAUCAUCAAAAACUUGGCAUUACAAAACUCUAGCUAUAACUCCAAAAACCAAAACACUACAUAAGCUUAAAAACAUAAAUGAACAAAAACAUAAAUCAAAAGAUAAAACCAUAACUAAAAAAUCAAACCUCCCCUCGAAAACUUAAAUCAAGCAUUGUCCUUAAUGUUUAAAAUAGAAAAAGAAAAAGAUAAGUAAAACUCCACUAACAAUGGUAGUAAUGCAGAAAGAGCUCUAUUCUCCUUUUUUUGUCCUCACCAUUGUCACUUAUGCUUGUGGGAGGAUCUAAUAAGGUAACAAAAUCUAAAUGAGAAAAAAAUAAAAAAAUCAAUGUGAAAAAUCUAAAAAAAUAAAAAAGUAACUUCAAAGAAAAAAAAGUAAGAGUUUCAAAAGCUUAGGUUGCCAACAAAGAAGCAUUUCUUUAUAGUUAAUAGCUUGACUAUGGCACCCCUUUUCUCACAACUUCAUCCAUGAAAUAAUUUUUGAGGCAUAGUCCAUUAACCAUAAAUGCAUCAGUAACCUUACUAUCAAUCUCUAUUAUACCACAAUGAUAGACCUUAACCACUUUGAAGUGACCCAACCAUCUUAAUUUGCAUUUCCAUGGAAAAAGCUUGAAGCAAGAAUUAGAAAAUAACACUUGUUGUCCAAUUUCAAAACUUAUUAUUGCAAGAUAUUCCUUGUCAAAAUGCUCUUUAGCCAACUCAUUAACUGAAUCUAAUGUAUAGCAACUAUCUGCAUAGGGAUACUUAAUUGCAUUGAAUAAAUUAAACACUAAUUCCUUGUUUCCAACUUUUAAAGUCAUCUUGCCAUUCUUCACAUCUAUGAUUGCUCCUGUUGUAGCUAAGAAUGGUCAUCCUAAAAUAAGAGGAAUUUCAACAUCAUUUUCAUCUCGAGCACAAUAAAGUUUACCAGAACGUAGAGUUUCCCAAUUUUCACCAAAACAUCCUCUAUAAUCCCUAUGGAAGCGAUUGAUCUAUCUGCUAACUACAAAGAAAUUGUAGUAUGUUGUAUCUCCUUAAGUCUAAGUUUCUUGGCCACAGACAAAGGCAUAAGUGAAACACUAGCACCCAAAUCACACAAAGCUUUAGAAAAUUCAACUUUACCAAUAAUACAAGAAAUAGAAAAACUCCUCAGAUCCUUAAGCUUGGGUGGGAGCUUGUUUUGGAUUAUAGUACUACACUUUUUAGGAAGUGCAACUAUUUCAAAAUCUUUUAAUUUCCUUUUCUCAGAUAUGAUCUCUUUAAGGAACUUCACAUAAGAAAGUAUUUGUGCCAAAGCAUUUCUUUUGCUUGAAGACAUUUAAGAACUUCUUAAAUUGCUUGUCCAAUUUCUUUUGCUUCAAUGCUAGAGGAAAAGGAAUGAAAAGCACAUAUGUCUUGACUUGUGGUGAUGUGGAUACUUUCUCCCCUUGCUAACUUUAUCAACUUAAACUUGCUUGCUAGAAGUAUCCUCUAGAUAAACUUUAUCUCCACCAUCUAUAACUUCCUUACCUUUUACCUAAUCAAGCUGUUUACUACUCCUUAAAGUAAUCGCAUUGCAUUUUUGUUUUCCUUCUCUUCUAGGAUUUGGUUCGAUGUCACUUGGUAAAGGUCCCUGAAGUUUAUUAUUGAAGGCAUUGGCAAGUUGACCCAUUUCUUUCUCAAAAGUUUUGAGUGAUGCUGCUUGACUUUGAAUGUAAAAAUCAAUCUUAUCCAUGUAUUGCAUGAAUAACUCUUUCACAGAUGGCUUUUUCUCAAGCAGAAGAGCUUUAGCUUGUGGUGGAAAGCCAAGAGGAAAGUUUAGCUUAAGUGCUAAUAAAGAUUUUUUGUUGUUGCUUCAAGAGAAAUUAAGAUAAUUUCUCCAACCAAGAUUAUAGUUGUUGGAAUAAGGAUUAUUUUGUUGUCUAUUAAUCUUCCCAACAAACUGUACAAAUUCAGCAUUGACUGGACAAUGAUCACUGGAAUGCCUAUCUCUAGAUAACUCACAUGUCACGAAAGGACUCUAAAUAGCAUGGACACCUAAUGUAUCAAUUUUCUUGGUAAGAGUAAGCAUUUGUGUAGUCAAGGCAUUAAUUGCAUCAAGCUCAUGAAUACCAACAACUUUUCUUAGACCCAAUCUCUCAAAUGACCAUUGGUAAUUGUUAAAAGCUAUCUCUUCUUACAAGUCAUAAGCCUCAUCAAUAAAUUUACCUAUUAGUGCCCCUCUUGUUGUAGCAUCAAUGGUGGUUUUAGUUGGUCCCAACAAACCAUUGUAGAAAGUUUUUACUUAUAGUCAUUUAGCUAACCAUGGUGAAGACAUCUUCUACGUAAAUCCUUAUGCCUCUCCCAAGCCUCAUAUAGUGAUUCCAAAUCACAUUUCAUAAAGCAGGUGAUAUCAUUCUGCAUCUUUGUUGUCUUAGUUGAUGGAAAGAACUUAGUUAAGAAUUUUUUAGCCAAAUUAUCCCAAGUACUAAUCGAACUAGUUGGAAGUGAUUCAACCAACUCUUUGCCUUAUCUCUCAUUAAAAAUGGGAAGAGCCUCAAUCGAAUGGCAUCAUCAUAAAUGCCAUUGGCCAUGAAUGCAUCACAAAUCUCUAGAAAAUUAACAAUAUGUGCAUUAAGAUCAUCAUUUGGUAAUCCCCCAAACUAAAUUGAAGUCUAAAUCAUUUGAAUGAUUGUUGGCUUAAUCUCAAAGUUUUUAGGUUGGAUAGUAGGUCUAUGGAUGUUAGAAUGAAGGCCUUGUAUGAGAGGUACAGCAUAUUCUCGAAAGGACUUGUUUUGUUCUUGAUCAACCAUUACUUCGCGUUGAGUCAAAACUUGUUGAUUCUCCCUCUGAAGUCUUCGAAAAGUAAUUUCAAUUUUCAGAUCAAAAGGAACAAAUUCCAAAUCUCUGACUCUUCGCAUAUAAUGACCAGAAGUACUUGAAAACAAAAAAAAAAGAAAGUUUGAAUUAAGACUAAGAUUACUUGGUGUUAAAAUUAACAAAAAUUAUGAAAAUAAUUCCUCGACAAUAGUGCCAAAAACAUGUGUCAUUAACAAGUAAUAUAAUAAAGAGUAGAGUAUCGCUCCCAUGAGGAAUUGCACCAAAAUUUUGCUAAGUGCUAAAAUUACCACAGCUUAAUCUUAUUCAAACAAUCAAAUUUAAACUUACUUAAAACUAAAACUAAUAACAAGAAUAGUAAUUUAAAGUAUAAAAACCAAUCAAACAAAGUAUAAAACCACAAUAUCCACUUUACAUUUCCCUUGAAUCUUUUUUACUCUCUUUACUUAUAAACAACUGAGUUGUUAACCUAGAGCUCUAAUGUAUUUAUAAGUCUCUUUCAAUGUUCUUAUAAAAAUAUCUUUCUCAACCAAUCUACUAUAUACCUAUGCAAAUUGCAAUUAAGAAAAACUCAUUAAGCUUAGACUCUAAAUUGGCUACAUAUGACUUGUAAGUGUAUUCCUAUUCUACAUUUGAAUCAAAUCAAUCAUCUCAUGCAAUUAAAAUUGAACAUAUGCUAUUUCAUCCGGGGCUUACACUAAACUCCAUUUUCCAAUUUUAUUUAGGUUACCCUACCAAUCUAAUUGGUGAUCAGACAAUCAGACGCAUUAAUCACAAGAUUGAAAAUAAACAACUCAAACACUAUUAAUCAUAAGCAAGAAAGAGUAUUAAAAAUUUAAACUACAUGUUAGGUUUAAUUGCAAUUCUAGAUAAGAAAUUUAGUUCCUCAUAACUACUAAAAACAUCAUUCAAAAAAGUUUAACCAUCAACACAAAACAAGGGAAGUAUAAGAAGAACUAAAGAAGAAAAAAGAACUAAGAUUUUUCAGGUCUUCGGUCUUCAAUCUUCAAGAGUUUUUCCUCGCUUUCUUGCUUGCUUGAUAGCUCUUUUUCUUCAAAGAAAAUCUAUCUUAAUUGUUUUCUUCAAGUGCUCUCAACGAUUCUUUAAAUAAGCCUCGAAAUCCUACUUGAAAUAGAAGUUCAAAAUUGUUGCAUGGAGAAGUUAUUGUGUUAAUGCUGCAAUGCCAUUCCCUUGGUGUCGUGGCAACGAGUUCUUUUUUUAUUUUUUCUCCUCUUUGCCUUCGACACCACAGCCUCCAUCCUUGGGCAUUGUGGCACCUAACAUUCUAUUUAGUUGUUAGUGUUCCUCUCUUCACAAUGCCACGAUGCCCAUUCAGCCAUGGCCGUAGCACCCGAUGUUCUAUUUUUUAGUCUAAAUUUUGCUUUCUUUCUCCGAUUUGAACUCCUUCAAACAAGCACCUACAAAAAGCACAAAACCACAUCAUUAUUCUCAUUAAAAGAGACCUAAAUCAACCUAAAUUCAACAAAAAUAAAACUAAUUAACCAACUUAAAAAAACUCCUAAAACGAGACUAAUUCAUAUCAAAACUCAAAGACUUAACUGAUUUUAAUGCUUAAAAAGUGACAAGAUAACUCUAUAUCAUAGAGUUAUCAACUCCUAGCAAAAAUAUUUCUUUUUUGUUGAAGAAAAGAAAGAAAAGAGAACUUGGCUCAAGCCCGCGGGAAGGAAAAUGAAGGCAAAGCUCAAUGAGAUCUAGUUACGCUAGACCCACUCUAUUGCCAUUGGAUCCAAUGUUAGGCUUGGGUUUGCUUGGUGUGAAUUUCACUUGGGUUAUUCUUGCUUGUUAUGUCCAUUUGGGCUUGAAUUUACUGUUUGCACAUUUUCAUGUUAGUUAUUUAGUUUUGUUAGUUGUGUUGAUUAGCAUAAAAUGUAGGAAUGAAAAUAAAAUAUAUACUUGAAAAAAUAUGCAUAAUGUUAUUAGAUUAAUGUAUUAGAAAAAGACAAAUUUUACAAAAGAUAUAAAUAUAAAAGAAAUAUGACAAAAUAAAAAAUUUUAAAAAUUGUGUUAUUUGAGAUAAUUUGAUGAUGGAACUUUGCCCGGGAAUGUGAAGAGUCGCAUUUCUAGGUUAACUUCCCUAGGUGAGGAAUUUAAUUAGGAUUUCCCCAAAGUGUUGGGAUCAUCCUAAUUUUAUAUUCCAAAACUUCAUUAAUUCAAAUAAUCAUUUUAAAAUCUAGUAAACAUAAAAGGUAUACAAUUAAAGCAAAAUAUCAAUUUUACAAUCACAAGGUUAUAAAUCAAACAUUCGAUUUAUUGAUGUAUCCAUUUUGCAUCAUCCAUGAUUUUGCGUCGCAUACGAGUCAAUUACUUUGAAAUUGGGUAUAAAACUCUCGAUGAUGGGACUUUCUCAAGAAACUUGUGGAGACGAGUUUUUUCAAGAAUUUCCCUAGGUGAAGAAAAACUUCUAGACUUUACCAAAGCAUUGGGCAGGGCUUUGAAUAAUUCUUUCGAGACAAGGUUUUUUCCCAUUAUUUAAAAUUGAAAAAUCAUGUUAUCAGUUCAUGGUUGCAUCAUGUACAUUAAUAAUGUAUAUUCGAUUCGUGAACGACAACAUUUAACGAUGGGAUCCUUUUUGGGAGGCUUGUAGAGAUGAGCUUUUUGAAGAAAUUCCCUAAGUGAUGACAAAUUCUUGAACUCCACUAAAGAGUUGGGAUGGUCUUGGAAAACUUAUCCGAGAUGAAGAUUUCAUUCACGUAUCGAUAAAAAUAUCAUAAAAAUAAUUUAAUAAAAAAAGAAAAAAAUAAAAUAUAUAAAAUCCAAAUUGAAAAUCAACAUAGUCAAGAGUUACUAAAACUUGAUGACGGAGCCUCCUUGAGGGGAUAAAUGAGUCUUCUCAAACGUUCUUGAGGUGAGGAGGAUUUCGAAAACCCCUCCUAGAGCAUUGGAAGGGUCCAAGAAAGGUCUCCAACAUCUAAUAAUAAAUAAGAAAAUAAAAUAAAUGGUAACUAAGGAAUUAAGAAUUUAAUUAAGUUUAAAAUCGAUAAUUAAGGCUAAAAUAGGAUAACAAGUGAUAAAUUGGUACCGUUCUUUGAACAAGUGUCAUAAGUGUUAAUCCUUCCUCAUGCAUAACCGUAUUCUCGAACCCAAUCCCAAAUCACGUAGACCAAACUUCAUUCUUUUUAACGAGCCUAAUACAAAAAGGAAUAGACUUUAUUAUAUGGCCAACUACACCUAAAUAAAAAAGAUUGGUGGUGGCCCCAUUUUACGUUGAGCAAUCAAAUUCUCAAACCCACACAUUAUAACAAUAGUUUGGCAUUGUAAUGUAUUACUAAUGUAAAAUUUUGUGUUAAUAAAGAUGCCAACCUGAUAAGGUUCUUUUUAAUUAUUUAUCAUAUCUAGAAUCAGGGUCAAGUUCUGAUUUAAUUAAAGACAAGGAUUUAUGAGAAUGGAGAGUAGUAGUCCUUUUGUUCAGCUCAUUCAUGCCAAACACACGUACAAAAAAGGAGAAUUUCUCUUGUAAUUUUUUUACUAAAAUUUUACGAUUAUUCUAUCAUAAAAAAGAAUUAUUUAAGGAUUUACCACUUAUAAUAUAUGGACUUCCAUAUAAUAUUUUGGUGAGCUUUACACAAUUCAUGACUGUAAUUGAGUAAUAAAAAUGUAAUAAUUGAAGAAAACAUACGUACCUUAUAAAAAAUAAAAAUGAAAAAAAGAAAUUCAUUUGUUUGUUGGUUCAAUGGUAAGUGCAUUUUAUCCUAAUUGAAAAGUUGGGUUCAAAUCCAAUGAACGUAUAUAAAGAAGAAGAAAAUUUAAGAGUUUUCCAUAUAUAUAAAAAGAAGAAGAAGAAGAAGAUAUAUAUAUAUAUAUAUAUAUAAUAAAUAAAAAGUAAANUUAAAAGAAGAAGAAGAAGAAGAUAUAUAUAUAUAUAUAUAUAUAUAAAUUAAAAAGGUAAAAUAUCACCACCAUCUUAAGUUUUAGUCGAACUUUCAAGUAAGUCUUUUAGUUUUUGAAAUAUACUGUCUACCUCAAAAAUGUAAAUAUCAUUAACAGAGUUUAAAAAAAGAAUAAAAUGUCCUCUUUUUAUUAAUUUUAAAAACUAUUAUUAUAUUUUUUAAAAAAUUAAAAAAAAGGAGCAUCGAUUGGUGCUUCCCAACUCCCCAAUCGAGGAGCACCAAAUCGGUGCUCCCUUUGGGAGCCCGAUGGAGGCUUCCAAGGAAGCUCCGGUGCUUUUCAGAUAGGGAGUUUUUUGUUUAAUUAAUAAAAAAUAAUAAAAUUAUGUAAUAGUACUUAUAAAAAUUAAUUAAGUGUAAAACUGUCUUUUUACUCUUACCAUGUCAGCAAGUUGACGGAAAUAGUAAUGGUUGACUAAUGGCUGAAUCUACGUGUCUAGCAAAAAAUAUUUUUUUGAGACGUAGUGUCUAUUUAAAAAACGAAUAGACUUCCGUAUAAUUUUGAUCAAAUUUAAAAAGAUAAGGAUAUCUUACCUAAAUUAAAAAUUUAUUAUGCACCAAAUCAAAUUGCAGACAGCUUGGCUAAAACGGACAUGAGAAAAGCAAAAGAAUACAAUCAAAAUUUACAGCACAUCAACAUCUUUCAUCAAAAUUUACCCCCUUAUGUGCAUUCUUUUGCUCUUCUUAUCAUUAAUACAAAGUCAUUGCCUUUAAAAAAACAAAUUUGUCAUGCACAAGCCCAGUGCAUUGAAGGAUAUGAUUGCAAGGAUUAAAAGUUGGAUUGGAUUAAAACUAACUUGUAAACAUAUUAGAUUGAGAAAAAGGCUGAACUUCAAUCAGGGCCAACUGUUUUGAGUUACAAGUUGCAAGUCAGCUCUUUUUACCAAUUUAUUGCUUUAGAUGGACAUAGUCGGUCCAAAGCCCAACGAGACUUUGGUAAUGGCGUCAAUCAAGCAGAAAGCCAGUCUGCCUAGGGCCAAGAGUCGAACUUAAAAUAUCUAUCUAAACACAACUUUUAUCUUCAUCAUUUACUCAAAGAUCAUAUAACUAAGCCUUGCAGUGCAAAGAUGACCUUAAGCGAUGUGACGUAGCAAGCUGAGGGGACCAAGUUAUUCAAAUGGAAUCAAACUUCGUCGAUGUUCUAGUAUGACCCACCGAUGUCAACACCCGAGUAAGACGUUGAGACUAAAGACAUGUUGGCAUAGCGAAGCCUUAUUAAGGAAAUUGAGAAGGCGUCUGACAUCAGAUGGCUCUUCAUUGACAGUUUGAGCAACCUUCUCCACACGCAAGUACAGGCCGACUACAAAAAUCAUAUAUUUGACGAAAUGUUACCAACUUCCACGGCUGAUGAUGAAUUAGGUUUUUCUUCAUAUCUGGUGGGAUCCCAAAAUAAAUGUAUUGAUAUAGACCUUGAUAAGUUUGGCACCACAAUAUUUUGAUUUAAACGACUUAAAGAAAUGGAAUCACAAUCAUGAACACUUAUUGACCUCUGUUUUGUUUUAGCCCAGGUUUUUUUUUUUUUAUCUUGUUUUUCUAUGAAAGUUACAUUCAUAAAUUAAAACUACAACGAAAUUAAAUAAUCUCAAUAAAUAUGAUAUAAUUAUUAAUAUAUUCAAGACUUCCUCUUUGCCAUUGAGAGUUGAGACGAGACCUCACUGAUAACAUUUUCUGUGCUCUUGAAUAAAUAGCAAAUUCGUUUUUCAAAACAAUUGUUAUCCUUUUAAUGAAUCAUUUGCGAGCAGAGGCCGAAGGGAGAGGGGGCUAAGGGCCCCGCCCCCUUUAAAAAUUUUUAAAAUUUUAGAACAUAUUUUUAUUUUUUUAAUUUUAUAACUUUACCUCUACAAAAAUUUUAAGAUUUUUUUAACAUACUCUUUUUUUAAAAAAAAAUUUAUAAUUUUGUCUCUAUAAAAAUUUUAUAAUUUUAUCUCUACAAAUUUUAAAAUUUUUCUAACAUAUUUUUUUAAAAAUUUUUUAUAAUUUUAUCCCUACAAUAAUUUUAUAACAUAUCAUAAUUGAGCACCAUUAUUGAAUUGACUUGUUUUUGGCUGUUAUUGACUCACUUUUGUAAAAAUUGAAUUUCAGAUUUAAUGAGAAUGUGGUGGAAUUAUUCACUUUUGACAUAUCUUUAUACCCUUAGAAUGAUUUUGAAUCAGUUAAUGUUGAAAGUAUUUGCAACCUUGCAAAUAAAUAUUACCUUGAUAACUUUACCGAGUAUGAUAAAAUGCAUAUAAGCUAUAAAUUGAAUUCAUUCAAGCUUGACAUUCUUCAUAAUUUUUUGAAAAAUGUAUUUACACUUUCUAAGUUAUGUCAAGUAUUGAAGAAGAUGAAAAUAUCAAAAGUUUUCUUCAUUGUUGACAAAUUAAUUUGACUUGUCUUAACUCUUCAAAAUUCCAUUGCAACAUCAGAUCGUGCAUUUUUUGUUAUGAAACUCGUUAAGAACGAGACUUGGAAUAGAACACCAAAUGAUUUUUUAAGAAAUUUAUUGAUUAUUUUCAUUAAAAAGGAAAUCAUUUGAGACGUUAACAUCUAUUCAAUAAUAGAUUCCUUCAACUCUAUGAAAGACCGUCGAGCUCAAUUAAAGAUACUCAAUCUUAGCAUGCAAUAGUUGUUAAUGUCUAUUUUAUACUUAGCACGUAAUUGGAGUUAUUUGUGUAAUUUCAUAUGAAUUUUUUUCAAGUUACUUUAUGUUUUUGUCAAACAUUAAACUUCUAGUAUCGCUCCCCAAAUGCGAAAUCCUAAUUCCUCCAUUGGAUGAAAGAGAUUAUAAACCAAAUUUCAUAUAAUAAAUUGUAAACGAAACCUUAUUUCAAUGGUACAGAAGAGGUCUAAAAUCUUUGAAUUUUAAGUUCAAGUUCUAUUAUAUCUAAAUUUCUUGCAACUUUGUGUUGUUUUUCUAUUUCUUUUUGUUUAUUGAUAAUUUUUCCAUUGGAUAUUGUAGACACCCAUUCAAAAUCAACCAAAAUAAAAAAAAUAAUUAAAAAAAAGGAAAGAAAAGAAAACAGAGAGAAGACCGAGCGUGUACUCAGCCCCCCCCCCCUCUCCAAUCUAUCAUUACGGGGCACUUAAGUUCCCUGAAAAACAACAAAAUUUUAAGGAAUAGUUACCUCUGGCAAUUAGCCCCCAUUUAUGCCAGAACCUUGUGAAAUCAUGCUUAGAAGAGCAUGAUUUCAUCGCUGGAUUGUCGAAAUUUUUGGACAAUCCAGCUCUUAAAAAGGGGGCCUUAGACAAAUUUGAAGAGAGGAGAAAAAAAAUCACAACAAAAAAAAAGAAACCAAAACACUCAAAGAAAACCAAAAAUGAAAAAUGGGUUUUUUGGGUUUUGAAAGAGAGUAGGAGAAGGUGCAGUGGUCGGAGUAAAGGAGGAAGAGAGAGGAAGGAAAGAGAGAAGCGGCGCCGAUAGAGAGAGAAAGGAGGAGAUAGGCGUCGGUAAUGGGGAGUUCUGCGAUUGGGAGAAAGAGGAAGAAGGAGAAGGAGAAAGAAAGAAAGAGUGAAGAAGGAAGGGGAGCGGCUGGGAGAGAGAAAAAGAAUGAAAAAGAAAAAAUAAGAAGAAGAAAUAAAGAAAAGAAAAAAGGAAAAAAAAAGAAAAGGAAAAGGAUUUGGGUCAAGGAUUCGAUGGGCUUGCAAAACAGGCUUGAUGUGGCAAGCUUGGGUCUUCUGCGGGCUUGUGGAAACUGGGCCAACCUAGCCCAGUGAGGUAAAACUCUUUCCUUUUGUUUGUGGGCCUUUUAGGUUGGUUUUGAUUCUAGCUCAUUUUGUGUUGAUAAAAUGUAUUGUUGAUUUAAUGUUAAUUAUUUUAGGAAAAGUUAUAAAAAAAUUUUAAAAAUUUUAUUUAUGUUGAUUUUAGUGUUAGAAAAUAAAAAAAUGGAAAGUAAAAAUAAUAAUAAUAAUAAAUAAAUAAAUGAUAAAAAUCAUAAUACAAAUAUAAAAAUUAUAAAAAGUAAAAAUAAAUUAUGAAGAAGAAUAAAGAAAUAAAAAAUAAGAAAAAAAUAUAAUAAUAAAAAGAAGUAGAAAUAAUAAACAAAUAAUAAAUAUACAUUUUUUGAGUAAUUUCACUUAAAAGGGGCAAAGAGUUGCCACUUUUAGGUGGGUCACUUAAAUUUGGAGAUCGAAAUGGAUUUUCAUCGAAGCGUCGGGAUAAAUCAGAACUCUAUACUCUAACACCCAUUAAAUCAAAUAAUUAUUUAGAAAAAAUAUAAAAUGAAAUAAUAAAUAAAAAAAUAACAAAAGAACAAAAAAAUAAAAAAAGCAAAUACCAUGCAUUAAAGAAAAAAUAAUAAUAAACACGUAAACAAGGUAAUAAAUUACCUUAAACUAUUAAACACAUAAUUGGAUGUAUUACGAACCACCUAAAUCUACAAACGUGUGCAUGUAGAUAUCAUCAUUUUCUUCUGUCAUAGCAUGCCACAUUUAUCGUGUAAAUGGGGCAGGAAUUCCAAUGACGGGAUUCCCUUAAAGAGCUUGUAGAGAUGAGUUCUUCCGGGGAUAUAUCUAGGUGAGAAAAAUUUUGAGACUUCACCAAAGCGUUGGGAUGGUCUUCGAAUGAUUUUCCAAUAGAAGAUUGCCGACCCCAUUAUUUAAAAUAAACAAGUCAUGACAUCAUUUUACGCUUGCAUCAUGUGCAUACGUAAAACCGAAUAAAAGACUCAGUUAGCCAAUUUAAUAAAAAAUUAGUUAAUAAGCAUGGAUUAAAUCAAAAGUAGGCUAUAAUAGGAUACUUAAGAUUAAAUGGUACCGUUUGUGGAAAGGGCGCCACGAAGGUGCUAACCCUUCUAAAAAAAAACAUGGAUCAGUUCUUGUUCUCUCGAUGGACCUAAAAUUAAUUUAGGACUUCGUCGAUUAGAAUCGGGUUAAUAAGUGACCAAUCACACCUAAAUAAAAAAGAUUAGUGGCGACUCCCAAAUAUUUUAUUUUCACCUGCGUCUAGCAAUUGGGUUCCCGGACUCGGUACGUUAUGACAGAUAUAUGUUAAAAGUUAUCAAAUAAUUUAAAUUUAAAUUAGUACAGCUAACUUCAUAAAAAGAAAAGAAAAAUAAUGUAUCGAAUUUUAUAUGGUUACAAGAUGAUCAAUCAUCAAUUAACUACUCAUUUUGUACCAAAACAAAGUUAACCACUCAUUCGAGUUAACACCUGUGAAGCUAUAUGUGUGAUUACUUAAGGAAGAAUGGUAUUAGUUAUAGUUCUGAAUAGUUUAGAUUGUGUGAAAAGGAGAAAUUUUCAAUUUGGAAAUUCAAAUCAUCUGUUACUAAACAUAUUCUCUCUCAAUAGCUAAUCAAUACAAAUUACAGAAGCGACAUUGCAAAAGACACUGCUAUUCGCUUGACAAAGACACAACGUUGAACGUGAAGGGCUUUACUGGGGGCGCUGACAGACGAUGACUUGCAAUUCUUCAAGCAAACUGUCACGACCCAAAUUUCGGGCCAUGACUGGCACAUGGGCCCAAUGGACGUAAUCCACUAAGCCCAAGCAAGCCUAUUAAUCUGACAUGUUUAUUAUUCUAUCAUAAACUGCUAAGUCACAUUUCAUAACUUAGAAUAAAAAUAAUACUACACAUUGCCAUCUCAUACUGGCAUACCAAACAAGUGUAUAUACAUUAUCUACAACAUGUAUCUUAACAAUUUACAUUAGGUUCGUCUAUACACAACAAAAUAAUACUCGACUUUCAGCGGAGGGACUCGGACGAAUGUACAGCUACUGAAUGCUUAGACACCUACCAAAAGAUGGAUACAAGUCUACAAGGACACCUCGUCCUAGUUACCGACUGCCUCGUGAUCUGAAAAUAUGAAGUUGAAAACGGUGAGUAUAAACCCAGUGAGUGAACAAGGAAGGGAACAAGCAACAACAAGGGAAAAUUUAAAAUCAUGAUGCACUUGUUUCAAAACAAUGCAAUUUAGUUCCAUUAAUAUUAAAAACCCCUAAUUAAGCCCUUUUAUGAUUAAUCAUUUGAAAAUCAUGAACCCGUACAUAACGAACCAUUUGAAGAAUGAAAGCUUCAAUGAUACGCGAGGAAGUCAAAUACGUCAAUGAAUCUUCGCUGCAGCGACGUUGGGAUUAAGUUAUUAGUCGAACGAGGGUUUCUCAACUGACAGAGGGUUUCUCAGUAAACCUCUUCAUUUUAAAGUUAACUCAUUUAGUCUUUAAUGUUGGAAGUCCAUGCUCAGAUAUGGUAGCAAAGAAAUGAAAAAUAGGGCAACAAUUGGAUAAGAUAAGAGACAAAAAUAGAAAGUUUUUCGCUGCAGCGAAAUUGUAACCCAGAAACAGAAAGUUUCUAGUUGCAACGAGAUUCAAUCUCGCUACAGUGAAAUUGCAACCCAGAAACAGAAAGUUUCUCACUGCAGCAAGAAUGAAUUUCGCUGCAGCGAGAAGCUACAGUAUCAUUCUUGCUCCAGCGAAAAUGCAUUCUCACUGCAGCGAGUUUUUGGCCAGUCUACCCCUCAAAACUUGAGAGUUUCUUGCUGCAGCGAAAAUGAUUCUCGCUACAGCGAGAAACAGGGCACCAAUGAAAAAUUUACCCUUCUUCUCAAAGAAAAACCACCCUGCUGAAAUGUCCAAACCAACAUGAAACGCAUAACAAUUUUCCACAAUUUAACAUGUCAAGUUUCACAUGCAUUAUAACCAUAUACCAUUACUCAUUAAUUUCCUAUAUCAUACAUAUUUACAUAUGUAUAUAUGUAUACGUAUACCCAUCAUCAUCAUGCACACCAUCCCAUCAUCAUCAUCACCAGCUCAUGCACACUCCCUACUCGCACAUGGCUGGGUCAUCACCGGGUUAUGCGCACUCCUUACUCGCACAUAACCGGGUCAUUGUCGGCUUAUGCGCACUCCCUACUCGCACAUAGCCAAGUCAAUGUCAUUACACAACAAUAUAUUCAUAUAUAUAUAUAUCAACACAAUUUGGUAGUGCAUGAAUUAAUAAUAGUCACAUGUCACAACAUAAACCAUUUCUCAAGAGCUUGUUCCUAAAGCACUCAUUUUUAAGAAAAGUUGUAUAAAAUCAUUCAAACACUUUGUACAAAACAGUUACAUUCUUAAAAUAGUUUUGAUAGGCAGUCCACUCACCGAUUUAUUGUUGAGCCUUUAGCUUACUCUAAUUCCCUUAAUGAUCCAAUUGGAAGGAUAGGACUUCAUUAGAACCUAGGAUCACAUUAGCAUAAGUAAUAGGUUAAUUCACACACUAUGAACCUUAAAAGCUAUCUCUUAGCUAGCUUUCAAUUGCCACAUUAAAUGGCUAUCUAUGUUCACUAUCUUAAUCACUAAAAAGUAAUAAACAUACUCAACAAUAAAACAGCUCACACUCCCAAUUACUAGCCAUUAUUCAUAGCUAAAAACCAAACUUAAUUCAUCACUUACCCUAGGGUUCCUUUGUAGUUGAAUUCUUUUCCAAUAGCUUCCACACAAAUGGGGUAAUUCUCUCUUUCUCUCUCUAGAAUGCCCAACUAGUGAGAGAAAGUAUGGAAAUAAGAUUUAUCAAGGGUUUUGAAGUGAGAGAGUGAAAGAAUACAAGAGUUCUAGUUAAAAGGGCUCAAAAGUAUGAAAACUAGAGCUAGAGAGAGAAAAUCAUGCAAGCUCCAUAUCAAGCUUCCAUGGAGGUUGGAAGCAACGUGAAAGAGAAGAAGAAGAAGAAGACAAGCUGCUGGAAAAUGGGUGAAGAAGCUGCUGGAAGAAAGAUAUUUAUAGCCAAUCUUAUCCAUUCUUUUAAAAUUACCAAAUUGCCCCUCCACAAAUUAGCUUAUUCUCCUCCAAUCUUUUAUGCAAUCUUUUUGCUCUUUUGACACUAGGACAAGGUCCAUAAUGGUCUAGACAUACUCGGGUUCAUGAAAACUUAAAAUUUUAACCCGAGGUGAAAAAUGACCAUUUUGCCCUUAUCGUGAAAAUCAUCAAAAUUUUUGUUUUCUUUUCAUUUUACCCCUAAUUUCAUCAUCCAUUUAUGCUUUAGGUCUACUUAGGCCAUAAUAUUAUUUAAAAAUCUUACUUUUAUAGGCUUAUUAAGGAAAUGAUGAAAUUACCCCUAAUUAGGGAUAUCGCGUAUACUUCCCUUUACGAGUCUAUAAAGGUCAAGGUCUCACACAAACCUAUCCCUUUCCCAAAACAAUACAAAAUGUCAACUGUCAAACUCCAUAACAUAUCAUCAAGAAUUCAAUGUUACCUAUAUUAAAGAAUGCACAUUUGUCUAACUUAAUACAUAGUGUUGCCUUAAAUUUUAGGUGGAAUAAUCAUAAGAACCGGUGAAAACAAAGUCCUAAUCAUUUUGAUACUGUUUGAAUUGAUUGCAUAACGAAAUAUAGGUGCUUCACGACCGUGCUAUACAAUCAUAAGAACCGGUCAAAACAAGCUCCCAGUCCAACUUAACUUGAACAUGAUUUUUUAGAUUCAAGAUAUUACUACAUUAAUAAUAAUUAUUUUUUAUUUAAUUUAAUUGAAAUAGAUUUUAAAAUAUUAAUAUGAGGAUUUUUUAAAAUAUUCUUAUAAUAAAUAUAUUUUAAAAGGAAUUCAUUAAGUCGAGCUGAGCUCGAUUUUAAAUUUUAUAAAUGUUAACCAAACUUGAUUCAUAUAUAUAUAUAUAUAUAUAUAUAUAUAUAUAUAUAUAUAUAUAUAUAUAUAUAUAUAACGAAAGCUCGAUUGCAAUUUNUGAUUUAAGAUAUAUACUAUAUAUAUAUAUAUAUAUAUAUAUAUAUAUAUAUAAUAUAUAUAUAUAACGAAAGCUCGAUUGCAAUUUGAGGAAUUCUUUUUUUUCCUUUGAUUAUAUUUCAUUAAUGUUUAAGUAGGUGAAGCACCUUAAAUUAUUAUUAAAAGAUUAAAAUAUCUUAAAUAAUGCAUCAUUUAUGUAAGUUAUCAGGGAUUAAACUAGAAUAUAAAACAUAUAGACGUGUAGUAUUUAUAUUUUGGGUAUAAAAGUGAGAGCACUUUGACAAAAUGUGAUUUUUAUUUCAAUCUCACUCCAUCCUUUCAACAUAAACCAAAACAAGAGCUAAUUUAUUUAGCAUUUGCUUGAUUAUAAUCUUUCUUUGUUUAGUUACAUUAUUAAAAAGGACAAAUGUAUAGGAGUAAAAUCAAUAUAUAUAUGUUUAAAACAAACAAAUAAUAAAAAUACAACAUUAUUUUAAAGACAAUUAUGUCAUAUCAAAUUGAAAUCUCUCAUUUUGUUAUAAAAAGAAGUUAAGUGUAUAUUUUUUAAUAAUUCAAAAUAUUAUUUAUCUUAUAUUUGGAUGCACUAUUUAUAUUUGAUUUGUGAAAGUAAAUAAAUAAAUAGUUUAAAUAAGUCUUUAUUUAUGAUUUUUACCUACCUAAGCUCUCAUAUUGAUGGAAAAAUAUCAUUUGACAUGUGACAUUAAUGUUUGUUAGGCUCAAGGUCAACUAACAUCCUUUGUACUUAUUGCAAAUGACUUGAUUUUUUUAUGUGAAUAAAUUAACUAACUAGAAUGGUCAUGUCUUAGGUAAGAAAUGUUAGAUUUUCUUAAAUAAUUAAAGUAUGGAUUUACAUUAUUUAAUUUAUUUAUACUUUUUAUCAAAAUUAGGUUAAGUUAAUUUCAUCAUGGUAAAGAGAUAAUAUUAUAUCCUACAAUAUGAUAUAAUAAAGUUGACUAAGCUUCAAUAUUAUAUGUGGACAUAUUAGUGUAGGCUUGUGAAAGAUAUAUACCUUAAAUCCUGUGAUUAGUGAAACUAGAGAUUCAUUAUAUAUAGGUAAGAUUACAUUUCCUCUCGUGUCUAUGUAUGUAAACAUUAAGAAUCUCACCCAUUGGAGAGUUGUAUGUCAAGGAAGAGGAAGAUCCUAGUGCACUAAAUCUCAACAAUUAAUUUGUGGAGGAUACGAUCAUCUUUUGUGAUGACCACAAUUCAGGGAUGGUGAUAUUAAGAGAACUUUAGUGGUGUUUAAAAUGAUUUUUUGACCUAAAAAUUAAUGAAAACUUCAUUGAUUAUGAUAAAAUUGUCAAAAACGGAUGGGGCAAAUCUUGCUUGAGUAUUUAAAUACAACAUGGAAACUCUCUCUUUCAUUUAGAGAUAGGAUCACUCUCAUCAAAUUUUGCCCAUUCCUCUCCAUCACUGUAUUAUAUAUAUAAAUUUUUAAGGCUUUAAAGGGUGUGAAAAAGAAAAUGGACUCCUUAAGCAAAAAGUUUCUUUGGGGUGGAGAUGAGAAGCACAAAAAAUUAGCAAAAGUUCGAUGGGAAGUUAUUUGCUAACCAAAAAAGUUAAAAGGACUUGAUAUUGCAAGCCAUAGGAAUAAAAAUUUAGCAUGUAGAAGCAAAUGGUGAUGAUGCUUUAGGUGAGAACAUGACUCUUUAUGGAGAAAAUUGAUUGAAGCUAAUUAUGCUAUAAAAAGAAAAGGUGGAUACCAUAUUCAAUUAUUGUAAGAAGGAUGUCAAAAAUAUGGAGGGAUUUUAUUAGAUUGCAAAAUGAAUAGAAGAUGCUGAAUUUCAUUGGAAAUGAGGAAUGUUGUUGGGUGUUUGGAAAAGGAGAUUGUAUACUAUUUUGGCAUAAUGCGCUGGUUGAUGACAAGCCUCUAAAGAUACUAUUUUCAAGGCUAUUUCAAAUUGUGACUAAUAGAAAGGCUAAAGUUUCAAAAUACUGUAGAAAAUACCUAAAAUCUAAGUCAAGAACUAAAUUUUUUGAUGAAAAUAAAAAACUACCUAGGGGAUUAUUUAUAAUAGUCAACCAAACCUAAACCUACUUGAUGUGCAAGUAAAGUAAAUAGCAAAUAAGGAAGUAUUCUAACCUUAGACUUCCUUGGAGUACAAGUAAUGUAAAAAGAAAAUAGGAAUGGAUUACAUAAGGAAAUAUUCCCCCCACAAUAUUCUCUCUUUGAUUUGAAGAUACUCGUAUAUUUCAUAAUAGCCUCCCUCAAGCUACUAUGGCUGACAAGUUUGGACUCCAACAAGCUUGCCAUCAAUAUUGUUCGUAUCCACCUUGUGUGUCCCUUAAGUUGGUGGAGAGUGAACCCUUAUACCAUUUAGCAAUACGUUGAAUGUUUCAACAUAGAAUAUUUGGCAAUAUUCUCAUAAGUAUCUGGCUCAAGAUUUACUUCUUCCAAUCUUGCAUUGUUAGUAAAAGAUACUACGCGAUGUUUAAAGAAUGAAUUUUGAGAAUCCUUAGCAUACAAUUGGUUGAUAGGAGUGGUAGACUUGGUUGAGGAGUUUAUAGUCUUCUCGCAAGUCAUUACAUAAUCUUUAAAUCUUUGUGGCAUUCUUCUUUCCCUUUGUGGCCUUGAGUUCUUAACUAUAAUUUUUCUUUCAAUUACUUCAUUUUUUGUUUCAAGAUCAGAUUUUCUCAUGUUUUCUUCUACCAUCCCAAUUAAGUCUCCUACAUUUUCAUGUUGAUUUUAUGUAUGUAUUGGUUCUUCAAGUUCAAUCAUGGUAGUUGAUGAUUGCAUUUUGGUUAUUUCUGAAUGUUGUACAAUUUUAAAAGAAAAAAAACCUUAAAAAAUAUGAUAUCUCGAGAUUCGAAGAACUUUUUAGUAAUUAGCUCCAAUACCUUAUAACCCUUAUUUUCUGAAACAUAACCUAAGAACACACAUUUUCUAGAUCUUAUAGGAAACUUAUCAUUUGGCUUAGGUUUAACAUAGACAUAACACAAACAUCCAAACACUCUAAGAUGAUCAUAUGAGGAUUUUUCUUUAAAUAAAACCUUAUAUAGAGAUUUUCCAUCAAGUAUUGGUGUGGGUAAGAUAUUUAUCAAAUGUCCUAUUGUCAUUACACAUUCUCCCCAAUAUCUUAAAGGUAGAUUGGCUUGAAAACGAAGUGUUCUUGCAACUUUUAAUAUAUACUUGUGCUUUCUUUCCACCAUCCCAUUUUGUUAAGGUGUAUGUGUGCAACUGGUUUGAUGUAGAAGUCAUUUUUCUAGAAGAUGUCUCUUGAAAUUUCCAUAUUUGAUCUUUGGGGUAUUAUCUGAUUGAAUUGAUUUCACUUGCAUACCAAACUGAGUUUACACCAUUUACAAAAAUUGAUCAAACAAAAAUAGAGCUUAACUUUUAGUUUUCAUUUGGUAUACCCAAGUACUUCUUGAACAAUCAACAAUAGUAAGAAAAUAGUUAGCUCCAAUAUGUGUGCUAGUCUUAUAUGGUUCCCAAGUAUCAACAUGAACUAAUUCAAAUAAGUUUCUUGAUUUAUUUCUAUUAAUAGGAAAUGAUAAUUGAGUUUGUCUAGUCAUGUGACAUGCAUUACAUGAAAAAAGACUUUUAUUCUCAAAUGAAACAUCAAAUAAACCUUUCAAUAUAGCAAAUGGGUUAUGUCUCAAAUUUCUAUGUAGCAAUUCUGGUUGAUUCUUCAAUCUCACAACAUUUGCCCAAAUCUUUUUUUUCUUCAAAAUAGCAGAGCCCCUUUUCCAUUCUACUGGCUCUAAUUAGCCUCUUAGUGACAAGGUCUUGUAAAAUACGUCCAUUCGAAAAAAAAUGCUACUGAACAAUUUAAAUCUUGAACAAUUCUACUAAUUGAAGAUAAGUUGUGGGUGAAAUUUGGUAAGAAAAGAACAUUCUUUAAAACAAUAUUGGGAUUUAGUUGAAUAUUUCCAACACAAUGACCUUGUGACUUUCUUCCAUUUGGUAGUGUAACUUCCAUAGAAGAUUUUUUUAGAUUUUUGCAUUUGAAUAGCUUUGAAUCUGAUACAACAUGAUCAAAUGCCCCAUUGUCCAAAAUCCAAAUUUGAGAACAAGAAAUUUUACUAACAAAGUUGACAAUGUAAUUCCUUAUUUGUCUUUAUCAAGUAUUACCAUCAGUUGAUCAAAUUGAAUUUGAGAUAACCUUAUUGGCUUUAAAACAAUCUGCUGUUGAUUUGCUUAUUGUUGAGAAUGUACAUCUUUUCCUUUGGUUUCAGUGACUGUUGUAUUAAUGGCUAUCUUUACUUGAAAGCUUUUUUUUCCCCCUACCAAUUUAGUGGAUAUCCUACAAUCGCAGAACAAUGUUCUUUUAUGUGACUUGUUUUCUUACAAUGUUCACAUUUUGGCUUGUUGUUUGGAUCUCGAUUCCUUUUUCUAGCAUAUAAUUUGAAUGUUGUUGCCUCUAUAAUUGGUCUUGCCAUUAUCACCUCUUUUGAACUUAAUAGAGAAUAAACAUUUGUUAAAAAUGGUUAUGAAUCCUUAUAGAGAAUAUUCAAUCUUAAAAUAACAUAGGAAUCAUUCAUUCCAAAAUUAGAAACUAAUGCAAUUUUUCUUCUUCUUUUUCCUUAGUCAAGGCCCUACACAUACAACUCCAACAUCCUCAUCUAUGAUACUUGGAAAAACUUUCAAGUUGAUCCCAAAGUUCUUUCAUUUUUAUAUAGUAAGUUGAGAUUGUCAAUUCACCUCAUCUAGUGUUAACUAUUUAUCUUUUUAGUUAUUGAAUUUGAGAUCCAUUUUCUUGUGAAAGCAUAUCUUCUAAACUUUUUAGAUGUCAUAAGUAGUGUCAUGAUAUGCAACACAAAUAUGUAACUCCUCAUUGAGUUGAAUUUAACAACUAUGUUACUACCAUAACAUUACAAGUCAGCCAAUUAUACUAUUCUGAAUCUCAUUCUUCUAGUUUCAGUAAUUUUCCAUCUAUGAAUACCAACUUGUGUUUCGAUCACAAUGCAGUGACAAUAGCUCUCUUCCAUGUUGUAUAGUUAGGCCCCUUUCGUGUAUGGGAUACGAAUAAACUACCUGGUCUAUUAAGAUUACAUAGAUGAUAGUGGUGUGGUUUGUUAUUCAUGAUUUUGGUAGAAGAUUUUGCUUGGGUUUCCAUUGGUUUUCCUACCAUGGAAAAAAAAAAUUUCACAAGAAAGAACAACUAGGCUCUAAUACCAUGUAGAAAAUACCUAAGAUCUAAACAAAAAACCUAAAUUGCUUGAUGAAAAUAAAAAACUUCAUAAGGAGCUAUUUAUAAUAGCUAACUAGUCCUAAACCUACUUGGGAUGCAAGUAAAAUAAAUAACAAAUAAGGAAGUAUUUUGUAAACCCUGACCCUAUAAAUACAUGUCAUGACAUACAUGCACUGAGUAGCAUGUUAUUAUGUUAGGAAAGCACCUAAGAAUAGACGAAACUCGGUAUCGUACCUAAUGGUGCACUUGAGUUGAUUUAACCUCGAACUAGUUCAAAUAGGAAUUAUAGGAUGAAAUUUAAUAUUUUAUAGUCUAGGAAUGACUAAAAAUGAUUGUUCGCAGUUCGAGGGUUCAUUUGGGCUAAAAUUGGAAAUUUUGAUGUUCAGGGGUAAAAUCGUAAUUUUACCACCCGCAAACAAAAUUUGAGAUUUUGAGAGAAUUUAGAUCAAAUUUGACAAAUUGGGUAAUGGUAUGAGUAUAAGGGAUGAAAAAUAUGUCUAUAGGAAAUUUUUCAGUUUUUUGGGCAAAAAUGUAAUUUUUCACUUUUACGGGGGUAAAAGUGUAAAUUUCAAAAAUUACUCCACCAAGACUUUGGAUAAGUCUGAGAAUUUUAUCUAAGCUAUGGAUAUGUGGGACAAGUGUAUGGUGAAAAUUUGGAAACAAAUGGAUGAAAUUUUAAAAAUGGGCCAAUGGGAAAGUGACACAUGGCACUUUUUAAUGAUUUAAUAUUAUUUUAAUGAAAAGUNNNNNNNNNNNNNNNNNNNNNNNNNNNNNNNNNNNNNNNNNNNNNNNNNNNNNNNNNNNNNNNNNNNNNNNNNNNNNNNNNNNNNNNNNNNNNNNNNNNNNNNNNNNNNNNNNNNNNNNNNNNNNNNNNNNNNNNNNNNNNNNNNNNNNNNNNNNNNNNNNNNNNNNNNNNNNNNNNNNNNNNNNNNNNNNNNNNNNNNNNNNNNNNNNNNNNNNNNNNNNNNNNNNNNNNNNNNNNNNNNNNNNNNNNNNNNNNNNNNNNNNNNNNNNNNNNNNNNNNNNNNNNNNNNNNNNNNNNNNNNNNNNNNNNNNNNNNNNNNNNNNNNNNNNNNNNNNNNNNNNNNNNNNNNNNNNNNNNNNNNNNNNNNNNNNNNNNNNNNNNNNNNNNNNNNNNNNNNNNNNNNNNNNNNNNNNNNNNNNNNNNNNNNNNNNNNNNNNNNNNNNNNNNNNNNNNNNNNNNNNNNNNNNNNNNNNNNNNNNNNNNNNNNNNNNNNNNNNNNNNNNNNNNNNNNNNNNNNNNNNNNNNNNNNNNNNNNNNNNNNNNNNNNNNNNNNNNNNNNNNNNNNNNNNNNNNNNNNNNNNNNNNNNNNNNNNNNNNNNNNNNNNNNNNNNNNNNNNNNNNNNNNNNNNNNNNNNNNNNNNNNNNNNNNNNNNNNNNNNNNNNNNNNNNNNNNNNNNNNNNNNNNNNNNNNNNNNNNNNNNNNNNNNNNNNNNNNNNNNNNNNNNNNNNNNNNNNNNNNNNNNNNNNNNNNNNNNNNNNNNNNNNNNNNNNNNNNNNNNNNNNNNNNNNNNNNNNNNNNNNNNNNNNNNNNNNNNNNNNNNNNNNNNNNNNNNNNNNNNNNNNNNNNNNNNNNNNNNNNNNNNNNNNNNNNNNNNNNNNNNNNNNNNNNNNNNNNNNNNNNNNNNNNNNNNNNNNNNNNNNNNNNNNNNNNNNNNNNNNNNNNNNNNNNNNNNNNNNNNNNNNNNNNNNNNNNNNNNNNNNNNNNNNNNNNNNNNNNNNNNNNNNNNNNNNNNNNNNNNNNNNNNNNNNNNNNNNNNNNNNNNNNNNNNNNNNNNNNNNNNNNNNNNNNNNNNNNNNNNNNNNNNNNNNNNNNNNNNNNNNNNNNNNNNNNNNNNNNNNNNNNNNNNNNNNNNNNNNNNNNNNNNNNNNNNNNNNNNNNNNNNNNNNNNNNNNNNNNNNNNNNNNNNNNNNNNNNNNNNNNNNNNNNNNNNNNNNNNNNNNNNNNNNNNNNNNNNNNNNNNNNNNNNNNNNNNNNNNNNNNNNNNNNNNNNNNNNNNNNNNNNNNNNNNNNNNNNNNNNNNNNNNNNNNNNNNNNNNNNNNNNNNNNNNNNNNNNNNNNNNNNNNNNNNNNNNNNNNNNNNNNNNNNNNNNNNNNNNNNNNNNNNNNNNNNNNNNNNNNNNNNNNNNNNNNNNNNNNNNNNNNNNNNNGUUAUAAGCCUUGACAACUGUUUUGGUAAAUUACAAAUGUUUUAUGGUUUAAGAAAGAAAUUGAAAACCUUAUGAAAUGGUUUGUGAUUUGUUGUUUAAACUUGCCUCCAUUUUACUCGCCUUUAGAUAUUUAUGAUAAUGUCUGUUUACUCAUUGGGAUUGCAAAAUCUCACCCACCUCAUUUCCAAACAUUUCAGGCCUGUGGUAGCUUGUAGAUAUCCGAUUUUGUCGAGGAUUCCAGUUGACCCCUCUAUCCCACAGACAAUAAGUUACUAUCACCAAUACUGGGUGUAUUUAUGGGCCACUUGUCAUUGUAAUUAUUAUUGUACAGUUUAACUUUGUAAAUUAUUCUAUGUAUGAAUUUAUUUUAUUCUCACGCUACAAAAUUUAUUUGUGUAUAGUUCUAUAAAAAUUGUUUUAUAAGAAAAUGAAAUAUAUUAUCAAAUAUUUUUAUAUAGUUUAAUUAGCCAACUUUUCACUCUAAAUGAAUGAUUUAUAUUACAAAAAUUUAUUUUUAAUCGACAGUGGAUAUUUUUCUACCAUAUGUUGUAUCUUUAUCAGGUUUCGAAAUUUUUUGAUAAAAAUGACCAGAAUACCCCUAUGUGGCGAAAAUUUUAUUUUUAUUGUUUUCGAUCUAAAAUAGUUUAUAUUUUCUUAAAACUCGAUAUUUAACAACGAUUGCUCACAAGAAAGGCAAGAAAUUGAUUCGUUAGCCUUGCGGGGUUCCGAUUGGUAUUCUGGAUAAUGAGUGUCAAUCGGGACAUCGCGGCAGUUGUCAUGGGCCCGAGGGAGGUUCCGGGUCGUGACAUAUUUUAAGCUUAGACUUUUUUGGAAUACAAGUAAAGUAAAAAGAAAAUAAGAAAAGAUUACAAAAGAAAAUAUUCUCCCCAAGAUAUUCACUUUUGGUUUUAGGAUACCUAUAUAUUUUGUAAUGAAUACUUUGUUUAAAAUUUGUACGAAACACCAAAAUGGCAUAUAAGAUUUCGAUGAGAGUUGUUCAAUAAGGAAAAAGAAGCAUUUCACUCUAAUUAAUAUUAAUGUGGUGUAAAUAAUUAGAAGUACGUAGGAUAAAUUGGUAUAGAUAUUUAUGCUAAAAGAGAGUUCUUGAUUUAAAAAACCAUUGUAGCCUUUAUGUUUGAAAGGUGUAUGUCCAAUGUUUCAUUUGGAUGGCUUUCUUUUGUUUUGUGUUUUUUUUUUUAAAGUAUAGAGCUUUUAUUAAUGAAUAAAAGCUCAAAGAAAGCUAAGAAGAUCUUUAGCUUAGGCUUAUUAUGUACAAGUACGGAAAAAAAAACUCAUUAUUUCUUAAAAGUACUAGAAUUUGGGAUGUUUAGCCCCACUGAUGAUUGAAUUGUACUAAAAGAAUUACGACUCUAUCUUGUUUGAAUCUUUUACCUAAAUUUAAGUCAUGCAUUCCUCUUUUACUACAUCCAAAUCCAUGUUGAUACAUUAUAUGGUAGUCUGUGGUUUAUGGAUAAGAACGAUAAUUUAAAACUCUAUGUUCCAUGUUGCAUUAGGUUGCAUGAUUCAAUCUAGCACCAAGCCUAUUAUCUGUUGCUGCACCAUUUGGAAGUGCCUAUCUUUGCACGUUGUAUAUGGGUAAUCCUCAUUCCAUGUGGCAAAUAAUUUAAAGACUGGAAAUUCUGUGCUACAUUAUUUCCACCUAAUCUUCAUAAUUGCACCAAAUUACCACAUUUAAUCUAGCACCAAUCUUAUUAAUGAUUGCUGCCCUGUUUGAAAGUUCCUGUAUUUUCAUAUUGCAUUUAACUAAUCCUUAUUUCACCUUCCAAAUUAUUUUAAAGUCUCCAAAAUUCAUGCUACAACUUUUCAUCCAAUUUAAAACUCACCCAAUAUCUAGCCUUUACCACUUACAUCCUUUACAUAUGAGCCUCUUCAAUUUAUUUGGUAAUUUUUAGCACUUCAAGAAUUACCUACACCCUUCAUUAUUGCACACCAAUUAAGGCCUUACUGUUCACUAGAAUUCUUCACUCUUGUCACCAUUUUUGAAAUUAUUCACUAGUCGUCUGAGUAAUGUAGAGGUAUAUUACUCUAGCUCUGAAAUUGUCACUUGUGGGUUAAAGGUUUGUAAUAAGUCCAUUUCUUUAUAAAACUAGCCUCUCCAAGUUAGUCCUGUGAAAUUCUACCUUAAGUAAGAGGAUAAAUUGAGAAAUCCUUAGGUGAGCAUGUAGGUUUAUUGUUUUGGAACAUUUAAAAUUUUAGUUUUUAACUUUAGAAAAGUUCAUUUUUGAUAUAUAAAGAUGAUUUACAAAGUGAAUUGGAGUCCAAAUGAACUAGUUUUCAAACUUGUUUUUGGCUACAAAAGCAAAACUAUCGAUACAUGGCCUAAACGUAUUGAUAGAUUUGUCCAAAAAGCUUUUUAAAAGGAUUUCAAUGAACAUUUAUCGAUACAUGUCCAAUUGUAUCAAUAGAAAUUUUUAAGGAUCAAAUGUAUUGAUACAUGACCCAAAUGUAUUGAUACAUCUAGUCGUUUUUCAAAAUAAUAAGAGGUAAGAUCAUAUUUUCACGCCCUCAACUAUAAAUAGGUAAUUUUUUAGGUUUUUUCAUUCUCAACUGUUUGCAUUAGCUUUUCUUUCAACUCUAAGCUCCCUUAACCCUUUUUCAUCUCAAAUCAUCAAUUUGCAAAUAUUGAAGCUUGGUUUGAAGGUUUAUAAACGAAGGUGAUAUUUUCUAACCUUAAACUUUUAGAUUAUAAUUUUUCCAGAACUGAAAAAAAUAUUGUUUAGGUGCCUAGAUUUAUUGUUGAAUAUUAAAGCGCAACAGUUUUUAUUUUCCUUAGCAUCUAAGCUCACCUAAGAUAAGGAUGGAGGAUUUAUAGGUUUCUAAGCAUUUAUUAUGUUGAGUAGCACUGGGUUUAAGCGAGAAAAUUAGAUUUAGAUGAAUCCAAUUAGUUUCGAAAAUGCUUAAAAUGACUAUUAGAAUACUAUUAGUCUAAAAAUUUGAUUGUGAUAAUUAUUGAAUGUUAAGAACGGUUGAAAACUCCAAGAAAUUCACCAGAGAGGAGUCUUUGUCACGACCCUAAUUCUGGGCGAUGACCGAGACAUGGGCCCAAUGGACAUAGUCCACUAAGCCUCAGCAAGCCUAUUAAUCUAACAUGUUCAUCAUUCCAUCAUAAACUGCUAAGUCAUAUUUCAUAACUUAGAAUCAAAAUAAUACUACACAUUGCCAUCUCAUACUAGCAUACCAAACAAGUGUAUAUACAUUGUCUACAACAUGUGUCUUAACAAUUUACAUUAGAUUCGUCUAUACACAACAAAAUAAUACUCGACUUCCAAAGGAGGGACUCGGACAAAUGUACAGCUACUAAAUGUCGAGACACCUACCAAAAGAUGGAUACAAGUCUAUAAGGACACCUCGUCCUAGUUACCGGCUGCCUUGUGAUAUGAAAACAUGAAAUUGAAAACGGUGAGUAUAAACCCAGUGAGUGAACAAGGAAGGGAACAAGCAACAACAAGGGAGAAUUUAAAAUCUUGAUGCACUUGUUUCAAAAUAAUGCAAUUUAUUUCCAUUCAUAUUAAAAACCCCUCAUCAAGCCCUUAAAUGAUUAAUCAUUUGAGAAUCAUGAACCCAUACAUAACGAACCAUUUGAAGCGUGAAAGCUUCAAUGAUAUGCAAGCAAGUCAAAUACGACAACGAAUCUUCGCUGUAGUGGAAAGGCAUUUUUGCUGCAGCUACAUGAAUUUUCACUGCAGCGACGUUGGGAUUUAGUUAUUAACCGAACGAGGGUUUCUCAACCAGUCGAGGGUUUCUCACUAAACAUCCUCAUUUUAAACUUAACUCAUUUAGUCCUUAAUGUUGGAAGUCCAUGCUCAUAUAUGAUAGCAAAGAAAUGAAAAAUAGGGCAGCAAUUGGACAAGAUAGGAGACAAAACAGAAAGUUUUUCGCUGUAGCGAGAACCAGUUCUGGUGAAGGCUUUUAAACUCGAGAGUUUCUCACUGUAGCGAGAAUCAUUCUCCCUACAGCGAGAUACAGGGCACCAAUGUAAAAUUUCCCUUUCUCCCAAAGAAAACCACCCUGCUGAAAUAUUCAAAACCAAUAAGAAAUACAUAACAACUUCCCAAAGUUUAACAUACCGAAUUUCACAUACAUUACAUCCAUAUACAUAAUUCAUAAAUUUCUUAUAACACACAUGUUUACAUAUGUAUACAUAAAUACGUGUACCCAUCAUCAUCAUGCACACCAUCCCAUCAUCAUCAUCAUCAGCUCAUACGCACUCCCUACUUGCACAUGGCUGGGUCAUCACCGGGUUAUGCGCACUCCCUACUCACACAUAGCUGGGUCAUCCUUGACUUAUGCACACUCCCUACUCGCACAUAGCCGAGUCAAUGUCAUUACACAGCAAUAUAUUCAUAUAUAUAUAUAUAUAUAUAUAUAUAUAUAUAUAUAUAUAUAUAUANNNNNNNNNNNNNNNNNNNNNNNNNNNNNNNNNNNNNNNNNNNNNNNNNNNNNNNNNNNNNNNNNNNNNNNNNNNNNNNNNNNNNNNNNNNNNNNNNNNNNNNNNNNNNNNNNNNNNNNNNNNNNNNNNNNNNNNNNNNNNNNNNNNNNNNNNNNNNNNNNNNNNNNNNNNNNNNNNNNNNNNNNNNNNNNNNNNNNNNNNNNNNNNNNNNNNNNNNNNNNNNNNGAUUUAUUGUUGAACCUUUAGUUGACUCUAAUUCCCCUAAUGAUCCAAUUGGAAGGAUGGGACUUCAUUAGAACCUAGGAUCAUAUUAGCAUAAGCAAUAGGUCAAUUCACACACUAUGAACCCUAAAAGCUAUCUCUUAGCUAGCUUUCAAUUGCCACAUUAAAUGACUAUCUAUGUUCACUAUCUUAAUCACUAAAAAGUAAUGAACAUACUCAAUAAUAAAACAACUCAUAAUCUAAAUUACUAUCCAUUAUUCACAGCUAAAAAUCAAGCUUAGUUCAUCACUCACCCUAGGGCUCUUUUGUAGUUGAAUUCUCUUCCAAUAGCUUCCAAAUCAAUAGGGUAAUUCUCUCUUUCUCUCUCUAAAAUGCCCAACUAGUGAGAGAAAGUAUGAAAAUAAGAUUUAUCAAGGGUUUUGAAGUGAGAGAGUGAAAGAAUACAAGAGUUCUAAUCAAAAGGGCUCAAAAGUAUGAAAACUAGAGCUAGAGAGAGAAAAUCAUGCAAGCUCCAUAUCAAGCUUCCAUGGAGGUUGGAAGCAACGUGAAAGAGAAGAAGAAGAAGAAGAAGAAGAUAAGCUGCUGGAAAAUGGGAGAAGAAGCUGUUGGAAGAAAGUAUUUAUAGGCCAAACUUAUCCAUUCCCUUAAAAUUACGAAAAUGCCCUUCCACCAAUUAACUUACUCUCCUCCAACCCUUUAUGAAAUCUUUUUGCUCUUUUGACACCGGGACAAGGUUCAUAAUGGUCUAGACAUACUCAGGUUCAUGAAAACUUAAAAUUUUAACCCAAGGUGAAAAAUGACCAUUUUGCCCCUACCGUGAAAAUCAUCAAAAUUUUGGUUUCCUUUUCAUUUUACCCCUAAUUUCACCAUUCAUUUAUGCCUUAGGCCUACUUAGGCCAUAAUAUUGUUUAAAAUCUUACUUUUAUGGGCUUACUAAAGAAAUGACGAAAUUACCCUUGAUUAAGGAUAUCACGUAUACUUUCCUUUACGAGUCUAUAAAGGUCAAGGUCUCAUAGUCUUGAUCACUGUUAAGGAUCGAGUCUUCAAUUAGGUGAGUGGAUACACCUUUUCAAGUAUUUUGAUAUGUAAAGUGAGCAUGAAUUUGAUUGACAUGAUUUAUUAUGCAUAAGAAAUUAUUGUUUCAAGAAUGGCAUUUUUCAAAGAUUUGAUUAUCAAUGUUUUCAACUAGAUUUCAAAAAGUAUGAUUGAAGGACUUUAUUUGAUAACAAUUUAUUAUGUGAGAUGACUUAAAUGAUUUUCAACUAGUUUGCAAAUCUGCUAUGUAUGUAAAUAUUGUAUUAUGUAUUAGUUUUUAAUAAGGGGAGACAAGCCCUUUUACAUGUUUUCUAUCAAAAUGAGAUGAAUGGAAUGAUGUAUAUGCUUGACAUGAUGUUGCAAGAAAUGUUUGGUGGAUGUAUGAGUUCCCACCUAUGAGUUAAUGAAUGAUUUGGACAUGUAUGUAUAUGAUGUUAAAAUGAUUUAAAGUGUAGCUGCAACGAGAAUGCCUUUCCGCUGCAGCUAGGACCCGUCGUUUACUUGAGUUGAUUCGCAUGAAUGCUAUUAAAGUUUUCACUUUCCAAAUCCUUUGUUGAGCAUGGACUCUUUUCAAUAAGUGAUUUUUCUCAUAUGGGAUUUACAUGAGGGGUUUAAUAAGAACUGAAAUAAAUCGCAUUGUUUUGAAAAAUGAAUGCAUCAUGAUUUCGUUAAACAUUCCUUAUGGUAUGCUUGUUCCCUUCUUGUUCACUCACUAGGUUUAUACUCACCGUUUUCAACUUCAUGUUUUCAGAUCAAGAGGCAGCCUGUAACUAGGAUGAGGUGUCCUCGUAAACUUGUAUCCAUCUUUUGGUAGGCGUCUCGGCAUUCAGUAGCUGUACAUUCGUUGAGUUUCUCCGCUGGACAUUGAGUCUUAUUUUGAUAUGUAUAGACAAACUUAAUGUUUUUUUUUAGAAUACAUGUUGUAGACACUAUAUGUAUAUUUUAAAUGAGUAAUGCCAGUACGAGUUGGCAAUGUUUAAUAUUAUUUUGAUUCUAAGUUAUGAAAUGUGACUUAGUAGUUUAUGAUGGAAUGAUGAACAUGUCAGAUUAAUAAGCUUGCUUGGGCUUCGUGGACUACGUCCAUUGGGCCCAUGCACUGGUCAUGGCCCGAAAUUUGGGUCGUGACAAUACUAGAUUAUGAUGGUUAUAGGCUUAGUUAGACUGAACUUUAGUUUAAGGAAUAGUCCCAUGGAAUAGAAGGACUUAGAGAAUGGUAAUAUGUAGGAAAUUACUCAAAAAAGAAGAUUUUAUGUUUGAUAUAUCAAUACAUUUUGGACAAAAUGUGAGAGGAAGCAUUCUUUGUAAAAUGUAUCGAUAGGUUCCUUACAAAAUUGGGUUUCCAAGCAUUUUCUAAAGGUUUUUCAAAAACAAUGGUUUCAAAUGGUUUGAUUUAAACUCGUGUUCAAGUAAAUGCUAUUGAAAAUGUAUUUAAAUGCCAUGUUUAAUGAGUGUUAUAAAAAUAAAGGAAAUUCUAUGAAUGACUUAAGGCUAUAAAUGCAUGUUUACAAAAAACUCUCCUUUUUGGCUUGUCCCUUUCCCUAUAUCCAUUGACGGACUCCUUUUAACUCACACGUUAUUUUCCCUAGUUUUGUUUAAUAGAUUAUUGAUUAGUUUACACCUUUGUUGCGAAGAUGAGUUCUUGGUCUUUUUUCUUCGGUAGGUGUCUAGUAGCCACUUGGCGCUGAAAUGAGCCUUACAGUCAAUUGAGAUUGGUCAAGGCUUAGUUCCAAUCAUGCAACAAUAUCAUUUAAAUUGAAUGAUUAAAGGUUAUUCUUUAUUAAUAAGACAUUACUUAUAAUGAGUUAUAAGUCUAAUUAGAUGAAGUCCAUGAGAUUAAUAUGCCUUGCAAGGGAACUGUAAUGGGUUGCAAUUAUGAUAUUCCUAUGCAUCAAGGCAUAAUCUCAAAAUGUUCUUGGUCAAUGUUUCAUUGAGACUAGACAUCAAUGAUACUUGGAGACUGGUGCAUUAUAUGUUCCUUAUUUUGGAAGUAAGCAAUCGAUCUUAUAAAUUGAAGUAUAGAGAUACUUGGAACAAGAAUGUAGGUGCGUGCCUAGGAGAGUAAGUUCAUUAAACAUGACUCAUCAUAAGAAGUGCACUUUUUAAUACAAUCCAGAGUCUAUGCAACACUUCUCAUGUGUCAGUCGUGUAAAUACUCACUAGUUUUGAGAUAUUAGGUUAUCUUAUAUGUGGAAUGCUAUACUUGAAUUUCAUCCCUACGGAUGCCUAACCAAGGAUGCCUAAACAAGAUGCUUUUAGGUAUAGUAUGAAGCAUGUGAAGGCAAAUGAGUGGUAAAGAUAGGAAUUAUCACCUCAAGUGUUUUUAGAAGACAUAUCCUAUCAGUUCUUGGUUAACAUUAGCUUAUUGAAGUUCUUGGCCAAGACGACUUUGAGAUUAUGAAAAACGUUUCCUAAGUCUUUAUAAAGCUAAUGUUAUAACUGCAAGAAUGAAUAUGGAGGUCAAUAAGAGUAGACACUGUACCAAGCUCUUAUCAUCUCUGAGAUAUAUAAUGAGGGAAUGAAUUACACUGAUAGACUAUACAUUAAAACAUUGUUAAAGAACCCUUUAACUUUCCUAACAAUUAGGUGGCCAUGAUGUAUUAUAAGAUGCCAAUCUUGGUUUACAAAAUUGAUUAUAAAUUAAUUGUUUAAAUUUUAUAUUAAUUAAUUAAGUCAUUAAUCAAUUCCAUUGCCAACAUGUUAGGAACCUAAUGGGUCAUACACAAUAAUUGCAUUUGAAUUAAAUUGGGAGAGUGAUGAUUUAACUUAGACUUAAAUCACAAGCUAGGUAAUUAACUUUUAUAAACUUAAUUAAAAAGAGUUUAAUUAAGUUUUAGGCAUAAUAUAUAAAUAGUUAUAAUUAUAAUACCGAAAUUACAAUAAUAUAAAGGAAAUUAUUUCAAUUUAAUUUCCAUUGGGCUUAAUUAAAAUAGUUUAAUUAAGUCAUGGACCUAUAUUGUAAUGUGUUAUAAUUUAGAGGGCCUUAUUGAAAAAUUAAAGUUAAUUUUAACCUAGCUAUAUAACUCACAUUUAACUAUUUUUCCAGACAUAUGAAGAAAAAGAGUUGUUAGAAAAUAAAAAAAAGGGUUUUCUUCUUGUGUGCCAUCAUGUUAUGAAGAAGAAAAAUUAUUUUUGAAGCAAUUUUUCAAGUGUGUGAUUCGGCCAUCCUUGUGUGAAAUGGAAAGGGACAUACAUUGUCCCCUUUUGCUAGCACAAAAAUAUAGUUAAAAUCUCCUUCCUUUACUGAAAAGUUCAAGUGAAAUAGUGUGUAUUACCAGUGCAAGCCAAGAACUUGAUUGGCUAGGGUUUCUUACUUUUUAUGGUGUUCGUGGGUUGCAUUGAGGGGAUUGCUAUUCUGAUAAGAAGAAUGUUGGUAGGGUUAUCUUCUGAUUUUAUGAUUCUAUAUGCCAUUCUAUGUUUUAAAAUAUCACCAUGGUGAUCCGUGGGUGGAGGUAUGUUUUGUUUUUAAACAUUUUAAUGUUCUUUCCAAUGCGUUAUUUCGAGCAUGCCGUCCAUAGCCAAACCCAACAAUGGUAUCAAAGCCAUCAAUGGCUUGAUUUUAACACAUUAAGAUGUCUAACAAUUGUUGAUGCCUUGUGUGAAAGGGUUAUGAGGUGUAUGGGUUUUGUUGGAAAACAAGAAGUAAGUUUUAAACAAGAAGUAAGUUUUAAAACGGUUGGGAGACCACUGAUGGUUGAUGAAGCCACAGCUAAAGGUUCUCGUCCAAGUGUGGCAAGAGUAUGUGUCGAGUUUGACUGUCGUAAGCAACCAGUUGAUCAGGUAUGGAUUGUGGUGCAGAAUCGGGAUACUGGUGAGGUUAGUAGUGGGUUUUCACAGAGGGUAGAAUUUUCAUCACUGCCGGACUAUUGUCAUCACUGCUGUCACGUAGGACACCGUGAAGUUAACUGUAUAGUAUUGGGAAAUAGACCCAAACCACUUGGGACUGGUAAGGUACAAGUAAGGAAAAAUGCUGGAACUGUCAUUCCGUUGACUACGGAGAAGGAUACGAACAUUGUGGCAGGAGCUGGGCAUGAAUCGGGGAAACAACAACAGAAGUGGAAAGCUGUGAACAGAGCAGGUCCCAGUGGGGUGAAGGACGCGCAGGGCAAGGAAAAGGAUACACAACAUACUUUAAAGGAUAUCAGGGUUCCAGUAAUGAAUCGAUUUCAGGUAAUAACAUAAGAGGAAGAAGGCGAACAGCAACCGAAAGCAGAAGUAGGGAUAACGGACGCGCAUCGGGAGGUGAUAGAGGACCAACAAAUGAACGACGCUCCGGCAACAGACGGAGAGAAGACGGUGAUAGCAGUGCAGCCUCAGUCAUCAAAAACUGACACACGUGAUAGUCAUGUGCAUGGUAUACGGAAACAUGCAAACAUAAGGGAUACCAAGGUCUCAAAGCCUAUCGAGGGAAAGAAAACGUUAGCACCAGAUGGGCUUUCUACACGUCUUUCCUUUUACGUGCAUGGUGAUCAAGCUUGCAUGGAAAAAAGCACGAUUGAAAAAGAAAAAAUAUCAUCAAUAGCAGCAAAGGGUCAAGGAACGUCAAUGCAAGGUUUGGUUGAUGUGGCAGCAAGACAAAAUGCUAGGAAUUUUUUUACUGCCCCAAUAGGGCAAAUAACAGCUUUUCAGCAAGAGAUGGGACAACUGUUAGAAGGGAUAGUGGGGCCACUCGAGGAGCCUUCAGCCAACCAACAACAAUGUGAUAGGAAUGAAAAGGAAGAGGACGGGGGUACAGCACAGCAAAAACCCAACAAUUCAGGCAAUAAGGCUCCAAGCGGGAAUUCAAAAUUUUGCCUCUUGAGAAACCCAAUGCGAGAAGCAGAUGCAAUGCACGACAACGGCCAAAAAAUGGCAGAAAACGAAGCAGGAGGUUAAUGUGGGGCAGCUGCUAUUUUGCACCAAGAAGCAGCUACAACACAGCAGACAAACAAUCGAGGGAAGAGUGAAGUGGAGAACCUGCAGCAGCAGUCGGUAGCUGAGAAAGAUACUGACAAGCAAACAGGGAAGAAAGUAGCUGUUGCAACGAGCGGACAAAAACCAACCUUGACACAGGAGGACCGACUGACGGAUGGAACGGAGAAAACUAUAAGGAAAGAAGGAAACAAUGAGCAGAACCCGGUUAAAAAAAUUUUUAACACGCAAGGAAAAAAUAGGGGAUUUAACCCCGUUCGUGAUGAACAAAUUUCGGGCGUGUUGACCGACUCGGCGGAGCGGGGCGCGAAUGCCCAGGAAGCAGACUGCAGUCCACAGGGGGAGCAUGGGAUGGUGUCAGCAGGGCCCCCACACAGUGAGCCUAUGGACGUGACAACUUGUGGAGGUUCUGAAGGUUUUUUGGUGUCUCCAGUUGAAAGCUCUGCGGCAUAUGUUGACCGGCGGGCCCCAAAACGUGCAGACAUUGGAGAAAAAGAAGAGAUUUCAAUGCAUGCUGCAAGUGAUGGGAAGUUGACGUACAAUCUGAGGCAACCAGGUACAAGUGGGAAAAUAACAAAGGAUUUCUUUAAGAAACAAGCAACAAGUACAACAUCCUUUGACCAAGCGGAAGUCCAACAAAACGGGAACACAAUGCUACAACUUAAAAAAUCAACAGUUUCAAAGGAGGCAGUUGAGGCAGUCAACAAAGCACGUGACAUGUAUGAUAGACCAGCAGUAGACCCCACGGUAGGAGACGAUGCACCACAUCCAUUCCUUCCUAUGCAGGGAGAUCAAACGGGAGAGAGGGAUCAAGGAGUAGGGAACACAGUGCCUUUAUGGUAGAAGGAUGGACACCAGCUUCCAGAAAGUGGACCAGAGAAUCCAAAUACGGUAGUUGACACAAUAGAAUGAAGUGGCGAGCACAAUCCAACAGAAGGUAAAGGUGCAAGUUAGACGUGGAGCCAAGAUGGCCACAAUCAGACCGCUUCUAAGUUAACCAGAUCAAGUGCAAGGAAGGGAGAGACUGAGUUUAACCCCUCUACUUCAGAAUCAGUUUCAGGUAAGUGUUUAUACAACAAAGAAAUAAGUGCCAUUCCUUCACUUUCAGGAAAUCAUUCUGUUGAGAUGGAAGUCCACCCAUUAAUGCGACGUAGAAGGAAUUCAGACACUGCAAUUUCAAUUGGAAAAAUAACCAAUUUGGCAUCGAAGGAAGCCAUGGAAAUGGGAGAAAAUGAUGGAAUCUCUGAUGAUGAUUCCAUCUCGGUAAGUUAUGCAGCUAGAACCCGAUCAUGAUUAGUGCACUGGUGUGGAAUGUAAGGGGUAUUUCUAGUGCGGUAAUCCACAGAAGGAUCAAGAAAUUUCAGUUAUUGCACAAAAUUAAAAUUUUAGUAAUACUGGAGCCAAUGGUGGACGCUUCAAAAGCAGAAUUUAUUCGCAGAAAAUUGGGUUUUGAAAAAGUCUUCAAGAACUGCUCCCAGAAAAUAUGGUUGUUUCACUCUUUCGAUAUGAAUUGUGAAGUGCUGUUGGACCACGUUCAAUGUCUGCAUGUUAAGAUCAGCAUGCCAUGGCUUGAAGUCCCUCUGUUGGCAUCCUUCAUCUAUGCAAAAUGUACCAGGUCAGAGAUAUUAGUUCUUUGGGAUUGCCUGAGGAGCUUGGCAAUUAAUAUUCAUUCACCGUGGAUCGUUGGGGGUGAUUUCAAUGCCAUUUUACAUAGUGGAGAACGGUUGAACGGAGCUGUGCCACAUAUAGGUUCUAUGGAAGAUUUUGCUACCGCUCUGCUUGAUUGUGGAUUAAUGGAUGGUGGAUAUGAAGGAAACUUAUUCACUUGGACUAAUAACCGCAUGUUUCAACAACUGGACAGAAUGACCUAUAAUCAUCAUUGGGCAGAAUUUUUUUCUUCUACACGUAUACAGCACCUGAAUAGGGAUGGGUCAGAUCAUUGUCCAUUGCUGAUUUCCUGCUCUAAGAACCAAGAGAGAAUGCCUUCAUCUUUUAGAUUCCUGCAUGCUUGGGUCCUCCACCAUGAUUUUAAAAAGUUCGUGGAACAAAUUUGGACUUCCCCCAUUGUUGGCUCUGGACUACAAGCUUUCUGGGCGAAGCAACGACGUCUAAAACAAGCUCUGAAACGGUGGAAUAAGGAGGUUUUCGGAGACAUAUUCCAUAAUUUGAAAGUGGCAGAACAAAGAGCUGCAGAUUGCGAAAUAAUUUUUCAACAAGAGCAAUCACUGGAGAACCGAGCCACCAUGAAUAAAGCCUAUGCCCAGCUUAAUCGUCAGCUCAGUGUUGAAGAAUUAUUUUGGCAGCAAAAAUCCGAAAUUAAAUGGUUAGUGGAAGGUGAGCGCAACACAAAAUUUUUUCACAUGCGGGUUAAGAAGAAGAGAAUCAAAAGCCAUAUCUUCAAAAUACAAAACCCGGAUGGGAGUUGGAUAGAAGAAUCGGAAGCUGUUAAAUCUUCUGCAGUGGAAUUUUUUUCCUCCCUCAUGAAAAAGGAAACAUGUGAUAUGUCCAGGUUCGAUACUUCGUUGAUUCCUGCUAUUAUUUCUGAGAAUGACAAUCUUAGUUUAUGUGCAGUGCCUUCGAUGGAGGAGCUAAAAAAGGCAGUUUUCAAUAUUGAUAAGGACAGUGUUGCUGGCCCUGAUGGGUUCACCUCUUUUUUCUAUCAACAAUGUUGGGAUAUCAUUGCCAAUGACCUCUUGGAUGCAGUAGUUGAUUUCUUUCAUGGAGCUGACCUCCCAAGGGGAGUAACGUCUACAUCUCUUGUGUUACUGCCUAAAAAUAACAAUGCCUCGAAAUGGAGUGACUUCAGACCGAUAAGUCUUUGUAAUGUUUUAAAUAAAAUCAUUACUAAGAUUCUUGCUAACCGUCUUGCAAAGGUGCUCCCUUCCAUGAUUACAGAUAAUCAGAGUGGCUUCGUAGAGGGGAGACUGAUCAACGACAAUAUCCUCCUUGCCCAAGAACUAAUUGGGAAGAUUGACAGAAAGUCAAGGGGUGGCAAUGUAGCUCUCAAGUUGGAUAUGAUGAAGGCGUAUGACCGGCUAGAAUGGGAUUUCCUUUAUAGAAUGCUUCAACAAUUUGGAUUUAAUUCUCAGUGGAUUGACAUGAUUCGCCGGUGCAUAGCUAAUUGUUGGUUUUCUUUAUUGAUAAAUGGAGGCACCGUGGGUUUUUUCAAGUCUGAAAGAGGGCUACGACAAGGCGAUUCCAUCUCUCCGUUAUUAUUUGUACUAGCUGCGGAAUAUUUGUCUCGGGGGUUGAAUGCUUUGUUUGCCAUGUAUCCUUCUCUGCAUUAUCUUUCUGACUGCUCUAUGCCAGUCAGCCACUUGGCUUUCGCAGAUGAUAUCAUUAUUUUCACUAAUGGUGCGAAAUCCUCUUUGCAGAAAAUUCUAUUAUUUUUGCAGGAGUAUGAGGUGAUUUCAGGACAGCGAAUUAACCAAGCAAAGAGUUGCUUCAUCACUCACCAAAAUAUGGCAAACAGUCGCACUCAGAUCAUUUCUCAAGUCACUAACUUCACUCAUAAAUGCCUGCCUAUCACUUAUUUGGGAGUGCCUCUUUUUAAAGGGCCAAAAAAGGUAAUGCUUUUUGAUGACUUGGUUGCAAAGAUCCAGGACCGUAUAGCAGGAUGGGACAACAAAGUAUUAUCUCCAAAAGGGCGAAUAACACUAUUAAGAAGUGUAUUAUCUUCUCUGCCUAUUUAUUUGCUCCAGGUCCUCAAACCUCCUCUAAGUGUGAUUGAAAGAAUUGACAGAUUGUUCAACAACUUUUUGUGGGGAAGUUCGGCAGGUUCUAGAAAAAUUCAUUGGGCUUCGUGGCAUUAGAUCACUUUUCCAUCUAAUGAGGGUGGACUCGGCAUCAGAGGCCUAGGUGAUGUGUUGCAAGCCUUUAGCAUGAAACUUUGGUUGAGGCUUCUAACUUGUAAUAGCAUUUGGACGCAAUUCAUGCGGAGCAAAUAUUGUGUUGGUCAAAUUCCAAGAAAUGUACAACCGAAGCUUCAUGACUCACAGACAUGGAAACGGAUGUUAGCAAGCUGCCAGGUUACAAAACAAUACACUAGAUGGCGGAUUGGUAAGGGUGAGCUAUUUUUCUGGCAUGACUGUUGGAUGGGUGACGCACCACUGGUUAGUCAAUUUACAUCCUUUGCAUCAUCUACGACAAGAGUACACUAUUUCUACGUUGAUGACAAAUGGGAUGUGGGCAAAUUGAACGAGGUGUUGCCGGUGGAUGUUGUGGCAGAGAUCUUAAAAAUUCCGAUCGAUCUUCCCAGUGAAGAUAAAGCAUAUUGGGUUCCUACCUCGGAUGGUCAAUUCACUACCAAGUCUGGUUAGGAGAUAGUUCGACAGCGACAGUCGGUAAAUCCCGUUUUCAAUUUAAUUUGGCAUAAAUGCAUUCCUCUUUCAACUUCUUUCUUUCUUUGGAGGUUAUUACAGGAUUGGAUCCCAGUUGAUUUACGGUUGAAAAACAAGGGUUUCCAGUUAGCUUCUAAAUGCCAACACUGUAACUCCGAGGAGUCUCUCUUGCAUGUCAUGUGGGAAUGCCCUAUAGCUACACAGGUUUGGAAUUAUUUUGCAAAAUUUUUCCAAAUCAACAUCGUUCGUCCUCAGACUGUUUUUCAGAUCAUAAGGGCAUGGUGGUACUCUGGUGAUUAUACCAAAAGAGGACACAUACGCACGUUAAUGCCUCUAUUCAUUCUUUGGUUCCUAUGGGUUGAAAGAAAUGAUGCGAAGCAUAGAAACCUUGGUAUGUAUCCUAAUAGAGUGGUAUGGAAAGUACUCAAACUCAUCCACCUACUAUUUCAUGGGAGGCAAUUCCACCGAGGGCAAUGGAGGGGAGAUGUACAAAUUGCUCAGGCAUGGGGUAUAAUAUUUCAGCAGACCGUUUCACAUCCUCCAAAAAUAUUCUCUUGGCAUAAACCAUCAGUAGGUGAGUUUAAGUUGAAUGUUGAUGGUAGUUCCAAGCAUAAUCAUUAGAAUGCCGCGGGAGGAGGACUUCUUCGAGACCAUACAGGCACCAUGAUUUUUGGAUUUUCUGAAAAUUUUGGACCUUAUGAUUCAUUACAGGCAGAGUUAAUGGCACUUCAGAGGGGUUUACUUUUGUGCAUUGAGCAUAAUGUUUCCAGUCUUUGGAUAGAAAUGGAUGCAAAAGUAGUGGUACACAUGAUAAAUGAGAGCUGUCAGGGAUCCUCUAGAACUCGAUAUUUACUUGCUUCAAUCCGCAAAGCUCUUCGAGGUAUUUCGUUUCGGAUUUCACACAUUCUUAGAGAGGGGAACCAGGCAGCAGAUCAUCUGGCAAAUCAAGGGCACAAACACCAGCUCCUACAGGUAUUUUCACAAGCAGAAGGUCAGCUUAAAGGUAUCCUUAGGUUAGAUAAGGUUAGUUUACCAUAUGUUCGAUUCAAAAGAUUGUAAAGGAGUAGUACUCCUAAUUUAUUUUCCUUACUUGAUCAUUAACAUAGACUUUUGUAAUAUGGAUGUGUUUCAAUUUUAUGACGAUAGUAAAAAAUAUAGUCAUAAAAUGAAACACUCCAUCCUAGGUGCUUAUCUCAUUUACAUUAUCUGCUUUGAAUUUUCUCUUCGUCUGUAGUCUCAUUGUAAUAGUAGGGAUAUCUAUUUUAUUGUAGCAUCAAAAGUUAUGCACAUAAAAUGGAUUUCCUUAUUAUAAGAGUUCUUCAAAUACUUUCUUAUGAUCUUGUAACUUGGAGGUACGGUUUAUGUCCCCCUCCUCUGUAGUUCUUAUUUAGUAUUUAAUAAAAUUUAACAGGGUAGCUGGGCCCUGCGUGAAUUUCCAGCUUUAAAAAAAAAAAAGUUUUAAACUUUACAAUGUGUUCUAGUUAUUUUGAUUUCUGGGCAUAUUUUAUUCUAAAAUUUUAAAUCUUACUUCUCGCCGUACUUAUCUCAUUUUAAUGUCAAAUUUUUAAAGAUUAGUUAGUGCAUAAGAUGCACAAAUUAAUUUUGCAAUUAAAUUUUAAAUUCGAUGACAUUGUGGUAUGUUAUUUAUGGGAGAAUUUGAUUUUACCCAGCUUUUGUAAAGGUCUGGUUUUCAGCUUUUAAAUAAGGUUUAAGUGCCUUAUAAAAUGUUGAAAAAUUAAAGGAUCAAUACACAUUGGAAAGUUUCCAAAAUGGGUGAUUAUGUGUGGCUGACGGUGGAGGUAAAACUACCAAAAUGUGGCUAAAACAGCUGCUGUUUGCAGUAGUGAUAGUCACAAUUUUAUUCAGCUUGGCAACCAGGAAAAGCUUAAAUUUGUGCAAUUAGUGCACCAAUUGGCUGAGUAUUUUUUAAUCGAAAGGUUUCAUAAAUUAUCCAAAUUGUUGCCAAUAAUUUUAAGGAUUUAAAUCCCUAGAAUUAAGCUUUAAUAAAACCGAGUUGGUGGAGUCAAAACCGUUGCUUCCUCUACAGCAGCAAUCCAUGGUUUUUGAUUUUUUUUUAUGCUAAAAAAUGUUUUCUAAAAUUAUGGAAAAUUACUAUGUCAUUUUUCCAUAAGUUGUAUAUCAAGAAAAUUUUAAAUGGGAAUUAAAUUCUAGAUUUUAUGCCACCAAAUAACUUCAAAAGAAAGACAAAAUCAAAACUACCUCUACAGAUAAAGGUCAUGAUUUUGAAUUUUUUUGACAACCAAAAACGCCUUCUAAAAUUUUGAAAAUUUAUUCUAAAAUAGUUGCAUGAGUUAUCUAUCAGGAUAAAUUUUAUUAGGAAUUAAAUUCCUAAGUUUAAGUUACAAAGAAUUUCAAAAGUUCCCAAAACCGGAUUCUACCACUUGCAGAUAAUGGUCACAGCUUUUGAAUUUUUUGAAUAGCCAAAUCACCUCCUAAAAUCCUAAAAAAAAUAUUUUGGAAUAGUUCUAUGAGUUAUCUAUCAGGAAAACUUUUAUUGGAAUUAUAUUCUUAAAGGUAUACCACCAUAAUGCCACGUAAUUAGGACAUGUCUGCUGUUGUCUGUAGCAGGACACUGUCUUGGUUAAGCAUAGGAUUUGUCCAAUUUUUACACCAAUAAAUGAUUAAUUAAAUUAGUUAAUUGGCUGAGGAUAAGUUAUGGAAUUAGUUCAUAAUUAUGCUAAUUUUUGAAACAUUUAAUUUAAGGAAUAUUAUUUCUAAAAUUAAGGAUGUCAAAGAUGAUGCAUUAACAAUCAUAAAUAAAGAAAUGUGAUUUCUAAAAUAAUGAAAGUUAAAAUGUCUUCAUUAGCUAAUUAUAUAUUUAUGGAAUAUGUUUCACAAAGAUCAAUAAUUGAUUUAAUAGAUUAUGGAAUGUGAUUCCUUAAUUUAAGGGUGUCAAAAUUUAAAUAAUUAAAGAUAACAUUAAUCUGGGAAUUAGAAUCCAACUAAUAGUGGGAGUUUAAAUAUUUAUGGACAAAUUUGAUUUUGAAUUGAGUUUUUACAAGGAGAUAAUUCUAAUUUGACAUUGAAUUUAAUGCUUAAAUUGUCUAAGAUAUUUCCUAAUAAAAUUAGGCAAUAAUAGACAUUCAAUUUCUUACUUAAAUGAGAUUUAUAAUUGGUUGCCUAAAAUGUUUAGGAACACAAAUUAAAAUUGUUUUAAUUUGUAAUUUGUAAUAAAAUUUUAAUUCUAAUCCUAAUGAAAAUUGGAGUUAAAGAAUUACUCAAUUUGAUUAGUAAAAUUCUCUAAUGUUAGAAUUAAAAAAAAUUAAAUACCUCAUCUGGUUAAUAAUUUGAAUAAGACAUGUUUUAAAUUUUUGUAUAUUCAUGUUGAUGAAUGUAUGUAGAUAUUUAUUAACUUAGGCCCAAUAUGAUUCUGCUAUAGUUGAAGUCUAUAUUAAUCUCAAGUAGUUUUCAUGUGAUAGAUUUAUUUUAUGUGAUUUAAUAAAUGCUAUGGAUGCAAAAUGAAACCUUAAUAAAUUUGUAAAACAAAAUCCCUCAUGAAAUUAUUGAGUCACAUGCUAUGCAUGACUAAGUUGCCUUACACCAUAUAACAAGAUAACUUGGUUGCUCUUUUAAUCGGAGGUUUGUUGAUCGCACUCGAUGCCAUAUUUUUAUAUAAGUAUGUUUGAGCUAUUAAUGGGUCUUACUCAAGUAGUUUCAUAAAAUCUAAAUGCUUGGAAACUGUCACGACCCGAAAUUCUCAUUGAGCCCUUGAUAACUGUCGCGACGUCUCGAUCGACAUUCAUUACCCAGAAUGUUAACCGGAACCCCGAAAGGCUUUAAUAUCAGCUUNNNNNNNNNNNNNNNNNNNNNNNNNNNNNNNNNNNNNNNNNNNNNNNNNNNNNNNNNNNNNNNNNNNNNNNNNNNNNNNNNNNNNNNNNNNNNNNNNNNNNNNNNNNNNNNNNNNNNNNNNNNNNNNNNNNNNNNNNNNNNNNNNNNNNNNNNNNNNNNNNNNNNNNNNNNNNNNNNNNNNNNNNNNNNNNNNNNNNNNNNNNNNNNNNNNNNNNNNNNNNNNNNNNNNNNNNNNNNNNNNNNNNNNNNNNNNNNNNNNNNNNNNNNNNNNNNNNNNNNNNNNNNNNNNNNNNNNNNNNNNNNNNNNNNNNNNNNNNNNNNNNNNNNNNNNNNNNNNNNNNNNNNNNNNNNNNNNNNNNNNNNNNNNNNNNNNNNNNNNNNNNNNNNNNNNNNNNNNNNNNNNNNNNNNNNNNNNNNNNNNNNNNNNNNNNNNNNNNNNNNNNNNNNNNNNNNNNNNNNNNNNNNNNNNNNNNNNNNNNNNNNNNNNNNNNNNNNNNNNNNNNNNNNNNNNNNNNNNNNNNNNNNNNNNNNNNNNNNNNNNNNNNNNNNNNNNNNNNNNNNNNNNNNNNNNNNNNNNNNNNNNNNNNNNNNNNNNNNNNNNNNNNNNNNNNNNNNNNNNNNNNNNNNNNNNNNNNNNNNNNNNNNNNNNNNNNNNNNNNNNNNNNNNNNNNNNNNNNNNNNNNNNNNNNNNNNNNNNNNNNNNNNNNNNNNNNNNNNNNNNNNNNNNNNNNNNNNNNNNNNNNNNNNNNNNNNNNNNNNNNNNNNNNNNNNNNNNNNNNNNNNNNNNNNNNNNNNNNNNNNNNNNNNNNNNNNNNNNNNNNNNNNNNNNNNNNNNNNNNNNNNNNNNNNNNNNNNNNNNNNNNNNNNNNNNNNNNNNNNNNNNNNNNNNNNNNNNNNNNNNNNNNNNNNNNNNNNNNNNNNNNNNNNNNNNNNNNNNNNNNNNNNNNNNNNNNNNNNNNNNNNNNNNNNNNNNNNNNNNNNNNNNNNNNNNNNNNNNNNNNNNNNNNNNNNNNNNNNNNNNNAAUAACAUAAGCCAUUAAUUCAAUUUUAAAUUUACAACAUAUCAGUGGUCUCCAAUUACUCUAUUUUCAAAAUCGUUAUUUCGUUUCAAGACAAUUUAUAAAAUAUUUUCAUUUAAACUCAUUUUGUUUACAAAACAUAAAAAUUUACCAUUUGAACUCAUUUUCAUAAAAUUCACCAAAACCGAAUAAAAACAUACUUUAGAUAAUUAAAAUGAUGGUAGGGUUACUCAUUGUUUUCGAAAACUAAAUUUUGGUACUCCAACUAUUACUCCUUGGGUGCGAUUUCUUUGCCCUUGCCAGAGGAUUCGCCACCUUGAAAAAUUGCACAAUUAAGAGGUUUACUACUUUGGUACUAAAUCAAAAUAAACUAAUUUAUAUAACUAAUGCAUGAUAUGAAGUGCAAAAUGUCUAAAUUUUGCCUAAACGCUGUGUUAGCCUAUUUCGAUCUUUUACCCGAUAAAUCAAUACACGCGUCCGUUUAAACUUCAAAUUAAUUUUUUUCAGUUUCUAUACCCCAAUUGCACCCAAAUUGACUUAAUGUCCCUCAGUGUGGUGCAAAUUAUCAAUCUCGACAGCAAAUUACGAAAAUACCCCUAGGGGGUAAAAAUUCAUAUUUUUGCUCUGAAAAUUCCCAUUAUUUUUUUAGGCUCAUAAUUCAUCAUUAUUCAUCAUAAUUCCUCAAUUAAACAUCAAGAUCAGCAGCCAAGAUUCCCCUAGAAAAUUCGACAUAAUGGGUUUCAAUGGGAGAAAAUUAUAUCUCUAGCUUAUUUUGCUAUAUUUCAAUAUAACCUAACUAAAAUCACUUAAUUCAAUUAAAAUCAACCAAAACUCAAGCUCAAAACUCAUCCAUGGAGGUUUGGCCAGCAUGGGUGUCCAUACCCACUUUCUAAUUUUGCAUGAAAAUGAGAAAAAAUGCAUGGGUAGUGAAAAUCACAAGGAAAGUCAAUGAAAUUUACCUUUUUAAUGCUUGAUUUCUCUUGAUUUUCCCCAAAUUUUUCAGGUAGGUUUCUUAUUUCUUUUCCCUCUUUUCUCUACUGGUUUGGACGGCUGAAGAAGAUGAGAAUUCUGAAAUUUUGACCUUUUUAAAGGCUAAAAUAAUAUAAUAUUAUUUUAUUCAAUUUUUUUGUUUUAUUAAUUCCUUAAAUUCUAGCCAUCCGUUUGUUUCCAAAUUUUCACCAUACACUUGUCCCACAUAUCCAUAGCUUAGAUAAAAUUCUCAGACUUAUCCAAAGUCUUGGUGGAGUAAAUUUUUUUAAUUUAUACUUUUACUCUCGUAAAAGUCAAAAAUUACAUUUUUACCUCAAAAACUGAAAAAUUGCCCAUAGACAUAUUUUUCAUCCCUUAUACUCAUACCAUUCUCCAAUUUGUCAAAUUUGAUCUAAAUUCUCUCAAAAUCUCAAAUUUUGUCCGUGAGUGGUAAAAUUACGAUUUUACCCCUACACUCUAGAAAUCAUUAGAAUUAAACUUUUUCACUUCUAAACCUCAAAUCAUACUCCAAUACUCAAAUCAUACUCCAAUAAGUCAAAUGAGGCCAAAAAAAACUUUUCUAAAAAUUUCCAUUAUGUCCCUAGGUGGCAAAUGACCAUUUUACCCUUGGACAGUGAAAAUUUGGUUUGACUGCAAAUUGAUCCUCAAACUCUAAAUCACCAUAUUAAACCAUUUUGGGACUUUAAUAUUCUUAAUUUCAUUUUAAAUUCUCUAUUUGAUCUAGUUCGAGGCUUAAAUUAACUUAAUUGUACCAUUUGGUACAUUGUCGUCUUUUAACGAUUUUUCUUUCGGGGCUUUCCAAGUAUGCAAGCAUAUUGUCAAUCAUAUGAAUGACAUGGCAAGUAUAUUAUAAGGUCGGGCAUGACAAAAACUUGAUUAUUAUGAAAACUACAGGCAAUGGCUAGACGAAAUAUAUAUGAUAUGUUUGGGCAAAGUGUUGUCAUUUAGUUGAUCUAAGAGUCAAUUAAGAGAUGUGAUUGAUAAACUAAGUUGUCUACCCAAUUAGGCAUAUCAUGGCUUGUUGAACAUACUUAAGAUCAUGGUAAGUUAAAUAGGGUCCUAGCACACUAGAAAAUUCCUAGAAGAGACUUUUCGAAAUGACUUUUAGGGUUGUCAUUUUGCAUAUAAAAUAGUGGGAAACCUAUUUAAAAUUUUAAAGCCUUGUUUUAAAUAGUUUAUGCAUGUCACGACCCAAUUUUCAGGCCAUGACCGGUGCAAAGGACCAAUGGGCUCAGCUCACCAAGCCCAAGCAAGCCUACUUACAUGAUCUUAUACGUUAAUGCAUAUUCCUUUAGAAUCCGAAAUUCAUAAUGCUCAAGUACAAUUCCUUUGAAAACAACUCAUAAAGCCCAAUCAUAUAUUCAUAAUGGCAUCAUCAACCAUUAUAUACAUACAUAUAAUUUGACAAGUGAAUCUCAGCAUUUCACAACAAAUAGUCACAUACACGUAAUUAAGACUUGACCAUCAGCGGAGUGACUCUAGGCAUGGUUGCUAACAUUUAAUGUUAUGGUAAACCUACCAAGCAAUGGAUUGGGAUGAGCACCUCGUCCUAGGAUCCAAUCACCUUUGACUCUGAAAAACCUAAAACAUGAAGUUUAAAAACGUGAGUACAAACUCAGUGAGUGAGCAUAUGAAGGGAACAAGCAACGUUAAUGAAGGUUUAGAAAUCAUAAUGCACAUCUUUGAAAACAAUGCAACUUAGUUCAAGUUCUUAUUAAAAUCCCUCCAUUAAGCGCUUGGUUGUAAAAACAUUUAAUGAUGAAGGAACCAUAUUCAACAUGAAAUUUGAAAGAAAGAAAUUUUUAGCAGUUAACCAAGCAAGGCAGUAUAAACAGAAUGUUUCUCGUUAUUCAUUUCAAUCACAUAUUAUAAUCAUAAACUUUCUAUCACAUAUAUCUAUAUAACCAUAUAUAAACACGUCCACCAUCCCCACUUCAUUCAUCAUCAUAACCAGGUCAUCAUCAUCAUCGGCUUAUGCGCACUCCCUACUCGCACAUAGUCGGGUCAACAUCGGCUUCUGUGCACUUCCACUCACAUAUAUCCAGGUCAGCAUUAGCUUAUGCACACUCUUACUCACACAUAGCUGGGUCAGCAUCGACUUAUGCGCACUCCUACUCGCACAUAGUCGGGUUAGCAUUGGCUUAUGUGCAUUCCCUACUUGCACAUAGUCGAGUCAAUAUCAUCACACAACAUUAUUCAUCAAUGCACAACGUAUAUUCAUAUAUAUACAUACCAACAUGAUAUAGGAGCACAUGGAUUCAUCCUUUCGCACAUUUCACAUUUUCACAACAUCAAAACAUUUUAUCAAGGGCUUGUUCCCCGGCACACAUUUUUAAAGAAAAGUUAGAUAAAAUCAUUCAAAUGUUUCAUCCAAAUACAAUUAUACUUCCCAAAGAAUUUUGAAAUGCAAGUUCACUCACUUGGAAACAACGAGAUAUUAAGUUGCUAUUUGUUCGGAGGUGUCUCUAACUAUUUUCACUGGCCAGUCACUCGUUAUUUACUCCAUCACGCCACCACAGUACUCCAACCUUAUCUUUGCACUUCCUAGCAAUAAUACGAACUCAAUAUAUUUAAUUACAUAUGUAUACGGGCAGCACUUCAAUCAAUUAAUCCUUACUCAAAUUUAUAUUUUUCAUCCUACCAUGAAACCAUCUUCAAUUAACUCACAUCUUAAUAUAUUUUUACUAAAAUUACUUAUAUCAGUUGCUUACGUAAUUCCUUAUUUUAUAUCUCCGACAACUUAUUUAUGAUGUCACAUGCCUACUUCAACCUUUCUAAAUAAUUUCUGUCCAAAUUCAUCUUAUAUUUCCACAGUAUUAACUAUAUUUACGGCAACCACAGUCAUUUCAAAUCUAUCCAAUUAUUUUCCAAUUUCAAUCCGCAUUAUUUCUCCUUAUUUCUUCCAAAUAUUAUACCACUCAACUUAACACUUUCAACUAAAUUAUGCCAAUAAAUUCCUCCAAAAACAAUAAUUCUUCACAACGAAUCAUUUAAAAUUUCUUAACUUCACUUGAGCACUAUUCAUCAAUUUCAUAUUUUCUUCUUUACUUUAGUCCUAUGACACAUCUUAAUACAAUUUUUAAAUAUUGUAUUAAAGUAUUUUAAAUUUAAUUCGUACCACUAAUAACCAAAAUUUAACUAAACAAGUGGGCUAGCCCUAAUUAAUCUAACUUCAGAACAAGCCUAAUAAAAAGCAAGGAAAUUUUCUUUUUACCUAUUUGGGCUAGGUUAGCCUAAGCCCAAGUCUCCACCUUUCUUCUUUUUUAGGCCUACACUUCCUUGUUGCCUUUGGGCCUCCUCUCAUGGGCUCUUUCCAUUGUUUAUUAUUUAUUUAUUUAUUUUUAUUUAUUUAUUAUUAUUUUUUCACUCACAACCGCCCACCAUUUCCUCCUCCUUUCUCUCUCACUGCCGGCAGCAAAUUUUUGCCCCUUUCAACCUCAAAAAUCAGCAGCCUAAGCUGCUCAUUUCACCCUUAAAAUCGAUAGCCAAAACCUCAAAAAUCAGCAACUAAAGCUUCUCCUUUCAGCCUUCAAAAAUCAGCAGCUAAAGCUACUCAUCUGAUCCUCAAAAUCGAUAACCAAAACCUCAACAAUCAGUAGCAAAAGGUGCUUCUUUUAGCCUUCAAAAAUCAGUAGCUAAAGCUACUAAUCUCACCUUCAAAAUCAACGGCCAAAACCUCAAAAAUCAACAGCUAAAGCUACUUAUCUCACCCUCGAAAUCGGUAGCCAAAGCCUAAAAAAUUAGCAGCUAAAGCUGCUCCUUUCAGCUUUCAAAAAUCAACAGCUAAAGCUGCUCAUCUCACCCUCAAAAUUGACAGAAAAAUAGCUUCCUCAAACUUGGCUCCUUCUCCCUUCCUUUUCUUUCUUUUUUCUUCCUUAUCGUUUGACUUUUCUCUUCUUUUUCUUUCCUUUCUUCUUUCUCUUUCUCUUCCUAGGCUGUUUCUCUUCUUUUUCUUUCCUUUCUUCUUUUGCUUUCCUUUUGCUCUCUCUCACAACCGACUUCUUUCUUUCCUUUUUUUUUUCUUUCUUCACUUAACCAACUUUGACUUUUCCUUUUUUUUUUUUCUUUCUUAUCUUUUCUAUCUUUCAUCUUUAUCUCAUUCUUUCUUACCAACUUGGCCUACCAUGUGGUUAAAAUGCAAGUCAACAAUUGCUUGGAACCUUUACCACCACCUUACUUGACUUUUCGUCCCUAUUUCACUAUUUGCUCAUCUUUUCUCUUCAUUUUCUUUGUCAUGGACGGCUUGUCCAUGAAUUCACGACUUUUGACUUAUUUUCUCCACUUAUUUUAUGUACUAAAAUCACAUGACAAAGACUUUAUCACCUUCCACCCACCACUCACAUUUUCACUCUUUAUAUUAUUUUUACUUUAUGGUUUAUUUAUUCAUUUCUUGUCCCAUUCAACCUACAUGUACAUCUCAUAUUACUCAUAACCUAGCCUUCCUUAAUUAGAAAAUUCUCCUUUUUAACUUCAAAUAUCAAAAUUGCAAAUGAGUCCUUAAACUUUUCCUUAUUUACUAUGUGACUCCUCCAACUUCCAUCUUUUACAAUUGGUUCCUUCCAACAUUUCUUAAACUCCAAUUUCCUUUUAUUACCUUCUUCUACACAUGUACAAACAAAGUAUAAAGUUUGUACUCCAACGCGGUCUCCCGAUAAUUUUUAAAAUAUUUAUUUAUCCGUGCUAUCUUUACUUAAUAAAGACACGUGGCCCCAUUAACGUCAUUUUUUUCUCUAAAAUUUUCUCAUUCUUCUUCUCCCCCUUUAGAUUGACCAUAUACUCCUUCAUGGAAAAUUUCGACACUGAAUAAAAUAUUAAUAUUUUAAUAUUAUUUUAUUCUAAAAAUUUCCUCUUGUCUCUUUGGUACCCAAAAUACCUUAUUAUGCCUUAAUUGGCAUCCAAUAAGCUUUCUUAAUCACCAUAUCAAAGUAUGAAGUAUUAUAAUGCAUGAUUACACUUAUUGCUUUUAUCUAGUCUAUUCAUACAUAAUCUAUAUACAUGGUUAACAACUUGUCACUUAGGAGCAUCUUGGAUACAAACAAACUUACUGAUCCAAACUUCUUUGAUUGGUUUUUGAACCUCAAGAUCAUCUUGAAAUAGGAGAAGAAAUCAUAUGUCCUUGACACACUUAUUCCUUCAAUCCUUACCGAUGAUGCUAAUGUUGAGAAUAAUGAGGCAUAUCAAUAUCAUAGCAACAUGCGUGAUGCUAGCUAGUUUGACCCUUGAGCUCGAAAAGCAGCAUGAACACAUGGAUGUCCAAUUCAUGAUUCUUCACCUUAAAUAAUUGUUUGAUAAGGAGAGGCACACUAAGAGAUAUGAAAUCUUUGAGGAAUUAUUCCAAUGCAAGAUGGUAGAAGGGAGUUCUAUCAAACCUCAUGUACUGAAGAUUAUUGGACUCUUUAAGAGGCUUAGAAAAUUGGACUGGCAAUGGAUCAUGAGCUGAGUAUUGACUUAGUUCUACAGUCUCUUCCUGACAACUUCAGUUAGUUUAUGUUAACCUUCCAUAUGAACCAAUUGAAAGCUAUUCUUCCUAAACUUCUGAACAUGUUGGACAUGACAAAGAAGUCCAUCAAAAGGGAAAAGGGGGCUUUACUUCUUUUUUCUUCUUCAAAGGCUCAAACGAAGCAAACAAAAAAACAAACCCAAAAGGGGAAGAAGGUAACAUCCCAAAAUCAUAAGGCAUUGAAGUCUAAGGGAGGUGUCAAAAAGGACAGAGAAAAGGAUAUUUGCCAUCACUAUGGCAAACUUGGCAUUGGAGGAAGAAUUGCAAAGAGUACCUAGCUACUAUAAGCAAGAAGAAAAAGUGUAUAGACAUUUCUAAUUCAGGUACCAUUUGCUAAGAUAUACAACUUAACAUUAUAAAGGUGUAUGAUACCUUAUGUUGGUUCUAACAUGUUGACAUAUUGUAGAGACCAAGGACAAAGAUGAGUAGGAUCUUAGCUAAGGAGGUGACCAUGUUGGUGCACUACUUGAAGCAUUGGAUGUUACAUAUGGAUGGUUGCGCUUUUAUUUAAACUUAUGAUUUGAGUUGUUGGAUAAUUUGGUUCAAUGUUUUGACAUUUAUUGCCAUAAGGAUGACUUGUGAAACAUUUAUAUUUAGCAUUUAUGUCACGACCCAGAACUCCCAUCGAGCCCGUGACAACUGUCGCUACGUCCCGAUAGGCACUCAUUACCCUGAAUGCCAAUCGAAACCCCGCAAGGCUUAGCAUCAGCUUCUGCAUCUCCCCAGUGAGCGACAGUUAUUAAAUCUCACAUUUCAAAAAAAAAUCAUAAGUCAUUUCCAAAUCAAAAUAAUAAAAUAUUACUUUCUAGCUCAAAGGGGUAUUUUCAUCAUUUUUCUUCGAAAAUAUCGAAACUUGCCAAAAACAUGGUGUAAAAGUUAAAUAUAUUCAUACAUAUUUUAAAUUAAAUAACUGAAGAACAAAAUUACUUUUACAUUGAAAUACCCCAUACUUUGAUAUGGUGAUAAAUAAAGUUGAUCAAAUACAAAUUGAGGUCAAUUAAAAUGUUUAGAAGUGAUAAAAGACGAAAGNNNNNNNNNNNNNNNNNNNNNNNNNNNNNNNNNNNNNNNNNNNNNNNNNNNNNNNNNNNNNNNNNNNNNNNNNNNNNNNNNNNNNNNNNNNNNNNNNNNNNNNNNNNNNNNNNNNNNNNNNNNNNNNNNNNNNNNNNNNNNNNNNNNNNNNNNNNNNNNNNNNNNNNNNNNNNNNNNNNNNNNNNNNNNNNNNNNNNNNNNNNNNNNNNNNNNNNNNNNNNNNNNNNNNNNNNNNNNNNNNNNNNNNNNNNNNNNNNNNNNNNNNNNNNNNNNNNNNNNNNNNNNNNNNNNNNNNNNNNNNNNNNNNNNNNNNNNNNNNNNNNNNNNNNNNNNNNNNNNNNNNNNNNNNNNNNNNNNNNNNNNNNNNNNNNNNNNNNNNNNNNNNNNNNNNNNNNNNNNNNNNNNNNNNNNNNNNNNNNNNNNNNNNNNNNNNNNNNNNNNNNNNNNNNNNNNNNNNNNNNNNNNNNNNNNNNNNNNNNNNNNNNNNNNNNNNNNNNNNNNNNNNNNNNNNNNNNNNNNNNNNNNNNNNNNNNNNNNNNNNNNNNNNNNNNNNNNNNNNNNNNNNNNNNNNNNNNNNNNNNNNNNNNNNNNNNNNNNNNNNNNNNNNNNNNNNNNNNNNNNNNNNNNNNNNNNNNNNNNNNNNNNNNNNNNNNNNNNNNNNNNNNNNNNNNNNNNNNNNNNNNNNNNNNNNNNNNNNNNNNNNNNNNNNNNNNNNNNNNNNNNNNNNNNNNNNNNNNNNNNNNNNNNNNNNNNNNNNNNNNNNNNNNNNNNNNNNNNNNNNNNNNNNNNNNNNNNNNNNNNNNNNNNNNNNNNNNNNNNNNNNNNNNNNNNNNNNNNNNNNNNNNNNNNNNNNNNNNNNNNNNNNNNNNNNNNNNNNNNNNNNNNNNNNNNNNNNNNNNNNNNNNNNNNNNNNNNNNNNNNNNNNNNNNNNNNNNNNNNNNNNNNNNNNNNNNNNNNNNNNNNNNNNNNNNNNNNNNNNNNNNNNNNNNNNNNNNNNNNNNNNNNNNNNNNNNNNNNNNNNNNNNNNNNNNNNNNNNNNNNNNNNNNNNNNNNNNNNNNNNNNNNNNNNNNNNNNNNNNNNNNNNNNNNNNNNNNNNNNNNNNNNNNNNNNNNNNNNNNNNNNNNNNNNNNNNNNNNNNNNNNNNNNNNNNNNNNNNNNNNNNNNNNNNNNNNNNNNNNNNNNNNNNNNNNNNNNNNNNNNNNNNNNNNNNNNNNNNNNNNNNNNNNNNNNNNNNNNNNNNNNNNNNNNNNNNNNNNNNNNNNNNNNNNNNNNNNNNNNNNNNNNNNNNNNNNNNNNNNNNNNNNNNNNNNNNNNNNNNNNNNNNNNNNNNNNNNNNNNNNNNNNNNNNNNNNNNNNNNNNNNNNNNNNNNNNNNNNNNNNNNNNNNNNNNNNNNNNNNNNNNNNNNNNNNNNNNNNNNNNNNNNNNNNNNNNNNNNNNNNNNNNNNNNNNNNNNNNNNNNNNNNNNNNNNNNNNNNNNNNNNNNNNNNNNNNNNNNNNNNUCAAAUUUUAAAUAUUUGACUUUUAAUUCUUUAAUUCUCCACCACACAUUUCUCAUGUUUAUCCAUUUCCAUGAUGAAUAAAAUCCCUUGGUCUUGACAAGUAUCGGAGGUGAAAAUUUACCGAUUUGCUCUCGGGGUGGCAAAAUUACCACUUCACCCUUAUACUCCAAAUUAUACCGGAAUUAAAAUUUUUCACUUCUAAACUUCAAAUCAUACUCCAAUACUUAAAUCAUACUCCAAUAAGUCAAAUGGACCAAAAAAAAUCUUUUCUAAAAAUUUUCAUUUUGUCCCCAAGUGGCCAAUGACCAUUGUACCUCUAGAUAGUGAAAAUUUUGGUUUGACUCCAAAUUGAUCCUCGAACUCCGAAUUACCAUUUUGAGUCAUCCAUGAACUGUGAAACUCUUAAUUUCACCUUAAAAUUCCUAUUUGAACUAGUUCGAGACUUAAUCGACUCAAUGGUACCAUUAGGGGCAAUAUCGUCUUUUAACGAUUCCUCGAACUUUUUAAAUCUGUAAACAUUCUAUUGAGCAUGUAAAUGACGACGUAAUUAUUUUAUGGAACAGGGUUUGACAACAUUACCCCCCUUAAAAUAAAAUUUUGUCCUCAAAAUUUCACUUAUCGAACUCCAAGAAAAGAUAGGGGUAUUAGCUUUUAUCCAAUGUUCAACAUCUCAUGUCAUCUCCUUCGUUUGAGCAGUCUUCCACAAUCCUUUAACUAUUGAGAUGUUCUUUUCGUUGCUCUACCUACAUCACUCAUCAUACAUGAAAUUUAAAUCUUGAACCACUCAGGAUCAUUCUUCACUUUAGUUACCCAUAAUACUAAUCCCUACACAUGUGGGGUUGCACUUUCAUUCUCAUCAAUGCCUCAAAGAUUCAUCUUGCAUGUCUUAUGCAUUUUUGAACUCCAAUUUCCACAAUACAUUAAGAAAAUUCCAUAGCGAUAUUCUACAUAAACUCAUUUAUUAUAUUAUUCUUAAAAGCUUUAUUUACACUCUCAGCACUUAGUAUUUACAUCUCUUAUCAUUAUCUUACAUUCCCACCUAACUUUUCAUUCACUUUCUCUAGGUUAGACUCAUGCUUUAUCUUCCAUUACCGUAAAAAUUUUUGUUGACGCACGAGUCUGUGGUCUGAAAUGUGGGUAUACUGGGGUGCUACUCUCCACAUCAGGCCGGAUAGCUACUCCCUGCCUCGGUUGUGGUCCAAAAGAAUCUCUCAUCUGUAAGUCUGUACGAGCUGAUGAAGAUAGAGCAGCUCCAGUGGCCUGUCCUAACUGUGGACAAUUAGUUUUAAAGUGACCCAUCUGGCCACAAUGAAAACAUCGCAAAGGCUCCCAACACACCUCACCAUGAAAUCUUCCACAUUCUCUGCAUCUGUCAGAACCUCCGAAACUCUUUUCAAAAGUAGUCACUGCAGAUCCACUGAAUCUCGGAGGCCUUUGCUGCAUUUGUGAAAAUGAUAGUCAGGAGGAUGUUACCGAAAUAGAAGGAGCACUCCUUGAAACAAAUGAGCCUUUGCUCCUUUUUAGUGGCUGACUGGAGGACAUAUUCAGAUUUUUCCUCUUUGCCAACUCAGCUCGCAUUCUCCUAUUUUCAUUUGCGAGCUUCUCAACCCUUAAGGCCAUUUGUACUACCUCUUUAUAGGGCUCCCUACUUGUCAUAGUCAUUCGCUCUCUUAUCUCAUUGAGGAGCCCUUCCUCGAAAUAAUCGGCCUAAUCCUGUUCAGUCCUUACUAAAUCAGGCACAUAAGACAGCAGCUCGUUAAAUUGAGUCUCAUACUCCUCUACAGUUAAAUUCUCCUGCUUCAGACACAGAAAUUCUCUCUUCUUCUCUUUUUGAUGGAAAUGGGUAUAAUAUUGACUAUCAAAUUCCCUCAGAAAGUCUGAUCAAGUUAGGAGAAUAGUGGAACAAGACUUCACCGAAUUCCACCAUGUACGGGCUCUCUUCUCCAAUAACCUCGUAGCCACUAUCAGCUUCAUCUCAUCCUCCAAUCUCAUAUCGGAAAGUGUCUCCGAAACCUAAUUAAUCCAGUCCUUCGCUGCGGUGGCAUCCAACUCACCCACAAAGGACACACAACCCAAUUGUCUAGCCUCCUUCAGGGUUUUAGAAAUAGAGACAUCAUGUGCCAAUGGAACUGAAGGAGUAACUGGUGGCACUACAGGUGAGACCUAACUAGUCUGAGCUUGACCAGACAUUGUGGUAAAGAAGGCUGCCAUUGCUUGAAUUACCUCAAGAGACAUGGGAGGAAUGCUAGUAGGUGGCGGAGGAAUCUCGAUCGGUUCAGUAGCAAGUGCCGCUCGAAAAGGGGACGCAGUCGAUUCUUCUCCUCUAAGGUCUGGCUGACCUUGCCUAAGACGACCUCUGCCCCUCUUAGCUGAUCUAGUAGGGAGUGGGCGCUCACGUCGAGGAGGCAUGAUAAUCUAAAAAGGAAACGAGGCAAGUUUAGGUAAUCUCAGACUCUACAUACAUGCAACUUUACCUAACCCAACUUAACUUAACCUAGUUUAACUCAACCCGGGGCCACGCAGUGUUAGUGUGAAUUCUUAAAAUAACUAUAAAAAUCAAAAACUUUAAAAUCAUGCUUUGUUAACCAAAAGCUCUGAUACCAAUAAAAUUGUCUCGACUCGAAACUCUCAUCGAGCUCGUGACAACUGCCGUGACGUCCCGAUAAGCAUUCAUUACCCCGAAUGUCGAUUGAAACUCCGUAAGGCUUAGCAUAGCUUCUGCAUCUCCCCAGUGAGCGACAGUUAUUAUGUCAAACCCUGCUUUGUAAAAUAAUUAUAAUAUCAUUCACAUGCUCGAUAGAAUGUUUGUAUAUUUAGAAAGUUCGAGAAAUCGUUAAAAGACGAUAUUGCCUCUAAUGGUAUCAUUAAGUCGAUUAAGCCUCGAACUAGUUCAAAUAGAAAUUUUAAGGUGAAAUUAAGAGUUUCACAGUUCAGGGAUGACUCAAAAUGGUAAUUAGGAGUUCGAGGAUCAAUUUGGAGUCAAAUUGAAAUUUUCACGAUAUAGGGGUAAAAUUGUAAUUUUUCCAUCUACGGAUAAAAUUUGAGAUUUUGAGAGAAUUUAGAUCACAUUUGACAAAUUGGGGAAUGAUAUGAGUAUAAGGGAUNNNNNNNNNNNNNNNNNNNNNNNNNNNNNNNNNNNNNNNNNNNNNNNNNNNNNNNNNNNNNNNNNNNNNNNNNNNNNNNNNNNNNNNNNNNNNNNNNNNNNNNNNNNNNNNNNNNNNNNNNNNNNNNNNNNNNNNNNNNNNNNNNNNNNNNNNNNNNNNNNNNNNNNNNNNNNNNNNNNNNNNNNNNNNNNNNNNNNNNNNNNNNNNNNNNNNNNNNNNNNNNNNNNNNNNNNNNNNNNNNNNNNNNNNNNNNNNNNNNNNNNNNNNNNNNNNNNNNNNNNNNNNNNNNNNNNNNNNNNNNNNNNNNNNNNNNNNNNNNNNNNNNNNNNNNNNNNNNNNNNNNNNNNNNNNNNNNNNNNNNNNNNNNNNNNNNNNNNNNNNNNNNNNNNNNNNNNNNNNNNNNNNNNNNNNNNNNNNNNNNNNNNNNNNNNNNNNNNNNNNNNNNNNNNNNNNNNNNNNNNNNNNNNNNNNNNNNNNNNNNNNNNNNNNNNNNNNNNNNNNNNNNNNNNNNNNNNNNNNNNNNNNNNNNNNNNNNNNNNNNNNNNNNNNNNNNNNNNNNNNNNNNNNNNNNNNNNNNNNNNNNNNNNNNNNNNNNNNNNNNNNNNNNNNNNNNNNNNNNNNNNNNNNNNNNNNNNNNNNNNNNNNNNNNNNNNNNNNNNNNNNNNNNNNNNNNNNNNNNNNNNNNNNNNNNNNNNNNNNNNNNNNNNNNNNNNNNNNNNNNNNNNNNNNNNNNNNNNNNNNNNNNNNNNNNNNNNNNNNNNNNNNNNNNNNNNNNNNNNNNNNNNNNNNNNNNNNNNNNNNNNNNNNNNNNNNNNNNNNNNNNNNNNNNNNNNNNNNNNNNNNNNNNNNNNNNNNNNNNNNNNNNNNNNNNNNNNNNNNNNNNNNNNNNNNNNNNNNNNNNNNNNNNNNNNNNNNNNNNNNNNNNNNNNNNNNNNNNNNNNNNNNNNNNNNNNNNNNNNNNNNNNNNNNNNNNNNNNNNNNNNNNNNNNNNNNNNNNNNNNNNNNNNNNNNNNNNNNNNNNNNNNNNNNNNNNNNNNNNNNNNNNNNNNNNNNNNNNNNNNNNNNNNNNNNNNNNNNNNNNNNNNNNNNNNNNNNNNNNNNNNNNNNNNNNNNNNNNNNNNNNNNNNNNNNNNNNNNNNNNNNNNNNNNNNNNNNNNNNNNNNNNNNNNNNNNNNNNNNNNNNNNNNNNNNNNNNNNNNNNNNNNNNNNNNNNNNNNNNNNNNNNNNNNNNNNNNNNNNNNNNNNNNNNNNNNNNNNNNNNNNNNNNNNNNNNNNNNNNNNNNNNNNNNNNNNNNNNNNNNNNNNNNNNNNNNNNNNNNNNNNNNNNNNNNNNNNNNNNNNNNNNNNNNNNNNNNNNNNNNNNNNNNNNNNNNNNNNNNNNNNNNNNNNNNNNNNNNNNNNNNNNNNNNNNNNNNNNNNNNNNNNNNNNNNNNNNNNNNNNNNNNNNNNNNNNNNNNNNNNNNNNNNNNNNNNNNNNNNNNNNNNNNNNNNNNNNNNNNNNNNNNNNNNNNNNNNNNNNNNNNNNNNNNNNNNNNNNNNNNNNNNNNNNNNNNNNNNNNNNNNNNNNNNNNNNNNNNNNNNNNNNNNNNNNNNNNNNNNNNNNNNNNNNNNNNNNNNNNNNNNNNNNNNNNNNNNNNNNNNNNNNNNNNNNNNNNNNNNNNNNNNNNNNNNNNNNNNNNNNNNNNNNNNNNNNNNNNNNNNNNNNNNNNNNNNNNNNNNNNNNNNNNNNNNNNNNNNNNNNNNNNNNNNNNNNNNNNNNNNNNNNNNNNNNNNNNNNNNNNNNNNNNNNNNNNNNNNNNNNNNNNNNNNNNNNNNNNNNUAAUCUCACCCCUCUUCCUAUCCAUUUUUCAAACUCAGGACAGUUUGUUGAUAGUUGAUUAAGACGAGAAUUAAUCUCGGAGUUGCAUCAUAAGAAGUAAGGGUUCGUAGCUCUACAUCUUCUUGGUUACUUAGGGGCCCACGUGUCACUGUAAACGAAAUUUCAUACUUUAAUUAUCUUUAUUACUAUAUGAAUAAAUUUAUUUUACUCUUACGCUACAAAAGUUAUUUUAGGAAGACUUUGAAAAUAUUGUGUUUUAAGAAAAUAGAAUAUUUUAUUUAAUGUUUUUAUUAUAUUCAAAUAGUUAUAAUUUUACUUUAAACGAAUGUUUUAAACUUCAAAAUUUAAUUUAAAUCAUGAAAUAUGUGUUUCCACUUACAUAUUACAUUUUUUCGGAUUUCGAAAUUUCAAAAAAAAAAUGACGAAAAUGCCCCAGUGAGCUAGAAAAUAAUAUUUUUAUUGUUUUGUGUUGGAAACAACUUAUGAUUUCUUGAAAUGUGAGAUUUAAUAACUGUCGCUCACCGGGGAGAUGCGAAAGUUGAUGCUAAGCCUUGCGGGGUUUCGAUCGACAUUCGGGGUAAUGAGUGCUUAUCGGGACGUCGCGGCGGUUGUCACGGGCCCGAUGGGAGUUCCGGGUCGUGACAUAUUAAAUCUCACAUUUCAAAAAAAAAUCAUAAGUCAUUUCCAAAUCAAAACAAUAAAAUAUUACUUUUUGGCUCACAGGGGUAUUUUCAUCAUUUUUCUUUGAAAAUACCGAAACUCGCCAAAAACAUGGUGUAAAAGAUAAAUAUAUUCAUACAUAUUUUAAAUUAAAUUAUUGAAGAAUAAAAUUUCUUUUACAGUGAUACGUGGGCUCCCAACUGACUAAUAAAAUGUAAGGUUACAAACUCUUACUUUCUAAGAUGCAACUCCGAGAUUAAUUCUCGUCUUAAUCAACUAUCAACAAAUUAUCCUGGGCCUGAAAAAUAGAUAGGAAGAAGGGGUAAGAUCAUAAAAUCCCAGUGAGUAGAUAGACAUCAUCAAAAUAAUCUAAAGCCGAGUAAUAGGAGACAAUUAAAAUAAUUCAUCCCAACCCAUAUAAAUAAUUGGAUUUCAUCUAAUUACUCAACAUGGCUUAUGCACUUUUCAAAAACUUGGCCCUUGCCAAAAAUCCAUUCUCGGGGAGACCCGCGAAGGCAUUUUACCGAGACCGCCAAAGCUGUUUAUUGUCACACACACAAACACAUUUCACCUCUGACAACACAGUCAUUCCUCGACGUUGGCUGAGUCCCAGUUUCACGUGGUGGCCAGCAUGAAGUGUACUCAAAUCCUAUCUCGGGAGUUCUCCUAUGCGCCUCUCCAAUCAAGGUAAGCUCAAUAAUUGGGAACCGUGCCCCUCUAAUUAGGCUGGCCCACGAAACCCCCGUCACUGCAGUGCCGACUUUAUAAUCCACCCACCAAUAAAAUCACAAUAGUAUGACAUGGCUCACUUAACACAUUUAAGGCAAAUCAAAGCAGUUCACAUAUUCUUGAAAUCAUAAAAAUAACCAGUCAUACCCACAUUUAUCAUAAGCCAUUUAAUGUAAAAUCAUAGAUAAACAACACAAUCAUAGUAUAGGUCUCUAAUUACUCUAUUUUUGAAAUCAUUAUUAAAUUUGUAAAAAUUUUAUAAAAU
rnacentral:lncRNA from 1 species